rnacentral:lncRNA from 1 species
GUGUGUAUCAAUGAGUGAAGCGAUUCUUAAUGGGAGGAUGAAGCUGCCUCUACACCCAUUUCUUAGGUACAUCCUUAGGAAAUAUAACCUAGUCCCCACCCAGUUAGUGCCAAAUGCAUUGAGCCAAUUGGCAGGGGCCUUCCAUCUUUAGAAGGAGGCCACUCUUGGAGAGGAUAUGCUUCUCAUAUUUUUCGUACACUCUUUCAGCCUUGAGCCUUUAGUGGGAGAGGAUUGCAAGGGGGUAGUAUUAUAUAAACCCUUGGGGUCUGCAUUUACCCUUCAUUUAGGGAACUCUACCUUAAUAAAAAAUUGGAAGUCAUCUUGGUUUUGGAUUAGGAGAUGCUGGUAGACAGUUGAGAGAGAUGCAGUCCCUAUGCCAACCUAGUAUCAUGUGUAUAGUGAGUUUAGAUUCAAUUGAAGAUCUUUCAUUUAUCGUAUUUCAGUAUCUAUUUCUAAAUUGUGUUUUGUGCAGUUGUAGUUAACCAGUUCAAGUUCAAACCUUCAAAGUGGGCCACCAUUAGAGCUACUUACAAGUUGUCCACUGAGAGGAGGUACUUCAACACAGUGCUUAAGAAGCGAGCUCUAUUUGUAAUACUUACUAACGGCGACCAAAGGUAAGCCAUCGCCAAACAUUGUCACUCUUGAUAGUUUGACUUGAUUUUUGGCUAUACUAAUGGCGUAUUUCACUUGCAGAGUAACAUGGUAGAAAGAAGUAUGUCAAGCACGACAUGUUCUAUAUGAGCCACCUGGCCAAGGAGAAGAAAAAGAAACUAUUGAACUCCACUUCUUCCGUCUACAAGGAAGUUGGUUCUAGUAAAGAACAUCCGGCCUUUACCUCCUCCCAAGCGCCAGAUGACAAUUGACGAGUCGUUGAAAAAACUAAUUGAGGCAAACCCCAUCUCUUCCAUGAAAAUAGUGGAGGUGAAGGAAAUGAACAAGGAAGAAGGGUGCCUCAUAAAAAAAGAGAGGCAAAGAGGCUAGUUGAGGUGGCCUUUUAAAUGGUCCUUCAGAGAGAAAGGCUCAAAAUUUUCUUAGAGGCAAGUCUAACGAGAUCACCUCAGAGGUUUUGGAAAUGCUCCCUGCCAAGGUCCAAGCAACUACAAGGAUUCAUCAUAAGUACUAAACUGAUAAGUACUCAUUUUACACCGAGACCUGUGACUCGAUUAACAUGAUGGAGGCUGGCCUCUUGCAGGCUCGCUCACAAGGCUGCUUUUUAAAUGCCCAAAUGGACAUGAGAAGACUGCAGAGGCUGAAUGAGGAAUUUAGCCAAAAGGUUGUUGAUCCUAAGGGCGAGGCAAAAAGGCUGAAGGUUGAGGCCUCUACUGUUGACGAGGUACAGGCUCAAGUGGUUGAGUUGACUGUCGAGGUUGCCAACCUAAGGCAACAACUGAACGGGGUAGGGGAGGUAACUGUAAACGACUACGAGGCACAGUUCCAUGAAACUGAUGAGUAUGACGGCCUCGAUUUGUACUCGAGGAAGGUUGCAUACAAUAAAGUUUUUGGAAUAAUUGUUGAGCUAUAUCCCCAAGUAGAUCUAACUACUUUGAAGGAAAAAUUCUUCCCAGUUGAGCCAUCCACUCUUAUAGAUGAUGCUGAAAGCUCUGAAGGCUAAGAGAGUUGAGCCUCGAUAGGAUGAAGUUGUUGUAUAGAUUUUGCCACGAUUUUUCCUUUUCAACAUUGUAAUAGCUAGCUUUUCUUUAUAAUGAAUCCAUUUGAAUUAAGCAAGUUCUUUUUAAUGAAACAUGUUGACAUGAUGACUCUACAAUCUAAGUUUUUUGUGUUUGUAUAUGAGCUCAUAUGUAUCACAUAAAUAUAUCACAACCAUUACUUUCUUUAUAUAUAAUUAAUUUGACCAUUUAUCUUCCCAACCAUUAUUUUUUUCUUUUACUUUACAAGAAACAAAAUGUCACUUUUCUCUCUUUAAAAUUUGCGAUCAUUGCUUUUUCUAAUGCUUUCGUGCUGGGUCUUAUACGUAUCCAAGGAGCUGCUGCUAAAGGCAAUGAUAUUCAUUUCUCUCUCUAGGUUCUUGCAUUUCGUUUUAUUUGUCCAUUUUUUCCAAUUUUCCAAUGUAAUUGUAUUGAUUAAUGUUUUAAUUAAACUAAUGUUUCUAUGCGUUGUGUAAUCUGCUUGUAUUUUGUCUUCUAAUUUUCCUCAUUAUGUUUAAUUAUUUUUAAAUUUUAUUUAACUAUGUUCUAAGUAAUAGUCGAUCAACAAUUAAAUUUAGCCACACAUUUCAUAGGAUCCACAACUUUUGGACCACACAUUUCGUCAACUUUUAUGAAAAUAUAAUUUUUAAUUUCUGUCGAACUGGAGCUUAAUAAUCGUAGGGCCCCACAUUUGGAGUUAUCAAAAGGCCCUAAUUCAAACCUCACUCUAUAUAAUUUUAAUUCAUCGCUUAUAAAAAUACUUGCCUUUUGCUAUGAGUCUUAAACAAAUCCUAGGCUUGUAAAAUACUUGCCUUGUGGCUUCACAAAAGCGGCAGGGUGGGGGGGUAUGGGGGGAUGGGAUACAACAAAGAGAAGAAAAAGAAAACAAAUCCUAAUUCAAUUAGGCAAGUAUUUUAAUUAGGAUUCCGUUUUCAAGCAGCUUCCCAAACACUCUAACUUAGGAUUUGUUUUUCUUUUUUCUUAAUUAUAUUAACAGUUCAAUUCGACUUCAAAUGAGUUUAAGCAUCAAAAUUAGAACGUACUAGUUCUAAACUGUUUGGUUGAUUUAGAAACCUAAACAUUGACAAGUUUAGUGGACCCAAAUCAAUGGUUUCUCUCAAACUUUAAGUUUGAUUUUGUAAUUUGAGAGUCUUUUUAAAUGCCAAGAAAAUAUAAUAGAGACUCAUUUGCUGAUAAGGCAAUAGAUUGAAGACAAAUACUGCAAUUUCCUCCAAAAAAAAGAAUAAUAAUUUAGGACUUCAGCCAUAAAUCUACUGCCUUCGCUCAAUCUUGAGGUAACACUUUCUUUGCAGCAUAUGUAAUGCUGGUUGUAUAGCCUGCAUUACAGACUGCAUAACAAAAGGUGCAGUAUCACCCGAGCCUGCACAUAACAAUCAGCAUUUGCAUUUUGAUAUAUGAUUAUGUUGAAAAUUGGUUAAGUAACAAUUGAAAUCGAAAAGUGUAACUAACAUGUCAAUUUCGGACGAAUAUUCGGACUUGAUUUGAUGGUCAAAUUAUGAAAGUAAAUAGGCUAACUUGUUCGAACUUGAUUUGAUGGUCAAAUUAUGAAAGUAAAUAGGCUAACUUGUCCUACUCGUCGAGUAGAUAAUCAUAGUAUAUUUGGACAUUAGAAAUCAAUUCCAGGUGAAUGAGAAAUUACGUUCCAAAGUUGGAGGAAGAAAACAAAAAACAAAAUAAAAAUUAAGUAGGGCCAGAUAGCACUAUCGCUCGAGCGAUAAUCGGGCGAAGAGCAAGCGAAAAGGUUCUGCUUGAAUUUUUGAAGGGUUGUUCGAGCAAAAAUCUAGCAAAAAUCUAGUGAAAAUGAAAGGUUGCAUCUAAUUGAAAGAUUGCACAAUUUGGCCCACACCACUUGACCACACCCCUUCUUUCUAUAUAAAUAAGACCCCUUGGAUGUCCCUAAGGAUACAAUAACUCAUAUUUUGUAUUGAGCACUCUUCUUCUCUUACAAAAUCUCUCAUUCUUUUCUCUUGCAUAAAAUCCCUUUGUAAAGGGAAAAUUCUGUCGGUUCGCCGGUUCUUGUGGUGUGAAGUACUGCUACCACAAGAUUAAACAUCCGUUGUAUCUUGGGAGACAAGUGUUGUCAACCGUGAGCACCAUAGUGAGGCAAUAUUGUUUUAAGGAAAGAGUGGAAACACUUGCCUCAAAUUUGAUCUCCUUUUCUACUCCAUUCUUAUUUUCAUUUGUUACUUUUGUUUUGUGGUUGUGUGCUACAUUUUCAAAUUCAUAGUUUUGUAGUUUAAUCACGCUCUUGUGGGUUAGACUUUGCUUGAUUUGGUAUAUAUACCAACAACCAUCCUAUCGCUCACAAAUAAACCCGGAAUAAACAAUCUUAAGAUAAUAUUUAUCGGUGGUUGUUUAGUUGUAACCCUCAUUUUAAUCUACUUUUUGGAAUAGUCCUUAUAUAAUAUUCCUUUCCCUACUUUGUGUUGUGAUUAUCUUCUGUUUGUGUAACAAGAAUGAGUACUAUAGAUGCUUCAAGUCAAAAUGGUACGAACAAUGUGGUCACACCAAUGGCUAUACCACUUCAAAAUACUUCGAUCCCGCAUGGUAAAAAAUCAAAAAAAUUUAGUGGCGUGGAGUUUAAGAGAUGGCAACAAAAGAUGUUGUUCUAUCUCACGACCCUCAGCUUGGCAAAAUUCUUGAAGGAAAUUGUACCAACUGUACAAGAGGGAGAAAAUAAUCGUGAGUCAAUUAUUGCGUUGGAUGCAUGGAAGCACUCGGACUUUCUAUACAAAAACUAUAUUUUGAAUAGGCUGGACAAUAUACUAUUUGGAGUGUAUAGUUCUAAAAACUCGACCAAGGAACUGUGGGAUUCAUUGGAAAAUAAAUACGAGACCGAGGAUGCCGGAAUCAAGAAGUUCAUCGUGGGCAAAUUUUUGGACUACAAGAUGGUAGAUACCAAAACUGUGAUAAGCCAAGUGCAAGAAAUUCAAGUUCUCUUGUACAAUAUACAUGUCGAAAAGAUGGAAUUAAGUGAAUCCUUUCAAGUGGUUGCCAUUAUCGAGAAACUCUCUCCUAUGUGGAGAGAUUUCAAAAACCAUCUCAAGCACAAACGUAAAGAGAUGAAUUUGGAAGAAUUGAUCGUCCGCUUGAGAAUUGAAGAAGACAAUAAGAAAAAUGAAGGGAAACCUAUUGACCAACUUGGAGCGAACUUUGUUGAAACAGAACAAAUGCUUUUGAACAAGAAACGAAAUCUCUCUAACGAUGCACCGCGUAGAGAUAACUCCAAGAAGGCGAAAAAGUUCAAAGGAAAAUGUUAUAACUGUGGAAAGGCCAGAUAUCGUUCAAAUGAAUGUCGAAAGCCAAGGAAACUUGCUCAAGCCAACAUAAUUAAGAGGGACAACCUUUCUAAAGGAAUGCAGGAAAUGAGCCUAUCUGCAGUUGUGUUCGAAUGCAACAUGGUUGGAAACAUAAGGGAAUGGUGGGUCGAUACUGAUGCAACCCAUCAUGUGUGUGCUGAUAAAUCAAUGUUUUCCAACUAUCAAGAACUGAAAGGGGAACAAUUGUUCAUAGAGAACGCUGCAAGUUCCAAGAUUGAAGGAUAAGGCAAAGUCACUUUGAAGAUGACAUCCAGGAAAAAGCUAGUCCUCAACAAUGUCCUAUAUGUGCCAGAUAUUCGGAAGAACCUUAUGUUCGGGUCUCUUCUUGGUAAAAAUGGGUUUAAACGUGUAUUUGUAUCCGAUAAAUUUGUGUUGUCUAAGAAUAAAAUGUAUGUAGGCAAAGGAUACAUGUGUGACGAAAUGUUCAAAAUGAACGCUCUAACUGUUGUACCAACACAAGGCAUUAUAAAUAAAAUUACAAAUUCUGUUUACUUGCUUGAUUUUUGUUUAUGGCAUAAUCGAUUAGGACAUACGAAUUAUAAUUUGUUGUGCAAACUUAUGAAUCAAAGUUUAAUUUCGGUGCUUGAAAUCUAUCCUAAUCAUAAAUAUGAAAUAUGUGUUGAAGUAAAAUUAGCUAAAACACCGUUCCAUUCAAUUCAGAGGAACAUGGUACCUCUAGAAUUAAUACAUAGUGAUAUAUGUGACUUGAAAUUCGUUCAAACUAGAGGUGGUAAGAAAUAUUUUAUAACUUUUAUCGACGAUUGCACAAAGUAUUGUUAUGUCUUUCUUUUAAGAGAUAAUGACGAAGCCUUGAAUGCAUUUAAACAAUAUAAGGCUGAAGUUGAAACACAACUUGACAAACGAAUUAAAAAUAUUCGUAGUAAUCGAAGAGGUAAAUAUGGGGCACCGUUUGAAGAAUUCUGCUCCAAACAUGAAAUUAUUCAUCAAACAACGGUUCCAUACUCUUCUCAAUCAAAUGGUAUUGCUGAACGUAAAAAUCGAACUCUUAAAGAGAUGAUGAAUGCGAUGUUAAUAAGUUCGGGUUUACCUCAGAACUUGUGGAGGUAAGCUAUCUUAACGGCGAAUAGACUUGUCAAUCGAAUACCGCUUAAAAAUGGAAGAAACUCCAUAUGAGUUAUGGAAAUGUCAUCCUCCUUCCUACCAACACUUAAAAGUGUGGGGAUGUUUGGCAAUGGUUGAAAUACCAAAGCCUAAACAAAUUAAAAUUGGUCCCAAGACGAUCAAUUACAUAUUUAUUGGAUACGCCAAUAAUAAUAGUGCAUGUGAUUUCCUAGUACACAAAUUUGAUAUUCAAGAUGUACGCAAGGGUACCAUAAUUGAAUCAAGGAAUGCAGUAUUCUUUAAAAAUGUGUUUCCUUACAAAGAUAGGGAAACAACAAGUUCAAACAAGAGAACUUAUGAAUCUAUAAAUGGAUCUUCAAAUGAGGAAGAACCAAGGCACAGUAAGAAGGCUAGAAUGUCCACUUUAUUUGGUCCAGAUUUUCUAACUUACAUGGUAGAAAAUGAUCCAAGGACUUUCAAGGAAGCAAUGUCUGCCCCGGAAGCACCGCAUUGGAAAGAAGCUAUCAAUAGCGAGAUAGAUUCCAUAAUGCAAAAUCAUACAUGGGUGUUGGUUGAUUUGCCUCCCAGAAAUAAGCCUUUAGUGUGUAAAUGGAUAUUCAAAAAAAAAAAAUUUGAAACCGGACGGAUCCAUUGAUAAAUAUAAGGCUAGAUUGGUUGCCAAAGGAUAUAGGUAAAGAGCAGGACUUGACUUCUUUGAUACCUACUCACCCGUAACGAGAAUCACUUUAAUAAAGUUGCUAAUUGCAAUUAUGGCAAUACAUAAUCUUGAGAUUCAUCAAAUGGAUGUAAAAACAACAUUCCUAAAUGGUGAGUUAGAAGAUGAGAUAUAUAUGAAGCAACCUAAAGGCUUCAUGUCUCCAAAUGAAAGCCAUAAGGUUUGUACACUUGUUAAGUCCUUAUAUGGUUUGAAACAAGCUUCUAAACAAUGGCACCAAAAGUUUGACAAGACAAUAUUGUCAAACGGGUUUAAAAUAAAUGAAUGUGACAUAUGCGUAUACGUGAAAAGUACAUCGAAUGCCUAUGUGAUUGUAUGUCUAUAUGUAGACGAUAUGUUGAUAAUGGGUAAUAGUCACGAAAUGUUUAUGAACACCAAGAAAAUGCUAACAAGACAUUUCGACAUGAAAGAUAUGGGUGUGGCAGGUUUAAUACUAGGGAUAAAGAUCUCUAGAACAUCAAAAGGAAUUAUACUUUCCCAAUCUCAUUAUGUUGAAAAAAUACUUAAGAAAUUUGAAAUAUUUAAGGAAAGUCUUGCAAAGAUCCCUAUUGACACAAGUUUACACUUGGUCAAACAUAAAGGUAAAAGCAUGUCACAACUAAGAUAUUCACAAAUAAUUGGUAGUCUAAUGUAUAUUAGGUACAUCACUCGAUCGGAUAUUGCGUUUGCGGUGAAUAAAUUUAGUAGAUUCACGAGUAAUCCAAGCUAUGAUUAUUGGGUGGCGUUAACAAGGGUUCUUAGGUAUUUGAAGUAUACCAUGACCUAUGGAUUAUAUUUACAAAAUAUUCAGCGGUAUUAGAAGGAUAUUGUGACGCGAAUUGGAUAUAUGAUAUAAAGGAUUCUAAGUCCACAAAUGGUUAUGUGUUUACCCUUGGAGCUGCUAUUUCAUGGAAAUCGUCAAAGCAAACAUGUAUAACUCGAUCAACGAUGGAAUCAGAGUUUACUGCUUUGGACAAAGUUGGUGAAGAAGCAGAAUGGCUUCGAAAUUUCUUAGAAGAUGUUCCAUGUUGGCCUAAGCCAGUACCUACCAUAAGCAUACAUUGUGAUAAUCAAUCAGCUAUUGAAAUGGCUAAAAGCAGCAUGUACAAUGAUAAGUCUAGACAUAAAUAUCGUAGACAUAACACAAUUAAGCAACUGAUCUCAAUGGGCGUCAUCUCCAUAAGUUAUGUGAAAUCAAAGGAGAACGUAGUAGAUCCACUUACGAAAGGUUUCCCAAGAGAUUAAAUAUGUUGCCUAUUGAGAAGAAUGGGAUUAAAGCCUACGACGUUAGAGUCCUUAUAAUGGUAACCCUACCUUGUUGAUUGGAGAUUCCAAGAUCUUGGUUCAAAGGGACAACUAAAUUUGAGGAUUCCAUGAAGCACUAAGGAAAAUAACUUCCUCACUCAUUCUUAUGAAUAUAAAGUGCUUUUCUGUAGAAUUGGAAGAGGUCAAGAUAAUAUUUUAAUGAUUCCUAUAUCUUGAUUAAGUCAAGUAGAGUAUGGCAGAAUACUCUUAACAGGAAGUCACCUAUAUGAGUGUGAAGUGAAGCUGCUUCGACGAGAAUUAUUCAAGGGUUGAAUUCUCUAAACACUUGUAGAACCAAGAGAGGUUUAGGGCCAAAAUGAACGAAGUCAUGAGAACCAAGAACAGAAUUAGGGAAGAUAUUGUGUGAGUAUUGUUGUCUUGGCUUAGACUAACGAUUGGUCGGUUCAAGACAUCACGUUCACCAACUAGCCAAAUAAGCUAGAUAAAAUUUCACUAGGGAAGGUUCAAAGCCGGAAGCUACCUCCCCCGAUGCAAUGUUCUUCCGCUCUCUCUCUCUCUCUAAAUUUUCAUGUAUUGUGUCGCAUAUCAUUUGCAUACCCGAAUUUCCAUUCAUGUGGGGGAUUGUUGGAAAUUUGUUUCCAAAUUUGAUGAAAACGAAAAUUGGUUAAGUAACAAUUGAAAUUGAAAAGUGUGACUAACAUGUUCGGACUCGAUCCGAUGGUCAAAUUAUGAAAGCAAAUAGGCUAACUUGUUCUACUUGUUGAGUAGAUAAUCGUAGUAUAUUUGGACAUUAGAAAUCAAUUUCGGGUGAAUGAGAAAUUGAGGUUCAAAGUUGGAGGAAGAAAAUGGAAAAUAAAAUAAAAAUUAAAUGGGGCCAGAUAACACUGUCGCUCGAGCUAUAAUCAGGCAAAGAGAGAGCGAAAAAGGCUCUGCUCGAAUUUUUGAAGGGUUGCUCAAGCGAAAAUCUAGCGAAAAUAGAAGGUUGCAUCUAUUCGAAAGAUUGCAUGAUUUGGCCCACACCACUUCAUCCACACCCCUUCUUCCUGUAUAAAAUAGGACCCUUGGAUGUCCCUAAAGAUAUGCCAACUCGUAUUUUGCAUUGAGCACUCUUCUUCUCUUACAAAAUCUCUCCUUCUUUUCUCUUGCAUAAAAUCCCUUUGUAGAGGGAAAAUUCUAUCGGUUUGCCGAUUCUUGUGGUAUAAAGUGCUACUACCCAAGAUUAAACAUCCAUUGUAUCUUGAGAGACAAGUGCCGUCGAUUGUGAGCACCAUAGCGGGCAAUAUUGUCUUAAGGAAAGAGUAGAAACACUUGCCUCAGAUUUGAUCUCUUUUUCUACUCCUUUCUUAUUUCUUUUGUUACUUUAGUUUUGUGGUUGCGUACUACAUUUUCAAAUUCAUAAUUUUGUGUUUUAAUCACGCUCCUGUGGGUUAGACUUUUCUUGAUUUGGUAUAUACACCAACAACCAUCCUAUCGCUCACAAAUAAACCCGAAACCAAAAGAUUAAGCACUGAAGUAUAUAGCUGGUCAACAAUUACAUGUACAAAGUUGAAAUGUUAUCAAUGUACCAUAUAUGUAGAGACUAACACAAACCGAUACCAAUUAACCCUAGAAUAUUGGUUUUCUUGACAAAUUUGCAGGUUAGCGGGUGGAAGAAGACGGAGAAGGGAUAAAGUAAUGAGUUCUAGAAGUUAUGAACUGGAUCUAGAACUACAACCAAAACAUUUGGAGUUGUCUGGUACAAGUUCGUGCCUACCCGUUGUUAAAUGGAUAUCAUAUAUUUAUUUUGAAAAAAAAAAUAAUUAAAUUGGGAUAAUUGGUUGAGUGGUAAUAUGUGAAAUUUAUGUGGGAUUUAGAUUAGAUGGUUCGAAGCAUACUCUACAAGUCUAUUAUUUGACUUGGGUUUCUUAGACUAAAAUAAAUAUUUUUUUAUUUUAAUUAUUUCCAGAUUUACUUCUAUUAUAAACUUGUCAAUAAAAUAAAAACUGUUAGAGGUAGUUAUAUCCAAUAAAUUAAAACAAUUAAAGACCAUUAUUUGGUGAUUUAAAGAGAAUAAUAUAGCCUAGAAUGGCUAGAUUAUUUAACCAAAACAUUUUUGUGUGUUUGUGUAUUUGUUAAGUUAUGUUAUAAUUUUGUUUGAGGACAAACAAAUAUUUAAGUUUGGGAGUAUUUGAUAAGUAUAUUUUAUACACUUAUUUGGACCUAAAAAUAGAGAUAUUUAAUAGUUCUUUUAAGUAAUUAUAGCAUAAUUUAUUGUAUAUUUCAUUUAUAAGAAAGACUCAAUGAUUGAAUGCGGAAUUGAAAGAAAGUAGCGAAAAAUGACGAAGUACAAAUGUUGAGGACCAAAUUGCAAAUUUCCAAAGGUUGAUUUGGAACUUGACUUUGAAGAUUACUAGGAGUCAAUUGAAUAAAAUUAGAAUUCAAAAAGGGAUGGAAUAUGAUCAAAAUAUUAUGAUAAAUCGAUUUCUAAUUGUACAAGUUAUAUUCUAGAUUUUUAGUCAAAGAUUGAGACCCAUUUUUGACAUAGUAAAUGUUCGAAUUUGAAAAUUUAUAUUUCAAGAGAAGUUGAGCCCUUUGCGUUAUCUUUCCAAUGCACUUUGAAUUGCUUCAAUUGAAUACAAGGAAAGAGACUUAUGAUUAAAAUACUGAGUACUGUGCAGAGACAAAAACAUGCACGCACGAAGAUAACCUUCUUUAUUCGAUUGAAACUCUUUUGAAAAUCAAUUUAGACAUGAUUUUAACCAAUUUUCAACUCCUGCAAAUACCUAUCAACAAAAUACAUAUUAGACACAUCUUAUAUACAUAUUAUACUCCAAUUUUCAUCAAUUAUUAUUAUCAAAUGAGGAAAAUUCAUAGAUUUUUAUGAGAGGAUAUAAGGGGACUUACAAGAAUUCAAUCAAGUGAAGAUUCAAACUUGAUCCUUGGACAAAGAAUAGAAAUCGUAAGUGGAAAUUCAUUAAGAAACCAUUAAAGAGAUUCAAUAUUUCAAGAUCCAUUUCCGUCUUUUCAAUUUAUCAAAAAUUCGGGUUAUAUUUUUCCACUUAUAUAUGAUUUCUUGUAAUUUCGAUAUGUUAGGCUAGUUUUACACAUUGUUAGGAUGAGAUAAACCAUUUGAUAAUUUUUAGUUUUUAAUUAAUUAUUUUGACUUUAAUUUGGUUUGAAUUAUGGAUGUUUAUUAUAGUUUUUAUCAUUAUUUUCAAUUGCUUGAUCAUCAAUUGAAUUAUUAGUGAAUUUUAUUGUAAUCGCGAGAGACAUUAGGAUUUAAGCAUAAUAUAAUAAACAUUGUAAGGUUCGAUAAACGACAGAGAUAUAUUUCUAUACUUUAUAUGAUUCCAAUAGGUGUUCUAACACUUGUUAAUGAUUUAUCAUAUUUGCAUUUUUCAUCGAGAGAUAGAAAAGCCGCAUGAGGAGAAUAGAACUGAUCGUUAUCGAGAGAGACUUUCAGUUAAAUUAGGAACAUUGAUCAACAUGAACGAUUUCAAAUUGUUACACUAAAAAUGGAAUAACAAGGGGAUUCGAUAACUUAGCAAUGCAUAUCACAUAUUUGAAAAACACAUCUACUCGCUUUCACUAGUUAAACUGAUAAGUUAGGGAUUAUUAUAGACAAAUUGCAAAAUCUUUUUGCUAUUCGAUUAAAAUUGCAAUUAAUUUUAACUCGAUCAAAUACAUAGUCCUUAUGAGUUCGACACUUCAUUCACUACUUUAUUAUUUGUUCACGAUCUCGUUCACUUGCAGGAAAUCAAAAGGGUCAAUCAUUAUUUUUCUAAUGCUCUCAUGGUGGGUCUUAUACUUAUUCAAGAAGGAGCUGCUAAAGGCACUGAUAUUCAUUUGGUUCUUGCAUUUUGUUUUAUUUCUCCAUUUUUUUUUUCCAAUUUUCCAGUCUCACUGUAUUGAUAAAUGUUUUAAUUAAACUAAUGCUUCUCCGUGUUACCUAAUCUACUUUAAAAUUUUUUUGAUCCACUUAUUCUUUUUUUUUUUUUCCUUUUUUAAUGCUUGUAUUGGAGUUUAAAUCUUGUAUUUUGUCUUCCAAUUUUCCUAAUUAUGUUUAAUUAUUUCUUAAUUGUAUUUAAUUUUAUUCUAAGUCAAAGUCAAUAAUUAGGUCACAUAUUUCAUAAGACCCACAACUUUUUAAUCACACAUUCCAUCCAAUUCUAUCAAAACUACUAAAAAUCUAAUUUUUAAUCUCUAUUAAAUAGGGGCUUAGUAUUUAUAAAACUCUGAUUCAAACCUCGCUUUAUAAAAUUUAAUUCAUUGCUUAUAAAAAUACUUGCCUUGUGCUAUGAGUCUAAAACAAAUCCUUGGCCUGUAAAAUACUUGGCUUGUGGCUUCAAAAAAAUAAAAAAAGAGAAAGAAAGAAACCAAAUCCUAAUUCAAUUAGGCAAGUAUUUUAUGAUCCACAAGGCAAGUAUUUUAAUUAGGAUUCAGUUUUCAAGCAGCUUCCCAAACUCUCUAACUUAUGGCGUGUUUUCUUUUUUCUUAAUUAUAUUAACGUUCAAUUCGACUUCAAAUGACUUUUAACUAUUGAAAUUUAAAUCAAACUAUUUUUAAACGGUUUGGUUGAUUUAGAAACCUAAACAUUGAUGUCAAGAAAAUAUAUUAGAGACUCGAUUGCUAAUAAGGCUAUAUAUUGAAGACAAAUACUGCAAUUUCCUCCCAAAAAAAGAAAAAGAAAAAAGAAUAACAAUUUAGGACUUCAGCUAUAAAUUCAUUGACUUCGUUUGGUCUUGAGGUAACACUUUCUAUGCAAAAGCGUGUGUAAUGCUGGUUGUAUGUCCUGCAUCACAGAUUGCAUGAUAGAAUGUGCAGUAUCACCCGAGCCUGCACAUAAUAAUCAACAUUCACAUUUCUAUAUAUGAUCAAGCACUGAAGUAUAGCUGGUCAGCAGUUACUUGUACAAAGUUGAAAUGUUAUCAAAUAUACCAUAUAUGUAGAAACUAACACAAACUGAUACCAAUUAACAGUAGAAUAUUGGUAUUGUUGAUAAAUUUCCAGGUCAGCAGGUGGAAGAAGACGAAUGAGGGAUAAAGCAAUGAGUUUUAGAAGUUAUGAACUGGAUUCAGAACUAGAUCCAGAACAGGCAAGGGUUGAACGGCCGGAGUUGUUUGGUACAAGUUCGUGCCUACCCUUUGAUACUCGUAUCUAUAAACAAGCCACUUUUAAAUAUAUAUCGUGUAUUUAAUUUUAAAAAAAUAACUAAAUUGGGAUAAUUGGUUGAUUGAUAAAAUGUGAAAUUUAUGUGGGAUUUAGAUUAGACGGUUCAAACCAUACUCUACAAAUCUAUUAUUUGACUUGGGAUUCUUUAACUAAAAUAAAUAUUCUAUUAUUUUAAUUAUUUCUAGAUCUAUUUCUAUUAUAAACUUGUAAGUAAAAUAAAAACUGUUAUAGGUAGUUAUAUCCAAUAAAAUAAAUUUGUUAGAGACCGUUAUUGGGUGAUUUAAAGAGAAUAAUAUAGCCUACAUUUUUUUAAUUUUAUUAGUUUCGAAUUAUUAUUGUAAGUUAAUUUUUGUGGGCUAAAUAUACGACUCAUUUUCUUGAAAAUUAUACAGAAAUGAUCUUAUGCACUUUAUAAAAAAAGUCAGUUUAUAAAUUAUAAUUAUUUUUGUUGAGAUAUAAAGACGGGCAAUUUUAUUUUACAAUUUUGCUUUAUGCACAUCCUGGUUUAAACCUUGGCUUAUUGAAUUACACUUGAUACAAUCUCAUAUCAUCUUUCACAUCUCACAUAUUUAAUUCAAUUAUUAUAACACUUCCAUGUCUCAAAUAAGAUCUGCAAAUAGCUUAAUCUUUUAUUUUAAGACAGAGUCUUGCUCAUUCAAUAAGUCUUCUUACUUUUGACAUUUUAAUUGUUGAACUGAAAGGGUAAGUUUGAUUAAUUUUUCUACAGCCACAACAUCAGAUGUUGUCGAGGCACCAGUCGUUGAGCUUCCAAGCAUGCAUAGCCAAGUUGAAGUCAAAGUUGAAAAUCCAAUCUCCUAUGCCAAUGCUCUGCAACGUAAGUUUCUGAUUUUCUUUUAUUUUACAAGUUCUAUAGUUGAUCGAAUAUAGGAUAAGUGUAUACUUUAUACAGUGAGAACUCUGUAGUGGGUGGCAAGACAUAACGCAUAAGUGUGCCUAUGUUAUUUAUGUAGACAGCCACGUUAAACAAAUACAAAUUAUAAGAUUUUCCAUUUGGGACUUUAGAUAUGACAUCGAGGCCAAGUGAUGGAUUAACCGUCUAUCAAGAGUUUUCAUUUUCGUUCUUUCCCUACUUGGAAAGUAUCCAAAAAUCUUCCUUACCCUCUUUGUUGUCAUUUGAACAAAUUACAAAAGUAAUGAUGUUGAUGUGCUAGUAAAUAUUAAGGAUUGAUUUUGUGAGUGGAUUUGGUUUAAUAUGUGGAGCAUCUUCCACAUAUCUGAUAACAUCAUCAGGGGUAGAAAGGGAGAUCAACUGAGGCUUCGUUUACUAUUAUAUAAAGCUGCUUUAAGAGGAGAUUGGAAGGGUGCUGAAGCUGCUCUGAUAUAGGACGAAAGUGCAGGUUCUCUGGAGAUAGAAGAAGGUGGAGAAAAGCCUCUUCAUAUAGCUGCUCUCGCCAAGCAAACUGCAUUUGUCCACAAGCUAGUCGAAUGCCUGAACAAAGGAGACCUGGAAUUGCCGAAUAAUGAGGGACAAACAGCUUUUGUUUUUUUGCAGCUAUAUCAGGGGUUGUAGAAAUUGCCAAGGUACCAAAAAACUAAUGCUCUGCCAACAAUUCGAGACUUAAACUAUUGAGCCCAAUUGAAUUGGCAACUUGGAUGGCAAACAAAAAAAUGGUUGAAUAUUUUUACAAAAUUACACCUCUUCAAAAUUUCAAGGCCGAGGAGCGCAUGAACAUUCUUGUUGCAACAAUAUACAGUGGCAUGUAUGGUACGGAAUCUCUGUUCACGACUUUGGACAAGAUGACAAUGAAAAUUAUGUUUACAAUAGUUGCAAAUUUGCUUUUCUUAUGUGCAGAUAUCGCAUUAAACAUAUUGAAAGCAGAUAGAAGUAUAGUUACUUCUCCAAACGUGGACAAAGGAAGGGCUCUGCAUGCUUUAGCUCGAAAACCUUUUUCAUACUAUGGUACAAGUCAAGAAUGGAUAUGUGAAAGUCUCGCUAGAUUCGUCCCUUAUGUUCCAUGUAAGUUUAUUCUAUUUCAUUAUUAACUUUCAACUGACAACAAAUUAAAAACUUAGCUUAAUUUACCCGAAAAUUUCUAGUUGAUAGUAGACAUAUAUGUAUCCGAUGGGACCGGGUGGAAACAAAACGCAAGAAUUGAGAUUUAAUGGACAUCAAUUUGAAGGUUAAAUACAAGAUCGCAAAAAUACCAUGAACAAGAUUAAAGUAAAGAAAUAAACUGGUAGAGGAACGAUGUUAUUUUAUUCCAUCAAUGAAAGGAGAGAAUUACAACAAUUGGUUUCAACAAUACUGAAAGAGGAGACUCAUAUAUAUAUAUAUGCCAUGAGUUUACACCUAAAAAAGUCCCUAAAAGGUAGAAAAUUUAGCAAAAUUAGGUCAAGGCACGUAAAUUGAGAUGGGAUUCUUCUUUCCUUUUCCAAAUCUGAUUCCUUGGAUACAAAUUGAUUCUUUCCAAGUGAAAUACGCAUCUUCCAUGACUUCUUACCCAAUUGAGAGUCACAAAUCUAACAAUCUCCACCUUGACUCGAAAUUCCGGUGCAACGAACGAAACUCCAAAAUUUCUCCACCUUGAGAAAUAAGUCCGACUACAUCAGAAUAACCAAGCUCCUCAACACAGUAACCAAACUCUCCACGAAAAUAUAUUUCUCCGCCCGGCAUCCACACGCGACACCCAAACCCAAACCCGGGUUUCCAAAAUUCCUCCUCGAAUUAAUAAUCACUGGACAGGGUCGAAGGACACACUGUAGCAGAAAUCACACCAAAUGCACAUUCAAAAGGUCCCUUGCCAAUAUUGUCACCUUCAAUGAUUUCUAAAGCAUACAGACAUCUCCAAAAUUGUACAUACGCUCCAAGAGUCCAUUGGCAUUACAAGAAUACAGUGUACCCGCUAAAAUUGGUGGCAAAGCGGAAUCGCUAACACUCCCUUGAGCAAAGUUCUUAACUGACCCAGAGCCAAACCCGAGAGGUACUGUACCAAAUUGAAUAUCCUCCACGGUACUGAACUUGUCCAAAUGUCUUUGAACUGGUUCUGCACUCCCCUGCAAGAUGUAUAAUUGGGAUUUCCUCCGUCCCUCCAGUACAACCUGGACACCCCUUCGAACCUUCAAGACUCCACCUCCACCAGAAAAUUUGUACCCUUUUUCAUCCAAGGUACUCAGUGAUAUGAGGUUCUUUGUCAAGUUUGGAACAUGGCGAACCUAAUCAAGUGUCCUCACUGUUCCAUCAUGUAGCCUCAAUCUGACCCGACCGAUUCCUGCAACCCGGCAAGAUUGGUUGUUUCCCAUGACAACUCCACCUUGCUUCACCGUCUCAUAUGUUUGAAACAAAGUCCUAUUGGGACACAUAUGAUACGAACAAGCACAAUCUAGAAUCCACUCCUCAGGUUUGGAUUAUCCGUCAGAUACAGCCAACACACAUCUUCAUCAUCACAAAAAUUUUCAGCAAUAUUAGUCUCGUUCGAAUUACCUGAUUGCCCUGCAUGAUUUGCAUGUAAAUCACCUUUACCCUACAACUUGUCACAAUCUUUCUUGAUGUGUCCUUUCCUCUUGCAGUAAUAACAAUACACAUUGUUGUACCUCGCCUUCGAUCUACCCUUCUGUCGAUCACCAUGAGUAACAAGAGCAUCCCCUCUCCUAGAUGUAGGAUCUCCAACCAACAGCUCCAUCUUCUCCUUUGAGAGCAGGGCGUCGUAUACCUCCUCAAUAGAUAACGUGUCACGACUAUACAGAAUAGUAUCACAAAACGACAAAAAAGAAUUAGGUAGCAAACACAACAGGACCAAGGCUAGAUCCUCUUCAUCAUAUUUUACUUCCAAUAUCUCCAAAUCUGCAACGAUCUCCUUGAACACAGCAGUGUGGUCCUGCAGUAACCCUCUUUCUGCCAUGCGAUGAGAAUACAACCUCUGCUUUAGAGCCAGUUUGCUCGUCAAACUCUUUGUCAUGCACAACUGCUCCAACUUGAGUCACAAAGCAGCCAUUGUCUUCUCCUUCAAAACAUCUUGCAGCAAAUUGUUGGAUAAAUGAAGUUGGAUUUGUGCUAAAGCCUUCUGAUCCUUUGGUUGUUUCUCCUCCAUAGACAAGUUUGUUGGCAUCCUAUCAAAACCCAGCAAAGCAUCGUCAAGAUCCAUCUGCGUCAACACAGCUCUCACCUUUACUUGCCACAGCGAAAGUCUUGUAUUGCAAUCCAAUAGCGGAAUUUCAUACUUCAACGAAUUCAUCCUUGAAAAAUCUCAACCAAAUCACAAAGAACUUGCAACACCCAAAACUAAAAACUUCCGAACGUACAAGGAGGCAAAAUAGUCCAGAACCACAAUUUUGCACAAAACUGAAAUUGGACACCACCACAAGGUCUGUCUCGUCGUCUGGAGAAAACUGUCUGAAGACACCGUCGUCGAAAACCACCGUAUGCGCCGCCACCUGCUCGUCGGAGUUCCCAUUGUCGGCGACCGGCCUGAAACGCGUCAGCGACCUGUGACCCUUUUUGGAUCGUUUCUGUCUGCUGAGUCUACUUGUGGUGUUCGUUUCUCCAAACUCUUUUUGGUUUGACCAGAAAAAAUAAAAAAUAGAUCCGGUAGAAAAUCAAAAAACUGGACAGAUUCGUUUUCUGAUUUUCUAGUAAUUUUUAGACCAAUUUUCGAUCAGUUUAAGGCUAGAAAUCCACCAAUAACCCCGCUCUGGUACCACUUGUUGGGACCAGGUGGAAACAAAAUGUAAGAAUUGAGAUUUAAUGGACACCAAUUUGAAGUAUAAAUACAAGAUCACAAAAAUACCAUGAACAAGAUUAAAGUAAAGAAAUAAACUGGUAGAGGAAGGAUGUUAUUUUAUUCCAUUAAUGAAAGGAUAGAAUUACAACAAUUGACUUCAAAAAUACUAAAAGAGGAGACUCAUAUAUAUAUGCCAUGAGUUUACACCUAAAAAAGUCCCUAAAAGGUAGAAAAUCUAGUAAAAUUAGGCCAAGGCACAUAAAUUGAGAUGGGAUUCUUGUUUCCUUUUCCAAAUCUGAUUCCUUGGAUACAAAUUGAUUCUUUCCAAGUGAAAUAGGCAUCUUCCAUGACUUCUUACCCAAUUGAGAGUCACGAACCUAACAGUAUCUACACCUUUAAACUCAUUGCAAUUUGGAUUCACAUGCACGUAUGCUACUCUGUCCGCUUCGAAAUAUUAAUUGAACUUUUUUUAUGCACGGUGUUUAAAUUGAAACUUUCAAGCUUUACUUUUCACAUUUAUGCCCUUCUUAGUGUUUCUGUUUUGUUUUAUUGACUUAAUCACAAAAUUAUCAGAAUAUAGAUUAUUCUAUUUUUCAAAGUAACUCCUAGCUAUUAGUUUAAAGUCUAGGCUUUAUGUGUGGAUGAUCGACAUAUAGAUUUUUUCUUAGAUUAUUUCCAUAAUUAUUUAUUUAUUUAUUUAUUUUGAAUUUUCAGCUCUGUAGUUAACAUGAACUUUAGAAAUAAUUUAGUAAAAAAUUGUAGAUUUCAAAAGGAUAUAUGGUUCAAUUGAAAAGUGGAGACAAGCCGGUCAGUUGGUAGAGAAGCUCUGGGACCAAAUUUUGACUUUUGAGGGCUUGAAAAUUACAAACAAUUUUUUGCCAGAUUCCUAUAAUUAACGAUGCUGCAAAAAUGGGAAUGUGGAGUUUUUGACUCUGCUUAUCAUCUCAUAUCCUGAUCUUAUAGACGCCCAAAAUAAUAACUCCAUAUUUCAUCUUACUAUCACUCCCUUACAAGAGAAAGUCUUUUGUCUCAUUGAUCACACAGGAGCUAUUAAAGAUUUAUUGAUGAUCUUUAGAGAUAAAUCCGGAAACAACAUUUUGCACUUGGCUACAAAAUUAGCACCUUCAAACAGACUCGAUAGUGUAUCUGGAGCAGCUCUUCAAAAGCAGAGAGAGCUAUUGUGGUUUAAGGUGAGAAAUUAACAAGACUACCAAAUUCCCUUUCCUUUUUCCCCUCAAAGAGAAGAGGAACACUUUAUAAAAUGAAGGUGAAUUGUAUCAUCUCUUGUUUAUCUUGAAUAUAUUUGUGGAUAUUAUAUAUAUCCAUGUCACUAUUCUACGUAAAAAAAAAUUAAUUCCCCAUGUAACAAUUAAAUUUUGGAUGAUUAUGCAAUACACAUUAAUUUGAGUAAGCCUUACAGGAAGUGGAGAAGAUUUUAUUGCCUUUCAAUGUUCAGAUGAAAAACAUUGAUGACAAAACACCUAAGGAGUUGUUUACGAAGCAGCAUAAGAAGUUAUGGGAAGCUGGUGAGAAGUGGAUGAAGGACACGGCAACCUCUAGCAUGGUUGUGGCAACCUUAAUUGCCACUGUUGUGUUUGCUGUAGCCUUUACUAUACCAGGUGGGAAUAAGGAAGAAACAAGCGCUCCAAUUUUCUUGAGCAACGGGUGGUUCACAAUUUUUAUUACAUCUGAUGCAGUGGCAAUGUUUAGCUCAACAGUUUCCAUAAUGAAGUUCUUUACACUCUUUGCUUCAAUCGUUUGCAUGGUUUUAACAUUUAGUAUAACUUCUUUUUGAUCCAUAAGGAAGAAAACCUAGGGAUAUUGCCAAAAAUUGUUGUUGGUCUUGCUUUUCUUCCAAUCACUUUAUAUGCAAUGUUAAAUUUUAGGUUAUGGAUUUCCCUAAUCCACUCAACAAUCUGAGCGUCAAGGUUUAUGUUUUGACCGGGUAAGCACAGGUUUUUGUAGUAAAAGGAUCUACAAUACUAGUUCUUGUAUUUGUUGCUGUUACUAAGAAAAGUGGAGAAGCUUUGUUGUUACUUUGUUUUAUUUCUAAUAAAAUGCUUUGUUUUAAGCCUUUGUUUCUUCUAGUUAUUACUUUGUUGUUGUUGUGUUUUCUAAUAAAAGGCUUUGUUUUUCGAGUGCGAGAGAAGUGGAGAAGCUUUCUAUUUUUUAUUGAUUUGUCUUUGCUAUUCUUCAAUGUAUAUUUAUACAUAAAUAUUGCAACUAUCAUUCCGACACAAAUUAAAUCAAGUAGAGAAGUCCACGAUAAACAUCAGAAUUCUCAUGCCUCAACAAAGAUUUGUUUCUCUUUUCCACAAUUUAGACCACUUGGUUUGUACCUGAAGCAAUAGUAUUCAAAUAUUAGAUUAUAGCCUCAUGGAUGAUGAUGAAUUCAAGUACCUAAUUUACAUGAAAAAUGUCAAGCUGGAUAGUCCACAAAUGUUUCCUUGGAGUCACUUGCGUGCCUUUAUUACUCCGUUCACUUCAAAAAAAAUAUGGUUGCUUUUUGGGAAUUGAGAUUUUUAUGCAUUAUGUGCAGAUCAUGUCCUUUGAUAUUUAGUCAUGGAUAUCAUAUAGUUAGAAAACAGUCUAUAUAUAUGCAUUAAUCCUUUGGAUAGGGAGUUUUAAAUACCUUAAAUUGAAUCAAUGAUAAUAAUAGUUCUUAAUUGAACUGAUCCAUGGAGAAUGUACUUGUGCUUCUUGUAAGAGUAAUUUUAGUCUUUCCUUUGGUUUUUCCUUUGUAUCUAUACUUGUAUAUGGGUUCUCAUUAUCCCCACCUAAUAUUAAUGGCUACUCGAUAUAAAUUUGGACUAGCAUCUUCAGAACUUCCUAGGAAAUGCUAGUUUGCAUGGUUGGGCUUAUGUGAAGACAUUAUGGCUACAUAUAUUGUGUUGUUAUUUCGUAUUUUCUGCAUCAAACAAAUAGUGUCAAGAUUUUGUUAAUGUAAUGAAUAGCCAAACGUCGUCACAGAACACAUUCUGUGACUCAUAUAGAGUGACAAUACUCGCAACAAAUAUAUUGUCGUCGGAAAAUUACCUUUGCAACAAAAUCUCAAUUUUUGCGACAACAUUUUUUUGUUGCGAAAUGAUUUAUUUUUUGUAGUGCCUCUCUACCAUGUAGCUACAGCAGUAAGGUGACAUGUUCGUCUUGAGUCUUUUACUGUACAAGGGUUUUUGGAUGACUAUAAGUUCGAAAAUAUUUCUAGCAAUGUACGAGUUACUAGGCGUGCACGGGGACAAUGGAGCUGAACUUAAGGACACUUGCUCAUUGCUUAGUUCAUGUUCUGGUUUACUAUAUUAGACUCUGUUUUAAAUAAUAGAUGAGGUUAAUAUUUUGCAAGUAUAUACAAGGGCUGGCCGUAGUAAGAACAAUCAGCCUUGUGAAACAAACAUGUCUUUCCUUCAUUAACAACCAUAAAACGACCUCCAUUUCAUAUAGAUCCACGGAAACAAAAGCAAUAUAGACACUGUCAAUGUCAUAAAUGGUGUAAAGUGGAAUUAGAAGGAUAUGGCACAAAUUUUGCCCCUCUUUAUAAUUUCAGAACAGCCAUAUUUGACGAGUAUGCAUAGGGUAUAAGAAUGUAGUGCCUUAUUUGAAUAGGGAAUUAAAAUGGUUGCUGCAACUCAAAUGUAGCCGCUGUAAAUGCCAGAGAAUGCUGAUAGUAAAACUUCUGCUUGUAUCUUAAGUUUCUUUCCUAUUUUUGAGAGCCACAAUCAUUUUUAAGUGAAGUCCCUAUCGCUCGAUUCAACUUCCUACCAAGUACACAUUAAGAAUCUUCAUCAUCAUUGCUCUAAAGAGAGGUAAAGAUGGCCACAUCUCAGUGGCUCAGUCACUUUGGUAAGUCAUAAAUCCUUGAAAUAAUUGUAGUUGCGGGUGUUCACGAAAUAAUUCUUUCGAUUUAAAACUACCGCAAGUGUACGGUUCGUAACAAGUAAUAAAGUGGAUUUUAAAAAGUCCGAAUAUCGUCCCUCAGAGAUUGAGUAGUUCAAUUCUAUAUAAUCUAGCCUUAACCGAAUCUAAUUGAGUGAAAAUAUGGUAUAAAUGCAAAAAGCCCUAAUUUCAAUUAAGAAACCCUAAUUUCAACUAAAAACCCUAAUUUCUAUUGAAACCCCUAAUUUCUCAAUUAGAAACCCUAAUUUCUCAAUUUCUCUAAUUAAAUGACUUAAAUACUCAAGUAAAUGAAAUUAUGCAAAUUCAAAUGCUAAUUUAUGGAAAUUAAUCAAACUAAAGUCACUAGGAUCACGAAUCCCCAAUUGAAGUUAUAAAAACCCUAAUUUCAUAAAAUUAAUGAUUCGAUGAAAAUUCGCCAAUUCAAUGUUCCUAAUUCUAUCCAAUAUACUCUCUCGAUACAUAUUAGACCUAUUCUUGCACACCACCAGCCUAUAUCUCUAUGGAUGAUGCAAACAUACAAGAAUGCAUGUAGUUUUGUGAACAAUUUAAGAAUUACAUAAAGCAUAGGGGUAUAUCUCUAUCCCCUAUCGGACCCUAUGUUAAUUUACACCUUAUCGAACAUAUUCCACUUCUCUCGAAUGUAAGAAACAAGUCAUCAAUACUCACACAAUCAUUGGCCACUAAUUGCGGAAGAAAAUUAAUGCAUGUAAAUCAAUCAAAUUAUCCAACAAAUCUUUAUAUUAAGUUCAUGAAAUAUAGAAUUAAAUAACAAACAACGGUUCAUCGAUCACCUAGUAAUUGAAAACCUAGCCUAGAAGAUUCAUAAUUACAGAAAACAAAAUGAAAUUAAUGAAUAGAAAGAAUAACACCCGUAUGAAAGUUCUUGAAAUCUGAAAUCUUGAACAAAACCUUGAAAACCCCUUUGAAUCCUUGUGAAAUCCGCUUCAAGUUCGUGUUCUUUGCCUCCAAAAGUUGUAUUCUUCUUCUCCCUGGACGUUCUACCCUAAUUUUGAUGAAUUUUGGCUUUUAUAUCAUGUCAUUACAGAGCCCCAAAAGAGUUUCAAUUAAAAACGGAAAGUUAGAUUUUUUUUCAAAAUUAAGGCCAUGCGGCCGCAUGGUUCAAUUUUUCUCCUCAGUGAAAACCUUGCACCACCAUGUGGGGCCGCGUGGUGUUAUUGCAUGCGGCCGCAAGGUUGUAAAAGUUACAACCUUGUCAUUUUGGCCCCUGAACUCUGUUUUCUCUUUUCUUGAUCUCUUUUCUUUCUUUCCUUUGUUCCAUUAUCACAUAUUGACCCCUAAUUGAUGUUUUGAUUAAUUGCAAUUUAGUCCUUCAUCUUUCACUUUUCUUCAAUUCAGUCCAAUGUUACUUCUUUCUUCCUCCAAUCGUCUUGUAUCGUCCUUAAUCUCAUACUUGGUGUAUUUUCAUUCUAAUUCUGCACUUUAGCUCAACUUUUCAAUAUUUGCACCUUUGGUCCCCGAACUAUCGCUUUGUUCCGUUUUGGUCCUUUUUCGGCUCUUUUCUUCUGAAUUCCAUCUUUUCCAUAGAAACACCUACAUUGCAUGAAUUUAACAAGAUUAAGUCACAAUUCAACUACUUUGUCCAUAUUUAAGUCAUGUUUGUGAGUUAAAUAAGUGUUUAAAACACUUAUCAAAUCCCCUAAACUUAAACUAUUGUUUAUCCUCAAACAAUGUAGUGACUUAAUGCUAAACAAAUAUGGCUUAAUAGCUUGCCAUGUCUCAGGAUUGGACUUAGUAAUAAUAAUAGAAACAAUAUCAAGAGUGCGAGAAUUGAAUCAACCUUUACUCAUCAAAUGCAAUACUCAACGUGUAUGUGUGAACUCAUGCCAACAUAUCAAGCUUAUGAUUAGUUUAUCCCAGACCCAUAGUGGUCAAAUUUAUCCUUACAUCACUCGAGAGAUACACAAUCCCCAAAUGUAUUCUUUUCACACAAUUUCUCCGUGGUGUAUUCUAAGGUUAGGAGUUUAAACAAUUCUAAUCCUUACCCUCUCUUAGUUUGGAUAGAUUUUACCAUUACAAGUUCACAUAUCAACAAGUAGAGACUCUCCUUAUUUUUGAUUGCUUCAACCUUUAGGAUUAAUUAAAGCUUUCACCUAUUUCUCACCUUCCGGGUUUAAACAAUCCACACAUUUUAAUUUCAUGCACGGAGCCCCCACUUAUCUCCAUGUUUUCCUACAAUGGCUCAAUCAUCUCCAAACUACCUUAAAGUGAUAUUACGGGUUAAUGUUAUAGAGGAUUAUUCUAGGUUUCUCCUAAUUUAUUCUAAAAAUUCCAAUCAAUAGCUUAACACGUGACAUGAGUGGCGUGCAAAAGAGUGGCAAGCAAUGCAUCAACAAGUAUUAGCAAAUUACAUUCUGCACUAAAUCCACAGUUUCUAGCUUAUACAUGUCCAAUAAUCACAUCAUAGCCGGCAAGGCUACCAAACCCACACAAGCAUGCAAACGUUCAUAAAGAUUCACUCAUCAAGCAUGCAUCAUGCAAAAACUUGUCAAAAUUAACGAUGGAUUGUGAAUAUGCAAAAUAAUUACAUGCCGGAUAUUUGUUUGAAAUUAUGCUACCAUCCCCCAAACUUAUACAAUACAUUGUCCUCAAUGUAAAAUGUAAAGUUAAAAUGGCAGAAUUUAAAACAUGGACACAACUUGGCAAUAAGAGAUUAACAAAACUCCCCUGAUCAAUGCGGUGGCUGUGGUGUGAAGCUGGGACCUGCAGCAUCAUCUUCAGGAGGAGGUGGGAGGCGAGAUAGGACUUGUCUCAGCAACUCGGACUGCUGUGCUUGCUCGACCUGAAUGGCUUGAAGACUACUUUCCAUAUUUCCCAAGAGAUCCCAAGUCUCGUUCACACGCCACUGUAUACCAUCCAUUCUCCCAGCGUACAUGUUCAACCUACCAUUCAUAGUCUCUACUUCCCUUCUCGCAGAUGUGGCUGCAUUCAAAGCACCUCUUGUGUAGUCUCGGGAGGAGUAGAGGUCUCUCUGUACUUUUUCAACAGUGGUGGUCAUUGUCUCGAACCUCUGCUGGAGGUUUUGUAUGUCUCUGCUAGUUCCAGUGGCUGUGGGAAAUAUUUGUCGAAGUAGCUGCGAAUCCAUCUCAACUGGUUGUGGCGGGGCUUGUGGUAAGUGUAAAUCUUCAGCAGCUUGUCCUUCUUCCUGCGCAUUUUGUCUUUGCUGCUCAAGUCUUUCUUGUUCUCUCUUCCUUACCCUAGCUCGUUCCUGAGCUUCAAAUGUGGUGAGCUUUAUCAAUGGUUUUGAUUUCUCAGGCAUCUUCCUUGCCUCAACUGUAACACCGGCAGCAAGACAUAUCCCGCUAAUCAGACUAGGGAAAAUCAUCGAAAACCGCCUAUCUCCCCAGGUUCCCAAAUUGUGUAUCUGGUCAAAAAUAAGAGUAGCCAAAUCAACUUUGCAUCCCCGGACUAAAUGAUAUAUGAACCAAGCAGUUUGAUCCCUGAAAGUUGUCUGAUGUGAUGUGGGUUCGAUGUUAUAGCACAUGAAGACCCAAAGGAUGGCUAUGGAGGGAGUAAGCUCAAUUUGAUGCCACUCUGCAGUGGGUAGGGGCCAAGCAUUCUCUCUUCCCAAGAGAACCUCCACCACUUCAUUCCAGUUGAAUUGAGAGGGAAUCGGGACCACAUUGUCCAAAUUAAGAUUGUAGAAGUCAUGAAUGACGACUGGGGAGAACAUUAUCCACUUACCUCGCACCCAUGUCUGGUGUAAGUGUUCAGAACCCGAAGUCUCAAUUUCACUAUUGAAGUUUGCAUAAAAUUCUCGGACUAAACUUUCAUAAACUGGGUGUGGCUUUUCUACAAUCUUCUCCCAUCCACAAAUUUGCAUCAGAUUUGGCAACUCAAAACCACGAAAAUCAUCUAACCGGACCUGUCUCUCUGGUAUCAAGCCCCAAUGGCGUAUUAUGUUCUCAUAUCGAGCUAAUGUUUCGGCAUCACGGAAUCUUCGCACACCUCCUACUAGCUCUCUGGUGCGGGUUGUGCCGGAGGAGGAACCAACUUUUUCUUUACCUUUUGAUGUUCUCUUCGGCAGCAUCCUGCACAAAUAAGGAACGAAGUGUAUCAAGUUCGUAAAAUAAGGAAACGAUGAAGAAUAUCAAUGUCAAGCACAAAUCCCCCAAACUUUCUUCAAAAUAUGUGCAAUAUUCAACGCAUGGAAGUCAAUGUAACAUCAAUAUUGCAUUAAUGAGAAAAACACAAAAUUAUGACUCUAACAUGCAUUUUUUUGAAAAUUCGACCCAUGAUCAAGUGACCAACUUCAGCCCCGAGCAUCAUCGAGAAAUAUUAAAAUUUCCCCGGACAAGGUCCGGGCAUAUGAAAGUACUCAUUGUGGUCUAGCAUAUAUCCAAAUUUCACUACAAUCGGAGGUCGUUUGGUUAGGGAAAUUCAUGGACGAAGUUAGUGACGAGGGUUGACAUGACUUAGCAAUUGAUGUGGUUUUGUGCACAUAUAUGUGAGGCUAACAUUUUCCAAUGAAAUUCCAAGAGAUUUCUCGACUAGUACGCCUCACAUUAACAAUGUAAAUCAUAACACAAAUGAAAAGUUCGAAAUUGAGAAUCAUAUGCCUCAUUGACAUUUAAUCAAACACGUUGUGUGCAUUGGAAAUUUCCUUCACUUUGUGUUUGAGUUACACUUAGGGCUAGUCCAAAAAUCACAAUCUAAUCACAAUUCACCAAUUACUCAAUUCGAAAAUGUAAAGAAAUCAAAGAAGAAUUUUAAACUUUGCAUAGAAAUUCAAUUUCUUACCUUGAGAUCUUUGUGAAAGGAAAGUAAAAGUUUUGCUCCAAAAUUCUUGAUAAUGUAUGCCAAUGUUGGGAUUAAUUUGGGGUUAGGGUGAAGAUGUGCAAGAGUGGUGGUGAUUGAUGUUGUGAGUGAAAGUGGAUUUGGGAGGGGGAAAUCGUGUGGGAGUGAUAUUGGGGGGGGGAUGGGUUGGUUUAGCAAGUGACGGGUUUAAAACCCGUCACUUUUACUCCAUGCGGCCACAUGGUGUAAUUGGUUUUCCCCAAUUGAGCUUCGGUUGGGGUCCAUGCGACCAUGCGGCCGCAUGGACAAAACCCCAAUUUUUUUUUUUUAUAAAAAAACAAACUUAUAAUUUUAACCCCCAACACACCAUGAAUUUUAAAAAUCCCCCUACAUUGGUUCUCAAAUUCAAAAUUGACUCGACUCUAUAUAUUCCAAUUUUUUUUUUUUUUUGAAAAACAUGAAAAAUAAAACGAACGAUUUUAAAUCCUGAAAUUCUUUACUUCACACUCAAACACCCAAAACAUUUUCUUUAACACCGACUCAUGCAACUAUGAACGUGUGGUGCCUAGACUAUCAUGUGUGAUUGAUCGAUGACCUAAUAAAUAUACGAAAUGUAAACAAACUCCGAAAUAAAUGCAAUAAAAUAAAUUGAAGGAUACAGUGGGUUGCCUCCCACCCGGCUCUAGUUUAUAGUCGAUAGCUCGACUUUCCUGCAUCUUCUUCAUGUUGGGUUGUUGAGUUGCACAGUGGACUUCUGCUUAGGGAAAUUACAGCCCCAAUAGUGUUUCAGUCUUUGCCCAUUGACGAUGAAAGUACCUUUGGUCUCGUGACUCACUUCAAUAACCCCGUAUUGCAUCACCUUAGUUAUGGUAUAGGGACCCGACCACCUUGUUCUUAGCUUUCCUGGGAAUAGUUUGAGUCUAGAAUUGUACAAUAAUACUUUCUGCCCAACUUCAAACUCACCUCUGAAUAUUUAAAUCAUGCCAUCUCUUGGUGCGCUCUUUGAUCAACUUUGAGUUCUCAUAAGCUUCCAUUCUCAUCUCAUCCAAUUCAUUAAGUUGCAGCAGUCAUUUUUCACCAGCAGCCUUGAGAUCCAUAUUCAACUGUUUCAUAGCCCAAUAUGCUCGAUGCUCCAACUCCAAUGGUAGAUGACACGCUUUCCCAAAAAUCAGGCGGUAUGGAGACAUUCCUAUUGGGGUUUUAAAUGCUGUUCUGUAAGCCCACAGUGCAUCGUCAAGUUUCUUAGACCAAUCUUUUCGGGAUGAGUUCACUGUAACUUCCAGUAUUCUCUUUAACUGCCUGUUCGAAACUUCAACUUGCCCAUUGGUUUGUGGAUGAUAUGGAGUUGCUACCUUAUGUUUCAUCCCAUAUUUAUUCAACAGCUGCUCUAAUUUACGAUUUAUGAAGUGUUUGCCCCCAUCACUUAUUAUUGCUCUCGGUGUACCAUAUCUUGUAAAUAUGUACUUCUUCAAGAAUUCUAUCACCACUUUCGCAUCGUUAAUAGGCAAUGCAAUAGCUUCCACCCACUUAGAGACAUAGUCAACGGCCACCAAAAUAUAUUGAUUUGAGUAUGACGGGGGAAAAGGUCCCAUGAAAUCUAUUCCCCAUACAUCAAAUAUUUCAACCUCCAAGAAGUAAUUUAGUGGCAUCUCAUAUCUUCUUGAGAUAUUUCCGAUUCGUUGACAUUUAUCGUAUCUCUUCACAUACUCGAAUGUGUCUCUGAAUAAAGUAGGCCAAUAGAAACCCGACUGUAGUAUCUUUACAGCAGUCUUUGAAGCUCCAAAAUGCCCAGCAUAUGCAGAAGAGUGACAAUGUUCUAGAAUCUCAAGUAUUUCAUCUUCAGGAAUACAUCUUCUGAUUAUCUGAUCUGCGCCUCUUCUGUAGAGAAUGGGAUCCUCCCAAAAGUAAUACUUCAACUCUGCGAAGAACUUCUUUCUUUGAUGGCUAGAAUAAUCUGGUGGCGGGAUGGACUUAGCAAGGUAGUUAACGAUAUCAGCGUACCAUGGGACUAUUUCUACUCCAAAAAUUUGCUCAUCUGGAAAGAUUUCAUUGAUGUCAACUGACAUCUCAGGCUCAUCCCGUUCCAAUCUUGAUAGGUGGUCGGCUACCAUAUUUUCACUGCCCUUCUUAUCCUUGAUCUCAAUAUCGAACUCUUGCAACAACAAUAUCCAACGGAUCAAUCUCAGCUUAGCAUCCUUCUUUGUCAUAAGAUACUUCAGAGCGGCAUAAUCUGUGUAGACGAUAACCUUAGACCCAACAAGAUAUGAUCUGAUCUUGUCGAAUGCAUAAACCACAGCUAGCAAUUCCUUCUCGAUCGUCGCAUAGUUGAUUUGGGCGUCGUUCAAAGUUCUACUUGCAUAAUAUAUCACAUGAAAGAUUUUAUUCUUUCUUUGUCCCAAUACCGCACCAACUGCAUGAUCACUCGCAUCACACUUUAGCUUAAAGGGCAAAUCCCAAUCAGGUGACACAAUCACAGGCGCUGUCGUGAGUUUUUCCUUCAAAGUAUUGAAAGCUAUCAAACAUUCCUCAUCAAACUCAAAAGAUACCUCUUUCAUUAGCAAGUUGGACAGAGGCUUGGUGAUUUUGAAGAAGUCCUUUAUAAACCUCUUGUAAAACCUUGCAUGACCAAGGAAACUUCGAACUCCUUUUACUGAUGUAGGUGGUGGUAAUUUCUCAAUAACCUGAAUUUUCACCUUAUCCACCUCUAUCCCCUUUGUCGAUACUCUAUGUCCCAAGACUAUUCCCUCUUGAACCAUGAAAUGACAUUUCUCCCAGUUUAAUACUAAGUUCGUUUCUUUGCAUCUUUGCAAAACCAAAUUGAAGUGAUCCAAACACUCAUCAAAUGAGGUCCCAAAGACAGAGAAGUCAUCCAUAAAGAUUUCAAUGAAUUUCUCUACCAUAUCUGAGAAAAUUGCCAUCAUACAUCGCUGAAAUGUGGCAGGAGCGUUGCAAAGUCCAAAUGGCAUUCUUCGGUAUGCAAAGGUACCAUAAAGGCAUGUGAAGGUGGUCUUCUCUUGAUCAUCCGGUGCCACUGGUAUCUGAUUAUAACCCGAAUACCCAUCCAGAAAGCAGUAGUGGGAAUGGCCUGCUAAUCUCUCCAACAUCUGAUCUAUAAACGGAAGAGAGAAAUGAUCUUUCCUUGUAGCGGUAUUUAGUUUGCGGUAAUCAAUGCAAACUCUCCACCCUGUUACCGUCCUUGUCGGAAUCAACUCGUUCUUUUCAUUCUGAACCACUGUAAUUCCUCAUUUCUUGGGUACAACUUGCACUGGACUAGUCCAUUUACUAUCUGAUAGCGGGUAGAUUAUUCCAGCAUCCAGAAGUUUGAUCACCUCAGCUCUUACUACCUCCUUCAUGUUUGGGUUUAGCCUUUUUUGACUUUCAACUGUUGGUCGAAAAUUCUCCUCCAUGAGAAUUUUAUGCAUACAUAAGGAAGGGUUGAUCCCUUUGAUAUCAGCUAUGGUCCGCCCAAUUGCUUGCUUGUUAUCUCAUGAUCUCCUAGCUUCCUUUUGUUUGAUAGGAUGUCUUUCAGGAAUUUUGCAUAGCUAGGCAUCUGAACCAGUGCUUCAGCGAAUGGGAUGUUGAUAUGGAGCUUCUUGAAGACCUCGAUAAACUUCUUGUAUUGUUGUUCCAUCUUUUGCUUCUUCAGCCUCUGUGGGAACGGUAUGGGUGGCUCAUAGGGAUUCACAGCUACAGUUUCUUUCUCCCUUGAGUUUCUUUUAUUUGCUCUCGGUGUUGGCUCUUCUGUCUGUUCUUCUUGCUCCAAAAUCUCUUCUACUUCAGGAGAAACCUCCUCUCUAUUUGCCACGGGAUUAUUCACUUGUCUCUCAGGCAAUUCCACUCCACUUCUCGUUGUUAUAGCCUUUGCAUGCUCUUUCGGAUUGACUUCUGUGUUACUUGGCAGGCUGCCUGGUGCUCUACCUGUUAAUGCAACUGCCAUCUGUCCCAUCUGAGUUUCCAAAUUCUUAAUGGCUGCAUUUUGAUCUUGAAGAGUGGCUUCUGUCUUUUUCAUGAAUUGGUUGUUCGCCUCCAUAUAUUGGUUGGUCUGUUCCAUAAAUUUGCCGAACAUUUCUUCCAAUUGAGGCUUCUUCUCUUGCUGUUGGUAUUGCCCUUGUGGCCUGUUCUGAUUUUGGUUGCUCCAAGAAAAGUUGGGGUGCUUUUUCCAGCUUGGGUUGAAGGUCUCUCCAUACACAUUAUUCUGCUGGCGUUGUCCCCAUUGAGCAAAAUCUGCUUGCUCUUUUCCUUGUGUCAAAAUUGGGCAUUCUGCUGUCACAUGCUCAGCUCCACAUUCCUCACAAUUUGCCUUCUUUGUCUGCGUUGCAUUAGCUGACUGGGUAAUGUUUUCCACCUUGUGAAAUAAGGAAUCAAUCUUAGCCGAUGAUGCUGAAUAUACAUCCACUUCAUAAACUCCUGGUGUCUUCUUUGGUACUGCUCGUUCCAUGGUCCACAUUGCUGAGGUUCUAGCCAUUGUCUCAUAUAACUUCAAUGCUACAUCAAUUGUUUUUGUGGACAAUAACCCAUUAGCUGAAGAGUCGACCAUGCUCUUGAAAGCUGGAAGUAGCCCUGCAUAGAAAUAUUGGACCUGAAGUCCCUUGCUAAUCCUGUGGUGUGGACACUUCCUUAGUAGAUUUUUGAAUCUGUUCCAAGUCUCAUCAAAAUUUUCAGAUUCACCUUGCCUGAAGAUAGAUAUGUCGUGCUUUAGCUUUGCAAUCUUGGCCGAUGGGAAGAACUUAGUACAGAACUUCUGAGCUAGGUCAUUCCAGGUAGUAAUGCUGGCUAUCGGCUGAGAAUCAAGCCAUUCAAUCGCCUUGUCCCGCAAAGUAUGUGGAAACAGUCUUAAUCUUAUGGCGUCGUCAAUUCUAUAUAAUCUAGCCUUAACCGAAUCUAAUUGAGUGAAAAUAUGGUAUAAAUGCAAAAAGCCCUAAUUUCAAUUAAGAAACCCUAAUUUCAACUAAAAACCCUAAUUUCUAUUGAAAACCCUAAUUUCUCAAUUAGAAACCCUAAUUUCUCAAUUUCUCUAAUUAAAUGACUUAAAUACUCAAGUAAAUGAAAUUAUGCAAAUUCAAAUGCUAAUUUAUGGAAAUUAAUCAAACUAAAGUCACUAGGAUCACGAAUCCCCAAUUGAAGUUAUAAAAACCCUAAUUUCAUAAAAUUAAUGAUUCGAUGAAAAUUNNNNNNNNNNNNNNNNNNNNNNNNNNNNNNNNNNNNNNNNNNNNNNNNNNNNNNNNNNNNNNNNNNNNNNNNNNNNNNNNNNNNNNNNNNNNNNNNNNNNNNNNNNNNNNNNNNNNNNNNNNNNNNNNNNNNNNNNNNNNNNNAUUGCGGAAGAAAAUUAAUGCAUGUAAAUCAAUCAAAUUAUCCAACAAAUCUUUCUAUUAAGUUCAUGAAAUAUAGAAUUAAAAUAACAAACAACGGUUCAUCGAUCACCUAGUAAUUGAAAACCUAGCCUAGAAGAUUCAUAAUUACAGAAAACAAAAUGAAAUUAAUGAAUAGAAAGAAUAAUACCCGUAUGAAAGUUCUUGAAAUCUGAAAUCUUGAACAAAACCUUGAAAACCCCUUUGAAUCCUUGUGAAAUCCGCUUCAAGUUCGUGUUCUUUGCCUCCAAAAGUUGUAUUCUUCUUCUCCCUGGACGUUCUACCCUAAUUUUGAUGAAUUUUGGCUUUUAUAUCAUGUCAUUACAGAGCCCCAAAAGAGUUUCAAUUAAAAACGGAAAGUCAGAUUUUUUUCCAAAAUUAAGGCCAUGCGGCCGCAUGGUUCAAUUUUUCUCCUCAGUGAAUACCUUGCACCACCAUGUGCGGCCGCAUGGUUUUAUUGCAUGCGGCCGCAAGGUUGUAAAAGUUACAACCUUGUCAUUUUGGCCCCUGAACUCUGUUUUCUCUUUUCUUGAUCUCUUUUCUUUCUUUCCUUUGUUCCAUUAUCACAUAUUGACCCCUAAUUGAUGUUUGGGUCAAUCAAUUCCUUGAUCAUUUUCUCGGCUCAUCUUUUGAUUAAUUGCAAUUUAGUCCUUCAUCUUUCACUUUUCUUUAAUUCAGUCCAAUGUUACUUCUUUCUUCCUCCAAUCGUCUUGUAUCAUCCUUAAUCUCAUACUUGGUGUAUUUUCAUUCUAAUUCUGCACUUUAGCUCAACUUUCCAAUAUUUGCACCUUUGGUCCCCGAACUAUCGCUUUGUUUCGUUUUGGUCCUUUUUCGGCUCUUUUCUUCUGAAUUCCAUCUUUUCCAUAGAAAUACCUACAUUGCAUGAAUUUAAUAAGAUUGUCACAAUUCAACUACUUUGUCCAUGUUUAAGUCAUGUUUGUGAGCUAAAUAAGUGUUUAAAAACACACUUAUCAGCGGGCUAAAUAUGUUGCCUGGUUUUCCGUAAUUAUGUAAUGGUUGGCAUCUUAUUUUUUCUUUUACUAUGUAAUCGUAUUGCAUUAAUAAGGGUUCCCUAAUUACAUGAAGCAUGUGAUACACAGAGUAUACCAAAAAUGAAAUCUCCAUUAAGUAUCCAAUCCGCUAAUAUCUUUAUCAUUAUCUCCCACCUGCUUUGAAACCUAUAUACCUGAUCUGCUUCCUUUUGCUUUAUCCGUCCAUACUUCACCGUCUUCUUUGAUUCCAGUAUCUGUGGCAAUACAUUUAUUAUCUUCAUACAAUAAUAUAUACUGCACAUUUAACAUGAGACAAUGAUCUUGUUGGAACCUAGGAACGUUUUAAAACCAUCAAAAUCACAAGACUAAAAAUCAAAAUUUGUAGAUCUGAACAAAACAGUAAAAGAACACAAGCGAUUUUUAGCCGAAGCCCCGAGGUUCAACGAUUUAUCAGAUCGCCUAGUCCCCGUUGAGCAUCCAUGAAGGAAUAAGCUCGAAUCCACUAGAAAACACCAGCCCAAAAUUACAGCAGUUUUGAGUUACAAAUGGAACACACAGUUCCAGCCACAACAACAACAAAAUCCCCUCAACAACACAAAGAACUCACACAAGAGUUCAUAACAUCACGCAUACUCUCAACCAACAACAGAAAAUCGACAAGAUCCAAGAUGAGAGAGCCAAAGUAUAGAGAGAAUUUUUAACUCAAAGGAAAGCUGCGUAAAAUGAGAGCCUCCAAACCCUAGGCGUUUUAGUUUCUUUUAUAUGAAAGAAACAAAUCAUUUGAUCCAAUGGUCCAGCAAUUGCCAAGUGUCGAGAUCAGGUGAAAGUCGUUUUUCACAACUGAAAAACGUGUUUUUCCUUUAAUCCAAUUGAGCUUCCAGAUUAUUCUUUCUUUUGGGCCAUUUAACCGGGUCAUGGGUUGAGCAUAUUAACUUUGGGCUUCACAAAAGCAGCAACCCAAUUUCUACAGAUCUAUUAGACAAUGGGCAAGAAUUGCUAUCAUAUUGUUUUAACCUUUUCUGUAUAUUGGUUAAUUAUAAAAGCCGACAGCUUUAUGAAUGCCAAUUGUUUGUGUCUUUGUGGUUCUUCCAAAAACUUCAUGACUUCACUUGAAUUAGCAACCUUAGUUCCAGGUCUUUCGGUUUCUGUCAAAAAUAAUUUGGCUUCAAUAUGCAUUAAAGUAUGUUAUCAUCCCCUCUUAGCCCUGCUGCCGACUGAAUCGGUACAUGUGUAAGGUUUUUUGAUGCACUGUCAUGCACAUGUUAUUUAGUUUACGCUACAGGAUUCCUUCUUGGAGUGGAUUUUGCAUUUUAUACUUUAGCAUUGAUUAGCUGAAGAUCUAGAGGUACCAGAAUUUUAUGGUAACUGGUUAGUCAUUUGAAUACAAUAUAUUACAGAAGAGCUGAGGAGUUCGAGAAUCCUAUUUGGAAGUUAUUUACUUUUAUAUAAAAACAUUUUUGAGGAUUCAGCCCUUAUUGGGCUAAGUAUUAGCUUCUUGUCAUUCAUGAUGAAUAACUUUCAUCUCACCAUGCCUGUUUAGAUCAUUUAACAAACCUUUUGAAAAUAUACAGUGGGUACCAACAAAAUUCAGUAGAUUUCCCAGUGUCCAUAUAUUUUUUGGACAAUCAGUUGAUUCACUAAUUACUUUUUUGCAAUAAAAUGAAUAUACAAGAAAGAAAUGAUCAAGACUUGUUGCUGUUCAUGCUUAGCUUCCAAUCACUAUAUAUGCAGGUGCAGUGCUAAAUUAUAGGUUAUGGAUUGCCAUGAUCCACUCGAUUUGUAUCGACCACGCCGCAAGCAUAGGUUUUAUUAAUAAAAGGAGCUACUAUACUAGUUAUUUAUUUAUUUUUUAUUAUUUUUUUACUAAAAAGUGACUCGUGCUUUCUAGUUCGAAACAAGUGGGAAAGGUUUCUAUUUCUUAUUUCCAUGGACAAAUUCUACUGGAAAUUUGUAACAAUUAUUUAAACAAUGAUAAGUAAUUAAGUAUGUUAUUAUGAGUGCUCAUUAAUUAUCGCAUGCAUAUCAACCUUCCAGUAUUCAACUCGAGACUGAGCCAUGGCUAAUGGGGUGUUUUAACUUCUCCGAUGAAGCCAACCUUAAUAUGCCAUUCUAACAGGACUUUCACCCAUAUUUUUACAACUUCUUCCUUGAGACAACCUCGAUAUGUUAUUCUAUUGUUCCUCUAGCUAGUAGUGAAAUACAUUGCUCAAUCACACCUAAAAUUGCCGUAUAAUCUCCAUAUAUUGUUCGUUGCAUUGUUGUCCAUUUACACAAAAAUUAUACCGUUCACAGUUUUAAUUUCUCAACAAUCGUAUAGUACUAUCCUUUCAAGCAGAUAUCAAUGCGCUCUACAAUUUAUCUUUUUUCCCAUGGACCCUAUGCGUAUACAUAAUUUCUUCAAUCUUUCACGUACAUGGAGUAUAGUACAUGCUAGACUUUCCAUACAUAGCCAAAAUUGCACAUACUUAUAUUAAUUGAUUUUUCACCGUUUCAUUAGGGCAUAUCAUAGCUUAUCCAAAAGACUUUAUAGUUACGGUUGUGCUACAUAUACACCACAAGUUAUAGAUUUGUAUACUUACAUGUGAUAUGGUAAGAUAUAAUUGGAUAAAAAUUUCUUCAAUUAAAUUUUUAAAAAAAAAUCACCAUUUUUUACACAUUAUCUAUCUGUAAAAUUCUCUGUAACUUCUUAUAUACAAGUAGCAUUAUUUUUAUAUUUAUAAUAAGCACCUUAUAUAUAAUAGAGAGAAUCUUUAAAUUUCACUAAUAAAUAUUUUUUAUACACGAUAAUAAUGCUUUCUAUUUUGAAUUUUCAUUUUACUUUUUCAAUAUAUAUUCAUUAUUUCAACUUUGUCUUUUACUUGACAUAACUUUUAUAUGUAUCAUUUAAAUAUUAUUCUUUAAAUAAUUUAAGCAGUAGAGUAUUGAAAUCUAUAGUUUAUUAAAUGCAUUAUUAUAAAGCAAGAAAGAGAGUAAGACUUGGAGUCUAUCGGAGUUUAUUUCUAAGCAUUGAUUUUUUGAAAUAAAGAACAACUUGUAUUUAGAGUAGGAGAUGCCCUCGGUCCAGCUAGAGAAAUGUAUUGCAGUUUUGGUUUGAAAUUUUCGGUACAAAGCAAUUAAAUACUUAAAGUGAGGUAUAAUUAAUAUAUUUUCCAUAAAAAAAAAUAGAAAUGAUUUUAAAGGUCAAAAAAUGAAAUUUGCUACAAGAAAACUAACUAAAGAAAAACUUAUUUGGUGGAAAUUAAAAUCAGAUUUUUAGUAGAUUAUGAUAAAAGUUGAUGAAAUGUAUGGUUGAAAAGUUGAGGAUUCCUUAAAAUAUGUGAUUGAUAUUAAUUGUUGACUUUGACUUAGAUUAAAAUCUAAAUUUUAAUCACAAUCAAACAGGGGCUAAAUUUGGAUUUGAGAUUAUGUUUUGAAUUAUUAAAUUAAAUGCAAAGAUGAAGAAAUAAAUAAAGGGAAAUUUAUAUAAAUGUCACUAAAAUUGAAAAUGCACAAAAAAAUUCCAUUUGCACCAAUUUUUUCCAAAAAGUCACUUUUUCUGUGAAAUUUCCAUUUUACCCCAUGUGACAUAUUUUUAGGAACAAUAUAAAUGCUUGAUUUGAAUGCAAUUAAUGGUGUGAUGUGAUGAUUUGUUUUAUAUAGUUUAAACAUUUAAGAUAUUCAUAUUAUAUUGUAUAAUCUUUUUUAUUGUUAAAAAAAAGGGGUAAAAACUUAAAAAAAAAAAAAAAAAAAGCCAAAAAAACUUAUGAAUACAAACCCUACCUUCUUCUUCACCAUCUUCAUUCCAUCAUCAGCAAGGAAAAGCUAUUGAUCAAUCUUAAAGGUGAGCUAUAGGGAUGACAAUCGGGCUCGUCGGCUCGACUCGGGGCUCUGUAGACCCGAGCCUAAGCUCGGGCCGAGCCCCAUUUUGGGGACACGGGCUUUGCCCGAGCGGGCCCGUGAGCUCGCGAGCUUUUUAAUAAAAAAAAAAUUUAAUUUAAGGCAAAACUGCUGCCUUUUAAGGUAGUGAACUGCUGCCUUUAAAAGGCCCGUAAAAAGCCCGAGCUUUUUUUUUUUUUUUUGCGGAGCUUUUGCUCGGCCCGGCUCGUUUACAUCCCUAGUGAGCUACUAGAAAAAUUAUCUUUUCAUGUCAUAGUUUACUACAUUAAAUGUUUAAUACAACAUGGUAUAUUUAAUUGAACAUUUUAAUCUCUUAUUCAUUGAUGUGUUUUAUUUUUUAUAUAUUUUUUAAGGGAAAAAAUACCAAUAUCCUCUAGAAAAUGUGAAGGAUUCUAUAUUUAAUGAAACAUUAAGUUAUUCCUUCUUUAUUUGUGGGAAGAUAUUGUUAUGUUGUAGUUGAGAAUUGAUUAUCACCAUUAAUAUUUUCAAUAAUUUCUUUCAAACAAUCAAACACAUGUUUUUAAGCUUUUCUGAAAACUAUGGCAGUUCAACCGUCGAACAGUAUCUUCAAAACCAUCAGGUUAGACAUUUUAAUUGUCGAACUCGACAUUUAGUAAUUGUCGAGAUAGACAAUUUAAUUGUCGAUUUCGACACCUGAAAACUGUAGUCACCCUUUUCCUUUUUGGUACUACAUGUAUCUACAUGUCGCCAUAUGGAAUAUACAGAAUAUGACGAAAAAUUUGAAUUGAUGAUUCUUUGAAAACAUAUAAAAUGCCCUCCAACUCUAUGCUUGUUCAAAAUAAUUCAAGCUAUUGUUUCAAAACCUUUUAACACAAUCCGCUCAAAAAGAUAAUUUUAAUCCCCACCAACUAAAUUGUAGUUUGUAAAUUGUAAAUAGUAGACUCAAGUGAUGCAUAAAUGAUAAACACCGCUAAUAUUAAAUAGUAUUACCACGGAGAACAAAAGGAGGAUGACAAUUACUAAAAUUGGAUUGAAAUACUUUUAACAUUUUCGCAUUUGGAAUGGUUAUUGAACUUUUAGAAAAUAUCAGCGAAAUAAUCUCUUUUCGUUAUCGUUAUUGCUUCUCCUGCUUAUAAACCAAAAUUUGAUUGAAGCGUACAUAUCUAUCGUAAUAUCCGCUCAACUUACGGUAUUACCUAGCACAUUAUCAACUUACAUUAUUAUUUUCACUGUACAUUGUCACAAUCACAAUCUAUUAUCGUUCGCAGACAAGCAAACACAUGUUCAACUUUACAAGCAAAAUACGUAGCCAUAGACAACAUACUGCAUACAAUCUGACAGUUCAUCUGUCAUUUUCGAUAGAUUGUUCCUGUCAUUCUCGACACUUGGAUUGGAGUACAAAAAGAACACUGCACCAGAAAAGGCAUAAGGGACAUGCUCGUGCUAAUAUUUUGGUAAAAACAUUACCAAAUUUAUCCUUGCAUAACAAAAGACUAUACAGAAUUUAUUAAACUACAUUUCAUCAGUGUCUAGUUCAUUCGUCAUCAACAGCUGAACCUUCUCCCCCGCUCUCUUCAUUUGACUCAUUCGACGAGAUGACAAUUAUCUCAUUCUAUGGGAUGUACACCCACUAGUCGUCAUCGUUGGAUUCAACUUCGUACCGAACCGUGACCUCCAACACCACAUCGAGCACACCGUUCGGAGACUGCAGCCCUUCAGUUACAACUUCAUCCAAGUUGUGAAAAGUUACAGCGAAAAUGACUCUCCUAUCAAUACAAGGGUUAACUUCCUCAUCCUUUGACAAAAUGUAGAUUGAAAAUAAUGGGGAUGAACCAAAAAUUGGCAAAGGCUCGAUCAGCUUCAACGUUUCGUUACUUCCCGUGGAUGAACUUAUUAUGUCGACACAAUGCAAUUGAUGAAACGGUUUGUGUAUGUGAGACUUGAAAGUUUCACAAUGCUCAUGAAGUGUUUUAUGUGUAACUGACAAUGACAACAUGUUAUUUAUAACCAACUUGAAGGGAAGAAGCAAUUAUGGUUAUUUACUACCCAACCACCAAGUCCAAUCUCAUCUAAAUUUAGUUGGUAUGAUGGUUCAAUAAAAUAAUUGUACAUUUAUCCCCCAUUUCCCAUAAUUACUAGGAUAUUGUAACUCUUAAAUCAUGUGAAUAAUGGAUUCAACUUUCCUACAACUCACAUUAUGCAAUUUGUAAAUUAGUUGUAACAUGGUUUUCAUGGCUUUGGCAUAAUUAUAAAAAUGGCUCAUCAUCUUAACCUGAUAAUAAAAAAAACUCACAUUAAUGUCCUUGUGAAUGAGUUGUAGCAUGGUUUCCUGAAAUGGAAAAAUUUUGAUGGUUCCUCAUCUUAAGCCAAUCAUCAUUGACGAAGGACUAAUUGAUUCGAAAAAAAGAAAAUAUGGUCCAAGUAAACUAUGAACUCUACACAAAGUACUCAUGUCUUCAUUGCAAAAAUAAAUUAUAGGAUACAUAACCAUUCAUUAUUUGCAAGAUCCAUGCAUUCGCUAUGCGCUAACCCCACACUGCUAAUCUUCAGUUAUUUUAUUACAACAUUCAAACUAAGAAACAGCAUACCAACUUUUAACACAUGGAUAAUAUUGGCAAUAUCUUUGGCAGAUGCAAAGGUAUAAUUUUUCAACUACUAUCCAACGACUAGACGUCUAAUAAUAGACUUCAGCCAAAAGGUUAAACGACAGUAUCCCACUUUCCAAGAAACAACCGAACAAAUAUAGGCCCGUAGUCUUGACACGACACGCUUUGCAACGUUCAUUUUCUCCCUCGACAGUGCAAUGUCGUGCUUUAGGCUACCCUGCCCUGCAUACAUGGCAUGUCACCAUGCCUCAUUGGAAGAAGCUCAUGUUCUGCAAUGACUAUUCCACAUUAUGCCAUAAAUUAGCCCCAACAAGGUAGAAAUACAAAGCCAAUGGAUAAAAUGCACACACCAUGUAUUACGAAUCUUGCAAGGACAUUUUAGCACUUUUUUCCCUAAUGUACACAAGUGUUUCUCGCAAUCGGUCACGAAUCCUCCAUAGCCACAUACAUUUCAUGCAGUGCUUCAUUCACUAGAUCGUAAUGGAGCUCUACAUUACCAAAAUAUGACUCUUAAAUCAUAUAUUUGAAUACCAAUUGUUGGAUGAGCUAGGCAGAGAAUUGUAUGUCAGGCAUCUCAGCCAGGAAUUAGAGACAAGAGUUUUAGAAGUCCUCACACUAUUGAUCGUCGAAGGUCUUCAUGACCGUCUUCACAUACUUCAAUUUACUCCGUUGCGAAAUGUGAGCCCACAUCCGGGUAUUUUCCGAAACAAGGAAUUCAAACUCCAUUUCUCCUACGAGAUACAGUGAGAAAAACACGGAUUAGAUCAUGACGAAAUAUAGAAAUGUAACACGGAAUGAAUCGAACUCAUGCUUGUAGUGAGGUGAACUGUCGAGAAAAACUGACAUCAACCAUCGGUAUGGAUAGUUCAUCUGUCGAUAUCGAUGGUUAAUCUCGACAUAUGCUUGAGAUUCUGUCAUCUGUCGAGAUUGGCAGAGUUGAACUGUCGGGAACGACAGUUCAAACAGCCUGCACACUUCAGCAAUCUGCUAAAAUGAACACAUGAGAUAAAAGUCCGACAUUUACUGCACCAUUUCUAUGCAAUGCAAAGACAUUUUGUAGAAUGAAAAUGGAAUUACCCACACUUGGACAUAUUCGAACAACCUUGCACUAUCAUAUGAACACACACGUGCAUGCUACAAAACGUGACACGUGCUUAUUUGUGCAUAGUUGACCAUAAGAUGCCUAGGUUCAGACCUAGUUGAAACGAUUAUUCGCCGAAUGUGUCUAACCCAUUAAAAAAUGGAAGAAAGUGUCAUCCUCACCCGGUAGAUCGAAAUGGAAGUUCUUUGAAACAAGGAAUGGUUGUGGAUGUUCUUUGGACGAUGACUAGAACUCGAAAUUUCGAAGCAUGACGUCAAUAAUUGAUCCCCUAAAAACCUGAUUUGCAUCAAACAAAGGUGAGAGAUACGAAAAAUAGACACAACAUCAUUACUUACAUAAAACUUGAAGUAAGCAUGUUAAACAGAACUACACACCAACGAAAAGAAAAUUGUGUAUAUAGCACAUAACAUGCGAACAGGAUUUAGGACAACAAAAUUUUCAUAUAACAAUUCACUUCAAAUUUGUAAUUGAACUUCGAGAAUUUCAGCAAGUAACUGUCGAGAACGAUAGUUCAUCUCGAAAGUUUAUCCUAUGACUAUCGAUAUUGACAAGUUACGUGUCAGAGUAAAUUUCAAGACAACGGUCAGGUUAUACAUAUCUUAAUAACAAUACCAAUGGCAUCCAAUAAAGUUCCACUACACAAAAGUAUUCUGAUAAUAUUUGGUAAUAUGGUUCUAUAAUUAAUAAAACAGAUUUCAACCCAUAAUCAACCACCAAUCAAAGUAUUGUUUUACAAAAUAAACAAAGUUUACAAAACCAAAGAAGGGUUAAAACAAACUUCAUCCCCAAUCAAUCUAUCGUUCUACAAAAUUCCAUAUUUGAGGAGAAGUCAAAAGUUUGUGUAAUUCAAAAAUAAGGAUUCACAAUUGUCGACAUGGAAAGUUACAUUUCAUACUAUAAAUGUGAUGCCAAAAUAGGAACAAAAUCAAUCAUGCAAUGUAGCAUUAUAUAUCCAAAAUCGUACAUACAGUCAUGCCCAUCCAACUCAGGAAAAUGAAGAAACUAGUACAAAUUCCAGUUAAUCUUGGUGAUAGGCAUUUUAUGAAUCGAAUUGCAUAAUAAGAUGAAGAACAAAAAAUCACAAUGACAAGGACUCCCAGGUAAAUAGUAGUCAACAGGAAAAAGAGAGCAUUGAAAUUUCCCUACCCAUCCACUUAGCAAAGACGAAAAGGAAAAUAACCAUCGAAUUUCAAUCAGGAGCUAUCUCCUUUCCAGUCUAGAAACUUUCUUUAUCUAUUUAUAUGCCUAACAUAUUUUAGACAGCUAUAUAUAAACUGCCAAGUUUUGCACACAUGAUAAACCCCACACUUUUAUGAUUGUAAAACUAUGUUUCAAUUAGUAGGUAAUAUUUGAAUAUCAACACUCACAGAGAUUGGUGAGAGGUGUUGCACAUUUCUCUAUUAUACCCUAUCUUAUCUCAUUAUAGUAGAAGUGAAUGCUAUUUAGGUCAGAACAACUUCAAACACAAGAUGACAUGCGAGCAACAUGCAAGAUCACAACCAUAUUUAUAAGCCUUCUGAAAUAAACUCGUGAGUAAUCCACAUAUGUAUAGCUAGAAGACAUUAAGUGCUAUGUGCAUGUCAAUUUUAUUGUAAAAUGUAACAAAAAUAUAUUUUCAUUACUGUGAUUAGAAUAUAAUGCAAAAUUUGAAACAUGGAUCAUUGGAAUUGAAUAAUACAACUUUUAUAACUAAAUCGGACACCUACUCGAUUUAGUUGCCUUUAUUGAAAUAACAAAAAAAUGAACAAAACCAACUGUUAACUGGAUUCACUAUAGUAAUAAGGAUGAUAACUGCUAAACAUAAAUGCCUGGUAUCUAUAAUCAAAAGGGAGGAAAAAUAAAUAGCUCAAAAUCACUGUCCUAAAAAACGUAGUAUUUGAUAUCUGAUGAUACUAAGAACCAAAAAACAUUGUCUGGCACCUAUGCGUGAUGCCUCAAUAAAUGAAUAUUGUCUGACACUUUAUGCUCAAAAUUGGGAGCACAGCCCCAGGAAUGGACCCCAAUCCUUCAUCUAGCUCCUUGAAAGCUGGCAAAAAAAGUUUGAACAACCUACAAAAAUGAUAGCAAGAUUUCUUUUCUCACUCUUUCACUACGAUAAAAUUUAUAGUCGCUAUCGUAGUAAUCUGGCUAUGUUCUUGCCUAGAAAUAAGAACGUGUAUGAAAGAUAACUCUUAACAUUUUUUAAUACACAAUGACAGAUACUAUAUAUUUUCUCUCUUCAAUAAUAAUGAUACUAACUAGGGCAUCGGAGGGGCAACUUUCUUCAGGUUAUUGGGAGCAGUGCAAGAGCUCGUUUCGAUGAUACAAAAAUUUUAGAUAUUAUCAAAGUAAAUCUACAUUUCAAAAUUUAAAAUUUUUAUUUGACUUUCGUAAAACCACAAUAUUUGUUUUCAGUUUUGAGGAUAUGAGAAAUUCUAGAAGGUCUAAACUUGAUAUCACAUAUUUUAGGCAUAAAUGUCUUAUUGGUGAUCUGCUUCAUGAAACAAACAUCAACAAAAUAUAAGCUACUCCAAUUAAAGGUAUGUUGUUAUAAUAAAAUACAAAAUGCAAUAAUGUUAAACUAAUUUCAUCUGUAGGGAGCCUUGCACAUAUCAGGCAACAUUUUUCUCUACAUGGGACAUUGGUUACAUCAUAUAUAAAGCUUAUUUCUAAAUAAAUAUACUAAGAAGAGAUAUAUUUAUAUCCAGCAACUACAAUCAACCAUGUGGGCUUAAGCGGGAAUAUGUAGCCUUAAGUUUAACAAACGUCCAACUCCACGAGGGAAACAGAACAAAUUCAAAAUGUGUAUUUUGGUUAACAACCUAGAAAUGGGUAGUGCUAUCUUUUGUUCAAUUGCUUAAGGAAAGUGAACAAAACUGACCGAGAACUGCAAGAAAAUCUCUACUGAACUAGAAACCAUCAAAAGCAAAGGUUAAUCAGGUAUUCCAAUUUCAUUGUAAACUUGUAAUAUUCACAUUUUUAAUAGUUAUUUAUUAAAAUACUAUGUAUGGUGAAAAGACCUUUAUUCUUGCUCAUAGUUAAUCUUCUACCAUUAACUAAUAGGGAUUUGACCGUUGUUUGUUGAUUAAGAAAUGCAAGAAGUCCAUUUACAUAACAGCUAUCUCAUUGCACGCCAAAAUUUUUGAGUUCAGAAGGAUACUUCGCAAAACUUCAUGAUAUCAGUUAUAAGAAAGUAAAGAUAAAAAUUACAAUAAACUUGCAACCAAACAAACAUUUCUAUCUUCCCACCAUCAACAAAAAAAAUUUUUAUGAAUUAAGAUAAUCUCUUUUCGAAUCACAACAUUUUUUCCUUAAUGGAACAUGAAGAUAUCCAAAUCAAGUCAGGCAAAAAAAAAAAAAAAAAAAAAAAAAAAAAAAAAAAAAAAAAAAAAAAAAAAAAGAAAGAAAAAGAAACAUACUAAAAAGUAUAUGUUGAUCUUUAACAAUUCUCCUAAGUUUAAGCAGAUUCCUUAUAAUUUGAAUAAAAUGUACACAGGUUUAGAGCUUUAGCAUGACUGUCAGAUUAAAUUGUAUGAACUUUUUAGACCAACAAACUUGGACAAAAAUGGAUAUUUUGGCAGUCACCAACGACCUUGAGCGAGAGAGAAUGAGAGAGGAAAUUGAGAGUCGUUUAGGUUUAGGGCUUUUGUUGCCAUAUGAAUGAAUAUUUUUAACUAUAUAUAUAUAUGUUUUUUUUUUUUUUUUUUUUUUGGGGGAAAAAAGGACAUCCAACGUAUUUCAAUUUUUUUGAGGGCCAUAAAAGUCAUAAAGUGAUAGUUUAGUCAAAACUAUUAAAAGGUGAUAUUUUUGUAAAUGCAACCCCAAAAAAUGACAUCUGAUGUAAUUUCCACAUAAAAUAAAUAAAACAGUUGUAUUUUGAAAUAGUUAGACUGUCCAGUUUCAGUGAGGUCAUGUAUAAUGUCAUGAUAAAACUUACUCGUUAUGCUAAGAAAGGAGACUAUGUAGCAAAAUUUGCUACUAUUGGAAUGUUUAGUUAAUAGUAUAUUUCUUUGUGCUCUUAUAUUGCUAGUUGUUUUUAAUUUACACGUUGUUAAGUCAAUUUGAGUGCGUUUUAAGUGUUCAUAAGCUUUUCUAACUUCAUUGUUAACUGUAUAUAUUCCUUUGCAUCCACAAUCUUAAUAACUUUUAGUUUACACAUUUUUAAUUAUAUAAAGAUAACCAUUUAAGAAUUUAAAUGAAAGAUCAAGUUUAUCAAAAUUAUGUACUUUCCUUACACAAUUUCACUACAUUUUAUUCAAAUUUGAUCACUAAUCUAAACGCAAGUUAUAAUUGAUCUUUAAAAAAAAAAAAAAUCAACUAAAAACAAAAACUUCAUAAGCAAUUACUUAUUGAUUUAAUUAUUUACCCAUGUCACAAUAGAGGCAACCACACAUGACAUUUUACAUUAUCGAGAUGGAAUCCAUAGUUACAUAUUACUUGUUAUAAUUUUCUCCAGAUUGGUAGGGCCGGCCCUGGAACCAAGCCACCUAGGCAAUCGCCUAGGGCCUCAAAAAAUGUGGCUUGGGCCUCAAAACUCAUGGUAAUAUCAUACCAGCAGUCCAUGUAUUAUACCAACAGAAACUUAAGCCGGAAAUUGAAGGGACACUGCAGGAAGGAAAUUGAAGGGGCUGGAAGGAAAUUGAAGGUCGAUUCGACCAAAAGGUAAGUCGUCUUCUUCAAUUUAGAAUUCCCAAAUCUCCUCUCCAAAAACUUUUUUGUUGUCCUGUAAGUUUUCUAAGUAAGUUGUUUAAAGUGAAGGAAAAGCAGAGCGGACUUAUUUUCAAGAAAAUUGAGGAUUUUGUGUAUCGAAUGGAAGAUCUCAAGGAGGUAAACACCUCUCCUUUCUCUCGUUCCGAAUUCCCUCUUCUGGGCACAAUUUCUACUAUGUUUAUAAGUUUCCAAGAAACGAAUGGUUUGUGCGUAUCAUCUUCUUGAGUUCUAGUAUGAUUUACAAUUGCAUAUUCGUUGCUUUGACUUCUUGUUGUGGCACUGAUUAAAUGAAAAUCGAUUGAAAUUCUUGGGAUAUAAAUUUCAUAUGUGCAAUCUAAAUUUGCUUGAAAAAAUCCGAAAAUGAAAAGUUUAUGUGAAUCAAUCAAAAAUUAUGUACUUUGACUCGUUAUCUUAAUAAGGGAGGGAAGGAGGAGUUGAAGAAGCUAUUAUCAUUUUUUAUUUCUCUAUGUUGAAAAUGCGUGAAAGAAAUGGAUGCUUCACCAUUCUUUCUUUCGAAAGAGGAUUGGGUUGGUUUGAAAAUUUCAGAAAUAUAAGCCUUCAAUGCUUAGCCAUUAGAAUAGUCAAUUAAAUGAUAAUCAUUUCAAAUUAACAUUAAGAUUGACUGUUAAACACGACGUUGUUUGCUGUAUAUGUAAUGACUUGCUCAAAAAUUGAAACAAAUGGCUAAUUCUUUCUACCUUUUUCCUUGUCAUUUAGAAGAAUGCACCAUGGCUAUCCGUGCCACAAUUUGUUUUCCUGUAAGUUUUCUGAGUAAGUUGUUUUCUAUACUGUGUUUAGUCUCUCAAAAGUAGGAGUGGACAAAUGUGCUAAUAUAGGUGUAUAAUGAACACAUAUAUCCCUUGUUUUUGAAUGUAGUGUUUGAUUUUAUUGCUCAAGUUCAUCAUUUAUGUUGGUAUUGCUCAAGUAUAUUCUAAAUGUUAUUUGGUUAUUUCUUGCGGGUUGAUUAUUGAAUUCCUUCACUUGGCUAUAUUUGAUAAUCUGAGAUAUUUUGAAUUCUACCUCAUCAAUCAAGUUCUAACGUUUUAAUUGCUUAUAAUUAUGUCCUCUAGAAAAUUUGAAUAUGGACAUUCUAAAAGAAAACGGAAUAAGAAGGUUGAACAAUUGAUUAAAUAUCAAGAGGGAGCCCUUGAUAAAAAUUUUUAGUGGCAGUAAACGGAAACAUAAUGAAGGCGCUGUUAUCAAAGGAGAGUCCAAUAAGAAUGAUAUCAAUGAUAAUAUAGUUGAAAAACAUCAUUGUUUGGUGAAUGAAGAGGUAUGUAUUGGGGAUGAUGUUAUGGAUGAAAGAAACAUUAAUGAAAAGGAUAGACUGGAUAGUGAACCAUUUUCCCUUGACAUUAGUGAUCUAGCAAAUUGGGAAAAUAUGAAUCAGAAUUUAAGAGACUUAAUUGUAAUGAAAGAUCCAAUACGAGACAAUGAUGUUAUUUUUCCAAAAGUUUUCAUUUGAAUGUACAUAUGUUUUUUUUUUAUUUAAAUAUUGUUACACGUGCAAAAUAUAUAUAUAUAUAUAUAUAUAUAUAUAUUGGGCCUCAAAAUAAUUUUUUGCUUAGGGCCUCUAAAUUCUCAGGGCCAGCCCUGCAAAUCGGGCAUUAUUGUCAGUUUUGGCAUUGAACUUUGCAUGCACACAGUACGACUCUUCGCACUUCGGGCACGUGACUGCUAAUUUUACUCCUCCAACGUCUUUAUUUUUAGGAAUUCAUUGCUGUUUCUCGUUCCAAUUAUUUUCUUUCGUAUAACCUACGGGAUUGGGGACUGCACCUCUACCUGAAACUCUCUCCUUGCAAAUGUAGAAUUAAAACUACUAAAUUUAAAAGGAGAUUUUAUAAGAAAUUCAUGGAUAAAACCACAAAAGAUUAUAGCAGUUUUGCGAUGGAUUAACCACGGUUUAUGCACAGCUGAGCGUUGCAAACAAAAAACCGAUAGAAAAGUAUAGAAAAUAAAAUUGAGCAAGAUCUACCCAGCAAGGGAGUGGCAGACUUGAUGUGCCUAGCUUCGAUCAGUGUCAUUUAUAGUGCAACUACUUGGGUCAAUCACAUUAGCACUUAACAGUGACUAUAUUUUAAUUCAAUUUUCGAAAGAGUAAUUAUACUUCAUUUUGAAUCAAUCAUAUCACUAUGUUUUAAUUUUGUAUCAAUUGGAUCACUAUAUAUACUAAACUUUUGUCUCAAUUUAAGGCUUCUAGAUUCAAUUCUGCAGUGUUCAAAGUCAGACUCAAAUGGUUGUGGUUGUCACAUACUAACGUCUGUCCUAUAAUGUCAUACCCCCCCCCCCCAACCCCACCAAAAAAAAAAAAAAAAACCCCCCCCCAACCCCCCCCAAAAAAAAAAAAAAGACCUCGAAAAAGUGAUGGAAUCAAAGAACUCAUGUUAUGCGUUAGACCAGUGGAUUAAAAAUAACACAAACCAUAAGUUUUGUGAUUCUAUUACGUCCAAGGAUGAUGGAUAAUAGUAUUUAAUUAUUAUGUCAGCGUCCAGUUUUAUACAAUACGACAUAAUUAAAAAAAGUGAUCUAAAUUGAGACAACUUUAAAACACUAUGACCCAAUUGUUACAAGAUUAAAUUAUAGUGAUCAAAUUUUCACUUAAUAUAACUAAUUAAAAAUUAUGUUCAAAGUACCAUCACUGAUAAUAGAAUUAACGAGUUAAUUAAAGGGCUGCUCACUGAAUUUUACCAUUGGUUACCACUUGCUCACUAAAGAAUAAAUGGUAACUAAAUGCUCACUCAACUUUUCAUUAAUUUACCCAUCUAUCACUAGAUCUAAAUCCGUCUGUACAGUUAGUCAAUAAAUUCCACGUAGAUAUAAAAAAAUGACUUGGACGAUGAAUUAAUCCCACAUCAUCUAAAAUUAUUAUUUUUUAAAUCCCAAAAUCAUAAAUUAUUAACAAUUGUUUUUUGGACGGCCAAAAUCACAGUUCUAAGAAAUCAGAGAUGAAAUUUAUCCCCAAAUCAUCUUCAUCUUCAUCUUCAAAUCACAUCUUCUAAUCUAACUCAUUCAAUUGGUAAUUUCAGCUUUGUAAUCCAUAUCCAAGAAGUUCUAUAUCCACAUCCCAAUUAAUUGAAAUUUACACUGCACAGUUCAUUCCAAUCGUCUGCGUCGUUCUUGAUAAAAAAUAAAAAAUAAAAAAAUUUGGUUAUAUGAUUCAUCUACAAUUAAAUCUGCAUGAUGAAAUUUCAUAAGAAGAUGGAGGUGUGAAGUCUGCAUCAAUUCACUGACGACCUUUGGCAAAUUACAGCUCUGGAUAUGGCUUGAUGAGUUCAUUCAAAAAAAAAGAACCGAAAAGUAAAAUUGUGAGGAAUCCAUUCGAUUUUCUUCCUUAGUUUUCCUUGCUGAGGCUUCUUUCUCAAAGAAUUGAUCAUUGAAUGCUGAAUUACUGCUGCAAUACUAGUAGGAUAUAAGCCCAUCUCCUUUACAUCUACAAUAUCGGCAGAUAGAAGCCAAUCUCAUGAUUCUGAGAAGUGGAUGAAGAGAUUUUAUUGACGAAUUUGGUUCUUCAUAGGGUUAGGUUUCAAUUGGGGAUUUCGGAUUUCAGAUUUCUCUCUUCUAUGGAGAUCGUCAUUUUAGAUGGAAAAUGGAAUAAAAUUGCUAUUUUAACAAUUGCAUUCUUACCCAACAUGUAUUCAACUAACGUCGUCAUUGCCAUGUCAAGUUUUCAUCCUCCACGUCGAAUUUAUUGGCCAACUGUACAGACGAAUUUAAGGCUAGUGAUGGAUAGGUAAAUUAAUUGAAAGUUGAAUGAGCAUUCAGUUACCAUUUAUUCUUUGGUGAGCAAGUGGUAACUAGUGGUAUAAUUUAGUGAGCAUCCAUUUAAUUAACUCUAGAAUUAACUGGCAGCCACCCAAAUUGAAUACAUGUGAAUAUUUGAUUUCUUUAUGUACAUCGCUUUCUAAUUGGUCUUGAAAUUAUGGUCCCUCAUAAUUUAGAUUAAUUAUAUACAAGGUAAAUUUGCAAAAUGUAUAAGAUUUUAAUGUUUCCCAACUGCGGAAAAAAAAAACAUUCCAUAUUAUAAGCGCAAGUAUUAGCCCCUGUUUUUUCUAACUAAAAAUUAAUUUUUUAGUAAAUUUUAAUAAACGUUGAUGAAAUAUCUUGAAAGUUUUGGUUUGGUGGAUUCCAAAUUAAAGUUAAUUAUUGAUUUUUACUUAAUUUUAAUCAAUUAUUUAAACUAUAUCAAAUAGGGGCUCAAUGAAAUUUUAUCUAUUUGAAGUCCAAACACAAUUACUUUUUGGAAUAAUUGUAGUUGUGCCCCCAAACCUUUAAAACGAUGUCGAUUUUUCUUAAACAUUUUUCUUGCAACUGUAGUCCAAAACCUUUCAAAUGCGUGCGUUUAGAGCCUGGAUGGAUGGAAACCAUCCAAUCUAUCAUUAGUUGACCAAGAAAAUUAAGUUUCACCACAUUUUUAACAAUUUCAACGAGGGCAAAAUAGUAACUUCAUAAACUUUCACAUAAAAUGAGUUAAAUUUUAAAUUAGAAAAAUCAAAAUAAAUAAAUAAAAACUUCCAAUAGUGUAAUACUGAUUCUUCUUCACCCUCAGCCUCAAUCUACAGCACUGCCCGUCGACCAUCGCCACUCACCGUUGCACUGCAAUGGCCGCCACCGCCAUCUCAAACCGCCAGCUGCCUUCACCAUGCUCAAAUAUACUUCUCGUUCAUUAACACAUAACCCUUUUCAAAUCCACCCACAAAUAGUACAGCUAUCUUCAAAAGAAACUGUGCAAAUAACAAUCGAGGCAUUUUAAGGAAAAUGCUGAACAAAACGAAAAAGAAAGCAGCUUCAGGAGUUAGGGUUUUUCGAUAUCGAACACGUCGAUUACAAUUUGUCUUGGAUUGCGCCGUCACUACAUAGGCAAACUCCCAUGGUGUAAAACGCGAUCGAGAUAAAACUAAAGUUUAAUGAUCCAAUUGAGACAAUCAAUUGAAAUUUAUGUUAAAGGACAAUCAUUGUGAAUUAAACAAACUUGCAAUCACUCAAAGUGGUUACAUGUGAAUAUAUUGACAUGUCUCUAAUAUCGUACACUUGACCGUGUUCAUAAAUAAAUUUGGUAGACCCUACAUAAUUAAAUGUUAAUCUAUUGUUGAAAAAAAAUUAUAAAUUUACUUCUAAAAAAAUAAAAAUAAAAUAAAUGUAUAUAUAUCGUACCAUUGGUCUUCAACCUAUGAACUUAUUACAAUUUGAUCUUUCGACCUAUUUUUCUUGACAGUACAAUCCUCAACUUUUUAUAUUUGCAGCCCUGUUGAUCCAUCAACAUAGAUGUAAAUUGAAACAAAAUCAAAAUAUAAAAACGCAAUCGAGAUAAAUUUAAAGUCUAAUGACCCAAUUGAGACAACCAAUUGAAAUUUAUAUUAAAAGAAAAUCAUCGUGAAUAGAAUUAACUCGCAAUCACUCAAAGUGAAUUCAUGUGAAUAUCUUGACAUAUCUCUAACAUUGUACACUUGGUUGUUCAAUAAAUAAAUGUUGUAGACCCUACAUUAUUAAAUCUUAAUAAAUUGUUGAAAACAAAAAUUAUAAAUUUACUUUUAGAAAAAAUAAAAAUAAAAUAAAUGUAUACAUUGCGCCAUUAAUCUUCAAUCUAUGGACCUUAUUACAACUUGAUCGUUCGACUUAUUUUUUUGAUAGUACAACCCUCAACAUUGUAGAUUUACAAUUUUGUCAAUUCCCGAUAGAUAGGUAAAAUGAAAAGAAAAAUUUAAAUAAAAAAACGCAGUCAAGAUAAAAUUAAAGUUUGAAUACAUGUGAAUAUCUUGGCAUGUUUCUAACAUCGUACACUUGAUUGUUUGAUAAAUAAAUGUGGUAGAUACUACAUUAUUAAAUCAUAAUCUAUUGUUGGAAGCAAAAAUUAUAAAUUUAAUUCUAGAAAAAAUAAAAAUAAAAUAAAUUUAUGUAUCGUACCAUCGGUCAUUAACCUAUGGACUUAUUACAAUUUGAUCUUUCGACCUAUUUUUCUUGACGGUACAAUCCUCAACUUUUUAGAUUUGCAGCCUUGUUGAUCCAUCAACACAGACGUAAAUUGAAACAAAAUCAAAAUAUAAAAAUGCAAUCGAGAUAAAUCUAAAGUCUAAUGACCCAAUUGAGACAACCAAUUGAAAUUUAUGUUAAAGGACAGUCAUCGUGAAUAGAAUUAACUCGCAAUCACUCGAAGUGAAUUCAUGUGAAUAUCCUGACAUAUAUCUCUAACAUCGUACACUCGGGUAAAUAGUACUAAACGUGAAUUAUUAAUUACACAUGAAAUAUUUACUUUGUCUUUACUUAAUAUUUCCGUGAAAUAACAUUUACUUUGUCUUUAAAUAUAACGAAAUAAAUUUCGACUAGCAAUUAUUAAUUACACAUGAAUUUUAGCAAACGCAUGUACUACACUUCCUUGACUUGCACUGAUAAUAAAAAUAUUUUUUCUAUAUAUUAAUGCUAAGAAAUAAUAAAUUACGGGUAAAUAGUACUAAACGUUCAUACUUUUCAAUAUUAUUGUGCAAAACGUCUUUAUCUUUCAUUUUUUGAUAUUUUCACCCCUAAUUCAAUCUUUCAUUGCAUAAAAGGUAAUUUCCAUCCAUAUUUUCAAUAAAAAGACGAUUUUACCCACCAUUUAAAUUUAAAAAAAUAAUAAGAAGAAGAAGAAGAAUAAGAAAAAGAAGAAAUGAAAUGUGAGGAUAAAGAACUAAUUACAACAGUUAUCCCAAAUUUUUAAAAAAUUAUAAAUUAAUCACAAAUAUAUAAUUAAAAAUCAAUACAAAAAAAAAUAAAUAAAUAAAUUAAGAUUCAUUCAUUUUCUUCCUCCGUAUUCUUGUUCCAACUCCCUAUAUGUCUUCGGCAAGCCCAGCUACCAAUGCCAGUGGAUCCCAAAUGAAGAUCCCAAUUCUACCGUUGAUCUGAAAAUCCUCCCUGACUGGGGCUAUGGCCGCGUCUAUUCUCACUGGUUUUAGUUGGUUCCUUGGAGGAAUCUUGGCCGUUGAUUUUAGUGAUAACGUCUUUAGGAGGGGACAGAGAGGAGGAGAUGGAGGAUGAUGAAGUCAUACCGGUACCAGCGGCAUAGAUGGCGAAGGUAGUAGAGUUCCCAAAUGAAGAUCCCAAUUCUACCGUUGAUCUGAAAAUCCUCCCUGACUGGGGCUAUGGCCGCGUCUAUUCUCACUGGUUUUAGUUGGUUCCUUGGAGGAAUCUUGGCCGUUGAUUUUAGUGAUAACGUCUUUAGGAGGGGACAGAGAGGAGGAGAUGGAGGAUCAUACCGGUACCAGCGGCAUAGAUGGCGAAGGUAGUAGAGUUAGCACUACUGUUACUGUUAUCCAUAGUGAUGGGCUUUUGAUGAAGAAGCAGAUUUUGGAAUUCCUUUUUUUUUUUUUUUUAGGGGCUGGAUUGGGGAGAUUUGACGGACUUUUUGAGCUUCUCCAUGUUAAAAAUGGUGGUUAUUCAAUCUAUAUAAACUCUAGUGAGUUCACAAAAAGGGGGGCUGUGUAUAUAUUAUAAUUAUUAGAAGAGACUGAUGAGCUGUUGAGCCAAAGGAUUAAAGAAAUAGCCCAGAAAUGCCUACAUUGGGUUUGGUGAAAAGGAGCAUGAAGACUGUAAGCUUUGGGCUGAAAACGCAAGGAAGCGAGAGAGAGGAGAUUUUACUGUUGCAUAGAUACAGAUUUGCAGCCAAAUGGAUGCUGUUCUUUGAUGUGGAUGAAUUCAUUUUCCACAAAAUCCCUUAAUAUUAUAAAUUGUUGGAGUUUAGUGUAGUGGAUGAAAUCGAAUUAAUUCAUAUCAUGUAUGAACUUUAUAUGUUGGAUUUAUACAUACCAUAUAUGCAAUAUACCAUAUUUACAACUUAUCAUAUAUGCAACAUAUUGUAUUCGUAGCAUACUGUAUUUACACAACAUACCGUAUAUGCAACAGCUUAGCAUAUCGUAUAUGCUGUCUACCGUAUAUACACAUUUUGUUUUUAGAUACCGAUUUUGCAUUUACACAUACCGAAGUUACAGUAAUUUUUUCCAAUUUUUAUUUUUAACAUAAAUAGAAAUUAACGCAGAAUAAUUUUAAUAAACAUAAAUAGAAUGAUAACAUAAUAAAACUACAAAUUAUAUGAAUCACACAAAUAAACGCUAAAUAAAUAAUUCUGCAAGAUUAAAUAAAUAGCAGAUGAAUUUUCAACCAGAGGCUUGUGCGAACACAGUUUCUAAAUAACUAACAUAAAAAGUUUCUAUCAUUCUUCUAACAUAAUUAGCUUUUGUAAAUUGAAAUCCGAAUCUUAAUAGAUAUUUCUAUGUGAUGCAACAUAACCCCAAAAAAAUAGUACUAAACGUGAAUUAUUAAUUACACAUGAAAUAUUUACUUUGUCUUUACUUAAUAUUUCCGUGAAAUAACAUUUACUUUGUCUUUAAAUAUAACGAAAUAAAUUUCGACUAGCAAUUAUUAAUUACACAUGAAUUUUAGCAAACGCAUGUACUACACUUCCUUGACUUGCACUGAUAAUAAAAAUAUUUUUUCUAUAUAUUAAUGCUAAGAAAUAAUAAAUUACGGGUAACUAGUACUAAACGUCCAUACUUUCCAAUAUCAUUGUGCAAAACGUCUUUAUCUUUCAUUUUUUGGUAUUUUCACCCCUAAUUCAAUCUUUCAUUGCAUAUAAGGUAAUUUCCAUCCAUAUUUUCAAUAAAAAGACGAUUUUACCCACCAUUUAAAUUUUAAAAAAUAAUAAGAAGAAGAAGAAGAAUAAGAAAAAGAAGAAAUGAAAUGUGAGGAUAAAGAACUAAUUACAACAGUUAUCCCAAAUUUUUAAAAAAUUAUAAAUUAAUCACAAAUAUAUAAUUAAAAAUCAAUACAAAAAAAAAUAAAUAAAUAAAUUAAGAUUCAUUCAUUUUCUUCCUCCGUAUUCUUGUUCCAACUCCCUAUAUGUCUUCGGCAAGCCCAGCUACCAAUGCCAGUGGAUCCCAAAUGAAGAUCCCAAUUCUACCGUUGAUCUGAAAAUCCUCCCUGACUGGGGCUAUGGCCGCGUCUAUUCUCACUGGUUUUAGUUGGUUCCUUGGAGGAAUCUUGGCCGUUGAUUUCAGCGAUAACGUCUUUAGGAGGGGACAGAGAGGAGGAGAUGGAGGAUGAUGAAGUCAUACCGGUACCAGCGGCAUAGAUGGCGAAGGUAGUAGAGUUAGCACUACUGUUACUGUUAUCCAUAGUGAUGGGCUUUUGAUGAAGAAGCAGAUUUUGGAGUUCUUUUUUUUUUUUUUUUUUUUUUAGGGGCUGGAUUGGGGAGAUUUGACGGACUUUUUGAGCUUCUCCAUGUUAAAAAUGGUGGUUAUUCAAUCUAUAUAAACUCUAGUGAGUUCACAAAAAGGGGGGCUGUGUAUAUAUUAUAAUUAUUAGAAGAGAUUGAUGAGCUGUUGAGCCAAAGGAUUAAAGAAAUAGCCCAGAAAUGCCUACAUUGGGUUUGGUGAAAAGGAGCAUGAAGACUGUAAGCUUUGGGCUGAAAACGCAAGGAAGGGAGAGAGAGGAGAUUUUACUGUUGCAUAGAUACAGAUUUGCAGCCAAAUGGAUGCUGUUCUUUGAUGUGGAUGAAUUCAUUUUCCACAAAAUCCCUUAAUAUUAUAAAUUGUUGGAGUUUAGUGUAGUGGAUGAAAUCGAAUUAAUUCAUAUCAUGUAUGAACUUUAUAUGUUGGAUUUAUACAUACCAUAUAUGCAAUAUACCAUAUUUACAACUUAUCAUAUAUGCAACAUACCGUAUUUGCAGCAUAUUGUAUUUACGCAACAUAUCGUAUAUACAACAGCUUAGCAUAUCGUAUAUGCUACCUACCGUAUAUACACAUUUUGUUUUUAGAUACCGAUUUUGCAUUUACACAUACCAAAAUUAUAGAAAACCGUAUAUGCGGUGAACACGACAAAAUCUUGCAGAUUUAAUUUUCAAUAGAAUAAACAAAUUAAUUUGAUCAACUAAUCUAGUUGGCCAAAUAAUGCAGAUUAAUUUUUAAUAAAUAUAAAUAGAACGACAAAAUAAUAAAACUGCAAGUUAUAUGAAUCACACAAAUAAAUCGUAGAAAUAUAUAAAUAACGAAUGAACUUUCAACCAGAAGCCUAUACGAGUACUAUUUCUUUUAAACAGAUUCGCCCCUUCAUCGUAAACGCUUGAAAUUUAAUUCGAGUGUCUAUUUCUCAGGAUACAACGGUAAAACAGUAGAAUCUGAGCACUGCAGAAACUACUCCGAUAAACUGAUUAGUAUCCGAACAAUAUCACCACCAAGACGAAGCUGACAGAAAAAUUAUGUAUGCAGAUAGACUGAACAACACUAUGAUACAGAACAAUUUUCUCUGUAUUUUGUGUAUGCAGUAUUUUCGUGUGUUCUGAAAUUGCUGAAAAAUGAGAAUGUAUAUAGAUAAAUCUAACAUUAAACUCCAUGGCAAUAAAAUUUGGAGUUGCUUCAAUUUCUGGGAGUUUUGACACUUUCAGAAACUCAAAGGUCAGUUGGAGAAAGUAAAAAAAUUGAAAAACGUGGAGACUUCAAACAGGCCAAUUUUUACUCUGUUCGGUCCGACAUUUGUGUACGCAGGUUGUGCCUGCACACAAAUUCAAAGUUUGAAGGUUAUUUCGGUUCGUGAUUUGCACUCUCUGUGCGCACACGUGAAGAGAGCAUCUAUGCUACACAUGAUUACACUCUUCCAAUGUACAACAAUAUUUAAAGUGGUUCUUACUUUCAUAUUUUUCCUACGUGGGAUAAACUCAAUUUCCCACACAAACUAUUUUCCAAUGGUCAACAUUGAGCUCCAAUUUCUCAUUCAUCCAAACUUCAUUUUUGGCAGGUACAUAUAUGGUUUUGAUGCUCUUAUGGAGAGAACACAGAUCAACUUUGAUCGUCCAAAUUAAAUCAACGAGUCCCACCGAAAAUUGUGCCAAAAGUGAGCUAUUCACUCAUUUUUUUCCAACAUAGAUAACCCAUUGUUUAGUGUUUGAAGUUAAUUUGGGAACAAUUGAUUGUGUUCUUAUUUGUUGAUAAAGAUUUUGGAAGAGAAUGAAGAGGGAUUUUUGCUACAUAUAAGGAAAAGAUGAAUGGUUUUUGUUUUUGUUUUUGUUUUUUUUUUUUAAGUUUUGAACUUCAAUUUUAUAUUUGUGAUUGAUUUGUAAUUUUUUUUUUUUAAAUUUGAGUACAAUUAGUUCUUUAUCCUUUCAUUUCAUUUCACUUUGUUUUUAUUUAAAUAUGAGGGUAAACUCGUCUUUUGAUUGAAAAAUAGAUGAAAAUGACAUUUUGCACAAUGAAAUGUGAAAAUAGGGGUGAAAAUGCCAAAAAAUGAAAGGUAGUGAUAUUUUUCACAAUAAUAUUGAAAGGUAGGGACGUUUUGUGCUAUUUAUCCGAUAAAGUUAGGAUUUUUCGACGUCGAAUAUGUCGAGUACAAUUUGUCUCGGAUUGCUCCAUCGCUAUAUAGGCAAACUCCCAUCGUGUAAAACGUCAUCGAGAUAAAGUUAAAGCCUAAUUACCCAAUUGAAAUUUAUGUUAAAGGACAAUCAUCACGAGUAGAACUAACGAUCACUCCAAGGGGAUACAUGUGAAUAUAUUGACAUGUCUCUAAUAUCGUACGCUUGGCUGUUCCAUAAAUAAAUUAGGUAGACCCUACAUAAUUAAAUGUCAAUCUAUUGUUGAAAAAAAUUAUAAAUUUACUUUUAAAAAAUUUUAAAUAAAUAAAUGUAUAUAUUGUACCAUUGGUCUUCAACCUAUGGACCAUAUUACAACUUGUUAUUUCUACUCAUUUUUCUUGACAGUACAAUCCUCAACUUUUUAGAUUUGUAGCCUUCUUGAUCCCUUGAUGGAGAUAUAAACUGAAACAAAAUCAAAAUAUGCAAAUGCAAUCUACAUAAAUUUAAAAUCCAAUGACCCAAUUGACACAACCAAUUGAAAUUUAUGUUAAAGGACAAUCAACAAUCAUCGUGAAUAGAAUUAACUCGCAAUCACUCAAACCGGAUACAUGUGAAUAUCUUGACAUGUCUCUAAUAUCAUACACUUGAUUUUUUGAUAAAUAAAUGUGGUAGACCCUACAUUAUACCCUACAUUAUUAAAUCUUAAUCUAUUGUUGAAAACAAAAUUUAUAAAUUUACUUUUACAAAACAUAAAAAUAAAAUUGAUGUAUAUAUUGUACCAUUGAUCUUCAACCUAUGGGACUAUUGCAACUUGAUCCUUGGACUUAUUUUCUUGACAAUACAGUCCUCAACUUUUUAGAUUUUCAGCCUUGUUUAUCUCCCGAUGGAGACGUAAAUUGAAAUUAAAUUUAGAUAUAAAAAUGUAAAUUAGAUAAAUUUAAAGUCUAAUAACCCAAUUGAGACAACCAAUUGAAAUUUAUGUUAAAGAACAAUCAUCGAUAAUAGAAGUAACUCACAAUCACUCAAAGUGGAUAUAUUUGAGUAUCUUGACACGUCUCUAAAAUCGUACACUCGAUUGUUCGAUAAAUUAAUAUGGUAGAUCCUAUAUUAUUAAAUCUAAAUCUAUUGUUAUAAACAAAAAUUAUAAAUUUACUUUUAGAAAAAAUAAAACUAAAAUAAUUUAUAUAUUGUAUGUAUCAUUGAUCUUCAACCUAUGGACCUUAUUAAAACUUGAUUCUUUGACCUAUUUUUCUUGACAGUACAAUCCUCUAACUUUUUAGAUUUGCAGCCUUGUUGAUCGCUCGAUAGAGAUGUAAAUUGAAACAAAAAUAAGAUAUAAGAAUGCAAUCGUGAUAAAGUUCAAGUCUAAUGACCCAAUUGAAUGUUGAAGGACAAUCAUUGUUAGCGUGCAAUUACUCAAACUGGAUACAUGUGUCUAACAUAGUACAAUCAGUUGUUUGAUAAAUAAAUAUGGUAGAGCCUACCUUAUUAAAUCUUAAUCUAUUGUUGAAAGCAAAAAUUAUAAAUUUACUUUUAGAAAAAAAUAUAAAUAUGAUAAACGUAAAUAUUGAUCCAUUGAUCUUCAACCUAUGGACCUUAUUACAACUUGAUCCUUCAACUAAAAUGGGAGCCAAAUGGAUGUAUUUCAAUUGUUAAUAAGCAUGAGUAUUCGGUGACCACCCUGUGCAAUUAUGUCAAAGCAAGCACGUUUAAUACAAUCAAAAGACUAAAAAGCAAGGAAAAUCACAGCUUUCAAUCUAGUUAUUGUUGGACAAAAGUUUUUGGCAAGAUUUGAUAAGAGAAUAAAAGAUGUAGUAUUGAGAACAUCGAAAAAUAUGAAACUAAGACUUGAACAGCGAUAACACAAUCAAAUGACUAAAAAGCGAGGAAAAUCGCAGCUUUCAAUUUAGUCAUUGUUGGACAAAAGUAUUCGGAAAGAAUGGAGAAGAGACUAAAUGAUGUAGUAUCGAGAACAUUGAAAAGUACGAAACUAAGACUUGAACGCGUUAUUGCUAUUCUCAAACGAUAUUUGUCCUAUCUAGGAUUAUUUUGGUGAUUAAAGGGACUCAUAACAAUGGCUUGUAAGAUUGAACAAACCUUGAAAAUGAAAAUACGUACACUUGUGAUAAUCUUCCAAAACUCAAAGAACGCAAAAGGAGUUUAAAAGUGAGAAAAGAAUUGAAUUUAAGGAACUCUAUAGUUAUUUUAUUUGAUGAUGAUGAUGAUGAUUAUCAUUAUUAUUAUUAUUAUUAUUAUUAUUAUUAUUAUUAUUAUUAUUAUUGUAUUUGAUUGAAAUCUAUUACCUAUUUAUAGAUUUUAAUCAACACCUUAUGAAAUAGAGCCAAUGGUUCAUGAAAAUCAAGUAUUUUCAUGAAGUCGCUUGAAUUUAAACCAAAAAAUCAACCUAACAACUAUUUUAAGCCCAUGCACACGCAGGGGCGAACCCACAGUGGGUCCUGGUGGGUCACGUGACCCACCAAGUUUGGAUUUUUUUUAAUAAAAAUUUAUUCAUCAAAACCAGAGGAGUCUAUCCCAUUCCAAAUUGCAAUUGAAAUAUGAGGACGAAAACUAACUGUCCCUCCGUAAUGUUCGUCUCGCUUGAACUCUUCCCUAAUCCUCCUCUUGACUUGAGUGUUGUCAGCGAUUGAAGACUCAAAGUCAUCCACCAAUCCAUCCACCAUCCGUUGCGAGCCUGCUGCUGCCAAUUCAAUCGAGUGGUGCUAUUGCCGAUUCAGUGGAUUUGACGAGCUAGCCAUUUGCCAUCGUCCAGACGUUGAUAGUUGUCGCCACCAGUCUACCGUCUAUUGCUAUAGCCGCCCCUUCCCAAAUCCCAUUGACCCAAGGUUAGUUACAAAGUCUACAAGUCUUUACUCUUAUUUUGUGUUUAGAUUUUAACUUACAUAAACACUACAUCUCCUGAUCUCCGAACUCCGGUAAUGACAUUAGUUAUGGCAGUGUGGCAAAGUGAAAUUUGAACUGAAGAUUUAUUUUGUGAUUUAGGAAUCUAUUUGAAUUUGUUGAACUAGAUAUGUAAAUGCUAGGGAUUGAAUUUGCUUGGAGCAAAUCUGAAUAUAUUAUUUGUGAAUUUCUGUGAAUGUAUUGAACUAGCAAAAUAGGUGUGUAAAUGUUAGGGAAUAGGGAUUGACUGUUUGAAUUUUGUUUGGGAUUUGGAAAUUUCAUCAAAAAUUAAAAAUAAAGAUAGCAUUAUUAGGUAAUUGUGAGACUGAUAUGCUUAAAACUUCAGGCAAUUAUGAAAUUUAUUUUGUGAUUAUUGAUAGAAGGACUAUAUUUUUUUUUACUUGAAUUGAUUGUUUUAUUUUCGUUGAUUGUUGUAAUAGUUAUGAAAAAGUACUUUAAGCAUAAAUCUGCAUUUUCUUGUGAUAUACAAAAUGUUAAUCAAAGGAAUAUUCAAAAUGAAAAGGAUGAAAUGAAUGCUGGGGAUGAAAGUAUGAUAUGAAUUUCUAUUGAUUUUUUCCUAACUUUUUGGAAGUUUGAGUGUGUCCUACUAACAACAAAUUCCCGCAUCCGCCACUGUGCACACGCAUCUGUGCCCAUGGUGUAAUGAAGAUUGAUUCAAGUUUGCAAAAUGGAAGUCAUGCGUAUGCAUGGGCAAAAAUUUGGGAAAAAUUACCCAAAAUAAGUAUACAUUUCAAAUAUUAAUUUGGGUUGAGUUAGUUUGAUUUUAAACAUAUAAUUGAGUUGGAUAAAAAUCGAUCCAACCUGACCCAUGCCCACCCUACAAAAGGUGCUUUAUAUAAAUAACGAGUUUCUUGGAAAUGUUUCAAGAUAUUCUUUUUUUGUAUAGAGCAUCUUAUAUAUAUUAUAGAAAGUAUAUUUAAAUUUAAAGAGUCAAAAUUUUUAUACACUUCAACAAUACUCUCUAUUUUUUAAAACAUUUAUUAAUUUCUCCUCAUAUUUUAUUUAACAAAAUUUUUUAUACGUUAAUGACCAUUCAAUUUAAAUAUUACUUGAAUAGUUUAAUAAAUAGAAUAGUGAAAUUUGCGACUUAUUAAAUGCAGUCGUCGUUAAUUAGAAAUAGAAAGUGAGUGUGACUCUCUGUAUUUGAAGAGUCAAGCACACUCUCUAUUUUAAAAGGUUAAAACAAAAAAAAAGUUUCUUAGAGCUUAUUUUUUAGCAUUAGCUCUUUAAAAUAAAGAUCAUUUUUUAUUUAGAGAUUUUUUUGAGAAUAUUAUUACUAUAGGCACUGAUCUUUGGCGACCCCAUGCAAUUACGUCAUGCUACAAUUAUAGAAUCAAAUAGGCACGUUUUUCAAAAUCAAGUGACUAAUUCUGUCUAGUUAAAUAUUAACAAAUGAAUAAAGAUAUUUGUACAAAAUUUGGUUAACAAAAAGUUUUACUCCCUCUCACAUGCAUACGGGCCUUACAUGAAAUAAAAAAUUCCAACAUAUGGUCCCAUAAUCCCACCUUCCCAUUGUGAGUGUAAGUAAAACUUUUUGUACAUCUAGCAUUGUCCAAAAAAGUUUUCCAUUCCAUUUUUCUAAUAAUUUUAGCCCUAUUUUUUUUUAUUUUAUAUAGCACCAUGGCUCCUAGUUAACAAAAAUACGGACAAUGAGAACUUAUUUUUGAAUGUUUGGCCCAAAUAAGUAUACAUUGCGAUGGCAUCCAAUUUAGUCAAAUGGCUAAUCAGGAGAGAAGGUCGCCACUCUUCAUGAUUAGUCAGAUGAAGUUUAGACACUCGAGUCAUAAAAAAAAAAAUACAAAGAAGCCUCACGUAUCUCAUUUCCCAAUGGACCGCUCCACGCGCAAAUUACUUCAACCACCCAUGUUUGCAAAUAUCGCUGUAAAUCAAUUAAGUUCAUAUUUGAUAGAGAUUUUUGGAAAUUUUUUUUUUUUAAAAUAUAUGAUUAAAAUUAAUAAUUAUUUUUUUAUUUAGUUUUAAUCAGAUAUUUAAGCAAUAAUAACAAAGGCUCAAUGAAAUUUAUCUCUCUGAAGAAGUGGUCCGAACGUAAUCACAUUUUUGAACAGGUAAUUUUAUCAUUAAAAAUGGAUUUAUUGAGGAAGUGCUAAAUUAGCUUAAGGGCCACACUUAAGGUAAAAAAUAGUGUGAAUGUGAGACAAACAUUAACACUUGCCCAACCACGCCUGGUCCCUAGAUCUGGACGGACAAUUAAACGGAGACGACAAGUAUCCAAUUGUAAUAGAGAUAUUGGAAGCCAAAAAAAUAAAUGAAUCGAGAUAAUUUUAUCAAAUAUAUUCUCGAAGACCAUUCUUAAACAUUUAUAAGUAAUAUAAUAUUUUUAAGAUUGACUCGAAAGUUAACCCAAAUGAGAGGUCGGUUUAUGGGGUCAAUGGUUCAACAUCUAAUCCAGUUGUUGAAUGGGUGAGUCAAUUUAGGUCAAAUAUAAUAAAAAUUACAUUUAUUAUAUAAAAGUUAGUAAUUAUUAUUUACUAAAUUAAUCCUUAAUUUAUUUAUUUUUUCAAUUUUUGCUCCGAAACUUGAAAAGAUGAAAGGUUUUUAAAAUGAAGUAGAAAAAAUAAUUAGCACUUAAAAUGUGAACAAUGAAGUCUAGUGUGUUAUGCAAACUAUUCAAGUGCUCAAUAAAAUCUGAAAUUUUUACUUAGGCCUUGUUGAGAGUGAUUUUUCAUCUUAAAAACUUGAUUUUUUUGACCGUUAUUUUACUAUUUUAAACAUAAUUUUUGACUUCUUCUUUCAUAAGUAGCCUCCACUUUUCUUUUUAACGAUCAAAAAAUCAAUUCUCAAAAUCACUAUCGAACAGGUCUUUAAUAAUGGCUUGAUGGGUUAAUGGGUUUGGUUCAUUGUCCUUUUAUGAAAAUUUGUGGGAUUUUGAUUUUUUAUUGUGCCAACUGUAGACUGGUCACAUUGAUAUCGUGUCUCGGGUUUUAUCGUUGAACCUCUUGAUUGGUCCAAGUUUUAUAAUAAUGGGUAAUAAAUCUUGAACGAAUUUUUUUUUAUUAAAUUUUCAAAUAUAUAAUUAUUCCGUUUAUACCUGUAAUUUAAUAGUCGAGUAUAAUUAUUUCAUGCAACAUAAGUACCUAACUCUCUUUUCUUUUCUUUUUUUUUUCCUAGAAAAAAAAAGUCUUUACUCUAAUAUUUCAAUGAAUGAAAAGUUACUUCGACUUUUAGUAUAACGGGAUAAAUUUCGACAAGCAAUUAUUGAGUACACAUGGAUUUUAGCAAUCACAUGCACCACACUUCCUCGACUUGCACCACACUUCCUCGACUUGGAGUGGUAAUAAGAAUAUCACUUCUAUAUAUAUAAAUGAUAAGAAAUAAAUUACUAUAAAAGAUUAAUGUAUUACAAAUUUACAAUAGUUAGUAAGCAUGAGUCGUCGGUGACCCCAUGCAAUUACACCAUGCUAUAAUUAUGAGAAUCAAACAAGCACGUUUUACACAACCAAAUGCCGAAAAAUCGAGGAAAAAUGCAGGUUUCAAUCUAGUCAUGUAAUAACAAAUAGACCAUGUUUCUAUUUUUCUGAUCAUUUUAGUCGCCCAUCUUUAAUGUUACAUAGAACCAUGGUUCCUAGUAGGGUUGGACAUGGUCCGAUUUAGUUCGAUUUUAACGAGAAUCGAACUGGAUCCGAAAUUUUUAGAUAUUUAGUAAGUGGAACCGUCGAAUCCAAAUUUAAUUAUAGAAUUGUUCGGGUUCGGUUCCAUUCGAUUCGGUUCGUUUCCAUUCUGUUUCCAAGUUCCGUAUUAAAAUUAAAUUUUUUUAAUAUUUACAAAGUUACAUUAAUUCAACUAAUAAUAUGUUCAAUCUUAGCUCUAACAAAAUAAUGUUGUUCAAUCUUAUGUGUCUUUUGCGUUUCUUUCUUCAUAGAUUUGAUUGUUAAAAUAGCGAGAAGAGGAAGAUAGCAAGCUCAAACUAAUUAAGAAAGCAAUUGUCGAAUUUCAAUUCAAUUUUUUCAUAAUGGUAGAAACGGCACUACGAUAGAGUAAUAGAUUUGGAUAAAUUUUAGGUCAAUUUAAUUAAAUUGUAUUUGAAUUGAAAAUCAGAAAUAGAGAAAUCAUAUUUUUGGAUUCGAACUAAAUUAACCAGUUACCAAAUUAUUUAUAAAAAUAUAAUAAUUUGACUUGUUUAUAUAAAUUAAUUAAAAAAAAUUAGAGAGAUUCGAUUCUUCAAUUCUUGAUCCAGAACCGAGAAUCCAACUGAAUCCAUCGGUUCUUGAUUCAGAUACUCAUUUGGGUAUUUAACUUAAAAAGAACCACUCGAUUCGAUUAGUAUUUUGUCCAGCCCGAGUUCCUAGUUAAUAAAAACUAUCUAAUUGAUGGUGAAACAUGUAGACAAAUCUCACAUAUCACCUUUCCUAAUGGAUCACACCACGCACGAAUGAUUUCAACCGCCCAAACUUUGCACCCAUCGUCGCUAAAACAAUUAGGCUCCAUUUGAUUCUUAUCAAAAUCAGAGGUUCUCAUUUUCCAACAAAAAAGAAAAAAAAAUGUUUUAAAAUGAUCUUGUGAAUAAGAGUUGUUAGAACAUCAAAAAUGAAGGCAGAACCCUCAUUUUUUUACCGCCACCAUUUAAAUCAAGGGUGUUUUGGGAAAGUGAAAUUUUAACAUGACAUAUCCAUACACAAGUCAACAAUUCUAGUGCGUUCCUCUUUCCAACAGACAGCUUCGUUAAUUAUGGCUCCACUGAAGCAGAAAAUGAAGAGAUGCUAGACGGGCUCCCAGCCAAGCGGACACGCGUCCUCCUGGACGUGGCCCUCUCCGUCAAGAAUUAUUGAAAUGAAAAUGGCUUCAAUCUCAUAUUAAUGAAUAUCAAACAGGGUAUAAGUCCAAUGUUUGUUAGAAAGUUUUUAAGAAUAAAUUUUGUGAAAAAAUAUUUUUUUAAGAUGUGUGAUUAAAGGUUAAAAAUGGAUUCACGGGAAAAAUUAUUUUAUUUUUGACAAAUGUUUAUUUUAAAAAUGAGGGCAAGGCCUAAAUAAAAUUAGGUACGUCGUUACUCUUCAACAAGAUUCAUGUAAAUUAAGCAUUAACACGAGCGUAAUGGCCCUUCGAUAGACUAGCAAACAUAGACAAAAAGUAUCCUAAUAUAUUUAGAUAUCUAAUUAGAAUGGUAAGCCACAUAUUGAAUGAACCGAGACAAUUUCAUGAAAUGCAUACCUUGAAGUAGUUGUUAAAUUAAUGGGUAAUAUCAUAGUUUUAGAUUUGACUCGAACACUAACUUAGAUGAAGAGGUGAUGUCACUGGAUCAAUGGUUAAACAUUUAAUCUAAUGGUUGAACGGAUAAAUCAACUCAUGUCAAAUAUGAUAAGAAUUAUUUUUAUAAUAUAAAAGUUAGUAAUAAUAAUUAUAAUUAUUUACUAAUAUAAUCCUUCAUUUAUUUUUUUCAAUGAGAAGAUGAAAUGUUUUAAAGAUGAAGUAGAAAAAAAAAACAAUUAAAAGAAGUGAAAAAUGAAGUGUAGAGUGUUAUGCAACUCCACAAAUGCUAAAUAAAAUCUGAAAAUUUUAAUUAACAAUAAAUCAACGGUUAAUGGGUUUGGUUCAGAGGUUUUUUUAUGAAAAUUCAUGGUUUUUUUGCUUUUUAUUGUGUUGAUUAUAGACUAAUCUAAUAGUACAGCUUGAACAGGUUUGGUAACGAGUUUUCCGUUGAACCGUCUAACUUAUUUGAGUUUUAUAUUACCGAUUAAUACAUCUUCGAAUGGAUGUUUUAAUAAAUAUUGAAACUAUAUUAUUAUUCCUUUUAUACUUCUGAUUAGUAGUCAAGUAUAAUUCUUUCAUCCUGUGGAAUUCAAAACCCCAUUCAUCACCCCUCACUAUGAGAUGAUCAUCUCUUAAGUAACAUAAAAGGAUUUGUCGAGCUUAACAUUUGUUAUAGAUAAAAAUAAAUAACUAUCAUAAAAGGGUCUCUAUCACUCUUCUUAACAUGAUUAGCUUUUGUAAAUUGAAAUCCGAAUCUUAAUAUAUAUUUCUAUGUGAUGCAACAUAAGUAUCCAACCCCGCUACCCCCCGGAAAGAAUUGUCUUUACUUGAAUAUUUCCACAAUAUAACAUUUACAUUGACUUUAAUAUGACGAGAUAAAUUUUGAUAAGCAAUUAUUAAGUACAAACGGAUUUUAGCAAACACACGUAUUAACUAUUCCUUGACUUGCAGUGAUUAUAAAAAUAUUUUUUCUAUAUAUAUAUUAAUGCUAAGAAAUAAAUUACUACAAAGGACUGAUGGCGAUGUCUGCAAUCUUAAUGUAUUACAAUAUUUAAUAAGCACUAAUCUUCAGUGACUCAUGCAAUUACGUCGUGUUACAAUUAUGAGAAUCAAAUACAACCAAAAGACUAAACAGCGAGGAAAAUUGCACUAUCAGCUUUCAACCUAGUAAUGUAAUAACAAAUAAGUCACCAUUCUAUUUUUCUUAUCAUUUUAGUCCUCUAUUUUUAGUUUUACGUAGCACUGUGGUUCAUAGUUAAACUGAAAUUAUCGAACUGACCGUGAAACAUGCAGACAAGUCUCAUUCCUAAUGGGCCACACCGCAGCAAAUGACUUCAACGACCUAACCUUGACUAAAACAAUUAAGUCCAUCCACGUGUUGAUAGAGAUUUUUUGACAACAAAUUUUGUAAAUAAUAAUUUUUUGAAUAAUGUACGGUUAAAAAGUAAGAAACCCUUAUGGAUGGAUCCAUGUGCACAUUAUUUGAUUGGAAAAAAGUGAUCGAAAAUGAGUUUAAAAAAUGAAUUUUAAAAAAUGAGGACUAAACAUUAGGGCUGUAAGCAAAAACCGCCAAACCGAAAAAUCGAACCAAAAUCGCAUUUUAGAAACCGUCGAUUUGGUGCCACGUGGACCCGAUCAAAGAAAUGGUUUUGACCCAAACCAAACUGGUCAAAAUGAUUUGGUUUAGGUUUGAGAAUUUUAAUUGCGGUUUAAAAUCAAACCGGACCGACGAAAAAAUAUAUAAAAAUGAAAAAAUGAUUUUUUUGGAAAAUUUAUCCAAGUAUGUAAAAUUCAAUAGUUUUAUUUGUGGGUAUUUUUGUCAAUUUCUAAUUUUCUAAUACAGAUAUAUUAUUAUUAUUAUCAUCAUCCAAUAAUCCUAAUAUAUAUCUAAUAAUCUCAAGACUAACAUAAUCUAUCAAAAAUCAUUUUCCUCUUCAGAAUUUAGAUGAACUCCAGCCGACAUCUAACACAGUUUUGAGUCACCGGCACUACACACUUCUUUUUCAGAUUUUUCACGCCUCUUCAAAGUUGAAUAGUAGUCUAUUAUACCAAAUCGGAGACAAAAAGAUCCUAGACAUUCGGUGAUAAUAUUUGCUACGAAUAAAGUUUCAGAUUAAUAAUUUUUUGGAACAAACUAAAGUAAGAAUUUGAAAUUAAAUGCGUUUCGUAACAUCAUACAAACGUACACUUGUGUAAUUGUUAUGUUUAGAUAUUAUAAACAAUUGUUUUAUUAUUGUUGUUGGUUAUUCUCUUUAUCUAAUCAGUAUCUUUUUUUCAGAUAUGAUGAUCACGAGGUCUAUUGAACAUCAUUAUAUUUUUUGGGCCUUAUAUCUAAUUUAGUAGACUUAUAUUGUAACGUUAUUAUAUUGUCAUUAGCCUUAAAAAAGGUGAAUAAAAAUGAAAAAAAAACUAUGUUUUAGUUUAUUAUAAUUUUUCUUUGAUUUAGUUGGUAUUUAAUUUAUAAUAGAUAUAUUUAGCCUCUGUUUAAGUCAUAUUUUCCAUAUCAUCAUAACGAGAAAAUUGAUCAUUGGAGAGGAGGCUAUGUCCCACACAUGAAACGGCAGGUCAACAAAGGCGGUUGGACUUGUGGAAUAAUGAUCCAAAUUUUCAUUUUUUUGUUUCAAAAAUUUGAUUCAAACAGAGGUUUAGUUUGUUUUAGAUUUAUUGCUAGUAAGAUAUAAAUAUAUAUUGAAUUCAAUGUUUCAGGAAUCGAACCCCCACACUGCGGCUGCUAGCAAGGUAUGAGAUAACCUCACUCUUGUCAUUUUCACCAUUGGGCUAUGCCCUGAGGGCUCAAUUCCCCAACUCUACAUUUGCGAAGGGGGAGAGCAAGAGAGCGCGUGUGUGUGUGUGUGUGUAGAUUUCUUUUUCUCAUGGGCAACACACAAAUUUUUCUUGUCUAACCCCAAAAAAUAAAAAUAAAAAAUCACAAAAUGCCAGUUUAAAAUCUUUAAUCCAAAUUACAGAUUUUUUGACGUAAAAUUUACAAAACAAUAGGAUUUAUGUUAGAAUUUAGGCUUCCAUCUUAAAAGAUCUACUUGGCUGGGAGGAGUAGCUCAAAACCUUAUAAAUUAGUCUAUAUUUUCUUCUUUAUUCAACGUGAGAUUUUAUCUCUUAAUAUGCCCCCUGCAAGUAGGGUUAUUAAUGGAUUGAAUUUUGAUCCGAAUCCGAUAAAAUUAAUGGGAGACGGAUUUAGGGUCUUAGUCCGAUAACCCGAUCAAGAUCCGAAUCCGAUUAUUCAUUAACUAAAUGAAAUAAAUAUGGAUUUAGAUCAGUCCGAUCCGAUUUAUUAUAAUAAUAUAAUAUAUUUUAUAUAUCAUCGAAAUUUUUUAUAAAACAUAAUUUUUUCCAUUUUGAAAUACUUUACACAUAAUUUUCAAAUAAUAAUUAAUAUUAGAUAAUGAUAUGAUAUUGUUAUUUGAAAUAUUUUAUUUUUUUAUUAAUUAAAAUAAGAUAAAAAUAAUAAUUAAUUUAUUAUUUAUUGAAUAAAAAGCCAUCUAAGCCUUUUAAGUUUAGGGCUUAAAAGUUGACUAAUAUAAAAUAUUUCUCCUACUAAUUUUUUCCAAUGUUUUAAAAAUUGACUCGAGCAUCGAUUCAAAAAAUGAAGAGGGUUAAGAGUCAAAGGGUUGAACCGUGAUCGAACUGUAUGACAAAUUAAAUAAAUAAAUACACAAAUAAACUAUAUUAUAUCACUAAUAUUUUUUAUUUUUAGUUUACCAAUUAAAAAAAUAUAAUCCAUAUUUAUUGAUUAAAUUUAAUGUAGUAAUUUGUAUUAAAACAAUGAUUUUUUUUUUUCAAAUUCAGAUCGGAUUAUCGGAUAACAUAGCAAAUCGAAUAUGGAUUUAACAAUCAAAUAUCCGUUGGAUUAUGGGAUCGGAUCGGACCGAUAAUUAUUCUUAACGAAUCGGAUCGGAUUUGGGUAUAUCUGCUUCAUAUCCGAUCUAUUUACAGCCCUACUCGCAAGGUGGUGGUUCAUUUGAGCACAUCAAUUUUGAAAUCCGUAUGUUUAUUUAUUAAGUCUAAAUCGGAUCAAGGGUUUCAUUUUAAAAGGUCAACCUUUUAAAUAUAAGUAGCUCAAAGCCUUACAAAAUGAUCUAUAUUUUCAUCUUUAUUCGAUAUGAGAUUUUAUCCUUUAACAAUUUAAAUAAUGACGUUAUUUUUGGAAACUAACUCCAAUUAAAAUACAAAACAACUAAAAACCAUCGAGUACAGUUCCUUAAAAGUCGGCCACCUAAAUUUCCAUGUUUAAUACAUUCAAAAAAUAGAUCCCGCUUAAUUGACACCAAUUACCUCCAGGAUACGUGGAAUAAGAAUAUAUUACCUUUGAAAAAUCAUAAAUUUCAUUAUUAUUUUUUUUUUCAUUUUUUUUCUUUUUCACCAGAUUCAUAAUUUAUAAUCUCUAAAGAUGUUUAAGGCUGCCUUUCUUCUACAUAUGUGAUUUCCAUUACAUGUUACACAUUUUUUAUGAAAUGUUUUUGUUGCAUAUAAAAUAUUAUACAAUGUAAUAUACGGAAGUAUCACGUGUAGCAUAUGAUAGCUCGAAAACCAGCGCAUGUCGACUUUAAUCUUCUUGUGGUUCACCUUUUGCGAUAAAUUUGACGAUGAAAAAGUAACAAUGGAACGUUGAAAUUACAAAAAUAAAAAAUUGCGCGAGAAAUUAUCGGAAUCUGUGAUGGACAUCUUGGAGAGAAGAUACGUGCUUGAUAGCUUUAGGCUUACUCCGUGUCUGGGGGCGAAAAGGCCUUGGGACCCAGCCCUGCCACCACCUACUCGCCCCUGCUAGGUUAGCUUUCAAGUCGAAUCUGGAAACUAUGAUAUUGCCUACAGAUAUUUAAGAGCUGUUUUGAGGGUAUGCAUUGGAUUUUGAUAAUUGUACAUCAGGUUUGACAUCCCGAUGUACCAAUCCCUCACAACAAAAGGGGGUCCACGAUGAAUAAAAAAAUUAUAGACCCCCUAUUGUGAGGGGGUCGGUACGAGUAGCAUGGUCCGUAUGCAUUUGAUAAAUUGGUCUUAAGGGUUGUGCAUGUGUUAAAUAUCUGACUUGCGUUGAUUCCUUGUCCCUUGAAUCUCCUUGUUGAAGAGUAACAUUGUAACAACAUUCACAAUUUAGCUCCCGUUCGGUAUUCAUGUUUUUCAAAAUGCAUUUUUCUCUCUUCUUUUUAAUCACACAUUUUUUAUUAAAAUAAUAUUAUACGUAAAUAAAAAACUUUUCCUUUUUUUCAACCACACACUUCCCAUCAAAUUACUAUUCUAAAAUGUAUUUUUACAUAAAAAUAGCUCUCCAACACCCCCUUAAUUUAGAAUAAUGAGUUACUUGUACAUAAACAAUUACGUAUGAGUAAAGAGGGCGUUGAUGGUGCUAGAGACGUGAACCACUAAGUACAAAAAUGUUGUAACUCUUCAUUUGCAAGGAGAGUUUCGAUGAAUUCCUUGGUUAGUUUAAAAUAAGAUCAGGGGAAAGAGACCGUGCUAAUAAUGGAGAUAAUGAAGGAGUAACAUUAGCAAUUUAAGUGUUCGAAGUGCUAAAAGUCGUACCGUGUGCAUGCAAAUUUCAAGGUAAGAUUCAACGAUAAUGUCCAAUCUGGAGAAACUAUAAAAAGUAAGCGUAACACUGUAGUUACGUCUCAAUAAUGUAAAUUAAAUAUCAUAUGUGGAUCGCCUCUAUUGUGACAUGAGCAAUUAAGUGAUUACUUAAGAAGUUUUUGAUUUUAAGUGGAGAAAUUUUUAAAUCAAUUAUAAACUGUGUAUAGAUUAGUGAUCGAAGUUGAAUAAAAUGUAAUGAAAUUUUGUAAGUUUGCAAAAUAAAGUACAUAAUGUUGAAACACUUUAUCAUUGAUUUAAAUGUUUAAAUAGCUAAAUGAAGUCACAUGUAUAUCAUUUAAAAUAUUAUCUAAAACAGUCAUUAAGUAGUGAAUUACAAUUGUGGAUCUAAAUCAUAAGUAGAAAUAAUAUUAACUAAACACUCUAGUAGUUUGCAAAGUUGCUACUUAGUCUCCAUUCUUCGCAUAAUAAUUAUUAACUUGUAUUGCCUCCCGGGGCAUAGUCCAGUGGUGUAAAUGAUAGGAAUGAGGUUAUCUCAUGUCUUGCUGGCAGCCGCAGUGUGGGGGUUCGAUUCAUGAGACAUGGAAUUGGAUUCCUUGUAGGCGCAGUGUACAGGCAACUCUUGUUCCCUAGCUUGCUGGGGCACAUCCCGAGAUUUACCUCCCUCACAAAGCUCUAGGGGUGGGGGCCCUCAAGGUUGAGGUUCAAACUUUUUUUUUUUUAAUUAACUUGUAUCACGACAUUAAUUAUGAACCCACUAAGUAGCAAUGUAAUGACUGAACCCCCAAUUCUCCCAAAAUACAACAAUUUUAUUUCUUUCUUCGUCUUUGCAUUUUAAUUUAAAUAUAAUUCAAGACGUAAUCCCAUAUCCAAAAGAAAAAAAUUUAAUAAGUUUUCUUUAGUUAAUUUUCUAAUGUGGCAAAUUUCAUUUAUUUAACCGUCAAAAUAUCAAUUUUUUUUUAUUGAAAAUAUAUUUAAUUGUACCUCAAUUUUAGUAUUUAACUGCUUUAUAUUGCAAAUUUCAAAACAAAACUUCAAUGCAUUUUUCUUGGCUGGCUGAAAGCAUCUCCAAAAAACUCUCUAAAUACAAGACAUUUUUUAUUUUAGAUAGUCAAUGCUUAAAAAUAAAUUUCAAGAUACAUUGUAGAGGCCAUUAGCAUCUGCUUGAAGGAUAUAAUACUAUAUAAUUCUUGAGAAAUUACAACUGGGAACAGUAGAUUUUUUCAUGUAAAUGGACAACAAUUUCUGAAGAGAAAAAACAUCCAAACGAUGUACAGUUUAAGCCCUUUCUGGAUUAAUAGAAGUUGAGAGACAUCUUAGAGUAUAUAGUAGAGAGACAUACUAUAAUUUCUUCUAUUACUGUUCCUCGUCUGAUUUAGAAAGAGGUUGUCAUAAUUCUACUAAUUAAUAUAAUCCUUCUACUAGCCUUAGAACAUAUAAUUAGCACAAGAAAUAUGUCCAAAUCUUGUAGGAGUAGACAAUACUUACGAAGCAACAAACAAUAAAUGGAGAUUAUCCUGCAAUUUUAGGUGUGAUUGAGCGUGCUUAUUUUCAUUCAUAAUCAACCGUUCUUUCCGAUAAUCAACUUGGGAUCAAAAUAAUAGUCGUGAUACUUCUUCCAUCCCACUGUUAAUUCCACUUCCAUUUAACGGACGUCCCAAAAUUAGAGUCUACUUGAUAAGUAGAAUAAUCUAUUAACUAACUGUUCUCUAAAUGUAUGGUAUCAUUGACUAAAUAUCAAAAGCCGUGACCCCCAAAAUGCAAUUGUAUUUUUGGAAGUGAACAGAGUAUUAAAGGACCGCACGUGGCUCCAAAAUGAAAUGAGUUGAAAGGAGGUAGCAGAAAUAUUUGUUUACUAUCAAUCAGCUUGACAUUUUUCGGGUAAAUUAGGAAUUUGAAUUUAUCAUCAUCCAUGAGGCUAUAAUCUAAUAUUUGAUUACUAUUGCUUCAGGUACAAACCAAGUGGUCUAAUUUGAAGAAAAGAGUGUUUAGAUAGAAAUCGUGAUAAAGAUUGUAUUUUUGAAGAAUUCUGCAAAUCUUUUGCUUUUCUUUUCGUUCCAGCAAUCUUGAUUCGCCACGCACAGCCGUCCAAUUGUCCAGCCUCCAAAGGUGAUCCACACAGAGAACAAGAUUGCAGCUACCAGGGUUUUCUCCUCUUGUGCUAGUAAGAAUAAUUAUGAGAAAAACCAUAUGGAUUGAUAACCCUAGCCAUGUAUUUAUAUAAGCCCAAAUGGGCCUGGUCUGGUCCUAUCAAAUAUUUAAUUAAUCCAUUUAAUUAAAUUCGGUCCGUGAAUUAAUUAAUCCAAUUAAUUAAUUCGGGCCUAUAAAUAACCAAACCAAUUAAUUAAUUUAUCAGACGAUUGUUAAAUUAAUUAAUUGACAAAUUAUAAUCUUCCAAUUCUCUUUUGUGUGCGACCCAUCAGGUUCCCGAUCACGAUGCCUAACGACGUGAAAUAUUAUUUUGAUCUAAUCAAAAUUGAUAAAUUAAAAUACCAUUUUAAUUUAUCAUCAAUUCACACUUGCCGUCCCAGAUUGACAUUUAACAAUGUGUCAGGGUAAUACAUGUGAUAGGAAAUGUCACGUGGUAUGACAAAACCAAACUCGUUGGUUUACCGUGAAACUAUAAUCCCUUCGUCAAUAUGAUCCUAUCAAUUACGAGAUAUGAAAUUGUGUCAAUCCCGAAUAUCGAUCAUAUCUUUCACUCCACUAUUAAGUCAAUAUAAGUCGAAAAUUCCUUUUCGACUUAUGAGUACACCUUGGCCAAUGAUUUUGUUAUCAACUUAAUUUGAAUGAAACGCAGAUCAUAAUCUCCUACUAUCUAAGAGUGAUGAAUCCUUUAUUGGUCAAUCACAACCUUCAUACGAUUCUUGACGUACCCGAACGAUGUCGUAUUAGUGGCCCUUUGCAGAGCGACAUCCAACAUCGCCAAAGUAUGACUGUCCUCAUAUAAGGUACCAUGACGAUCUCAAGUAAAAUGACCAAUUUCACUACCGAACGUUAGAGAUUAACCACUGACACUCAGAUAAUUAUCCAUGUGGAAUCUCUCGGCGGGUCUCCAAUAUUUUGUUUUAUAACAAAACAUUCACGUGUUCAUUUAAGUGUUAUCACACUUUAACUUGUGAGAUCAGCUACUUACUUCACAAGUAAGAAAUGCCACACGUGAUGGUCUAUCCGUAAUAACGAUAUCUGUAUCUCGUUAUUACUUACGACCACGGAUGAUUUAAGAUUCAAUCAGAUGUAAUCUGUAUCUCAAAAUCACAACCCCUUGUGAUUAACAAAUUACGAAGAUUUGAAUCUACGAACUCUAUUAUUUAAUUAAUAGGCAAUUAAUCAAAUAUUAGAUCUGCCAUUAAACUGCAUUAAUUAGAUAUCCAAAGUAUUUAUGUCCAAAGUUGAUUGGACCUAGGGCAUAAUACUUACAAACUCCCACUUGCACUAGAUCCAAUCACUUAUGUAUCCAAUAUCAUAAGUCUACAUGACGAUCAUGUUUAUGCUACGAUAACUCUUAGUCAGUGGAUCUGCAAUAUUGUUAAAUGUGUGAAUUUGUUCUUCUCUUUACGUCAUUUCUAUGUAUUAUCUUUCUGAUGAGAUUAUACCACCUUAAUACAUGUUUGGAUCAUCGAUAAGACCUUAGUUCCUUCACUUUCGCAAUGGCUCUAUUGUUAUCACAAUACAAUGGCAUGUGAUCAACAAUAUCAGGAACUACUCCAAGUUCAUUUAUGAAUAUCAUGAUCCAGAUUGCAACUCUUUGCUACUUCUGAAAUAAUCAUGUAUUAGGUUUUUACUAUUGAAUCAACGGUUGCUUCACGUUUGGAACCUUUCCAACAUAUCGCUUAAGAGUAAACCAGUUUCUCCAUAUGAAAUUGGGAUGAGUUAAGCAACCUUCUAGAUCUAUCUCUAUAAAUCAAGUUACUUCUCCCAUAUCGUUCAAGAAUAAAUAUUUUAAAAGCCAUUAUUUCAACGAUUGAAAUAUAGGGAUGUCGUUUUCUAUAAUGUUAAUAAUACGACAAUGCUCACACUAUCUUCUUGUAAACACACAAUUCGUCUUCAAAUUUGAUGAAAUCAAACACUUUGACUUUUUCAUCAAAUCUAAGAUUUCAGCUCCAAGGGAUUUCUCUUAACAUAUAGUCACGGUAUGCAACUGUUGUAAGCAAAACCCGAAUGGACUUAAGCAAGGCUACAGGAGAAAGGUUUCACCAAGGUCAACACUUAACCUUUGCUUCUAGCCUUACUUUGUGUAUAUGAAUAUUUACAUCCAUAUUGACCUUUUCCUUGUAAACUAUUUACAAAAACUUAUGGGUUUUAUUCCAUCAGGAGGCUUGACCAAGGUCCAAACCUUGUUCAUAUACGUCGAAUUCAUCUCGAGUUUCAUGGCCUCUUACUGUCUAUUUUAGGUCAACACUUGACUUUAUUUUGGUGCAACUAGCAAGUUCAUUAUCCUGGAUCGGUAAUACCUGAUUAGUAAUGAUGGAUUCGUAUCGUCUUCAAGGUCGAAUGAUCCUACUAGAUUCACAUAGAGUUGAUAUGUUCUCAGGAGUCUUUACUUCCUGAUCAAGAGCAUUUCCCAUAUCAGAUAUGGGAUCAAACUCGGAUUUAUUUACUUGGUUAACUAUAUCUGUGGACUCUUGAGCUCUUUCAUGUUCUAUUUUGCUCUCACUGUCCUCCCCUAUAAUAAACAUUUUCUCUAAGAAGACGGUAUGUCGAGAGAUGAAGACUUUCUUCACAAUAAUAGAAUUUAUAUUCAAAUAUUUGCUUUGAAUAUCCCACAAAUAUGUAUUUAUCGGAUUUAGUUUCAAACUUAUCCGAUUUAAUGCGCUUCAAAUAAGCGUCAUGGCCCCAAACUUUCAUAUGAGAUAAAUUGGGACUACUGUCUUUUUAUAACUCGUAUGAAGUUCUGUUAACCAAUUUAGAUGGGACAUGAUGGACAUGAUUUAGUGUGUUGCACACUGCAAUCAAUACAUGAUGCCAAAACAAUUUUGGGAGACUCCCACGGCUUGUUAUUAAUCGUAUUAUAUAUAAUAGUUAACGAUUCCUCCUUUUUGAUACACAACUAUGUUAUAGCGUAUAUGGAGGAGUCCACUGCAAGAGAAUCUUAUUCUCUCUUAGAUAAUCUAAAUUUUAUCUUUAAGAUAUUCUCAUUCGAUCGAAUCUUAAUGUGAGGGUAUCUUUACCUAUUUGUUUCUCUACUUCUUGUUUGAAUUCCUUGAACCUUUCAAGAGUUUCAUGUUUGAAUUUCAUCAAGUAUACAUGAUCAUUGAUAAAAUAAGAGAAACAUUACCUGACAUCAAUUGACAUGAGUCCAUAUGCAUCACUAUGCAUUAGACCAGUAAUUAUGCUGACCUUUCUUCUUUUCCAGUAAAAGAAGAUUUGGUCAUUGUGUUAGACAUGCACAAUUUAUACUUGUCAACAUCAAUUAAUCCCGAGUAUACAUCUUUAUGUAACUUUGGAAUUGCAUUUCAUCUAUAUGACAAAGUCUGCCAUGCCAGAUUUCGGCAAUAAUUUGAUUAUCAUAUUUAUGCCUUAUAAUUUCUAUACUUAUUAUAGAAUCCUUAGUAUUAAAGAAUAUAAACGUCGUUUUUUUAAUUUACCAUAGCCAUUAGGAUUUUUAUCAAGAUAAAUAAGAAAAAAAUUGUCCUUAAAAUUAAAACAGUUCAUGUCCGAACAUGAAAUUCAUUUUAAUGUUUCAGCUAUGGUGGGUAUAAAGUAACAUUUCCCUAAUUCCAAUACUAAACCAAAAGGUAAUGACAAGAAGUAUAUUUCUACAGGCAAUGCAACAACCUUUGCUCAUCUCCAACGUGUGGGUUAACUUCUCCCUUUCGCAGUGGUCUACUUCUAUUUAGUUUCUCCAUAUUUGUAUAAAUAUGAGAUUUACAUCUGGUAUCAGAUACCUAAGAAACUCGUGAAGUAGAUGCAAGCCACACAAUAUUCUUUCCAAUGACCUUUCAUUCUAUAAUGAAAUCAAGGGUCAUUAGAUUUGGUAUUGUCCUUCGCUUAGACUGUCUUAACCAUAUUGGGUACUUUCUCAAAGUCCCUUUAGACUUCCUCUUAAUACCCUUAGAGGAAUCAAUGGUUUGCCCACUACCAACUUUGAUAAAGGGGUUAACAGUCCUAAGCAUGUUAAGCAACUUAAUGAGUAUGCAUUCGAGUUUAUUCAUAUCAUAAUUCAUAAUUAGUAUGAAUGACUCUAUGACAAAGAUUGCAUAGCUAAGUCAAUACUUAGUUCAUAGUUAAUGAUUGAACUUAGUCGAGACACUUCUCAUGUCAAUCAUCUUCAGUACCUUAGCACUGACCAAAGAUCGUUCUGUCAUUUUGCAUCGAUAUAGUUGUUCGGAAGUCUCAUAUCCUUCCACACAUGAUUAUUAUCAUACAACCCUUUGAAAUGAAAAAUCACGUGUUAGCAUCUAUACUCUCAUGUUGUUUCCGUAACUCAGGUGACAUAGUUGCAAGAAUCACAUACGUUGCGGUACUAUUGUCAUCAUUGCGUUUAUUACAAUAGAUACCUCUUCUUUAAUCGAAUCAUCAGCAGGUGUCUCUGGAAAAGGCUACUCAAGGACGUGACCAAUUUUCUCAUGCAUUAGAACAAUUCUCAAAUUGCUGAGUCAAUUAAGAAAAUCUAGUUUGGUUGUUGACAUCUAGUAUGCCAUUCAAAUACAUAUGGUUACACAUGAUUCAAUAAGUAUAAAUGACGAAAAAAUGAAAGAAUAAUAUAUAAAAUACAUCAAUUAAUUUAACAUGGACUUUUAUUAAAUUAAUUAUGCUCCCACUGUUUAAAUCAAAUUUAUGACCCUCUCACAUAAAUUUAUGGAAUCCAUAUUUAACUCCCAGUGGGCUGAAAUCCCAUCUAUUAUAUUAAGAUCUUGAGUAUAAUCAACAAGCCUUAAUAUAACAUUAGGGUAGAUACUAUUAUCAAUUGUAUCUCCAUACAACUCCCAAAUCAUUAAGCUGACAACUCUUUAUCUUCACAUAUCUUAUGUGUUAGCUUAACAUGCCUCUAAAAUUUAUCUCCUUGAGUGUACUUAACAAAAGAUAAAUUUUAGUUAAGUCAAACCCGUCAUUCAGAAAUAUCAAAUAUUUCAUAGUGUCAAACAUACCCCUAAUAGACCAGCCUUGAGUAUACUCAACAAGUUUAGACGAUUUGGGACUCUAGUUUUUCACUAUAAUGAUGGAAGGCGAUUAUAAAUGUGACUUAAUAUUUUAUGGAAGGAUUUUGCAUUCAAGGGUCUCAUUGUAACAGUAAUAUAUAUUUUAUUAUACAUCUACUAUGUAAAUAAAUAUAUAUAACAUAAUUUAAUAGUGUGGACGAUUAUAGACUUUACUAUCUAGUCUUCCCGAGCCAUAAGGAAGACUAGUUGGUCAGUUCCUAGGGGGUAUUACACUGACCAAUAUCAAUGCGCCAUUUCCAUGGUCUCCUCCUCUUCUUGUUUCUUCAAUUAGUCCAAUUGCAACCUGUAUCUUAUACUAGUUGGCAUGCAGGCUUAAAUGAAAUUGGACUCGCAAGCCCACAGCAAUAAUAAUAAUAACGGACUCGCAGGUCCAAAAUGAUCAAGAGCUUGCAAGCCCAAAAUAAUGACAAUAAUAACGGGCUCGCAGACCCAGAACAACAAAAAUAAAAAUUAACCAUUCAACACAUUCAUAUGGUCGAGUCCAUAAUUGUCCACUAAUAAUACAUUCAUUAAAUAAAUGUAUACCUCUAUAAUAUCUAAUAUUAUAUGCAAAUUAGUUUCAAGUUUCUAGUAAUUAAGUGGUCUAAACUCCUUUAGACAAAUGGAUUGGAACAAUUAAAUAAUUAAUUAAUCAUAUUAAUCAAUUAUUUAAUUAGCGGGCAUUAAAAUCAAAUUUCAAUUAAAUACCAAAUUAGAGUCCAACUCUAAUUCAACAAUUAUAUGACGGAAUUAUUUAAUUAAAAUCAAAUUCUAAUUAAAAAUCAAAUUAGAGUCAAACUAUAAUUUCACAAUUUAAAGUGGUGGAAUUUAAUUAAAAUCAAAUUUUAAUUAAAUAAAAAAAUUAGAGUCUAACUUUAAUUCCAAGAUUUUAGGGCGGAUUUAUUUAAUCAAAAUCAUAUUUUAAUUAAAUACCAAAUUAGAGUACAACUCUAAUUCCAAGAAGAAAUUUAGGGCGAGACAAUUUAAUUAAAAUCAAAUUUUAAUUAAAUGUCAAAUUAGAAUCCAAUUCUAACUUCAAUAACAUAUUUAGGUGAAUAAUUUAAUUAAAAUCAAAUUUUAAUUAAACACUAAAUUAGAAUCCAAUUCUAACUUAAAUUGAAUUAAGAUUUUCAUUUAGGAUAAAAUCCCUAAAUAAAAUAAAAUUCAAUUUAGGGUCAAAGUUUAAUAUUCAAGUUAAAAUCUAAUUUUAACGAAAAUAUAAAAAGUCGUCAACUUUAAAUAGAAUUUUAAAUCUGGGUCAAAAUUAAAAUUAUGGGUCAAACCCAUUUAAAGUACAAUUUUAAAACCAAUUCAAAAUUCAAAUUCAAAACCAUUUGGAAAUUGAAAUUUGACCCGAGUUAAAAUUUAUAAUCAAAGCCUCACAAUUUCGAAAAUUUUAGAACCGACCCUCCCAAUUUCACAAAUUACAGAAAUAGGUCCUUAUUUGAAAAUUACAACUUAACCCUAAAAUUUAAUUGUAGGCAGGGGCCUAAAAAUUAUCAAUUUGCAUUAGAAGCCCCCGCCUCCAAUGACCCACGGUUUGAAAACCCUAGAAAAAAUUUUUAUUUUUAUUUUUAUUUUAUUUUCUCUUAGCUGGCGGUGCCGCCCUAAUAAGCCGGCAAGCCCGUCGCCUAAAGACAGCGGGUUGUUGUCGGCCGCCCCAGUAGCGCGAAAGCGCUGCUGCAGCAGCGGCAGACGCGGCUGUUGUCGCUUUUGGCAGCGUCAUCUCUUAGCAGCCGCAUCUGCCGCCGGUAGCUUCGCUAUCGCCAGCAGCAAUUGUUGCUGUCGGCAUCCCAUCCCUCCUAAAUCAGAUUUCAAAAAUUAAGAAAACUAAAUUUUCUUCAAUUGCUAGAAACAUGAAAAAUAAUAACAAUCAAAGAUCAAUUCCUAACAAACACAAAGUAGGCUCUGAUACCACUGCUGGGAAUCUACUUAUACAUGCACAGCGAAAAAUUAAAAUUAUUUCGAUUCCCACCAAGGAUCCCUUUGUGGUUAGAUAGAAAUCGUGAUAAAGAUUGUACCUUUGAAGAAUUCUGCAAACCUUUUGCUUUUCUUUUCGUUCUAGCAAUCUUGAUUCGCCACCCACAGCUGUCCAAUUGUCCAGCCUCUAAUGGUGAUCCACACAGAGAACAAAAUUGCAGCUAUCAGGGUUUUCUCCUCUUGUGCUAGCAAGAAUAAUUAUGAGAAAAAUCAUAUGGAUUGAUAACCUUAGCCAUGUAUUUAUAUAAGCCCAAACGGGCCUGGUCCAAUCCGGUCUAAUAUUUAAUUAAUACAUUUAAUUAAAUCUGGUCCAUGAAUUAAUUAAUCCAAUUAAAUAAUUCGGACCUAUAAAUAACCAAACCAAUUAAUUAAUUUAUCCUACAAUUGUUAAAUUAAUUAAUUGACAAAUUGCAAUCUUCCAAUUCUCUUUUGUGUGCGACCCAUCAGGUUCCCGAUCACGAUGCUUAACGACGUGAAAUAUUAUUUUGAUCUAAUCAAAAUUGAUAAAUUAAAAUAUCAUUUUAAUUUAUCAUCAAUUCACACUCGUCGUCCCAGAUUGACAUCUAGCAAUGUGUCAGGAUAAUACAUGUGACGGGAAAUGUCACGUGGUAUGACAAAACCAAACUCAUUCGUUUACCGUGAAACUAUAAUCCCUUCGUCAAUAUGAUCCGAUCAAUUACAAGAUAUGAAAUUGUGUCAAUCCCGAAUAUCGAUCAUAUCUUUCACUCCACUAUUAAGUUAAUAGAAGUCGAAAACUCAUUUUUGACUUAUGAGUACACCUUGGCCAAGAAUUUUGUUAUCAACUUAAUUUGAAUGAAACGCAGAUCAUAAUCUUCUACUAUCUAAAAGUGACGAAUCCUUUAUUGGUCAAUCACAACCUUCAUAUGAUUCUUGAGGUACCCGAACGAUGUCGUAUUAGUGGCCGUUUGCAGAGCAACAUCCAACAUCACCAAAGUAUGACUGUCCUCAUAUAAGGUACCAUGACGACCUCUAGUAAAAGGACCAAUUUCACUACCGAACGUUAGAGAUUAAUCACUGACACUCAGAUAGUUAUCUAUGUGAAAUCUUUCGGCGGGUCUCCAAUGUUUUGUUCUAUAACAAAAUAUCCACGUGUUCAUUUAAGUGUCACCACACUUUAGCUUGUGAGAUCAGCUACUUACUUCACAAGUGAGAAAUGCCACACAUGAUGGUCUAUCCACAAUAACAAUAUCCGUAUCUCGUUAUUACUUACGACCACGGACGAUUUAAGAUUCAAUCAGAUGUAAUCUGUGUCUCACAAUCACAACUCCUUGUGAUUAACAAAUUACGAAGAUUUGAAUCUACGGACUCUACUUUUUAAUUAAUAGCCAAUUAAUCAAAUAAUAGAUCUGCCAUUAAAUUGCAUUAAUUAUAUAUCAAAAGUAUUUAUGUUUAAAGUUGAUUGGACCUAAGACAUAAUACUUACAACAUAAAGGGUAGUAUCAAUGAUGCUAGUAAGUCUUUCGCAGGUCCUUAAUUUGUUUCUGUCACAGUGUGAUAACAGGCUUUCGAGCUAAAAAUCUUAAACAGGUAGAUCCAUAAGCGAGAUUUAAUACCACUCAUAUAAGUGUGGAUAGUUGAUACAAGAAGCCUGGUGCAUUUCUCAGCCUUGAAAUCUCGAAGAGAUGUAAUUUUGUAAAGAUAUGAAAUCAUUUCUUUGUUUUCGAACAAAGCAGCUGCCUUUUCAAGUGUGGUCAUUUCUUGGCUGCCUCGAGUUGUUGGCAGAGUACGAUUUUUUUUCAUAACGACCUUGGAAAUUUCUACAAUCCCUGAUGCAGCUGCUAAACAAAAGGUGGUAUUUCCAUGUGCAUUUGGCAACGCCAAGUCACUAGAUUCUUGACAAAUUCAGUUUGCUUGGUGACAGAAUCUAUGCGAAGAGGCCAUUUUCUCUUUCUAUUUUUUCUAUACAAGCUACACUUCUGUCCACAAUCAGAACAAUUUCAAUAGCCUUCCAAUCACCUCCUAGAGCAGCUGGAUAUCAAAACGCUGGAACCUUUAGAGUAUACAAUGUAACACACAAAAUUAGAGGACAUCCCAUGUGAAUAACUUAUACAAUGCAUCAACUCUUGAAGUCUACGAGUAGAAAGGAGAACAAUUUUAUUACUCAAUACCAAAUCUAGAACUCUUGAAAAUACUGAGCGAGUCUAGAAAAACUCCAAAAUCUAAUCUAAAAUAAAUUUAAAACCAGUUUUUAUUUUUAUUUUAUUGUUUUUUUCUUUUUCUUUUUUUGCGCACUUUAAGGGACAAUAAUAGAUUUCAUCUAUCUCUUCUACGCAAAUGUGAUACCAUACACUUUCUUAUUUCAUUAAUUUGCUUGACUUUGGUACUGGUAUAUUGAACUCAAAAACUGACUGCCAGUUUUGUUCAUUGCAUUUAUCUUGAUUAUGUUGAAAUAUGUGAUGAAGCUUCCCACACUCUCACUCAAACAGGAAUAUCAUCUUCUCUUAUCUACUUUACUAAACUACCACCAUCAUUUUAUACAUUAUGGAAAAGGCAGACAACGUGUUUACUACAAUCAUCUUAGUUCUUUUCAAGUCAUAAGUAUUGGUCUAUGAUUCAUGUGGUUUUUAGUCCCUGGGUAGUUAAUCUAUCAGAUAUUGUCAGUGUAACGAUAUGCCAACAUCAGAAAUAUGCCCUAAUAUAAUAAUAUUUUGCUCUUCUAGCUGGUUGGUUACUGUCUUCAAUGAUGAAUUUUCUUUUGUCAAGUGCACCUGUUCAGUGAUUGCAGGUAGUGGAUACGUCAUACUUGAAAGAGAGUAUGAACAGAAACACACACUCUGGAUUGGCCAUGACACCGAAACCUUCGAUCCUGAGACAGAGAAUAGUUUUUCAGCAGAAGCUAGCAUACAGAAUGCAGCUCUUCAUUAAGUUCUCUGCUGAUUAUUUUGGAAUUUCAGAAUGGAAGCGAUAGGUAUGACAAUGAUAUUUGCUUGUAAGCUUAUGGUAUCUUAGUAAAAUGCUAUAUUAAUUGGCAAACACAUUAUCUGGUAAGAUGAUAAUUCUCCUUUAUUUGCCUAAGCAACAGUAUUUUGGUUGAAACUUUUAUCAACUCAUUUCCAUACUCGUGACACUAAAAAGUCAAAUAAAAUGACAUUUGGAAAAUUGAUAUCGUUUCUUUUGUUGGACCCGAAAGAAUUGUAGUGAAUGAGAUUAAUGAUGCGAUAUGAAGUAAUAGAGAUCGUAACGAGAAACAAGAUUUAAAAGUAAACAAAGAGAGUUAAUCACAGAAGCAUGACGUUUUAUUAAUAGUCAAUAUGGAGAGAAAUAUAAGAACUCAACAAUUAUUACUUGAACAAAACUGAAAGAGGAUACCACUGUUUAUAGGUACAUGGCAUAACAUAAAGAUGGAAAUAAUGUGGAACAAGAAAUAAUAUGUUUCCAUAAAAUAACAUAUAAGGAAACAAUUUUUCUUACAUGGAAAUAAGGAAACAAUUUAUUUCCAAAUAAAUCCACACUAAUUUGGGUUACAAACCACCUUGAUCCAAAUUCCGAUGCAACAAACUAAACUCCAAAAUUUCAAAUCUGUCUGCAUCAAAAUAGCAAAUCUUAUCAACACAAUAAAGAAAACUCUCUAAACCAAACUAUCGUUCUAUGAGAAGUGUCCACAAGCGAUACCUGAACCCAAAUUUCGGGUUCCCAAAAUCCUACCGAAGAAUUACUGUUGACCAAACAGGGUCAAAGCACACCCUGUAAAAGAAACCAUACCAUAUGCUGGAUCAGAAGGCCCUUUGUUAGAUCUUCCCAAAAGCAUCACAGACAUUAUUGACACCACGAUACCUACACUCCAUGAGUCCAACCCUAGCAAAUGAACACAGCUUAUCCACUGAAAAUGGUGGGAAAGUGGAAUCACCAACGCUCUCCCUAACGGUGUUCUUAACCAACUCAAAGCUUGCCACAAGAGGUACUGUACCAAACUGUAUAUCUAUCACGAUAUUGAACUUGUCCAAAUGUCUCUUAACUAGUUCUGCGUUCCUCUGGAAGAUGUACAACUUAGACCUUUUCCGUCCCUCAAGUACAACCCGGACCCCCAUUCGAACCUUCAAAACUUCACAUCCACCAGAGAAUUUAUACCCUUUUGCAUCCAAGGAAGUCAGCGAGAUAAGAUUACUUUUCAGGUCUGGAACAUGUUGAACCUGAUUAAUUGUUCUGAUCGUCCCAUCCUGCAACCUUAGUCUGACUCGAUCGAUUCCAACAAUACGGCAAGAUUCGUUGUUUCCCAUCACAACUCCACCUUGCUUAACAGCCUCAUAUGUCUGAAAAUAUUUUGAUUGGAACGCAUAUGAUACGAAUGUGCCAAAGCGAGAUUCCACUCCUCAUUGGGUCUAGACUCCACAUCAGAUACCACGGUCAACAACACAUGACCACCAUCCGAAAAAUUCUCGGCAACACUAGUUACGUAAGAAUUACAGAGUUAACCCCGUAAUUUGCAGCUAAAUCACCUUUAGCCUGCAACUUGUCACAAUCCUUCUUUACGCGUCCUUUUCUCUUGCAGUAGAAGCAGUACAAAUUACUGAAGUUCGCCCUCGAUCUAUCCCAUGUCGAUCACCAUGAGAUACUAGAGCUUCAUCAUCCCUCAAUAUAGCUCCAACCAAAUACUUCAACUUCUCCUUUGAGUGCAAAGCAUCAUAGACGUCAUCUAUAGUCAAAGUAUCUCGACUAUACAAAAUAGUGUCUCGAAACGACGUAUAAGAAUCAGGCAGCGAAUAUAAUAGGAUCAAGGCAAGAUCCUCUUCAUCGUACUUAACAUUAAACGUUUUCAAACCUACGCCAAUUUCCUUGAACACGGCAAGAUGGUCUUCCAACGACCCUUCUUCCACCAUGCGAUGAGAAUACAGCUUCUGCUUUAGAGCCAGUUUACUGGUAAGACUCUUGGUCAUACAUAACUACUCAAGCACAAAGUAGCUGCUGUUUUCUCCUUCAAGAUAUCUUACAGAAUAUUGUUGGAUAGAUGAAUCAACGACAAGGCCUUCCAAUCCCUUCGUUGUUUCUCUUUCAUUGUCCAAUUAGUUGGCAUCUACUCAAAACCCAACAACACAUUGUCCAAAUCUAACUGUGCUACAAUAGUUCUCAUCUUGACUUGCCAUAAAGAAAGUCUUGUAUAGCGAUCCAAUUACAGAAUAUCAUACUUUAAAGUAGCCAUCUCUGAAAAACCUCAACCAAUCCACAAGAAGAACCAAACUUUGAAACCACUUGUUGGACCCGAAAAGAUUGUAGUGGAUGAGAUUAAUGAUGCGAUAUAAAGUAAUGAAGAUCGCAACAAGACCCAAAAUUUAAAAGUAAAGAAAUUAAUAGAGAGAGUUAAUCACAGAAGACAAUGUUUUAUUAAUUGAUAACAUGGAGAGAAAUACGAGAACUCAGCAAUUAUGCUUGAACAAAACUGAAAGAGAAUCUCACUAUUUAUCGAUACAUGGCAUAGAAUAAAGAUGGAAAUAAUGUAGAAUAAGAAAUAAUAUGUUUCCAUAAAAAAUCACGUGAAAUAUAAGAAAACAAUUUUUCCCACAUGAAGAUAAGGAAACAAUUUAUUUCCAAAAAAAUCCACCCUAAUUUAGGCACAAACCUAACAUGUUUCUGUGGUGCAAUACCUUUUUUUAAAUGUUUUUAGUUUUAUUCAUGUUAGAUAAUUUGUUGUCAAACGACCUCUCGAGCAAUGAUGUAACCUCGGUUUUAUGUAUUAUCAGUCGGCCUUGGUCAUAUGAUUGAACUAUAUGUUGACACUAUCAUCGAGACAACCCAACCCAAUUUUCUAUGGACCAUUAGAAGCAACCUAUUUUAAUAGUGUUGCUCGUGGUCCGUCCCAUUUACUUGGAUGGCUACGAUAUCCAUUUGAAGCCCAUCAUCUUUGUGCUAACCCUUUUUUGGACCACUAAGUUAACCUACCCUAACUUACCUUUUUUGGUCACUCUCUUAGGCUAUAAUUCUCAGCUCCCCUACGCCUCCAAUAUGCCGUCUUCUCCACCUCCCUUUGUGACCUCUUCUCUGCUGAUUCUCGACCUCUUUUUCUCAAGCAACCUAUGUGGUUUCUCUUGGGUAAUAUUGUUCUCAUCUUGGUCGACUUUUUGUGGGUAUGAAUAACAACCGUAGGUGGGAAGAAAAAAAGAGAAAGUUAGGUGUGUCUCAAUAGUGGUGGUGUCGACUUUGGUGAAAACUGAGCUCGGUAUCACCUUGGACAUUGCUGGAUUUUUAGCCUCUUCUGGUAUCAGAGCCAAGGGCUUGGUUUUCUAGGAGAACCAAUCCAAAAUUAAGAGAGAGAGAGAGACGCCAUUCUUCAAACUGACCGAAUUGAAAUUCGUUAAUUACUCUCAAACCAUACCUCCGUUGGAUAAACGGACCUCGGACCCAUCAUCAGCAGGUUGAGGCGUCCCCUAUGAGGUGGCGCGUGGCUGUCCGAUGUCGAAAAGUGGAGGAGCUCCUAUGUUGUUUUUUUUCGUGCCAUUCCACUUAUUUUGAUUCCCUGAAUGUACUAAUGUGUUUGGUUUAGUGUUUCAAGUUGUGUAGAAAAUUUUGGAUAAUUUUGCCCCUGAUUACAAUCUGCAUUCGUUGCUGAACGAGCUGUUAUAUUUGCUGAAUCUUUAGGGAGAAUAGUGGUGGCCCUAAAGUAGCAAAUUCGCAUCACUCCACGUUGCGGACUCAAAUAGGUCCGCUCUGCUAAAUUGGCUGAAAUCUUUACAUUUUUGCACUAGCAGAUCAUUGUGUGGGGUGAUCAUUAGAUUGGGGGUUGCCAUUGCUUGUACUAGAAAUUACGGUUACGUGCUCUUGAUCAGGCCUAGUCCUGCUUAGAGGCAGAUGAAGCCUGCACCUCAGGCCCAAAAUCUAAGAGGGCCUCAUAUUACUGGCCCAAUUUUUUUUCUUUGAACAAUAGUAGUCGAGGCCCAGCAAGAUUGCAAGAGCAGCCCAAACCUCUCAAGCUCAAGCGUGUAUCCUGAUCCAUUAUCCAUUUUUCCCAAAAUUCCCAAAUUGAAAUCCAUUUUCCCCAAAUGCUCUGUCAUUUCCAUCUGACUGUCUCUCUCGCUCGACUUCUCUUGCUUUCACUUCCAGUUCCAAACUCUAGACUUCCAGUUCCAGUCUUCUAGAAUCCCAUAUUUUCUCGCUUGGUUAGUUGGCUACUUGGCUUCGCAGUUCGGUAAAAAGCCUCGAGUCUCUCUCUCGUCCACGCACACUCACAUAGAGAACGAAAGCUAGGCAUAUUUUGGUAAUCAUAGAAAUUAGGGUUGGUUGAACCAUUUGGAGAGAGAAGUGUAUUAAGGCUCAAAUUGUAGUGGAAAAUGGAAGGUUCUGUGAUUCUUGAUUUGGAGAAUGCUGUAACAAUCGGAGGUAGUUCUUGAUUCCAGACUUCCAGUUUGUAAUUAUUUUUUUCUAGCCAAUUUAAAUUUUUGCUAAUAGCAAAAUUAUGAGCUUUUUGAAUAUGCAUGUGAACGCCAGCUAAUAAGUAAUACCUAACAUAAACAGAGAUCAAGAAAAUUCAGAGGAUUCACAUUAGAUCUGGAACCACCAAGCUUUUUCGGUUCAUUUCAUUUUUAGGUACCCAAAGUUAAGAAAAUUAUUUUUACUUUGUGCUUGCAUUAGGGAAUAAAGAAAGAAAAGAAAAAAAGAAGUCUAGAGGUCGGUUUUGGAAUUGAAACCUGCUUUCAUAGGCUAAGAAAUCGAGUUUUUUGAGGGAUUUUUGGCACUUGGAUGGGUAUUUGCCUCAGCAACCAAAUCAAGGCGGAUAGUCCAUUUAAUACUGGAACAGGUAUAUUCUCAAAACACAAUUACUUUCUUUAUGUAGAGUGAAAGAGAGAACGGUGAAAUUAUAUUUACUAGAGAGAUUUAAACGAUAAAUUCAAAAUUUGUGAUCUUUUUGAGUUGUUUUUCUAAAACUAAGAAUUCAUGUCCUCUGCAUUUUCUGGUUUGCCGUAUCAUUUGCCUUCAAAGGUAAUAAGAUACCUGAAACUUCUAAUGCUGCGUAGUCUACUAUUUCUUCAUUGAUUUUAAUUGGUGGCAACUAAUUUCUUCUACACAUUGCAUAUUACAAAUAACACGUGAAAAGAAAAUUCUACCACCAGAGGAGGUUUGUGUACUUGAAGGGAAAAUUGUUAUGCUUCGAACUCUGAAAUAUUUAAGGUUCAUUUUGAAGAUAUAAUAUGAAUAACAAUAUUUCUCCCUUUUUUAACAACUCAAAUUUUUGGACGAGUCUAUAGUUUUAAAGCAUACAAUUGUUCUAUGUUUAAUUCAAAACUGUUUCCUACUUAUGAAAAUUCUACUUUUCAACCCUUUGAUGAAAAAGAAAAUCUGGUGCUGGUGUGGUAUGCAAGUGAGGACUGUGAACCCUCUUUUUAAUGUACUUGUAUGCUUUUUGUGCAAUUCACGUGAUGCUUGAAAUUGAAAGCCUUGAAUAUAUUGUAACUGUAGUCUGUAUAGUCUGUAUUAGUAUGGUUUUAGGUUUAUAGCGUGUCAUUUUGGCUUUCGCAAUUUUUUCACCUUGAAGUGCCUAUUAGGGUUCGAGGCUUUGCGUUUUGCUCUUUGCGAAAUUUCAACAAGAAAUUGGAUAAAUAACUGUCUAAUCUGUUUAAAAUAAAAAUAUUCAAUUUGACCAAAGAACCCUAAUUAUCUGUGUUAACUUUUAGAUUUCAAUAGUGAAUUUGUGAUCUAUUGGUGAUGAUUAGGGCUUUCUCGAUGUGAAUAAAAGAAUUUGGGUCAUUUUCAAAAAUCUAGGCCCUCGUUUCACUGGGAGAAACCACAAUCUAUUUCAAGAACUACUAACGAGUAUAUUGACCAGAUCCAAAAGGUAAUCCAUUCGUAAGUCUUGUAAUCUGCAUGAUCACUGUAUUUGUUGGUGUGUAUGAUUUUUCUAAAUUGCAACUUUGCUUUAGUAACAAUGCUGGCAAUAAAAACAUGAACUGACGAUUAAAAAUCAGAGGUGGGCUAAAGUGAAUGUUAGAAUUUUGAUUCUUAAUGCUAUCUCCUAUCAUGUGUAAGUGUAAAAUAGUUUAUAGUUGAUUUGAAUAACUUAGUUUGAUAGAAUGAUAGGUAAAAUGUACAAUUGUUAUUUCCCUAAGCUUGAUGAUCAUGUUCAUAUUUGUAUUAGCGUUUGAUUUGAUGUUCAUGUUCAUAUUUGUAAUUUUGUAUUAGCAUUUGAUGUGAAAUUUUUGUUUCAGGGUCGUGAGUUGUGAGUCUUUUGACAGUGGAAUUCUCGAAGGUGUAACUCUACAGUUUUCGUAGAAAUUCUACUUCUUAAGUAAGUAACGGCUUGCCUUAACUUGUUAUUGAAGAGAUUGGAAAUGUUUAAAACCUUGUCAACUUAUAUAAUUGCAGCCUGGUCGGCUUAUAUGAUUGCUUAUUGUACGAUGAACAAUUGCACAGGCGCACGUAGUAACUAUAUUUGAAACUAUAAUUGUGAGAUGAUUGAGAUAUUGUGUAAUUAUUUUUCAACUUAAUCAUUGGACAUCUGAUAUACACUUCUACACUAUGCCUCCUAAAUAUGAGUCUGGUGCUCAAAAGCGAAAAACGAAAUGAAAUAAAAUUGCAUUAAUUCAAAGUCAAGCAGGGGAUACUAACAAGUACUUCAAAAACAACAAUGUGAAUGCGUUGGAUGAGAGUGAAGAUGAACUAGAGAUUCAACAUGCCCAUGUUAAUGAAGUAGACGAUAAGGAUGAAGCAGUGAGUUAACCUGUUGAUGUUAACGAAGUAGAUGAUAAGGAAGAAGAAGUGAUGAAGACCGGUUCUAAUAAUGAAGAAGAUGAUAAGGAAGAAUAGGGUUGCUUUUCUCUAAAUUUGGAUGAUUCCGGGAAUUGGAAAAUCAUUGAUCAAAGAACAAGGGAUUACUUAGUUGAAAGAGGUCCAAAAAGAGUGGAUGACAUCUCGUUUCCGAAAGACUAUACAAAUAGACAUUUCGAUUCUUCACAAUAUAAGCGGUUGCUACCAAAUGGGCAAACAGUUGACAGAAGAUGGCUAGUAUAUUCAGUGUCUAUGGACAGGAUUUUCUACUUUUGUUGCAAGUUGUUUAAAACACCAAUAAAUGUGACCAAAGUUGGCCACCUAGGUAAUGAUGGAUUCAAAGAUUGGCAUAAUUUGCAUCGCUCUAUUAAAAGUCAUGAAGAAAAUGAGGAGCAUUUACGUUGCAUGACUAGCUGGAUUGAAUUGGAAAAUAGGCUUCGAACAAAAACUACAAUUGAUAAAAGCUUUGAAUUGUUGAUUGAUGUUGAAAGGGAACAUUGGAGACAUGUAUUAACAAGGAUAAUCGCUACUGUGAAAAGACUUGCGAAAAACACCUUGCCAUUUCGUAGAGAUGGUGAAAGGCUACAUGUUGAGAACAAUGGCCUAUUUUUACAAAUGGUGGAAAUGGUUAGUGAAUUUGAUCUAAUAAUGCAAGAGCACCUUUGACGGACUAAAGCAAGAGAGAUUCAAUAUACGUAUCUUAGCAAAAAAAUUCAAAAUGUGUUGAUACAAUUGUUGGCUAAUGAGGUGAGAAGUUCUAUUGUCAAGAAAUUUAAACAUGCAAAAUAUUUUGUAGUUAUACUUAAUUGUACUCCAGAUGCAAGUCACGAAGAGCAAAUGUCUUUAAUUGUACGAUUUGUAGAUGAUUCAGCAAACUUACCUAUAGUUGAAGAAUAUUGGCUAUAAUUUUUCUAGGUAGAUGACAUAACGGGACUUGGAAUUGCAACUCAGCUUCAAAAGGCUUUGAUAAAACUUGAUCUCGAUAUUGAUGACAUUAGAGGGCAAGGGUAUGACAACGGAUCUAACAUGAGCGGGAAGCACAAAGGUUUGCAAAGAAGAUUUCAUGAAAUGAAUUCCCGAGCUUUCUAUACUCCAUGUGGCGUUCAUUGUCUAAAUCUAGCAUUAUGUGAUAUGGUGAACUGUUGUUCCAAAGGUGUAUCCUUCUUCGGAGUGAUACAACACAUCUACACAUUGUUUUCCUCUUCUAUCAAGCGAUGAAAAAUUUUCAAAGAUAAUGUACAAGGGUUGACAGUGAAGCUAUUGUCACAAACACGCUGGGAAAGUCAUGUUGAGAGUGUGAAGCUUAUAAUGGAGCAAACUGCACAAAUAAGAGAUGCAUUACUUGAUUUGGCAGAAAGUAAUGAAAAUCCUAAAGUAAAGUGUGAAGUUGAGUCAUUAGCAGCACAUGAACUUCAAAAUUUUGAUUUUUUGCUUGGCAUGAUAAUCUGGUACAAGUUGUUGCAUGCUGUCAAUAUUGUGAGUAAAUUUCUUCAAACCGAAUCCAUGGAUAUUGAUCAUGCUAUCUACCUCUUGCAAGGACUUGUUUCAUUUCUUGAAGAAUAUAGAGAAAUUGGAUUUGCUAUUACCAAGGAUGAAGCUACAAAAAAGGCAAGCGAAAUGGGAAUUGAAGCUUUAUUACAGAAAAAUGCAUAAUUCGAAGCAAAAAGCAAUUUGAUGAUAGCGGUAGUGAUGAGGUAAAGCAAUCAGCAGAAGAAUCAUUUAGAGUUGAGUGUUUUGUUUUUAUAAUUGAUCAAACUCUAUCUUCUCCGAUGACCCGAUUUGAAAAUUUUAAACAACAUGAUGACACAUUUGGAUUUUUGUUUACUUUGAAGAGGUUAAGGAUUGUAGCUUUUUCAAGUUUGUUGAACUCUUGUAUGAUUCUUGAGAAAUAUCUUCAACAUGAUGGGUGUUCGGACAUUAGUGGGGAUGAUUUAUGUUCGGAGUUACAAGUUUUGAGGUGUUAUAUACCAAGUGAAGCAACAAGUGCAAUUGAAGUGUUAUAAUAUUUGAAGACAAUGAAUGUUUGUUUUACAAAUGCUUAUAUUGCUUACAAAAUUUUGUUAACCAUACCGGUAACAGUUGCAUCCGCGGAAAGAAGUUUUUCGAAAUUGAAGUUGAUCAAGACCUAUCUCCGAUCAACUAUGUCGCAAGAAAGAUUAAACGGGUUGGCUAUGUUAUCGAUAGAGAAAGAAAUGGUUGAGCAGCUAAAUUAUUCAUAUUUGAUUGAUAUUGUUUUCCUCUAAAACAGCAAGACGAAUAGUAUUUAACUAAUUGUUUCAAACGUUAUUGGUUUUGAUAAUUGAUAAUAUAAAUCUUUUCUAUAAUAUAUUUGGUUGUUGUUUUAAUGUUAAUUUUUCAAGUUAGUUAUGGGUCGCAUAAUACAUCGUUGAAGUUUGCGUUUACGUUGAUUUUAUCGGGGGGCCUAAUUUCCAGACUUCACCUUAGGCCUCGAGAAUCACAGGACCGGCUCUGACUAUCCAGCAUGACAUUAUUCAGGUAAAUUAGGAACUCGAAUUUAUCAUCAUCCAUGAGGCUUUAUCUAAUAUUCGAAUACUAUUUCUUCAGGUACAAACCAAGAUGUCUAAUUUGUAGAAAAGAGAAAUAAAUCUUUAUUAUCUUACAUGGAACAUAAUGGAUGGUAGCAAUUUCUACAACCCCGAAUGCAACUGCAAAAUAAAAGGUGAUAUUUCCAUGUGCCAAGUCACUAGAUUCUUGAUCGAUUUAGUUUGCUUGGUGAUAGCAGCUAUGCAAAGAGGCCUAUUUCUUCUUUCUAAUUUUUCUACAAUCUACACUUCUGUCCACAUUCAAAACAAUUUUAACAGCCUUCCAAUCACCUCCUAGAGCAGCUGGAUAUAAAAAUCGGGAACCUUCAGAGUACUUAUACUAUGUAGCAUAUAUAAAAUUAGAGGACAUUCCCAUGUGCAUAACAUAUAUAAUGCAUAUGUAGCACGUAUAAAAUUAGAGGACACUUCCAUGUGCGUGUAACGUAUACAAUGCAUCAACUCUUAAAGUCUAUGAGUAGAAAGGAUAACAAUUUUAUUACUCAAUUCCAAAUUCAGAACUCUCGAAAAUACUAAUGAGUCUAGAAAAACUCCAAAAUCUCAUCCAAAAUAAUUUUAAAACCAGUAUUUUUUUUUUUGCGCACUUUAAGGGAUAGUAAUAGAUUUCAUGUCUCUUCUACGCAAACAUGAUACUAUACACAUUUGCACUUCAUUAAUUUGCUCAACUUUGGUAUUGGUAUAUUAAACUCAGAAAUUGACCGCCAAAAGCUCUUAGAUGUUGGACAAGGAUUAACAGUGUUCAUAUUGGUAUUGGAUAUUGGAUUUUCAACUCUAAUUUCAAUCUAGCUAGGUAUUUGCUAUAAAUUUGAAUGAGAUAAAAACAAUUAAAAGAAUACCAAAAUAUUAAUAGAGAAAUGCAUUCUUAUGCAUGAUUAGGGAGAAUAUUUACUUAAUUAAAUUAGGUGGUCUAAGUAGCAAGGAGUUUGAACCGUCAUUAUAUUCAAAUGUGCGAGAAAUUUUUUAGUACUCAUGGAGUAUGAAAAUCAGUACUUUCUGUCACUACUUAAUUGACAUGUAUAUUAUUAUAUGUUAAUAUUUGUGAUUCCGUCUUAAAAGAUUAACUUUAUUAAGAGGAGUAAUUCAAUUUUUUAUAAGUUGGCCUAUAUUUUCAUUUUUAAUUGAUGUGGAAUUAAGCAUAUCAAUCUUGAAAUUCAUAUGCUCAUUUUUCAGUCUUAAUUUGAUCGAAUCGCUCAUUAAAUUUUAAUGGGUUCUGAUACCAUGUUAAAAUUUAUGGUUCCAUCUUAAAAGGUAACCUUAUUAAGAUGAGUAGUUAAAUCAUUUAUAAAUUAGUCUAUGUUUUUCUUUAUUAAUCAAUGUGGGAUUUUUAUCCCUUAACAAUCUGUUUCCAAUCGAAAGUCUCAAUUAUUUAAUGCACAAGUUAAUUAAAUAGUAACCGAGAGUGCUAGAAAUUUCUCUGGCAAGUUCUCCCAAAUGUAUAAGCACUCUCUGAACGUUCUCUAAAAAUGUAAAAUGACACAAAAUUGGCAGCAAUUCAUUCAAUUUUCUGAAGUUUCUGCCUCUCUCUUGCUCCCAAAAUUACAGACAUUUUCUAGGAUUUGAAUCUUGUAAUAUAUAGUAUAAAUUUAUCUUCUUUAUUAGUAUAUUUUCCGAGUUUUGAAUCUUGUUCAUCGCAAUUAGAACAUGGGUAUUGUCUAAUAACCAAAGUGCACUGAUGCAAGGUGAGUUUUUUAUGGGGAAUCCUCGUGAUGAAUAUCAGACCGACAACCAGGAAACAAUUCAUAACGGAACAAGUACUAGUUGUAGAAAUCCCAAAAUCAAUUAUAGGAUUAUUGUAUGGUAUAAUUAGAACUAAGUAAGGAAAUGGUUUUUUCUUUCUUUCUUAAGUCAGAAUAUUAUUUUCCUUUUCUUCACAAUUGUAUUGUAGUAUAUAUUGAGGCAUAAUGGUGUAAGAAUAGUGUAUGGAAGAGAAAAAAGAUUAUUUCUCAUUGUGUCUUUAUUAACUUUAUUGUAGCAGAGUACGGUGAAACCCAAAAUAGAUUCGUAAUGGCGAAAACACCGCCAAUAGUAAAAACUCGACCAUCUUUGAAAUAGAAUCCGGUGAAACCGAAGUCAUCCAUAUUGUGAAUUCAAUUGGAAGUGAUAAUUUCCCCUUCCAACUCACAAUGAGAAACUUUAGAGAAUGGGCUCAAUCAAUCAAGUUGGUGAUCGAUAGGAAAGGAAAAAUUGGGUAUCUUACUGGCGAUAUGAAGAAACCCAUGGAUGCAAAACUUCCAACAAAAAUGAAAAUCGGAAAACUCCAUGGUAAUGUCUUAGCUUGUCAGUUCGAUGAAGAAUUGCCAAGAUCUAUCUCUUCAUGGUGACUACGAAGGAUAUAUUGGAUGCCGCUAAGAGAUGUACUCCAACGCGGAAGAAUUUUCCCAAAUCUUUAAAAUUAAAACUAAACUAUGGCAGGCCAAGCAAGAAGAAAGGGACAUCACUGAGUAUUACACGGAGAUGACUACCUUCUGGAACGAAUCGGACCUCAGCAUUGACGAAUAAUGGGUUUGUCCAAAUGAUAGUGUUCGAUACAAGAGAAGAGUGGAGAAUGAACAAGUGUAUGAAUUAUUGGCUGGGUUGAAUAGGGAACUAGAUGAUGUGACAGGUCAAAAACUUGGCCAUCGGCCAGCCCCCACCACAUGUGACUCUUUGUAGAAGUAAGGCGAGAGGAAGUCGUUGGGUGAUUAUGCUGAAGAAAAAACUGGGUCUGAAAAACCAUCUGAUUGAAAACCAAGAUAGAACACCAGAAAUCACGACUUCCAAACCACAAUCAAUUCCACUGAAACACAAAACUAUACUUCGAGUUUAAUUCCGAAUAACUAGAACAACUCUAAAAAAUGUUUUCCGACCUGCAGUCAUUUGGCUCAUCAACCACCUUAGCCCACAGAAGUAAUUCCCUAAGAGCUUUAAACACCAUUGCACUCUCUAAAGUACCAUGUAUUAUUGACUUUGGUGUGUGUGAUUAUAUAACAGACUCUCACCAUUUAUUCCCUUCAUAUUCACCUUGUGCUGGUAAUCCCAAAGUCAAAAUUUGCAGAUGGUUCUCUCUCUCCGGUAGCUAAAAAAUGGAGUAUUUGAAUAUCUAAUUCAAUCAUACUCGAACGUGUUCUACAUGUCCCAAAUCUAUCCUGUAAUCUACUAUCCAUUAGCCAAUUAAUAAAUAGUUCAAAUUGCUACACUAACUAUUUUUUCUUCUCACUAUGUUUUUUUAGCACCUAUCAUCGAGGAAGAUGAUUAGCAGUACUAAAGAGUGUAAGGGACUCUACUACUUUGACGAGAUUGAUAUGAGUAAAGAAAGUCGAUUUGUUAGUUGUGAUUCUACAUUUGUCCCUAAGAAUAGUGAAAUUCAUUUAUGGCAUUAUAGAAUGGGUCAUCCAAAUUUUUAGUAUCUAAGAAAUGUAUUUCCUUCAAUAUUAGAAUAAAAUACCUUCUGAUUUUAAUUGUGAAAUUUGUGAACUCGCAAAAUAUUAUCGCUCUUCAUUUCCAAAAUCUACAUACAAAACAUCUAAACCAUUUACUUUGAUCCACAGUGAUUUAUGGAAACCAUUACGAACCCUAAUUGUACCUACACAAAAUGGCUUCUUAUAUUCAUCUGCGACCAUACUCGAAUCUAUUGGUCUAUAUACUAAAAGAAAAAAAAUUGAUGUCUGUUUUGUGUUCAUAAAUUUUCAUUCUAUGGUUCAAACCCAAUUCUAGACAAAAACUCAAAUUCUACGCAUGGAUAAUGACAAAGAAUAUUCAAUAAUAUGCUAAAAAUCUAUCCCCAAGAAAAUGGAAUAAUCUACCAAAGCUCAUGUGUCGAUAUAGCCCAACAAAAUGGAGUUGUCGAACGAAAAAGUAGACAUCUACUUGAGGUAGCCAGUGCCCUAAUAUUCACUACAAUUAUAUACAAGAUUUUUUGGGGCCACGUCAUUUUAAUAUCAACCUAUCUCAUCAACAAAAUGCAUAGUCGCACUCUCAAUUUCGAAACUUCCUUCUGAAAACUCAAGAAAUUCUUCCCCAACUUCGAUCUCACUUCCAAUCUCCCUCUAAGAAUAGCCUUUGUCCAUAUACAUUCUUAUUACCGAAGUAAGCUCGAGCCCUGUGUACUUAAGUAUGUAUUCAUUAAAUACUCACCUACACAAAAAUGGUAUAAAUGUUAUGAUCGAAUAACAAAAAAGGUAUUUGUCAGUCUUGAUGUCACUUUCUUCGAGAACAGUCCUGCUUUCAAAAAUCCUCCCUUCAGAGAGAGAACUUAAGUUAAGAUUGGUUCUUGGAAUCUCUCUUCAUCCAUCUGAAUCUAUUUUGAACACUGAACCUACAACACCACUAUGCCCUACUAUGCCAUUUAUAGAAGGUAAUUUGAACUCAUGGAGAGAACAGAAAGAAAAACAUGACAAAGAGAUCAUAGUUUACUUAAAAAGGCCAAAAUCAAAGGAUAAGGACAAACUCACACUCAAAGCACCAAGAGAAUCGAAACCAAUGAUAGCUCUAGAUGAGCUUUCUCCAAAAUCACAUGACAUUGAUUUACCUAUUGCUCUUAGGAAAAAACUAGAUCAUGCACUCUUCAUCCUAUCUCAGAUGUUGUUUCUUAUAAAGCUCUAUCUCCAAGAUUUUCAGUUUUUGUAUUUAAACUUAAAGAUACAGAAAUUUCGAGAAAUAUUCAAGAAGCCUUAAAAAUUUCCUGGUGGAGAAAGGCAGUUAUGGAUGAAAUGAAAGCUUUAGAGACAAAUGAAACUUGGGAUGUGAUGAAACUACCAAAAGAAAAAAGACCUUUUAGGUGGAAAUGGGUGUUUAAUGUGAAAUAUAAAGUAGGCAAAAUAGUAAAACAGUGUAAAGCUCGCCUGGUUGCAAAGGGAUGCACUCAAACUUAUGAUAUAUAUUACACAGAAACAUUCGCACCGCUUGCAUAAUUGAAUACAAUUCAUGUUCUCCUACCACUAGCAGCAUACAUGAAUUGGCCACUCUAACAACUUGACAUUAAGAAUGCAUUCCUGAAUGGGGAGUUGGAAGAAGAAGUCUACAUGAUGCUACCACUUGGAUUCUCCAAUAUAAACGAAAAAAAAUAAAGUAUGCAAACUGAAAAAAAUCUCUAUAGGCCUCAAACAUUCACCUAGAGCAUGGUUUGAUAAAUUUGCAGACGUGUUGAAAAAUCAGAGAUAAAAACAAGGGUAGUUAAGUCAUAUUAUGAUGUUCAAGGUAUUUGACGGUGAGACAAAGAUCAUUUUGAUCAUAUAUGUUGACGAUAUAAUCCUCACUCGAGAUAAUACAGUUGAGAUAGAGAGACUAAAAAGGGGUCUAGCUACAUAAUCUGAAGUAAAAAAUCAAGCACAAAUGUGAAUUUUCUAGGAAUGGAAGUAGCAAGAUCAAAGAAGGGUAUUAGUAUCUCACAAACGAAAAUAUGUUUAGGAUCUCUUCACUAAAACUAGUAUGCUUGGGUGCAAACCAAGUGAUACCCCUAUGGACAUUGGAAGAAAAUUCAGAACGUCGGAGAAUCAAUUGAAAAUGACAUAUAUUAGCGACUGGUUGAAAAACUAAUCUAUCUAGCACAUACUAGACCUAACAUUGCAUUCGCGGUAAGUGUGGUAAGCCAACAUAUGCAUUCUCCAAAGAAAACUCAUCUAGAAGCAGUAUAUAGGAUUUUGAGAUAUCUCAAAGGCUCUUUUGGGAAAGGAUUAUUGUUCAGAAAAAUGAAAAAAGAGAGAGAAAUAUUCACUAAUGUAGAUUGGGCAAUAGCAAUAAAAGAUCAACCACUGGUUAUUGUACUUUUGUGUGGAAAAAUUUUGGUUACUUAGAGUAGUAAGAAACAGGUUGUGAUAGCCAAAGCAAUGCUGAAGCAAAAUUUAGAAUAUCUUUCAAGGAAUAUGUGAAGGACUAUGGCUAAAGAAACUCUUUGAAGAAUUACAAAUUACAAUGAAAUUCGCAAUUAAUCUAUUGCGAUAACAAAGCAACUAUCAGUAUCUCACUCAAUCCCGUUCAACAUGAUAGAACCAAACGUAUAGAAGUGGACAGACAGUUUAUCAAGAAGAAACAAAAAUGGAACUAUCUGUAUGAUCUAGGGUCUUACCAAAGAACAAAUUGCACAUAUAUUCACCAAAUGGCUACAAGGACAAAAUUUUGAUGAUUUUAUCUACAAGUUGAAUAUGAUCAAUAUCUAAAAUCCAACUUGAGGGGGAGUGUAGAAAUCCCGAAAUCAAUUAUGGGAUUAUUGUAUGGUAUAUUUAGAACUAAGUUAGGAAAUAUUUUUUAUUAUUUCCUUUUCUUCACAAUUGUAUUGUAGUAUAUAUUGCGGCAUAAUACUGUAAGAAUAAUAUAUGGAAGAGAAAAUACCGAUAAAAAAAAUGUACGGAAGAGAGAAUUUUCUCACUGUGUCUUUAUUAACUUUACUACAAUUGGGAGUAGAGCAUUAGACGACGUUGGACCUACAAUAACAUUGGCAGGCAAAUGUCCCAUUUCUAUGUGCGUGUAAAAUUGACAGCUACUACUAUUGACAUUGGAAUGAAUGCAGAAACCAACGCUCGACAAAUUGUUGAAGAAUCAAUCCCAAAAUAUUCUAGCAGUGGCAAGGGGCGUCGAAUAUGAUAAGACUAACCACACACCGGCUAAUGGCUUUGGGUAAUGUGUACAGCUAGCUCCAUCCUGCCCUUGGUAUUGCAAAGCAAUCCUAUAGUAUUUCGUGCUAAUUGAAAUUCAACAAACGAGCACUGACAUCGUUUUGCUCUUUUCAUUAACAGUGGAUCUAUCCAUGUUAGUAAUGAUGAAUUCGUUCGUGAUUUCUUGUCUUUUCAUUUUAAUGCAUGUGAGUUCUAAUUUUCUGGUGGACUACUCUACUUGAUUUAAUUUGGACUGCAAUGAUAGUUGUGAUAUUUAUUUAUAAAUAUAUAUAGAAGAAUACAAAGACUAAUUAAUAAGAAGAGAAAGCUUUUCCACUUUUUUCACACUCGAUAAACAAAGCAUUUUAUUUGAAAAUACAACAACAAUUAAGUAACAACUAGAAAACUAAAGGCUAAACGAAGCCUUUUAUUAGAAAAUACAACAACAACAAAGUAGAAUAAAGCUUCUCCACUUUUCUUAGUAACAACAACUAGUAUUGUAGCUCCUUUUAUUAGAAAAGCCUGUGCUCACCUGGUCGGAACAUAAACCUUGACGGUCGGAUUGUUGAGCGGAAUACAGAAUACCAUAACCUAAAAUUUAGCAUUACAUAUAAAGUGACCGGAAGCAAAGCAAGACCAACAACCAUUUUUGGCGAUAUCCCUGGCUUUUCUUCCUUGUGGACCAAAAAGUAGGUAGCACUAAAUUAAGUCCAUGCAAAUGAUUGAAGCAAAGAGUGUAAAUAGUCCAACCAUGAACUUUACCGUUAAUAUAUAUAGAAAAUCAUCUUCUCCAUAGCCUGAAGUUAAGAUAGACAAGAACGUCAUUAUGGAAGCUGUCGAGCUAAACAUUGCCAAUGCAUUAGAUGUAGCAAAAACUGUGAACCUCCUGUUGUGAGCUACCUUAUUCCCAUUUGGUACGAUAAAGGAUGCAUUUAAUGCAACUGUGGCAGUUAAGUUUGCGACAACCAUGUAAAAAGUUGAUGUGUCCUUCAUCCACCUUUCACUAGCUUCCCGUAACUCCUCAUGCUCCUACAUGAACAACUCCCUAGGUGUUUUGCCCUCUUGGUCUUUCUUGUCAUUUUUCCCUCCUGAAUGACCCAAUGUCGAAAUGCCACCUCGAUGGGUGGCCCACACACCUCGAGGGUGUAUGGUGGGCCACCCGACGAGGUGGCACACAGUGAUAGGACUGUCACACCAUCAAGUGGUGCGACUGCCUCAUGGAAGAGUUUUCCCUCCCGAACAUUGGAAGACUGAGGGGGAGACCGUAGAAUAUUCUCCACCUCCUGCAAAGCUUACUCAAAUUAAUGUAUAUUGCAUAAUCAUUAAAUUUUUAACUCUAACGAGAGGAAUUAAUUUUGUAUCUUGUAGNNNNNNNNNNNNNNNNNNNNNNNNNNNNNNNNNNNNNNNNNNNNNNNNNNNNNNNNNNUAUAUAUAUACACACACACACACACACACACACACACAUACACAUACACACACACACACACGCAUAUUCAAGAUAAACAAGAAAUUAAUGAUACAAUUCACCAUCAUGCUAUGAAGUCUUCCCGUUUUAUUUGAGGGGAUAAGGGAAAAGGGGAUUCGAUAGUCAAGUAAAUUUCUCACCUUAAACCACUGUAGCUCUCUCUACAUUUGAAGAACUGCUCCAAAUACACUAUUGAGUCUGCUUGAAGGUGGUAAUUUCGCGGCCAACUGCAAAACGUUGUUUCCAAAUUUAUCUUUUCUGACCAUCAAUAAAUCUUUAAUAGCUCCUGUGUAGUAGAUGAGAUUAAAGACUUCCUCUUAUCAGUAAAUAACAGCAACAUGAAAUAUGGAGUAAAAAUCUUUGUCGACUGUCCAUAUAAGAUCAGGAUAUGAGCGGAUAAGCAGAGUCAAAAGCUCAACGUUCCCAAUUUUUCCAGCAUCAGUAAGUAUAGGAGUUUGAUCAAAUAGGUUUGAAAUUUUUGAGCCUUCUAAAGUCAGAAUCUGUUUGAACACCUUCUCUGCCAACUGAUUGGCUUUUCUUCUCUUUGAAAUUAUUGAACCAUAUAUCCUUUUGAAACCUACAAAUCUUUGCUAAAUUAUUUCUAAAAUUCAUGUUAACUACAGUGCCAAAAAAAAAAUGAAAAUCUAAGAAAAAGGUGAAAUGAAUCUAUAUGUGGAUCAUUCACAGAUAAAGCUCAACAUGAAACUAGCAUUUUCAAGGAGUUACUUUUAAAAAUAGAGCAAUUUAUAUUCUGAUAAUUUUGUGAUAGUAUAAUGACUUAAUAAUCAUCAGAAAACAAUAAAACAAAACAGAAACACUAGGAAGGACACAAAUGAGUUGAAAGGUGUAAAUACAUAAAUGUCUACUAUCAACUAGAAAUUUUCAGGAAAAUUAAGCUUGAUUUUUUAAUUUUUUGUUAGUUGAAAGUUAAAAACAAAAUAGAAUGUUCUUACAGGGAACACUAGGGACGAUUCUAGCAAGUCUUUCACAUAGCCAUUCUUGAAUUGUACCAUAGUGUGAUAAAGGUUUUCGAGCUAAAGCGUGUAGGGCACUUCCUUUCUUCGGUUUUGGAGUUUUGAUGACUAGAUAUCUAUCUGCUUCCAAUAUUUGUAAUACGAUAUCUGCAUAUAAGAAAAGCAAUUUUGAAACUAUUGCAAACAUAAUUUUCAAUGUCAUCUUGCCCAUAGUCAUGAGCAGAGAUUCCAUACCAUACAUCUCCCUGUUGAUAGUUACAACAAGAAUGUCCAUGCGCUCCUCAGCCUCGAAAUCUUUAAGAGGCAGGGACAGAACCACAGUGGGUCCUGGUGUGUCACGUAACCCACCAAGUUUGGAUUUAUUUAUUUUUUUUUGUUAAUAAAAUCGUAUUCAUUAGAACUAGAGGAGUCUAUCCCAUUCCAAAUUGUAGUCGAAAUAUGAAGAGGAAAACCAACUGUCCCUCUGUAAUGUUCGUCUUGCUUAAACUCUUCCCUAAUAAUCCUCUUGACUUGAGUGUUGCCAGCAAUUGGAGACUUAAAGUCAUCCACCAAUCCAUCCACCAUCCACUGUGGGCUUGUUGCUGCCGAUUCAGUCGAGUGGUGCUGCUGCCAUUUCAGAGGAUUUGACGAGUUCUGCUACUGUCAAUUCAGUCAUCUGCCAUCUACUCUCGUCCAGACGUUGACAGUUGCUGCCAUCGGUCCACUGUCCAUUGCUAUAGCUGUACCCUUACCAAAUCCUAAGGACCCAAGAUUAGUUACAGAGUCUACUGGUCUUUACUCUUAUUUUGUGUUUAGAUUUUAACUUACAUAAACAUUACAUCUCCCAAUCUUCGGACUCCCAUCAUGACAAUUAGCUAUGGCAGUGUGGGAAAGUGAAAUUUGAACUGAAGAUUUAUUUUGUGAUUUAGGAAUCUAUCUGAAUUUGUUGAACUAGGUAUGUAAAUGUUAGGGAUUGAAUUUCUUGGAGCAAAUUUGAAUAUAUUAUUUGUGAAUGUGUUGAACUAGCAAAAUAGGUAUGUAAAUGCUGGGGAAUAGGGAUUGGCUAUUUGAAUUUUGUUUGGGAACUGGAAAUUUCAUCAAAAAUUAAAAAUAAAGAUAGCAUUAUUCGACAAUUGUGAGAUUGAUAUGCUUAUAACUUUAGGCAAUUAUGAAAUUUAUUUUGUGAUUAUUGAUAGAAGGAUUAUUUUUUCUCUUGAAUUGAGUGUUUUAUUUUGGUUGAUUGUUGUGGCAGUUAUGGAAAAGUACUUUAAGCGUAAAUCCGCAUUUUCUUGUGAUAUGCAAAAUGUUAAUGAAAGGAAUAUUCAAAAUGAAAAGGGUGAAAUGAAUGCUGGGGAUGAAAGUAAGAUACGAAUUUUUAUUGAUUUUUUCCUCACUUUUUGGAAGUUUGAGUAUGCCCCACUAACCAAAAAUUCCUGCGUCCGCCACUGUUAAGAGGUGUAAUUUUGUAAAGAUGUUUAACCAUUUUUUUUUCUUGAGAAAGCUACCAUUUCAAUUGGGCUCAACUUGUUUUUGUCUCGAAUUGUUGGUAGAAUAUUAUUUUUUUCGUACAUGAGCUUGGUAAUUUCUACAACCCCUGAUAUAGCCGCAAAACAAAAAGCUGUAUCAUUAUAUUUAUUCGUCAAUUCCAGGUCUUCUUUGUUCAAGCGUUUGACUAACUUGCGGACAAACACAGUUUGCUUGGUGACAGCAGCUAUGUGAAGAGGCCUAUCUCCUCUUUCUGUUAGCUUAAGACAACCUGCAUUUUUGUCUGAUUCUAGAACAUGUUCUGCAUCCUUCCAGUCUCCUUUUAUAGUAGCUUUAUACAUACGAAGCUUCCUUUCUUCACCUGAUGAAGUCUGGGGAGAACUAUCAUUAGAUAUGUGUUAAAAAAGAUGCUCCAAAACUUGGCGAGAAAUAAACGUAUACUAUGUAACAUAUAUAAAACUAAAGUAGAGAUAAAUCCACUUACAUAAUCAAAUCUUAAUUUUUACUAGCACAUCAACUUUGUAUUGCAAAGACUAUUGCAACAAUGUCCAUCUUAUUACUGUUGUAUGCUAUGUGUCAAAUGUACAAGUUGGGCCAGGGACAGUUUGUGUGGGUUAUUGCUGAAGUUGGUUAGGGCUGUAUUUAUUUAAUUUCUGUUUUCAUUUGUAUAUAACUUAGUCCAAGUCAUGGUCUAUAGAGCAGUUAUUAAAUUUCUUUUUGUUGUUAGCUCUUAGUGGAGCAUUAGGAGUUCAUGUGUGAAUGUGUUAGAGCUUGUAGGCUCACUUUCAGUUUCUUGCAUUUCCAUUCUGUAUUAAUUUGGCAGUUAAUUGAAAAUGUUGAUUUAGAGGACAGGCUCCCUCGAAGAAGCCAUUCAAGGUGUGAAAAAGGUGAUUUAGAAAUCGAGAAAUGUUGACACAUAUCUAGAAAUCGAGAUACGUGUGUGUAUGGAUUCUCCUCGACUUUGCCAUAGAAUUGGUGUCCAUUUUGAAACAGCUGUAUUACAUUGGUCUUCAAUUGAAAAUUGGGCUGCCCAAACGGUGGAUAUACAAUGCUGGAUUAGCUUUGAAUAACUUGAGGAGUCAAGAAGUCCCCCAGAAUUUCAUUUCCUUCAUCCAUUGCCUCUCCUUCGUUAGCUUGAAUGACAGGAUUGUUUAAUUCGUUAACCAUUUGUACUUGUGCUUCGCGAUGAUCUCUUUGUCGUCGAUGAAAGGUGCGCUCAAUUUCAGGAUCAGCUGGAAUCAAUUCUCCUCCAGGCAAUCGUGACAUGCAAAUCUGAGAAUUAAAACCAGUACGAGCACUGAGAUUCAAACAAUUUAAAUAACUAAAACACAAAUAAAAGAUAAUAACUUAAAAUAAAAAUAAAAACAAAAACAAUAUUAUACUAGCAAAAUAAAAAUUGAGUUCGAAUUAGUGCCUCGAGAAAUAAAAUUAAACUAAACUCAAUCCCCGACAACGGCGCAAAAAAUUUGUUCACGAAAUUAUUUCUUUCGAUUUUAAACCACCACAAGUGUACGGUUCGUUAACAAGUAAUAAAGUGGAUUCAAUGAUUCCGAAUGUCGUCCCACAGAGAUUGAUUAGCUCAAAUUUUAUCUAACAUAGCCUUAACCGAAAUUGGAUUGUCAAAAUGGAUAUGGACCUAAUUAAAAACUCUAAUUUCAAGAAGAAACCCUAAUUACGCAAAUUUAAUGAGUAAAUUGAAACUAAAACUCAAAACAAUAUUUUAACACUCUAGAAAUAAACUAAAAGUCGAGAAUGCACGUUGUUAUAAUCAAUAGAGAUUAAAUACGCUAGGAACACGAAUUCCCAUGCAAUUAUCACUUUAAACCCUAGUUUCACAAUAUGACAACACACUCAAUUGUGACGAAUCAAUAUUCCUAAGUCUAUCCAAUACUCUCUCUCGAGAUGUAUCAAACCUAUUUCUACAUACCACCGGUCUAUUUCCAUGACAAGAGCAUAUGUAAAAAUGCAUGCGAUUUUAUGAACACUUAAAGAUUCACGUAGGGAAUAACAGUAUAUUUCUAUCCACUAUCGGAGCCUACGAUGAUUUAUAUUAUGUCAAAUCUAUUCCAAUUCUCUCGAAUGCAAGAAUAAAUCACUUAAAUUCACACAAUUAUGAGCCCUUAAUUGCGGAAAAACAUUAAUUGCAUAUAAAUCAUUCAAAACAAUAAAAAUUGUGUCUUAACAUCAAAUUGCAAAACAAGGAUAUUAAAAUUCAAAUCACAUGGUUCAUCGAUCUCCUAGCAUAAUAAAAAUCUAGCCUAGCAUAGUUAAAAUAACAAAAUACAUCAUGUUUUGAAUAAAAGAUAUCACUGGGUUAUGAAAUCUUGAAGAAAUCUUGAAGUUCUUCGUGCCAAUCCUUGUUCUUGCGCUCAAAUCCUCUCCAAGAAGUGUUUUUUGGCCUCCAAUUACGUUCUGGUCAUCUUUGGAAUGUUUUUGAUAUUUAUAUCCUGUGGGAAAUUAGGUUACCAAAGGUGUUUCAAUCGUAUAAAGAAAGAAAAAAAUUGCGUCGGAAACGUACCAUGCGACCGCAUGGUUUUAAUCCGUGUGGCCGCAUGGUUAUUUCGUAUUUCCACUUGAAUUCCCUACAUCCAUUUGUGCGGCCGCAUGAGAGUUCUACCAUGCGACUGCAUGGUAGAAUUCAACUUUCAUUUUCUACAAAUGGGCCCCUCUACUUGAAUCUUCCACUUCUUUACAUCUUUUCUUCAUUCUUCACAUUCCAUCAUCCCAAAAUGUCAUCAAUUUGUAUUUGGCAAACUCAAUUUCUUGAUUUGUUCAUCGGGUCAACUUUUGGGUAAUUGCACCUUGGUCCUUGAACUUUCACUUUGUGUCAUUUUAAUCCUUUUUCGUGUCUUUUCUCAUGUAUUUUACCAUGUUCAUCGGUGUUACCUACAAUUCACAAAUGUAACGAAAUUAAGUCACAAUUCAAUCAUUUUAUUCGUAAUUAAGUCAUGUUUGUAACCUAAAUAAGUGUGCAAAAACACACUUAUCAAACCCCCAAACUUGAACUAUUGUUUGUCCUCAAACAAGAUAGUGACUAAAUUCUGAACAAAUAUGGCUUAAUACCCUGCUACGACUUAGGAUUGGACUAAGUGUUUGAUUUGAUGAAGAUAUAUCAGUGCAAAAAUGACAUCAACCUUCGCCUGUUAAAUGCGUACUUAACAUGUGUGUGUGAGUUCAUGCCAACAUAUUAGGUUCAUGAUGGAUUUGAGUCCCGACCCCGAGUGGUCAAUUCUAUCCUUACUCGCUCGAGAGAUACACAACCCCCCAAACUUAUGUUUUUUUUCCACUCAAUUAUCCCAGGGUUGUGUUUCGAAACUAGGAAUUCACAUAGCUAUAGUCUUCACCCUUUCGUAGUUUGGAUUAAUCUCACUAUCACAAGUUUACAUUUCAACAAGUGAAGGCUCUCCUAAGUUUGAUCGCUUCGACACUCAAGAUUAAACUAGGUUACUUGCCUCGCCUCAAAGGUAUAGUUUCUUUAACCAAAUGUCCAAGGGCUUUUCUUCAUGUUAUCAUCUCUCUUUUCUCUAAUUGUUCUGAUUUUAUUAUUAAGCUUCUCAUUUUUUUUCAGUUUCAUCUUCUCAUUUGCUUUGUAUAUAACCCAUGUAACGAGUUUUAGGCCGAUGACUCCCAAACCAGUUGGCUUUAGGGCACCAGGUUUUAAAUCCUUGCAGGCUUAUUCACUCGAGUUAUAAAGGCUCGAUCAGAUGACUUUCAAUUAACCUUUUUCCCUCUUGCUUUCUAUAUGACCCUUUUAAUGAGCUUCAGGCCGGUGACUCCCAAGCCAGUUGACUUUAGGGCACCAGAUUUUGAAAUAUCCUUACAGGCUUACUUGCUCGAGUCAUAAAAGCAUGAAAAGAAGUGUAUUGUUCUCACAAAUUUAUUUUAUGCCCUUAUUGUUCUAGACAUUUAGUUUCCAAAACUAACCCUUAAUUUAAGAUUUUCACCUAAUUUUCACCUCACUGGUCUAGACAAUCCACACAAUAAAAUUCAUGCACCGAGCCUCCACUCAUCUCAAUGCUCUCUUACAAUAGCUCAACCAUCACCAAAUUAUCUUAAGGCAGUUUACGGUUUAAUUCAAUAGAAGGUUAUCAUUCUUUUCCUAUUUUAUGCUCAAAAUCUAGUCAUUUAUCUAAUAUGUCAAGCAUGAAUAGUGUGCACAGAUAAUGUCAAGUUUUGCAUCAACAAGUGUCAGCUAGCCUAGUUGUAUCAGAUCCAAAGAUUUUGCAGUUUAAACUAGUCCAAUUAUAACAUCGUAGCUAGCAAGGUUAUCAAGCCCACACAAGCAUGCAUGAAAAGAAUUAAAGCAAAACUGAAUAAAAUGCAAAUCUGUUUUUCAUGCACACAUACAGAUGAACACAGAUAACACAGAUACUCAGUUAAAAUUAUGUCACCUCCCCAAACUUUGUUACUACCUCAAUGUAAAAUUAACAGAAGAUUAAAGACAGAAUUUUACGGACAACAUAAAAAGAAAAAUCCAAAAUGUGGUAAAUAGUACUUCCCUUGAAUCAAAAUGGAUGAGGUGGUGGGAAACUGGGUCCUACUGUACCAUCAUUCGGCGGAGGAGGGUGUCGUCCAAGGAGCUGCCGCAUUAUCUCAUUCAUUUCCCGCAUCAAGGUAGACUGUUGUGUCUGCUCGGCCUGGAUAGCUCUCAUGGUCUCCCAAGUUUCAUUGACCCUCAUUUGGAUACCGUCCACCCGACCAAUAUACAUGUUCAGUCGGCCAUUCAAGGUAUCAACCUCCUAUCGCAUGACUGUAGCAUGAUCCCUAGCAUCUCUGAUGUAGUUCAACACAAGGUGAUUGUCUCAUUGUAAACUUCCCAAUUCAGUCCUCAUGUUGCCAAAAUCUUGAAAGAAACUGUGGAGGUCUCGGCUAAUGCCCGUGGUGGUGGAGAAGAUCUGUCUCAGCAACUGAUUAUCCAUUUCAGCUUGUGGUGCUGGAGCCCGUUGGUGUUCCUGAUCUGCAGGGAUUUGGCCUUGUUCUGCCUACUGUCUACGUCACUCAAUUUCUUGUUGUUCCCGAUGUUUAACCCGAGCCCUUGUCUGAUCAUCAAAUGUCAUUCGUUUGAUCAUGGGACUGGGUUUUUUAGGUAAUUCUUCAGGUAGGAGGGCAACACCCGCAGCCCGACAUAUACCACUAAUUAGGCUCGAAAAUAUCAAAGUGGAGCGGUGAUCUCUCCAAGUUCCCAAUGAGUGUAGUUGAUUGUAUAUAUGAGUAGCGAGAUCAAUAUUGUUGCCUCGAGCCAAGUGGUAGAUGAAUCCUUCUGUCUGAUCUGGAAAUGUAGUCCUGUGUGAUAUGAGCUCAACAUUGUGGCACAUAAGGAGCCAUAGAAUAACCAUGGAAGGGGUGAGCUCAAUCUGAUGCCACUCGAUAGUUUCAAGGGGCCAUGCAUUCUCCCGCCCCAUUAAAACCUUAGCCACCUCAUUCCAGAUAAAGUCAAUUGGGAGAGGGACCACAUUCUCCAUGGUAAGCUGGUAGUAAUCAUGAAUGACCUCGGGAGAGAACAUUAUCCACUUCCCCUGUACCCAAGUCUGAUGGAAAUGCUCGGAGCCUGGCAUGUCAAUGUCACUAUUGAAGUUGGCGAAGAACUCUCGGCAUAAAGUCUCAUAGAGUGGAUAAAGUCUCUCCACUAACUUUUGCCACACACAGAGCUAAAUUAAGUUGACCAACUCAAAACCCGAGAAGUCAUCAAGCUUAACGGGUCUUUCAGCAUGUAAAGUCCAAUGGCGUACAAUGUUUUCAUAUCGUGCCGCGGUAGUUGCAGUUAAGAAUCACUGAACUUCUCCCGCGAGCUCUCGAGUACGGGCUGUCCUGGUGGAGGAGCUUGCUUUUUCUUUCCCGUGCAAAGUUCUUUUAGGGGGCAUCCUGCAAAGUUUGUAAGAUUAUACUCAUUAAGUUCGAUGUGAAAAGAAUAGGCAAGAAAUGAGAAAAUAAAAUAUGCAUUGCACAAUUCCCCCAAACUUUCCUAGAUGCAUGUGUAGUAACAUGGUGUGCACUAGUCAAGAUAUGAUGUUUAAUUGAAUUCAAGUAUUUUGCCAAUAUGAAAAAUGGAGAAAAACUCGGCGUAACAAUGCAAUAUUUUAGAAUUUGGAACCAUGACCGAGUGCACACUUUCGGCCCUUGACAUCAUUAAGAAUUAUCAAAAUUUUCCCGGACAAUCUUUGGGCAUAUCAAAGUAUUGAUUGAAGUGUAGCACAUACUCGAAUUUCAACUCAAUUGGAUGUCGUUUGGUAUGUCAAAUGAAGAUGCAAAGUAAGGGACAGAGGAUGCGUUAUGUGCGGUGACCUAGUCAUGUGCCUAUGUGGUGCAAUGUGAAAGUGGAUGUUUUCUUGUUCAAAUUAUUUGGGAAUCCAUUAAAAUAUAUCUUGUGCCAUGUUGGUGAAUCAACGUAUAUGCAAAAAGUACCUAAUUGUACACAAAAGGUUAUUGUGGCAUUUUAUCAAACACUUGGUGUGCAUUAUGUGAAGGUAGCCCUAAAUUAAUAAAAUUAAUAUCCAAUUCAUCCAAAAAAAAAUCACACAACACAAUCACAAUAAAUCUAUUUCUAUAUGAACUAGCCCAUUCUCCUUCAAUUCAUAAAAAGAACGAAUUUAAAGACGAAUUUCCCAAAAGAAAAAAAAAGGGAAAUGAGAGAGAAGAGGCAAUACUUUACCUUAAAGUGGAUAGCGUGGUAUACGGGGUGAAUGUCGUGCGAUGCAAACAUGAUUGGAAGGGAAGAGUGUGUGUGUGAAAUUGGUAAAUGAAUCGUGAGGAGAUUAGGGUCGAAGAACAUGAAGAGAGGAAGAAAAAAAAAUGUUGUGAAGAAAAGAAACCGAAUGUGAUUUUAAAAUCACACCCGUCUCUGCCAUGCGACUGCAUGGUUCAAGUGGCAUUAGCCACUUGAGUUUCGACACCUAUGUGUGCGGUUGCACCAUGCGACUGCAGUAAAAAAGUUUUUUUUUUUGGAAGGAAAAAAUAAUAAUAGGAAUAAAAUAAAAUAAAAACACGUUUGAUAUCCCCAAAAACCCGACUUUUGAUUAAAAUUUUGGUUUUCAAUUGAUGAAUUGACCCGGCUCUCAACGUCCCCAAUUAUUCAAAAGCAUACUUCUAAACAUUCUGGGACGUAUAUGGGUCUUAAACUUAGUACCCAAAACCAAAUUUUUGUAUUCAAAAUCAUACAUUGACAUGUGAAAUUUAGAAAACAAAAUUUACCUCAAAAUGCGUGAAUUCCACACCCAAUCACCCAAACUACUCCAAUCAUCCCGAACUCGUGUGUACAGUGCUUGGACUCUUUUAACACGUAUGGAUGAUCGAUGACCAUAUAAAAAGUACAAAAUGAAAUUGAAAAAAAAAUAAUUCCUAAUCUAAUGCAGAGAGCUUAAUAAAUUAAAUAAAAAUGAUACAGUGGGUUGCCUCCCACCCAGCGCUAGGUUAUAGUCGAUAGCUCGACUUCUCUGCAGCUGCUUCAUUUUGGCGUCUCAAGUUGAACGGUGAACUUUUGGUUGGAGAAGUCACCUCCCCAGUAGUGUUUCAGUCUUUGCCCAUUAACAGUGAAGGUACCCUGAGUCUCAUGGCUCACUUGUAUAGCCCCAUAUGGUAGGACCUUCGUGACAGUAUAAGGACCUGACCACCUUCAUCUUAGUUUUCCUGGGAAAAGCUUGAGUCUCAAGUUAUACAAUAGCACUUUCUGUCCCACUUCGAACUCUCGCCUCUGAAUAUGCAUGUUGUGCCACUUCUUGGUUCGUUCCUUGUAAAGUUUUGAAUUUUCAUAAGCUUCCACGCCUCUGAAUAUGCAUGUUGUGCCACUUCUUGGUUCGUUCCUUGUAAAGUUUUGAAUUUUCAUUCUAAACUCGUCUAACUCAUUAAGUUGCAGUAGGCGCUUUUCACCGGCGGCGCUCAAGUCCAUAUUUAACUGUUUCAUAGCCCAGUAUGCUCGGUGCUCCAUUUCUAGUGGCAGAUGGCACACUUUCCCAAAGACUAGGCGGUAUGGAGACAUGCCUAUCGGGGUCUUGAAUGCUGUUCUGUAAGCCCAUAAUACAUCGUCCAGCUUUUUAGACCAAUCCUUUCUAGAUGAGUUCACAGUGACCUCAAGUAUUCUCUUCAGCUGUGGAUUAGAUACCUCAACUUGCCUGCUGGUUUGUGGAUGAUAUGGAGUAGCAACGCGGUGUUUAACGUCAUAUUUAUUCAACAACUACUCAAACUGGCGAUUGUAGAAGUGCUUGUCCCCGUCGCUGAUUAUAGCCCGCGGUGUACUAUAUCGGGUGAAAAUGUAUUUCUUCAAGAACCCAAUUACUGCCUUUGAGUCAUUUGUUGGCAGUGCAACUGCUUUCACCCAUUUUGAUACGUAAUCCACUGCUACCAAGAUAUACUGAUUUGAGAACGAAGGGGGAAAAGGUCCCAUGAAGUCAAUUCUCCAAACAUUAAAUAUCUCCACUUCCAAAAUGUUAUUUAGUGGCAUUUCAUUCCUCCUUGAGAUAUUCCCAGUGUGUUGACAUCGGUCACACCUCUUGACAAACUCAAAUGUGUCUCUAAAUAGUGUAGCCCAGUAGAACCCUGAUUGUAGAAUCUUUGUAGCUGUUUUUGAAGCCCCAAAGUGCCCUGCGUAUGCAGAUGAAUGGCAGUGCUCGAGAAUCUCAUGUACUUCUUCCUCGGGUAUACAUCUCCUUACCAUCUGAUCAGCCCCUCACCUAUAGAGAAUUGGGUCCUCCCAAAAAUAAUACUUCAAUUCAGCGAAGAACUUUUUCCUUUGGUGACUCGAGUAGUCCGAUGGUGGGAUGGAACUGGCCAAGUAAUUGACGAUAUCUACAUACCAAGGUGCUUCAUCUACUCUCAACAUCUGCUCAUCUGGGAAGAUUCAUUGUUGUCCACUAAUUCUUCUGUCUCCCCAGGCUCUAAUCGGGAUAGGUGAUCUGCUACUACAUUCUCACUGCCCUUCUUGUCUCGUAUCUCGAUAUCGAAUUCUUGCAACAAUAGCACCCAAUGAAUCAACCUCGACUUUGCAUCCUUCUUUGUGAGUAGAUACUUCAAUGCAGCAUGAUCUGUGUAGAUGAUGACUUUAGACCCGACAAGGUAUGACCUGAAUUUGUCGAAUGCAUAUACUACAGCUAAUAGCUCCUUUUCAGUGGUGGCAUAAUUGAUUUGCGCUUUAUUUAAAGUCCUACUUGCAUAGUAAAUUACGUGAAAGAUUUUGUUCCUCCGCUGUCCUAAUACUGCACCCACGGCGUGAUCACUUGCAUUACACAUCAAUUCAAAAGGGAGUUCCUAGUCUGGUGCCACAAUUACUGGUGAUGUCGUAAGCUUUACCUUUAAAGUGUUGAAUGCUGUGAGGCAUUCUUCAUUAAACUCAAAGGUUACAUCUUUCAUUAGCAGAUUGCAUAACGAUUUAGUGACCUUUGAGAAAUCUUUUAUAAAUCUCCUGUAGAACCCCGCAUGCCCCAAGAAACUACGAACUCCUUUAACUGAUGUAGGCGGUGGUAACUUCUCAAUAACUUGAAUUUUUACCUUGUCCACCUCAUUUCCUUUUGCUGAGAUUCGAUGCCAGAGUACAAUGCCUUCUUGCACUAUAAAGUGGCAUUUCUCCCAAUUUAAAACCAGGCUAGUCUCCUUGCAUCUCUGUAAGACCAAAUUCAGGUGCUCUAGACAUUCAUCGAAUGAAGAUCCAAACACUGAGAAGUCGUCCAUGAAAACUUUAAUAAACCUUUCAAUCAUAUCGUAGAAUAUCGCCAUCAUACAUCUCUGAAAUGUGGCUGGAGCAUUGCAAAGACCAAAAGGCAUCCUACGAUAGGCAAAAGUACCAUAGGGACAGGUGAAAGUGGUCUUCUCCUGAUCUUCUGGUAUGAUAGGUAUCUGAUUAUAGCCCGAGUAUCCAUCAAGAAAACAGUAGUGUGAAUGUCCAGCCAGUCUCUCUAACAUCUGAUUAAUGAAUGGGAGGGAGAAAUGAUUCUUUCGUGUGGCUGCAUUGAGUUUAUGAUAGUCGAUGCAAACUCUCCAUCCCGUAACUGUUCUGGUAGGAAUUAAUUCAUUCUUCUCAUUUUUCACCACCGUGAUUCCUCCUUUUUCGGUACCACUUGAACUGGGCUAAUCCAUGCACUAUCUGAAAUUGGGUAGAUAAUUCCUGCAUCCAGUAAUUUCAGUAUCUCUGUCCUGACCACUUCCUUCAUGUUCAGAUUUAAUCUUCUCUGACCCUCUAUACUUGGCUUGCAAUUUUCCUCCAUUAGAAUUUUAUGCAUGCACAGAGAAGGGUUGAUUCGUUUAAUGUCUGCUAUUGUCCAUCCAAUCGCCGUCUUGUUCUCUCUGAGUACCAUGAGCAAUUUUUCUUCCUCCACCUCACUGACUGUAUUCGAAAUGAUUACUGGAAGUGUAUCUGACUCCCCCAAAUAUGCAUAUCUAAGAUGUGACGGUAGUUGCUUGAGUUCUAAAACUGGUGGCUGCUGAAUGGAAGGCAGUGACUUUGUAUUUCCCGUCCCCAGUUCCUCGAAGUGCCUCUUUCGAGUGUAUGGCGGGUUGGUCUCCAAAAAUCUUGCAUAUGUUUCAACUUCAAGAGACUCUGACGGGACUGAUUGGGAUUGUGCAAUACAUGCUUCAUAGGCAUCAGAUGGGCCGUGAAGUAAGAAUGUUUUUUGUACUGCCUUGUCAAUGAUGUCAACUUGGUAACAAUUAUCUGAUUCUGUUGGCAGUUUCAUGGCCUUGAAAACAUUGAACAAUAUCUGCUCCUCUUCCAAUUUUGAGAUCAACUGCCCCCUUUGAACAUCAAUUAACGUUCUCCCUGUUGCCAGAAAUGGUCUGCCAAGUAUCAAUGGGACGUCCUUGUCUUCUUCCAUGUCCAAGAUAAGAAAAUUCGCUGGGAAUAUGAACUUCUCAACCUUGAUAAGCAUAUCUUCAAUUAUUCCUCUGGGAUGUGUCAGUGACCUGUCAGCCAGCUGAAGUGUCAUAGUGGUUACUUUAGCUUCUCCCAAACCGAGUUUCCUGAAAAUAGACAGAGACAUUAAAUUAAUACUUGCACAGAGUUCACAUAAUGCUUUAUCGAAAUAUACUUCAUCGAUUUUGCAAGGAACAGUAAAACUUCUUGGAUCUUUUAGUUUUGGUGGGAGCUUAUUCUGGAUUCUGGCACUACAUUCCUCCAUAAGCAUAACUGUCUCAUGGUCUUCCAGAUUGCGUUUAUUUGAUAUGAUAUCCUUCAGAAAAUUUCGAGUAGCUAGGCAUCUGAAAUAGUGCAUCGGCUAGUGGGAUGAUGAUAUGGAGCUUUUUAAAGACUUCUAGAAAUUUUUUGUAUUGUUACUCCACUUUUUGCUUCUUCAAGCACUGUGGAAAGGAAAUCGGAGGCUCGUAGGGGUUGACUGUGACCUUGGCCUUAUCCUGUGACUCUUCUGAAUUUUCUUUGUACUUGAUUCCUUUGCAACAGUCUCUUCUUCAGCGGGGGAAGAUGUCUCUCCAGUCACACCCGAUCUCUUGACAUGGAUUUCAGGCAAUUGUACUCCACUUCGAGUUGUAAUGGCCCUGGCUUGCUCUUUAGGAUUGAUUUCUGUAUUACUUGGUAAGUUACCUAGCAUUCUGCCAGUCAAUGCGAUGGCUAGCUGCCCCAUCUGAGUUUCCAAAUUUUGGUUGGCUGCAUUUUGAUUUUGAAGUGUAGCUUCGGUUUUCUCCAUGAAUUUUCCUAUCAUAUCUUCCAAUUGAGGCCUCUUCUCUUGUUGUUGAAAUUGCCCCUGUGGCUUAUUCUGAUUCUGGUUGCUCCAAGAGAAGUUGGGAUGCUUCUUCCAGCUGGGAUUGAAAGUCUCUCCAUAUUGAUUGUGUUGCAGGCGUUGUCCCUACUGUGCGUAGUCUGCUUGCUCAAUUCCUUGCAUGAGUAUUGGGCAAUCUGAUGUUUUGUGCUCGGCUCCACAUUCCUCACAAUUGCUCUUCUUAGUUUGUGAUGCUUGUGAUAUGCUUUCCACCUUGUGAUACAGAGAGUCAAUUUUUGCAGAUAUUGCUGAAUAAGCGUCCACGUCGUAGACACCUGGAGUUUUCUUUGGGAUAGCCCUCUCAGAAGACCACAUGGCUGAUGUGGUAGCCAUACGCUCAAAUAAUUCCAAUACCCCAUCAACUGUUCGUGUGGAUAUUGGGCCAUCUGAUGCUGAAUCCACCAUGUUUUUAUGGUAUGGAAGUAAUCCUGUGUAGAAGAAUCGGAUUUGGGUCUUUUUAUCGAACCCAUGCUGAGGGCACUUCCGGAGCAUUUUUUGAAUCUGUUCCAUGCUUCGCCAAAUGAUUCAUUUUCUCCUUGAUUGAAUACUGAUAUGUCAUGUCUCAGCUUUGCUAUCUUGGCCGGGGAGAAAAACUUUGUACAGAAUUUGUGUGCCAGCUCAUUCCAUGUAGUGAUACUUGCAACCGGGAGUGAAUCCAACCAUUCAAGUGCUCUGUCUCCUAACGUAUGUGGAAAAAGCCUUAACCUAAUAGCGUCAUCCGAAAUCCCUUGGUAUCUGAAAUGUUGACACAAAACCAUCCAUUCUGGUUCUAUAUUUGUUCGAAUAAAAUGCUUAGCCAAUUCCAUGCGUCUAACUAAAAAAUCCUUUCUUCUUCCAACCUUUUGAUCUUCCCAUUCAUUUCCUGUGGGUCCUUCUUCCCCUAAUUCUUUCCAUUCUACCAACGAAUUAUCUAGAAUAAUUCGUAAAUCUAGAUCGGCUAAUUGUUCUCGGCCUUCCUCGUCAUUAAUAUGUUUGCUCGCGGCAAUUGUGAACUCUUGGGAGAAUUCUCAGAUGUACUAGCACUGCAUCAAACCCAGCGUUUACCGUGGGCACGAUAACUGGUACACCAGAGGUGCGUCCUUCCCGGUCCUCUCGUACUAGAGAAAGGUCCUCUCAAUGCUCUAAGACCCACACCAGAUAUGGACCGAACUGUCUCACGACGUUCUGAACCCAGCUCACGUACUGCUUUAAUGGGCGAACAGCCCAACCCUUGGAACAUACUACAGCCCCAGGUGGUGAAGAGCCUAGAGAUAGGGGACAUAACUCACAUGGAUAUAGUAAGUCUCGCUUGGGCUGCUUUAAUGGUAGUCUUUACAUUUUCCCUUUCACUCGUAGUGUGGGGAAGAAGUGGACUUUAGAAGUACUACUAAUUAAGUUGAGGAAUCAAACUGUAUCAAUUAUUUUAUAGAUCGUUCUGCAACGCGUUUUGAACUAUUUAAAAUCAAAAUAUCUUAAUUUCCAAUUCCAUUGGACAUCUAUUACCAAAAACAAGUCAUUUAUUGAUAUUAUUAGGAGGGCCGUGCAGAUCUAGUCUAGUCUCACUUUCGCUUCACAAGGAUCAAGAUCAAAUAAACACGCAUUCUCGUUCCAUAUUUUGGACCUUAGCUCCAUGGAACAAUAUGUUACUGCUGAAACAGAAACACGAAAGAAUUGAAAUCUUAGAUCAAAACACUAUGUAUGUCCGAGAUCUACAUCUAUGAAUUGAAAGGUCCGAAUGAUCAACUCUGCAAUCAGUUGUUAGAAUCAAUAGGUCUUCAAAUUGUUCAUUUGAAAAAAUGGAAACCCUUCUUAUUGGAUGAUCAUGAUACUUCCCGAAAAUCUAAAUUCUUGAUCAAUGGAGGAACAAUAUCACCCUUUUUGUUCAAUAAGAUCCCAAAGUGGAUGAUUGACUCAUUCCAGGCUUAAGAAAAAAAGGGAUUCCUUGAUAUUGAAGAAAUGAUUUUAAUUUAUACAAGUUAAUAACUUGGGUUUGUGAUAAUUUGUAAAAUACAUAUGCCUGUGAUAAGUACGAUAAGUCAUAAAAAAUAUGUGAAUUUGUCUCGAGGUAUAAUGACAGACCGAGAGGCUCGACUCGAAGGAAUCGGCAGAGAAAUUUUGUGUUAUAUAUGGUAAUCCUUUUAAUAUCCAAAUUGGAUCCGAAACUUCUUCCUAUUUCUAAAAUAAAGAAAAGGGACGAGUUGUCUAAUAUCGUUCCUCCUCCAUUAGUUGAUACUUCAAGGAGGCUUUACCUGGAAUGAAAGAACAAAAAUGGAUUCACAUAUCUAGAAAUCGAGAUACGUGUGUGUGUGGAUUCUCCUCGGCUUUGCCAUAGAAUUGGUGUCCAUUUUGAAACAGCUGUAUUACAUUGGUCUUCAAUUGAAAAUUGGGCUGCCCAAACAGUGGAUAUACAAUGCCGCAAAUCUGAGAAUUAAAACCAGUACGAGCAUUGAGAUUCAAACAAUUUAAAUAACUAAAACACAAAUAAAGGAUAAUAACCUAAAAUAAAAAUAAAAACAAAAACAAAAUUAUACUAGCAAAAUAAAAAUUGAGUUCGAAUUAGUGCCUCGAGAAAUAAAAUUAAACUAAACUCAAUCCCCGGCAACGGCGCCAAAAACUUGUUCACGAAAUUAUUUCUUUCGAUUUUAAACCACCGCAAGUGUACGGUUCGUUAACAAGUAAUAAAGUGGAUCAAUGAGUCCAAAUAUCGUCCCAUGGAGAUUGAUUAGUUCAAAUUUUAUCUAACGUAGCCUUAACCGAAAUUGGAUUGUCAAAGUGGAUAUGGACUUAAUUAAAAACUCUAAUUUCAAGAAGAAACCAUAGUUUCGCAAAUUUAAUGAGUAAAUUGAAACUAAAACUCAAAACAAUAUUUUUACACUCUAGAAAUAAACUAAAAGUCAAGAACGCACGUUGUUAUAAUCAAUAGAGAUUAAAUACGCUAGGAUCACGAAUUCUCAUGCAAUUGUCACUUUAAACCCUAGUUUCACAAUAUGACAACACACUCAAUUGUGACGAAUCAAUGUUCCUAAGUCUAUCCAAUACUCUCUCUCGAGAUGUAUCAAACCUAUUUCUACAUAUCACCGGUCUAUAUUUCUAUGACAAGAGCAUAUGUAAAAAUGCAUACGAUUUUAUGAACACUUAAAGAUUCACGUAAGACAUAGCGAUAUAUUUCUAUCCACUAUCGGACCCUACGAUGAUUUAGAUUAUGUCAAAUCUAUUCCAAUUCUCUCGAAUGCAAGAAUAAAUCACUUAAACUCACACAAUUACGAGCCCUUAAUUGCAGAAACAUUAAUUGCAUAUAAAUCAUUCAAAACAAUAAAAAUUGUGUCUUAACUUCAAAUUGCAAAAUGAGGAUUUUAAAAUUCAAAUCACAUGGUUCAUCGAUCUCCUAGCAUAAUAAAAAUCUAGUCCAGCAUAGUUAAAAUAACAAAAUACACCAUGUUUUGAAUAAAAGACAUCACCUGAUUAUGAAAUCUUGAAGUUCUUCGUGCCAAUCCUUGUUCUUGCGCUCAAAUCCUCCAAGAAGUGUUUUUUGGCCUCCAAUUACGUUCUGGUCGUCUCUGGAAUGUUUUUGAUAUUUAUAUCUCGUGGGAAAUUAGGUUACCAAAGGUGUUUCAAUCGUAUAAGGAAAGAAAAAAAUCGUGCCGAAAACGUACCAUGCGACCACAUGGUUUUAAUCCCUACGGCCGCAUGGUUAUUUCGUAUUUCCACUUGAAUUCCCCGCAUCCAUUCGUGCGGCCGCACGAGAGUUCUACCAUGCGACCGCAUGGUAGAAUUCAACUUUCAUUUUCAACAAAUUGGUCCCUCUACUUGAAUCUUCCACUUCUUUGCAUUUUUUCUUCAUUCUUCACAUUCCAUCAUCCCAAAAUGUCAUCAAUUUGUAUUUGGCAAACUCAAUUUCUUGAUUUGUUCAUCGGGUCAACUUUUGGGUAAUUGCACCUUGGUCCUUGAACUUUCACUUUGUGUCAUUUUAGUCAUUUUUUACUUCUUUUCUCAUGUAUUUCACCAUGUUCAUCGGUGUUACCUACAAUUCACAAAUGUAACGAAAUUAAGUCACAAUUCAAUCAUUUUAUUCGCAAUUAAGUCAUGUUGUGACCUAAAUAAGUGUUCAAAAACACACUUAUCAACUUCAACUUGGCUGGGCCUGCUUGGUAGCUCAACAAUGGGUGCCUCAACCUCUGGUGCUGUAAUUGUAGAAAAAUUAUUUGCAGAUACCUUUUAGAAUAACAAUUAAAAUGCAAAAAGUAAAAAAGACUAAUCAAUUGAUCGAGAUUCAUGACAGUACGUCUUAAACUGAAAUUGUUCAUUAUUAACUGUUGUGAUUUAUUUGGACAAUCUCUGGCAAUAUAACGAUCGAAUCACAAUAACAAGAGCUGUCCAAAAACUCAAGUUUUACUCCAAGACUAUGCCCUAUCUGGAGCUGCUUCUUCAACAAAUUUUAAGCAAAAUAGAGCCAUUAUCUUUGACCGCUAUCUCAACAAAGUUAUUAUAAACUAAAAUUUUCAUAAAGUGCAUAAGAUAAUUUUUGUAUAAUUUCCAAGAAAACGAAGGGUAUAUAUAGCCCACAAAAAAUAACUUACAAUGAUAAUUCAAAAUUAAUAAAAUAAAAUAAAAUAACUGCAGGUUUAAUUAUUCUCUUUAGAAUUUAAAUCACUCCAUAAGUGCCUCUAAUAAUUUGUUUUAAUGGAUAUAUAUAUCAAACUGUCUCUAAAUAUUUAAUUUUACUGGGUAGUUUUUAACAGAAAUAAAUUUGGAAAUAACUUAAAUAAACAAUAACAAUAAGAUAUUUAUUAUACAAAAUCCAAGAAGUCCAAGAUCCAAUUAUAAACUUAUAAAUACUCACUUGAAGUAUGUUUUGAAUUAUAGAUCUCUCACGUAAAUUCCACUCGUUUUAUCAAUCGACCAACUAUCUCAAUUCAAUUAUUUCUUCCAAAUUAAAUUAUGAUAUACAUUCAACGGUGGCUGGCUUGUUUAUAACCACAAGUAUCCGAGAAUACGCAUGAACCUGACCGAUCAGCCCUUGCCGGAUCUUUUUCUAGUUCUGGAUCCGUUUCAUAUCUCGAACUCACUGCUUUAUCCGUCUUUAGUCUUCUUCUAACCGCUGAACUGGAAAGAUAUCAAAAAAACCAACAUUAUACAGUUAAUUGGUAUCAGUUUGUGUUAAUUUCUACAUAAAUGGUAGAUAGAAUUUGAUAACAUUUCAACAUGGUGCACGUAACAGUUGAUCAGCUAUAGUACUUCAGUACUUGAUCAUAUAUGGAAAUUCUGCGAAUGCUGAUUAUUCCAUGCAGGCUCGGGUGAUACUGCCCAAAAAGAACUUUCUAAAAUGCUUUUAAGAACGCCCAAACAAGCUCUCAAUUUGUUCUGUGCUAUGCUGCAUACUUGCAUGGAAAGUGUUAGCGAAGGUGAUGGUUUUUCUUGUUGUGAUGAGAUUAGAUUAGAUGGGUUAAUAUGUUUUGUAUGUGAUAAUUCUGGAGGUAGAAAAUAAUUGGCUUUUUGUUGGAAGUUAGUAGUAUGAAGGAUUUUGAUAGAAAGUAAUUUAGCAGACAAGGUGGAUAGGAGAAAGGAACUUUAUUAGAAUGAUAAUGUCUUAAUUUUGGCUUGCGUUGGCUUACAAUGGCUUUUACUUGCUUACAAAUGAGAGAUUCAUGCUCUAUUUAUAGACCAUAGCUUACAUCAAUUUGUGGCUAAUAUGAUUUUUCUUCUAGAUAAUUCUACAUGUGCCUAAAAUACAAACCACACAAACGUUCUUGGUGCCCAAGUUUCUCUAGUGAAUUUUAGAUAAUUCUGAUUUUUUAUUAUUCUUGCUUGCCAAGUAAUUCUAGGAUAUUUUUGCCAAGCAAUUCUAGGAUCUUCUAGAAAGUUUCUAAAAUAUGCAGCAACCAUCAAUACUCCUCAUUGAUGCAUAUUUUGGUAACUCCAAUCAUUUCUCGUAGUAUUUCAAAUUGUGAAUAAAUCUGCUAAUUGUUCUUCAGUAUUGCAAUGUUUGACCUCUAUCUCUUUAUUUGCUUCAGCUUCUAUGAUAAAAUGGUACUUGAUGUUAAUGUGUUUGGUUCUGUUGUGGAAUAUGGGAUUCUUGGCCCUUGCUAUUGCUGACUUGCUAUCGCAGUAGAUCUUUGUUGCUUUAUUUUUUGGUUCUCCCAUAUCUUCAAGUAUAUGUUUUGACCAUAUAGCUUGACUGGUUGCCAUUGCUGCUGCAAUAUACUCUGCUUCAACUGAUGAUUGUGCAACCGUUGCCUAUUCUUUGCUGCCCAAGAGAAUAUUUCGGAACCUAGUGUGAAUGCGUAGCCUAAUGUACUCUUCAGAUCAUCUACUGAUCCUGCCCAAUCGCUAUCAGUAUACCCAAGUAGUCUUGAGUCGGGCUUCCAUAGUCUUUUGUUCCUUGGAGGUAUCUUAGUAUCUGCUUUGUAGCUCCAUAGUGAACUUGACUUGGAUUUACAUUAAUCUUGAAAGUAGGCUAGUUGCAUACAUUAUGUCUGGCCUUGUAGCUGUGAGAUAGAGCAAACUUCCAAUUAAGCUUAGAAAUUGUGAGUUGUCUGAUUUUGGACUACCAUCUUCUUUUCUGGGAGAUUUAUGCUAUCUAAGGGUGUUGCUACUGUUUUGCAACCUUCCAUCUUGAACUUCUUUAAUAGAUUAGUGGUAUACUUCUUCUGAGCAAUGAAAAUCCCAUCUUCAGAUUGCAUUAAUGUAAUACCUUAAUUUGGUUAUAAAAAAAAAAGGGUCAAACAUAUCAUGCAAAAAAUAAUAAUAAUAAUAAUAAACAUAUAAAACAAAUGGGCAGGCGGUUAGCCCAAAACAAAUCCAUUUCUAUUAUUAGGAAGAGAAAAGAGAAAGGAAAAAGAAAAAAAAAAGGAUGAAGAAGAAGAAAAAAAAAGAAAUUUUUUGUUAACGUGUUAGGAAUUAAGUGGUCUACAUUAUUAGGCUUGAAUUCCUCAAUUUUGAAAGGUAAGUAAAAAGUUAUUUAUUGUUAAGUUAUGUUUGAUUUUAUAGUUGUUAGAUUGUUAAACUAAAUUCAAUUUUAUUGAAGGGGUUAAGUAUAAUAAACUAUGAAAUUGAGUAAAGUGAAAGAAAAAUUAGUUUUAUUGAUUAAAGAGACCGUGAAAAUCGCUUAAACGUGAAAUGAUUAAGUUUGGGUAUCGCCUAUUUAAUUAUUGAAAUUAUUUAAAAUAAUUAAUUGUUUAUUUAAAAAUCAUAUCGUAUUCCAGGCGGCGAUACGGAUAUCAGGACAACAUACCAAAUGGAUUGAUUUUGCGAACGUAGUACUGUGAGUGGAAAAAUAUAAAUAUUUUUAAAGUAUUUAUAAAUUAAGUUUAUUGUUAAAGUAUGUGCAAUUAUAUGCAAUUAUGUGUUCAAAUUACAUGAUUUUUAUGAAAAUAUCUUUUAUUAUGAUACAUGUAGGAUUUCAAAGAUUAUAUACGUUACAUUGUAAAUUGGAAUAUGAGAUAUGAUUUUUUGAUCGACCAGAAAAGUACCCGUGAUUAUAUAUUUCUUCUAGUUCACUGAGGGGUCUUGGCCGUGUUCUAUACUACACUGAGGGGUCAUGGACCGGGGAUGAAGGGGUCUCGACCGUGUACAUAUAGUUCACAGAGGGGCCUUUGCCGUGUUCUAGAAUUGAUUUUGAUAGGUCUUUGAGACCGGCUUUCGUUCACGGAGGGGCCAAAGGCCCAUGGCGAAAGUUCUUAGCCCGAGGGGCGGAUUACAUAUUUCAGUCAGAGGGUACAUUUUUGGUGGAUUUUUCAGCACGUUUGAUAUGAUGAGAUUAUAACAUGGUUAUCAGCUGAUGUUAUAUCAUGAUUUUAAAAUGAUAUUUUUAUGACAUUAUGUGAAUAUUUCACUUUUUGGCUAUAAUUACAUGAUGAUAGCUUGUGAAUUAUCAAAUGGUAUGAAUUUGAUUUUCAAUAAAAAUGUAUAAAUGAAAAAGAAUAUUUAUUUUGAACUUCUCCACUCACUGAGCUAUCAACUCAUAUAUUUUUCCACGAUUUUUCGUACAGGUGAAAAUUAAUCAUUAUUAGCUGGAAGAGCCUAAUGAUUUCGAAAUAAGAGCCACACGACAUGUUGAGUGUUAUAACUCAUUUUGAUGAAGCACAAAGUAAAUAUUUUGGGCCCAUCGCAUUAUAUUUUACAUAAGCAAUUGAUUUUGUUGCAUCUUUUUGAAAUAACUCAUAGUCAGCCUUGGUGGUAGAUUUGACAUCUAGUCAGCAUCUAUCAUCGGCGCACGUCACAUUUCGGGUCCACUAGGGUGAUUCGGGACGGGUCGUGUCAAAAUGGUAUCAGAGCAUGGUUUCAAAAAUUUUUAUAGUUCAUGCAUGUUCAGUUGGUAUGUUCACAUGUCGUGGUGGCAGAAAUCACAAGCUCUCUAGCUCAAAUGUGUGGAACCAAACAAAUGAUAGAAAAUUAUUUUUUUAACAGAUCCAGAAGAGACUAGAAUGUAAAUAUGAUAGUUGCAAUGAUCCGAUUGGUGGAAAAAGAUUGAUUAGCAUAUUUCAUAUAUAUGCAUGUAUGGCUAAAGAAAUGGAAUGAGACCAUGGAAUUAAGGAAUAAGAAAAGGAGAAAAAGCAAUGAAUGGCAGAGUUGAAAUUUAUUGAGAUUUGGAAUUGACAUAUGAAAUUUUGGUAGUAUAUUGGUUUGUGAAAGAUUCACGUGAUAAAUAUGAAGAUUAUUAUUUUGUGAUCUUAAGGAAAAUUGAUAUAAUUAAAAGUUAGAAGGCAUAUGAUAUAGCCAUAAGUAUGUGAUGAGGUUAUAUGAUUACAACAUAAUAUGGUGAGUAUGUAAAUAAACGUAAUGGUUGUCCUAUAGCAAAAUAAUGUGAUGAUUGAUUUGGUUAUUAAAUUAAUUAAUUUCGUUAAGGACAUUCGUUAGAUUAUUGUGUUAUAUUCCAUACAAUUUGGAAGCGUUGAGUUAAAUUUUGAAGUUAAGAUGAAUUUAAUGAAUUUUUAGUGAUGUAAUUUUUGGGUGAUUUCAAUUGUAUUUUUGGAUUUCACGUAUAAAGUAUUUCAUUUUUAUUGAGAUCUAUUUGUUAUGGAAUAUAUGGAUGAUAUGUCGAAUAGUUUGAAGUUUAGGGUGAUCAUUGAAUGUAAAUUUUAUUCAAUUGUGGGACAGUAUCUUUGUGUUAUAAUCUUAGUUAAAUGUCUUUAUGCGAUAUACAAGAAGGAUUAUGCAGUGAUGAUAGAUCAAUGACCCAUUUAUGGAAUAAGAGUAUAGAUUUUCAUGAAUAAAUGUUAUUAUUUUCUCUUCAUAGAAAGAAAGAACAAAAUUUAUAUGGGUAUAGAAAUAUCAAAAGUUUGCUAAUAAGAAAUUCUGAGGAAAUAUUUGCUCUUAUAUCUAAAGAUGAUAAGUGAUUGAUUCACGAUAAUGAUUUAUGUUAAGGUUUAGAAAGUAUUCUGAAGUAAACUUAUAAAUUAUAUAUGAAACUUUAGAUUGUUGAAGAGUCAUGAUUAAAACAUGAUUUGGAGUUGGUUAUAUCGGGAUUUUGUCAUCACAUUGUGAGAAAUAUCAAUAUUUAUCAAUCAUCAGACUUUAAGGUAUAUUUUAUUCGAAAUGGUGGAAAUGAAAAUUGUGUAUAUAUUAUCAUUUGGUGAUAUAGAAUUAAAGGAAAAGAACACCAUAUUGAACUAUUUCAAUUGUUUUGUUGGGGAUAACUAGAAUUUUAGAAAAUCAUGAACAAUUGAAUUUUUGGAGAUAUUGUCAAUUUAGAAUGGAGGUAGUUACCGUUAAAGUAUUCUUUUUUUUUUUUUUGGAUUCCAAAUACACGGAAUGGAGACAAAAUAGUAUCUAAAUCCUUGUGGAUAGAUUGAUAAAGGUUACAAGAUUCUUUUUAAAUCAUAUAGUCAGUUCAUAGGAUAGACUUACAAAAUUAUAUUUAGACAAUAUUGUUAAUUACAUGGUGGAAUUGGAGUAUUUAUCUUUGGUUAGUUGUAAGAAGUUAUGUAAUUAAAUUUCACUAUGCAUUUUCUUUUGAUAGAAUAUCAGAUAUUAUGAAGAUAAGUUUAAAAGAGAGACUAUCAACUAGUUUGUUAAUCAAAGAGGACUCUGAUGAUUACCUAUUCUUCAUGGAAUUGACCUAUAAAAAUUAGACAUAAGUGACGACAAUUGAGGUUAUAUAUAAUAUUGAAAUAUUCCAAGGAAGCAUGACGAAAUGGCCGAAAGAAUGUUGUUCGAUCUUAAUAUGUAACCAUUGUUAUAGAAAAAGAAUGUAAACGUGAGGUGAAGAUUUGGAGAACAUGAAAAGUAGUACUUGAACUUCAAAUUGGAAAAAUAAUAGAGUUUUCCUAAGGUUUGGAAAAAAUAAAUAAAUAAAGGCUGAGAAUACCAUAUAUUGGCUCUUACGAAGUUAUUAAAACUAUGAUGGGAAAGAUUAAAUUUUGGUACUAAAUGUUUGUUGGAGAAAUCAUUCAAUAAAAGAGGCAUUAUGGGUAGCGAAAGUUAAAUGUGAGUUCUAUAUCCUUACGUGUUGGACCUCUAGCUAAUUGAAUUUCGAGGAUGAAAUUCUUUUAAGGGGGUGAGUUUUUGUAAUACCUUAAUUUGGUUAUUAAAAAAAAAGGGUCAAACAUAACAUGCAAAAAAAAAAAAUAAAAAAAAAAUAAACAUAUAAAACAAAUGGGCAGGCGGUUAGCCCAAAACAAAUCCAUUUCUAUUAUAUUAUAUUAUAUAUAUAUAUAUAUAGGUAAUCCAAAUCCAUUUCACCACAAAAAACACGUAAAGAGAGAGAGAGAAAAUGAACCCGAGAGAAAAGGAAGAGAAAAGAGAAAGGAAAAAGAAAAAAAAAAGGAUGAAGAAGAAGAAGAAAAAAAAUAGAAAAUUUUAGUCAACGUGUUAGGAAUUAAGUGGUCUACAUUAUUAGGCUUGAAUUCCUCAAUUUUGAAAGGUAAGUAAAAAGUUACUUAUUGUUAAGUUAUGUUUGAUUUUAUAGUUGUUAGAUUGUUAAACUAAAUUCAAUUUUAUUGAAGGGGUUAAGUAUAAUAAACUAUGAAAUUGAGUAAAGUGAAAGAAAAAUUAGUUUUAUUGAUUAAAGAGACCGUGAAAAUCGCUUAAACGUGAAAUGAUUAAGUUUGGGUAUCGCCUAUUUAAUUAUUGAAAUUAUUUAAAAUAAUUAAUUGUUUAUUUAAAAAUCAUAUCGUAUUCUAGGCGGCGAUACGGAUAUCAGGACAACUUACCAUAUGGAUUGAUUUUGCGAACGUAGUACUGUGAGUGGAAAAAUAUAAAUAUUUUUAAAGUAUUUAUAAAUUAAGUUUAUUGUUAAAGUAUGUGCAAUUAUAUGCAAUUAUGUGUUCAAAUUACAUGGUUUUUAUGAAAAUAUCUUUUAUUAUGAUACAUGUAGGAUUUCAAAGAUUAUACACGUUACAUUGUAAAUUGGAAUAUGAGAUAUGAUUUUUUGAUCGACCAGAAAAGUACCCGUGAUUAUAUAUUUCUUCUAGUUCACUGAGGGGUCUUGGCCGUGUUCUAUACUACACUGAGGGGUCAUGGACCGGGGAUGAAGGGGUCUCGACCGUGUACAUAUAGUUCACAGAGGGGCCUUUGCCGUGUUCUAGAAUUGAUUUUGAUAGGUCUUUGAGACCGGCUUUCGUUCACGGAGGGGCCAAAGGCCCAUGGCGAAAGUUCUUAGCCCGAGGGGCGGAUUACAUAUUUCAGUCAGAGGGUACAUUUUUGGUGGAUUUUUCAGCACGUUUGAUAUGAUGAGAUUAUAACAUGGUUAUCAGCUGAUGUUAUAUCAUGAUUUUAAAAUGAUAUUUUUAUGACAUUAUGUGAAUAUUUCACUUUUUGGCUAUAAUUACAUGAUGAUAGCUUGUGAAUUAUCAAUGGUAUGAAUUUGAUUUUCAAUAAAAAUGUAUAAAUGAAAAAGAAUAUUUAUUUUGAACUUCUCCACUCACUGAGCUAUCAACUCAUAUAUUUUUCCACGAUUUUUCAUACAGGUGAAAAUUAAUCAUUCUUAGCUGGAAGAGCCUAAUGAUUUCGAAAUAAGAGCCACACGACAUGUUGAGUGUUAUAACUCAUUUUGAUGAAGCACAAAGUAAAUAUUUUGGGCCCAUCGCAUUAUAUUUUACAUAAGCAAUUGAUUUUGUUGCAUCUUUUUGAAAUAACUCAUAGUCAGCCUUGGUGGUAGAUUUGACAUCUAGUCAGCGUCUAUCAUCGACGCACGUCACGUUUCGGGUCCACUAGGGUGAUUCGGGACGGGUCGUGUCAAUUAAUCCCAGAUCAAUCAUCUUGAAUGUUUUCAUCAUAUCUUCUUUGAAUUUCUCGGUCAUCUUCUCAUCGUUCCUUGUAUAGAUGAGAUCAUCAAUAUAUAAAGAGAUUAUACAGGUACUGCUUGUACCUUGAUUUUUUAUGUAUAGAGUUGGUUCACUUUGGCUCUUCCUGAAUCCUUGCUCAGUGAAGUAAUUUUCUAUUCUAUUAUACCAUGCUCAUGGAGCUUGUUUUAAUCCGUAUAGGGCAUUCUCGAGUUUGAGAACUUUAUCUUAUUUUCCUCAUACCAUGUAACCUUGAGGUUGCUCUAUAUAAAUUUCUUCUUCAAGAUAGCCAUUAAAAAAUGCUGAUUUGACGUCUAGCUGGUAAAUCUUCCACUUUUUCUGUGCAGCUAGUGUAAUCAACACCUUUAUAGUGUCAAGACAUGCAACUGGAGCAAAUGUCUCAGUGUAGUCGAUGCCAAAAUGUUGUGAGUAUCAUUUGGCGACUAGCCUUACUUUAUGUUUUUGGAUUGAGCCAUCAGCAUUGAGCUUUGUCUUGUAGACUCACUUAACUCCAAUGACUUUUUUGUCUUGAGGAAGAUCUACAAGUUUCCAAGUGUUGUUUUUCUCAAUCAUUUUUAUGUCUUCAUCCAUAGCAUUUUUCCAUUUUGGUUGUUUUGAAGCUGCUUCAUAGCUUUCAGGUUCAACGAUCGUCAAGUUGCAGCUUUGAUAUAUUUCUGAUAAUUUUCACGUCUUUCUUGAUGACGAUUCUGGUGUGUCAACUGGUUCUUCUAUUGUUGCUUGCUGUGGGGACUCUAGUUGAUUGUUUUCCUCAACGUCACCCUCCUAUUUUUGUAGUUGUGUAAGGAUGCUGAUAGCUUUUCUCUUGACUUGACCAGUCUCUCAGUUAUAGGUGGCAUCUUAUCAAACUUAACAUCUCGACUUAUAAUCAACUUCUUUGUUCUUAGGUUAUAUACUCGAUAACCUUUUGAUUGGGUAUUAUAACCUAAGAAGAUUCAUUUUUAUGUUUUUUCAUCUAGCUUACUUCUUUUCUCCUGUGGAAUGUGUGUGUAGCAAACACUGCCAAAAACUCUGAGAUGUUUGGCUGAUGGUUUUCGUGGCUCCAUGCUUCCAUUGGUGUUUUGUCUUGCACAGCUUUAGUCAAACAUCGAUUUAGUAGGUAGACUAUAGUGCUUACUGCUUCUGCCCAGAAAAUUUUUGGAAGACUUUUCUCCAUUAGCAUAGCUCUAGCUGCCUCCAUUACUGUUUUAUUCUUUCUUUCUGACACGCCAUUUUGUUCAGACGCGUAUCCAACUAUGAGUUGAUGCUCCAUUCUUUCAUCUUCACAAAACUUGUUGAAUUCAUUUGAUGUAUAUUCUUUGGCUCUGUCGCUUCUGAUAGCUUUGAUUUGCAACCACUUUGCUUUUCGACGUAACUUUUGAACCUUUUAAAAAUUUCAGUACUUGGAAUUUUUCACGUAAGAAAUAUACUUAUGUCAUUCUAGUGUAAUUAUCAAUGAAGAGAAUGAAGUACCUGUUUUGCUCAUGUGAUGGAAUACGCAUCGGACCGCAUAUAUAUGUAUGUAUCAGCUCUAAUGGCUUUUUAGCUCUCCAGAUUUUAUGGACGGAAAUGGUUGGCGGUGUUGUUUCGGGAGCAAACAUCCUUCCCAAACUGCAUCAAUCUCUUUUAUGAUUGGUAAGUCUCUCAUCAUGCUCUUUUGCUGCAGGAUCUUUAACUCGUGGAAGUGGAAAUGUCCAAAUUUUUUAUGCCACCGCCACGACUCGUCCACUUGUGCCAUCAAUACCGCAUUGUUUUCAUAUCUCCAUUGGAUUGGAAAGCAUCAGUUCUCCUGCUUUUUGACUUUUGCAAUUACAAAAGAUUCAUCUUUCUUGUCAUAGAUCUUGCAAGAAUCUCCUUCAAAACGUAAUGUAUAUCAUUUCUCCAUCAUUUGACCUACACUUAAUAGAUUUUGAUCUAUUGUAGGGACUAUAAGAACUUUAUUGAUGUAUCUCUUGCCAUUUUUUGUGUCAAUAGCAAUAGUGCCUAUACAUGUCGCCUUUAUAAAAUUUUCAUUGCCAAUCUUGAUUUUUGCCUUGAUUUUAUCAAGACUAUAGAAAAUACUUUCGUCUUUCGUCAUAUGAUUACUACAACCACUAUCUAGAUACCAUGUAUCGAGUUCGUCAUCAGAUGCAUCUUUGCUAGUGGUGUAAAAUAAACUUCCUUCUAUAUCUUUUUUCAGAGAAAUUAGCUUCAUGAUUUUGUUUAGAACGACAAAAUUUUUCGUCAUGACCAAAUUUUUUACAGUGACGACACUAUGGUUUUCCUUUAAACCAACAGUCCUUCUUCAAAUGACUUUUUCUUUUACAUAUACCACAUGAAGGAUACUUGCUGCUUUUAUCAAAUUAUUUUUCUUGAGUUUCUUUAUUUUUACAAUUUUCUCCCACCUUCUUUAAAUUUCUAAAACAGCAUAUUAACUUUAGAUUGGAAUGCGUUUUCCGUGUUAAUCUCAUAAUGCAUUUCUAAUCUUUUUUCAUGUGAUUCUAAUGAACCUAUUAUUCUGCAGCUAUCAAUUUAUUUAUAUCUUUUGACUCAUCAAUAACUUUCGUGCAAGUAAUUAAAAUUUUUCCAACGACUUUCUUUUGCCGAAUAUCAUCUCCAUAAGAUCUUAAUUGAUUUAAUAUUUCAUCUAUUCUUGAAUAAUAAUCUUUCGUGAUUUUAGAAUCUUUCAUUUUUAAAUUUUCAAAAUUCCUUCUUAAUGUUUGAAGAUGGCAAGUACGUACUUUGUCACUGCUGUGAAACUCCUCCUUCAGCUUAUUCCAAGCUUCUUUUGCCGUUUUGGCUCCAACGAUUUGUGGAAAAUAAGUGUCCGUCAAACUCAUUUACAGAGCUAGUAGUGCUAGAGAAUCUUUUUGUUGAUUCUCUUUAAGUUCCUUCUUUUGUGUGGUAGACAGAGUGGAAAUGUCAUCUGGGUUAAUAUACCCGUCAUUGACGACAUCCCAUAAAUUUUGUGCACAAAAGUAGGUCUUAAUUUUGAUGGACCAAAAGUCAUAGUUGUCUCCAUUAAAUGUUGGAAUAGGGAUGGGUGAACGGAAAGCGUUUGCCAUAAUAUCUGAUUACGCCCAAUAUCAAUCGAACGUAGCUUUGAUACCACUGAUGGUUUUUCUUGUAGUGAUGAGAUUAGAUUAGAUGGUUUAAUAUGUUUUGUAUGAGAUAAUUUUGCAGGUAGAAAAUAGUUGGCUUUUUGUUGGAGCUAGUAGUAUGGAAGAUUUUGACAGGAAGUAAUUUAACAGACAAGGUGGGUAGGAGAAAUGAACUUUAUUAAAAUGAUAAUGCCUUCGUUUUGGCUUACAAUGGCUUUUGCUUGCUUACAAAUGAAAGACUCAUGCUAUAUUUAUAGACCAUAGUUUACAUCAAUUUGUGGCUAAUGUGAUUUCUUCUAGGUAAUUCUACAUGUGCCUAAAAUACAAACCACGCAAACCUUUUUGGUGCCCAAAUUUCUCUAGUGAAUUCUAGAUAAUUUUGAUUUUUUUCUAGGAUAUUCUUGUCAAGCAAUUCUAGGAUCUUCUAGAAAUUCCUAAAAUAUGCAUCAACCAUCAACAGAAGGCAGUGAAUUUAUAGCUGUUUUGAGGGGAAAAUUGCAAUAUUUGUCUUCAAUCUAUUGCCUUAUUAGCAAAUCAGUCUCUAAUAUUUUUUCUUGACAUUUAAAAACAAAUUACAAAAUCAAACUAAAAUCGUUAUUUUUAGACCAUUGAUUUGGGUCUACAUAGACCCAUGAAUGUUUAGGUUUCUAAAUCAACCAAACCGUUUAGAAAUAGUUCGAUUUAAAUUUUUGAUACUUAAAAAUCAUUUAAAAUCGAAAUGAACCGUUAAUAUAAUUAGGAAAGAAGAAAACACUUUGCUUAAUGAUAAAGCUGCUUGAAAACUGAAAGCAAUUUAAAAUAAAUACCACUAUUUUCACUAGUUCAAUUUAUUUAAGACUCAAAGCCACAAAGCAAGUAUUUAUAAGCGAUGAAUUAUAAUUAUAUCGUUACACCUUCCUCACUUAUUUGCUUGCUAUUUGGAUUCUUCUUCUUCUUCUUCGCACCAAACAAUUAUUAGUCAAUAAAUGUAUAAUAAUUUUAUCAGAAAAUAAAGUUUAUUGGAUUUUCUUAUGUUAAUUGAACUCCUUCGCAUGCAUACGUGGUUCAUUUAGAGAUACAACUUUUUUGUCCUUCUCUAUUAAUUUCUUGAGAAUUGAAGAAAAGAUGAGUUGUCAAAUAUUAUAUAUUGGAUUUUCCUAAGUUAAUUGAACUCUUCGCAUGCUCACGUAGUUCUUUUAUGGAUAUUACUUUUUUGUCCUUCACUUCUGUUAAUUUCUUGAGAAUUGAAGAUAAGAUGAGUUGUCAAAUAUUAUAUUAAUAUUCUAGGAAAAAAUGGAAAAAUGUACAAUCAUUGUGCAUUUGGGAGGUGCUUCCAUUAAGUAUUGUCGUCUUGUAGUUUAUUUUCACACCUCAUUUUGCAUUAAAAUUCAAUAAAUUUAAUGGAAAACGUGUUAACAUCUGUCUCGCUACAAAUUAUAAAUGGUAGUUAAUGGCUACAAAUGAAAAAAAAAGUAAAAGAGAGAUAUUAGUUCAUUGUUGUAUGAAGUAAUUGCAUCACUUUGUUGUAUUCGAGUUAAAAUUUAUUGAUUGUUUACUUAAGAAACUAAUAUAAAAUAUAUAUAAUCAUUUUAAAUAGUUUGAUAUAUAUAUAUAUAUAUAUAUAUAUAUGGAAAAAAAUCAUUCAAAUUGAACCAUUUUCAUUCCUUGAAUCUCUCUGUGGAAGUUUAGCAACAUACCCAAUUUUAUUUAGGUCAUGUUUUGCCUUCAUUUUCUAAAACUUACUUUCUUUAAAUUCAUUUUAAAUCACAAAUUCUCUCAAUAAAAUAAUAUUACACGUUAAUCUAUAAAUUUUUCCUACUUCUUAAUCACAAAUUCUUCCUUAUUAAAAAAAAAAAAACAUUUUUACAAAAUAUAUUCUCAAAAAAUUUCUAUCAAACUUGUACCUAAUUGUUUUAGCGGCAAUGGUUGCAAAGGUUGGGUGGUUGAAAUCAGUUGCAUGUGAUGUGGUUCAUUAGGAUAUGUGAUAUGUGAGACUUUUCUGCAUUUAACUAGGAACUAUGGUGUUACAUAAAUUUAAAAAUGAGGGACUAAAAUGAUUGGAAAAAUAGAAUGGGGACUUAUUUGUUAUUACAUGACUAGGUCGAAAGUUGUACAACUAUUUUCCGCGCUCUUUGGCCUUUUGGUUGUGAAAUACGUGCUUGUUUGAUCCUCAUAAUUUUAGAAAGACUAAUUACAAUAAUUGUAGCAUGACAUAAUUGCACAUCAGUCACUAAAGACUUGUACAUCAGUCACUAAAGACUUGUGCUUCUGAGUUUAUUUGAUUCGGAUUAAAAUCUAAGUUUAAUUUAAAUCAAAGUCAAACAAUCAAUUAAUAAAAUCUUUUAUGGGUAUCACAACUUUCUAAUCAUGCAUUUCAAAAACUUCUAUUGUAAUCUACUAAAAAAUCUAAUUUUAUUCUCCACCAAACACCCUCUAAACCUUUGUUUGAACUCCAUUUUCUCAAAAAACUCAUUUUUUGCCAAGGAUUUGAAAGAAAAUAAUCAAAGUGAUUUCAAUGUGUAUAUUCGGGUGAAUGAACACGAAUUGGACGUUUGGUAUUUAUAGAGGUCGACACAUGGUAAUGUGGAGCGUUAAAUAUUCGCGAGCGUUUAAAAUUAGGUUUGGCUAGAUAACAUGGUCGCUCGAGCGAGGUCUUAGCGAGCCUCGAGCGACGUGUCUUCCGCUCGAGCGACGGUCCAGCGUCUGUCCAGCGAAGUUGUUUCUGCAAUUGUGGCUCGAGCGAGGUCAUGGUGUGACUCUAGUGAAAUCACCGCGCCGUUUGCAUCUUCGAGGCAUCCCACACAACCCUAGACCAAGCCUACAAACUUUGGUUAAUUGCAACUCUAGUCCCUGAACUAUUGGACGUUGACAAUUUGGUCCUUGACCUUACAAUUUUGACAAUUUCAUCCUUGACUUUACAAUUUUGACAUUUUGGUCCUUGGUCACAGAUUUUCCAAUUACAUAUAUUCCUAACAAACUCCCCCUUUGGCAUUCUGUGACAAAAACACAUUUGACAGUCAAGGAUAAAAACAAAUUGACACCAAACUACCAAUCUAUUCUAUUACAUUGGUAAUAUCUUGUUGAAUCUGUUUCCUGAAAAACAAAACUCAAAUACCACGUAAAAACGCAUGUGAAAUGGAAACAGUAAACAGAGACAAGAUAUAAAUCAUAUAUCAUUAAUCAGAUUAAGAAGCAAUAAUAAUGUAUGUCUAAAACACCAAAAACCGACAUUAAGAUUGCCAAAAUAUCAAAAACUUAAUCUAGUUAUAAAAUGACAUAUAUACAUCAAUUUUAUAUCACAGUUAUCAAAAACAAUUAUCUGCUCUAAUAUCUACUCAAUCUACUCUAGUCAAAUUAAUCUAUCUACUCCCCCUUUUUGUCACAAAGGGCCAAAGAUACAGAAACCAACAAAACAAGCUAAGAAGCAGCAUCUGCAGCAUCGGACGAAUCAGAGCCACUCUCAGCACUCGUGCUCGCCUCCAAAUGAUCUCGAAUCAAGCGCAACUGACGCUGACAGACAGCAAGAGCACGACGAAACGUAGUCAUCUUGACGGACUGACGCUCUGAAGCAGCACGUAACUGCGUGAUCUCAACUACGGUACGAGCCUGUUGCUCGAUCAGUGUAGUCAUCGAUCAGUGUAGUCAUCGGACCCAUAAGCGGCACCAAGGGGUCAAUGGGCAAUGUAGCCACCCCAGGCACUGAUGUAGAAGUAGAAGGACCGGAGGAGCUAAGCGGAAUAGCUAGAUGAGGAGCGGAACGAGAAGGAAGAAAGACCCGAGAACCCCUAAUAAGAAUAUCAAAAAUAGGAUCAAGGGGCUCGGAUGAAUCAACAACAUCAAAAAUCGCAGCCGCAGCUGGAGCAUGAGCAGAAGAAGAAGAAGCAGGAAUAUGAGAACGACUCUGAUGUAUAGUCUGUUGUCCAAUCGGACGUCCAAUGCAUCGAGUCAAACUCUCUGGAAAUGAAGCACCUAAGGAUAAAGCUACCCUAUGGAUCAAACAAGCAUAUGGUAACCCGAUCUGACUCCUCGGAGUACGAAACGAAGCCAGAAUCUGCUGGCAAACAAAACUAGGAAGGUCAAUCGAGUCCCCGCGAAGUAGGGCAUAUAGAAAGCGGGCCUGUCCCAUGGGUAAAGAAGAAGUAUGGUCUACGGGCCAUAGGUUCGUGCACACUAUGCGCAACAAAACCUGGCGAUCAGUGGGUAAAGAACCCGUGGCCAUCGCCGUAGGCCCCCCGACAGACGGGGUGUUCAAAAUUGUCGACCGAACAAGGGAGUCGGUCGGAACAAAAGAACGUAAAAUAUAGGGGUACGUAGGAUGGGUAAUCUCAGGAAUACCUAAAGCAAGAGCUACAGCAGAAGGUGUAACUCUAAACGUAUGACCCCGCAGAAAAACCCUAAAAGACGACCCGUCAAUAUCGUGGAUGUUCGCAUAGAACUCCUGAACUAGAAGAGGGGGUGGAGGUGAUAGACCAACAAGCAAAGGCUCCCAACCCCGAGACACUAAGAUGGCAGCUAUCUCUACGGGAAGGUCAGACAAAAUUACCUCACGCUCCAUGAGAACGGGGCGUAAGGAGAACUGGGAAGUGAAAACCUCCUGAGCAGUGGCAGAAAUGAAUCGCGAUCGACUGUAGACGUAGAACCACUAGCUGGCUGGGAAGAGGGACGUGAUCGCUUACGGGCCAUCUGGCACACGUAAAGAAGCAAGAAAUGAGAUACAUGAAAAAUGCACGUGAAACGAUGCAAUGUGACAUGGCACACCGUGCACACAAAUGAGACACAAAAAUGAGACAUCGAAAAAUGCGAUCGACCCUAAGACCAAAGUUAUCACGACCCUGACACUCGACCAAGAAUAUGCACACAAUUCCAAUGGAGAAAAAAAUGCAAAAAGAAAAAGAACCAACCAUGCCAAAGAAGGACAGAAAUAGUUAAGUCAAUUCAUCGAACAUGUGGCGUGAGACACUUCGGCACGAAUUUCCAAGCACACAAGAAACGUAACCAUGUAACCAAAUACAAAAUCACAAACUAGGCAACAUGCUCUUCACAAAGAAACAAACCACACGCAAAACGGAGUUACGGAAUGGAAGAACCAAAGCGAUGAACAUGGAUGAAAAUCACACAAAACAUAAGUAAAACACAAGCACAAAUCAAGCAAAAAUCACACAAUGCUAUGUAAUACAUGAAUUCAACGUGCAAGAAACUUCAAUCCAACGAUGCUAAACAUGCUAGAGGCUACGAACUCAUGUAAUAGAAGCAAUAAAUCAAACAAAAUGGAAAGAGAUGAGGAAAAAUAAAAAAAAACGAAAAAAAAUGAAAACAAAUGAAAAAACCUACCUCAAUUGACGUUCAAAAUGGAAUUUUGAUGUUGAAAUUGGGUGCUAUAGCUUCGAAACAAUCAAUAUAGAAGAUUUGGAGAAAGCCCCGCCCUCUCUUUUCAGGUUGCACGUAUCUGUCGGAGUAGCAGAAACACUAAAGGUCGUAGAUAGAUUCAUGAGGCAUUAUUCCACCACCAUUUCAUAACGUGAGGCUUGAAUCAGGGCCUUAUGCUAACUUCAAAUAUGGGGCCCUAUGAAUAUUAAGCUCCAGGUAGAUAGAAAUUAAAAAUUAUACUUUUAGCAGAUUUUAAAGAAAAGUUGAUGGAAUGUGUGGCUCAAAAAUUGUGGAUCCUAUGAAAUGUGUGGUUAAACUUAAUUAUUGACUUUUACUUAGAAAAUAGUUAAAUACAAUUUAAAAAUAAUUAAACAUAAUCAAGAAAAUCGGAAGAGAACAUACAAGAUUUAAAUCAAGAAAAUUGGAAGAGAACAUACAAGAUUUAAACUCGUGUACAAACAUUAAAAAAGGGUAAAAUAUAAUAAGUGGAUCGAAAAAAUUCCAAAGCAAAUUACAUAACACAUAGAAGCAUCUGUUUAAUUAAAACAUUAAUCAAUACAAUUACUCUGGAAAACUGGAAAAAAUGGGACAAAUAAGACGAAAUGCAAGAACCUAGAGAGAAAUGAAUAUCAUUGCUUUUAGCAGUAGCUCCUUGAAUAGGUAUAAGACCCACCAUGAGAAAAAUUAGAAAAAUUAUCAACAGUAAAUUUUAAAGAGAGAAAAGUGACAUUUUGUUUCUUGUAAAGAGAAGGAAAAAAAUAAUGGUUGGGAAGAUAAAUAGUCAAAUUUAGUAUAUAUAAAGAAAAUAAUGGUUGUGAUAUAUUUAUGUGAUACAUAAAUGUAUGUGAUAGGUUUUAUGCCAUUUAUAUGAAUUUUAUACAUGUGUUUGUAUUUUCAAAUUUUAUUAGUUUCUUGUAUUUGCAUAUGAUAAUUUUAAUUUAAAGAGUUUUGUAAUUGUAAUCUUCGCUUUUCUUCAACCAGUCAAUUUUAACCUUACAUAAUUUGGAGCCUUCAUUAAAGCUAGACCAUAGUCGAUUGCAUAUGUUGCCUAUAGUCAGGGUUGGCUCUGCAUUUGAUCAACUUGGAUCAAUGUUUGAUUUUCGACAUGGCAAGUAUGAAGUUUAAAAUUCCCUUUUUGGACCAAAACAUUGGACUUUUUUAUGAUAGGCUUUUGUUUGUAAGCUGGAGGAAAAUCAAUGUAAGGAUUUAUUUGUGAUUUUAUUGCUCGUGGUGAUAACUGGAGCAAAUUUGGUACUCAAAGUAAUCAUGCUGAGCAGGAUUAAUCUGUUGAUGUUCAGUUAAUGAAUUUACCCUAGUUGGGCUUUGUGGAAGAUGUGGAGAAUUUUGUUGAAGAAUUUUUUAUUCUCGAACGCGCCACCUUUUGCCAGACUCUUUAUUGUAUUAUAUUCUCCUAGUGUGUCAAGGAUUCUUUGAUUAUAAUUAUGUAGUGUACAACACAUACUGAGAUUAACCAAUUGUCCAACUUAUUAGUUUGGUCAGGAUAGAUCCCUUGUAAUCCUUACUUUUGAUUAUAGUGAAUUUUCUGUCUCUAUCCAUGGUUUUGUCCAGUUGGGUUUCCACAUAAAUCUUGUGUUCUUGUGUUUGUUUAUUUUCAUAUUGCCUAUAUCUCGCCCUUAAUUGAUAACAUAACAGAAAAAUGGAAGAGGACACAGCUGCACUCCUCAAUUGCAUUGACACCUCAUGCGGACAAAUCGUGAGAAUUUGGAGACAGUUACUGGAAGCAUGCAUUUUACUAACAGAAUAGAAAUGAAGCAAAUAUUAAGCUAAUUAUUUAUAGGGACACCAUGGUUGGGUUCUGUAUUCAGGCAGGAAAGACAAUUGCUUUUGAUUUCUUUUUAGUAAAAGUUGCUGGUUAUGUGCUUCAAGAUGGUGCACCUUUUGCUAGCAGGCGUGGCUAGACAUUUACCUAAUGAAUUAUCUGAGAGAUUCGGAGGAUGAGAAGAGUGGCAAAACAGUGUUAAUGUAUUUAGGACCAUGAUUCUGAGGGGGUUCAAUCAAUAUUGGAAGAUGUGGGGGUGUAAGCGAUGGUUCAUGGAACUUGUUGCCAUAUUUAUUUGCGACAUUUAUGGCAUCUAUGUAAAACCAAUUAUUUUGUGGCCCAUGUAAUAUUAAAGAAUUAAUUAAAGGUGGUUAAUAUUACUAAAAUUCUAUUGGCCCAAUUGAGAAGUGAUAGUUUUAUAAUUGUAUACUUUGAAGGAAAGUGGAGAGUUUUAUGGCUCAUAGGAGAUUGCCUCUCUCUGCCUAUAAAUGUGAAUGAAAUCCAUCAGUUAAUUCAUUCAAUCACAGAUAGGGAAAGUGAGAGAACAGUUUCUCUAAUUUAACAGUUUCUUAUUUUGCUGAUCUAAAAUUCUCAAUUAUUGCAAUGGAUUAAUGUAUGUUUCUUGAUUUCAUAUGUGAAAAUCAUGAAUUCUAAAGAUCUUGGCAUUAGGGUUAAAUUUAUUAAUAUGGUAUUGAGCCAAGUUGAAGAAUUUUUGAUUUUCCUUAAAGAUAUAUUGUUUUACGUAUGAGAUCUUUAAUUUCUUAUUAAUUUAUGGAUCAGAUCAUUACAGCAAAUCUCAUUUGCUAUCUGCAUCGAUUAAUUGGUUUUUCCAUGGAUCCGAUUUGGGGAGACUAUAUCGUGUUCAAAUUAAUUGGCUUUUCCAUGCAUAUGAGAGAAAGAGACAGCCCUUCAAAGUCCAUUAUUUCGACUAUGUGCUCCUGUUUGUCAUUAUUAAUUAUUCAAAGUUUAAAUAAAAAAAAUUAAAAGAGGGGCAAAAACGUGUAAAAUUGAAAUUGCAGAAACCAAUUAAUGCAUGAAAACAUUUGCAAGACACAUACUGUUUCUUUCUAUAAUCCCAUGGCCCAAUUAAACCCCAUCCUUGGAAAAUCAAAUGAGGCUGACAAUUUCCUAGAAUGUCGUACUGUAGGUAUAUGUUUCUACCAUAUACGUUGAGUUGUUUAAGAAAAUGUCAGUCCCUCGUAUUGGUUUAAGGUAUAACAUUGGCUGAAGUUUAUGCAUUUGUGUUCAAUAUAGGUGAAGUACAUAUAUAUUGACUGUUUUUGGCAAUUGGACAUUUAUUGUUUCAUAUUUAAAUUUGAAUUAUGAAUUAUAUUAGAUUAUGUCUAGUUUAAUUACUUAUAUUAUUCACAUUUUAUUUAUGUAAGUAAUGUUCGAUUGAUGUUGUUUGUUAGUCACCAAAGUGGCCAAACAUUAUGGUAUUUCGAACACUAAAUUACAUAAUUUAUUUUUCAAUUACUCCUGAUAGUUUGAUGCUUAUAAAUGAAAAUGACUUUAUUAUUGGUGUCAAGAGUAUAUUGACAUUCAUAUAUUAUAAAAUUAUUAUAGAUCGCCCAAAGGUUGAUCAGUUAAUUUUAUUAAUCUUGAACAUAAUCGCGAUUAAUUGAUUUACUUGGUCGGAUGUGUUUUGUAUAUCCAAAGAUAUCAUACAUGUUUGAUUAGAGUAUAUUUAAUUACCAAUUAAGUGAAAUUAAAUUAGCAUCAUUAUAUUUAUUAUGAUGGUAUAAUGUAAUAUCACCCAAAGGAGAACUACGCUAUACAUUUAUUGUUAUCUGAAUCAGAAAUUAAAACUCAAAGUAUUAUUGUUAAAGCAUUUUAUAUUUUACAGUAUCUGUUCCCGUUUCUCUGCAUUCGCAUACUUCAUUUGCACCACUGUUCAAUGGACUCAAUUUCUCUGACUAGUGUGAACAAGUCCAGUUCAACUUAGGUGUUUUGGACUUGGAUUUGACAUUUCAAGUUGAGAAACCUGCUGAUCUUACUGAUGAGAGCAGUACUGAUGAAAGAUCAUUCCAUAAAGCUUAGGAAAGAUCAAACAGAUUAAGCUUAAUGUUUAUGCGGAUGACCUUAGCACAGAAUAUCAAGUCUACUAUUCCUAAAACUAAGAAUGCUAAGGAAUAUAUGAAGUUUGUAGAAGAAUGUUCCCAAACAGCUGACAAAUCACUUGCUGGCACACUGAUGGGUACCUUAACCACCAUGAAAUUUAAUGGUUCUAGUACCAUGCAUGAGCAUGUUACUAAAAUGAGUAACAUUACAGCAAGACUUAAGACUCUUGGGAUGACUGUGGAUGAGAACUUUCUGGUACAAUUUAUCAUCAACUUCUUGCCUCCCGAGUACGGUCCAUUCCAUAUGAACUAUAAUACCUUAAAGGAUAAAUGGAAUGUGAAUGAAUUGCACAGUAUGCUCGUGCAAGAGGAGACAAGGCUUAAGAAUCAAGGAACUCAUUCUAUUCAUCUCGUAAGUCAUCAAGGAGCUCGAAAGAAAUAUAAGAAAAUAUCUGAAAAGGGCAUUAAGCAAGGACCACUAAAGAUAAAUGAGUCUUCUACCCAAGUCCACAAUAAGGAGCACAAGAAGGAUAUGUGCCAUUUCUGUCGCAAACUUGGGCACCAUAAAAAGGACUACCUGAAACGUAAGGCAUAGUUUGAAAGUAAAGGUAAGAUUAUUUCUUAUGUAUGUUUCGAAUCUAAUUUGGCAGAAGUUCCUUAUAAUACUUGGUGGAUUGAUUCCAGAUGUACCACUCAUGUUACUAAUAUGAUGCAGGGAUUCCUUUCAACCCAGACCAUAAAUCCAAAUGAAAAGUUUGUCCUCAUGGGAAAUCGAGUCAAAGCUCCAAUUGAAGCCAUUGGAACUUAUCGUUUGAUUUUAGAUACUGGACAUCAUUUAGAUUUAUUUCAGACUCUUUAUGUACCUUCUAUUUCUCGUAAUUUAGUUUCCUUAUAGAAAUUUGAUCCUGUUCGAUAUUUCUUUGAUGGUGGAAAUGAAUGUUUAAAUUUGUUUAAACAAAAUCAUCUUAUCGGUUCCGCUAUUCUUUGUGAUGGCUUAUAUAAAUUAAAGCUUGAUAACCUCUUUGUCGAGACUCUUUUGACCUUGCAUCAAAAUAUUUGUACUAAACGUGGUUUACUGAAUGAACGAUCUACUAACUUGUGGCAUAAAUGUUUGGGUCACAUAUCCAAGGAAAGGAUAGAAAGAUUAGUAAAGAAUGAAAUCCUUCCUGACUUGAAUUUUAGUGAUCUUGAAACUUGUGUGGAUUGUAUUAAGGGUAAAACAACCAAACACAUAAAAAAAGGAGCCACAAGAAGCACGCAGCUUCUUGGAAUAAUAGACACCGAUAUAUGUGAACCUUUUGAUGUUCCAUCAUUUGGUGGGGAAAAGUAUUUUAUCACCUUUAUCGAUGAUUUUUCAUGCUAUGGUUACAUCUAUCUACUACAUGAAAAGUCUCAAGCUGUAAAUGCUUUAGAGAUUUUUAUCAAUGAAGUUGAAUGGCAAUUAGACAGAAAGGUAAAAAAUUAUUAGAUCUGAUAGAGGUGGUGAAUAUUAUGGAAAGUAUGAUGAAACUGGACAACACCCUGGUCCAUUUGCUAAAUUUCUUGAAAGUCAUGGCAUAUGUUCUCAAUACACUAUGCCAGGCACACCACAACAAAAUGAUGUGGCUGAAAGGUGUAAUCGUACUCUAAUAGAAAUGGUUAGGUGUAUGUUAAGCAAUUCUUCUUGACCCAUAUCUUUGUGGAUGUUUGCAUUAAAGACUGCUAUGUAUCUGCAAAACAGGGUUCCUAGUAAGGCAGUUCCAAAGACUCCUUUUGAACUGUGGACGGGAAGGAAACCCAGUUUAAGGCAUCUGCCUAUUUGGGGUUGCCCGGCAGAAGCAAGAAUUUAUAAUCCACAUGAAAAGAAACUGGACUCAAGAACAAUCAGUGAAUUUUUUAUUAGUUAUCCAGAAAAAUUAAAAGGGUAUAGAUUUUAUUGUCCUAACUGUAGUUCAAGAAUUGUUGAAACUGGAAAUGCUAGGUUCAUUGAGAAUGGGAUAGUGGGAGUUUUGAACCACGAAAUGUGGAAAUACAAGAAGUUAGUGUUCAAGUUUCUCUACCCUCAACUUCUUCUAAUGUUGUUGUUCCUCAAAUUGUUGAACGACAUGAUAAUUCUCCUGAACAACAAAUAAAUGAUCAAACACCUCACAAUGAAGUUGCCACCGAUGAACCCGCUUUAAAUGAACCACAAGAUAUAGCAUUAAGAAGGUCACAAAGACAACAUAGACCUGCUAUUUCUAAUGAUUAUGUGGUUUACCUGCAAGAGUCUGAAUUUGACUUGGGAAUUAUUGAUGAUGGUCCAGUUUCAUUUUCACAGGCCAUUGAGACCGCUAAUUCUAAUAAGUGGUUAGAUGCUAUAAAAGAUAAGUUGAAAUCUAUGGAACAUAAUGAAGUCUAGGAUCUCGUUGAAUUACCAGAAUCAUGUAAAAGAGUUAGGUAUAAAUGGGUCUUUAAGACCAAGCACGACUCUAAUUGUAAUGUCGAACGACAUAAAGCUAGACUUGUUGCUAAAAGUUUUACUCAGAAAAGUGGCAUUGAUUAUAAGGAGACAUUUUCACCAGUCUCUGAGAAAGACUCACUCAGAAUUAUAAUGGCUUUAGUAGCUCAUUAUGACUCAGAACUAUAUCAAAUGGAUGUGAAAACUGCCUUUCUAAAUGGAAAUUUAGAUGAAGAAGUUUAUAUGGAUUAGCCUGAAAGUUUUUCAAUUAAAGGAAAGGAACACAUGGUGUGUAAGUUAAAGAAAUCAAUAUAUGGACUUAAACAGGCUUCCCGUCAAUGGUAUCUUAAGUUCAACGAUACCAUUACUUCCUUUGGAUUUAAGGAAAAUGUUGUUGAUCGAUGUAUAUAUCUAAAGGUCAAUGAGAGCAAGUUUAUAUUACUGAUUUAGUAUGUUGAUGAUAUCUUACUAACUACUAAUGAUUUUGGUCUGUUAUACGAGACUGGGAAAUUUCUCUCUAAAAAUUUUGAAAUGAAAGACAUGGGAGAGGCAACCUAUGUGAUUGGAAUUGAAAUAUUCCGUAAUAGGUCACAAGGAUUGUUAGGGUUGUCUCAGAAAGCAUAUAUCAAUAAAGUUUUAGAAAGAUUUAAUAUGAAAAAUUGUUCAGCGAGUGUUGUUCCAAUUCAGAAAGGAGAUAAGUUUAGUCUCAUGCAAUGUCCUAAAAAUGAAUCGAAACGCAAACAAAUGACAGCUAUUCCUUAUGCAUCUCUUGUUGAGAGCUUAAUGUAUGCUCAGACUUGCACCAGGCCAGACAUCAGUUUUGCUAUCGGAAUGCUGGGCAGGUACCAAAGUAACCCGGGACUUGAUCAUUGGAAAGCUGCAAAGAAAGUACUGAGAUACUUGCAAGGAACGAAAGAACAUAUGCUCACUUAUAAGAGAUCUGAUAACUUGGAGGUCAUUGGAUAUUCAGAUUCGGACUUUGCUGGAUGUGUGGAUACUAGAAAGUCCACAUUUGGCUAUUUGUUCCUCUUGGCUGGAGGGGCUAUAUUAUGGAAAAGUGCGAAGCAGUCAAUCAUUGCUGCAUCCACUAUGGAAGCCGAGUUUGUGGCAUGCUUUGAGGCCACAGUUCAAGGAAGUUGGCUGUGAAACUUUAUGUCAAGACAUGGGAUCAUCGACAGUAUAACCAAGCCACUGAAACUUUAUUGUGAUAAUUCUGCAGCAAUCUUCUUUUCAAAGAAUGACAAGUACUCUAAAGGUGCUAAACACAUGGAAUUGAAGUACUUUGUCGUUAAAGAAAAAGUUCAAAAACAAGAGAAGUCAAUCAAGCAUAUUAGCACCAAUUUUAUUAUUGCAGAUCCAUUAAUAAAAAAAUUGUCACCAAAGACAUUCAAUGAACAUGUCAAAAGGAUGGGAAUUAUUGAAAAUUAUCUUUAACAUUAUUAUGUGAUUUAUGAUGCUUAUGUAUUGACAUUUUGAGCUCAUUUAUAUAUUGUUUUUGACAAAAUAUUAUUCCUGUCAUAACUGUUGCUACAUGUAUGUGAAUGGAUUAUGUGAAUGCUGACAGGGAUAGUCUUUUCGAAGACAUUAUUGAAAUGUAAUUAUCAAACUUCUCAUUAUGUGUCAUGUUGGGUAGGGACUAAUAUUGUAGUACAUGGAAGGAAUUAUACUUAUAUGAUGGUGUAAAACCGCCAUGACUCUUAUUAGUCUUUACUUAAGGAUGAUAUAUUAAGUGGCUAAUGUAUGAUGGAUUUUAGCUCAUGGUAUGCACAUUAUGUUAUAUACCACAUAACAAAGCAAUAUUACAUGAGCCAAGUGGGAGAAUGUAAAACCAAUUAUUUUGGGGCCCAUGUAAUAAUAAAGAAUUAAUUAAAGGUGGUUAACAUUACUAAAAUCCUAUUGGCCUAAUUGAGAAGUGGCAGUUUUAUAAUUGUCUAGUUUGAUGGAAAGUAUAGAGUUUUAUGGCUCAUAGGAGACUGUCUCUCUCUGCCUAUAAAUGCGAAUGAAACCCAUCAAUUAAUUCAUUCAAUCAUAGAGAGGGAAAGUGAGAGAACAGUUUCUCUAAUUUAAUAGUUUCUUAUUUUGCAGAUCUAAAAUUCUCAAUUACUGCCAUGGAUCAAGGUAUGUUUCUUGAUUUCAUAUGUGAAAAUCAUGAAUUCUAAAGAUAUUGGCAUUAGGGUUUAAUUACUUACAAUCUACAAUCUAGAAGACUACUGCUUUCAAUGUUGACACUGGAGGAUUCAGCAACAAUGUAAACUGCUUGGCAAGUUACAAGUACUUGAGUAGUCUGAGAAAUAAAAAAAUGAUUAGAUACACCUGGAGAUUAUUUUUCCUCUUCGUUCACUGUUCUUUGCUAUUGAAGUUGUGUCAUACAGCCAUAUUUGAUUAUUUAUGGUUACAUCUAACUAAACAGUUAAGUGUUUAUCUUGAUUAUGUUGAAAUAUGUGAUGAAGCUUCCCACUCUACAUAUAAAUAAACUCUCUUUUACAGUCUUACUCAAACAGGCAUAUCAUCUUCUCUAGUUAUUUUACUGACCUACCAUUAUCAUUUUAUAUAUUCGGAAAAGGUAGAAAACGUGUUUACUACAAUCAUCUUAGUUCUUUUCAGUCAUAAAUAUUGGUCUAUGAUUCCUGUUUUUUAGUCCUUGGGUAGUUAAUCUAUCAGAUAUUGUCAGUGUAAAGAUAUGCCAACAAUGGAAAUAUGCUCUAAUAUUUUUUGCUCCUCUGGCUGGUUGGUUAUUGUUUUCGAUAUGAAUUUUCUUUUGUCAAGUGCAUUUGCUCAGUGAUUGCAGGUAGUGGAUUUGUUAGACUAGAAAGUGAGUAUCAACAGAAACACAAUCUCUCGAAUGGCCAUGUCCCUGAAACUUUUGAUCCUGAGACAGAGAAUAGUUUUUCAGCAGAAGCUAGUGUAAAGUCCACAAUGCAGCUCUUUAUCAAGUUCUCUGUCGAGAUUAGUUCGGAAUCUUGAAAUGAAAACGAUAGGUAACACAAUGAUAUUUGCUUGGAAGUUAGAUAAGUACGUUUUUACAUACUUAUUCGGUCUACAAAAAACGACUAAUUGUUGAUGAAAUUGGUUGAAUAUGGCUUAAUUCCAUGCAAAUUUUGUUUUGUAGGACAACAUUGAUGAAUAUGGCGGAAUCUAGGUAAAACAAGUGAAAAAUGAUCAAAAUGGAAGAAAAUUAAAGUUCAAGGACCAAAAUGCAUAUAAUCAAAAGAUGACCGGGAAACAUAAACAAGGAUGUGAAAGAGUUAAAAACAAAUUUAGUAAGGAUUUGAAAUAUUGGGAGAAGAAAAAAAGAAAAAGGAUCUACAAAGAAUAAAGAAUUGAAUUCUGGGAUCAAAAUGCAACAUUCGAAAGUUUUUAUAAGUGGACGAUAGCCCAAUUGUUUUGAAUGGGUAACUGCCUAACAUCAAGGAACAAUUACUGAGGCGAAGAUUUUAGCCUAGUCAUCGCAGCGAAAGAAUUAUAGUUUUCUUAUUUGACUGAAAUUCUUAUGGAAACAAAUCUUAAGAUGUAUUUUAAAACCCUAGGGCCAUUCCUAAACAGGGGAGGACGCAUUGAGAGAGAAAAUAACACAUUUUGGAGGAGAUUUUGCACUACAAUAACGAAGAGAGACGCGAAGAUCAACGAGAUUACACGCCAAUUCUCACACCUGUGAUGUCAUUUCUUAAAAUUAUUGUGUAUUUUGUUAAUUUCUCUAUGCUAGGCUAGAUUUUCAUGUACUAGGAGAUCGAUGAACCUUGUGAUAUAACUUUUUAAUUUCUAGUUUUGCAAUUUUGACAUCAAACACAUUCUUGAAUUUUGAAUGAUUAAUACACAAUUAGAUGCUUCCAUGAUUAUAGGCCCGUAAUUGUGUGAGUGUAUUGACUUAUUUCAUGCAUUCGAGAGAAGGGGAAUGAGGUCGACAGGGUAUAAAUCAUCGUAUGGUCCGAUAGCGGAUAGAGAUAUAUCGUUAUGCCAUGCGUGAAUCUUUAAGUGCUCACAAACUUACAUGCAUUCUUGUAUAUUUGCACCCGCCAUAGAGAUAUAGGUUGAUGGAAUAUUAGUAUAGGUUCAACUUUAUUCGAGAGGCUGUUGGAUAGAAUUGGGGGGCAUUGAUUCUUCAAAAAUUCAAUGUGUUGUCAAUUUACGAAACUUGGGUUAAGAGUGAGCAUUGCUUAGGGAUUCGUGAUCCUGUUGCGCUUCAUAUUCAUUGAUUACAUCAAAAUUGCAUUCAAACAUCCAUUUUGCAUUCUAGUUUGUUUGAGUCAUACAUAGUUGCAUAUUAGGUUAAGGUUAAAUUAAGUAAAUACAAAUCUCGUUUGAAAAUUCGGUUUCGGUUAAUGUCGAGUUAGAUAAAAUUAAACUACUCAAUCUUGUGGGACGACAUUCGGACUCUAUUUUUCAUUUUAUUACUUGUUGCGAACUGUACACUUGCGGAAACAAAUCAAAAGAAUAAUUUUGUGAACAAAGCUUAUGGUAUCUCAGUAAAAUGUUAUGUUAAGUGGCAAACACAUAAUCUGGUAAGAUGAUAAUUCUCCUUUAUAUGCCUAAGUAACAGUAUUAAUUGGUUGAAACUUUUAUCAACUGAUUCGGGAUCAUUUCCAUACUCGUGCCGUUGAAAAGUCAAAUGAAAUGACAUUUGGAAAAUUGAUACGUUUUGUUUCUGUCGUGAAAUGCCUUUUUUUUUUUUUUUUUUUUUAAUUUUUUUUUUUUUUUUUUUAAUGUUUUUAGUUUUAUUCAUUUGCAAACGUCUCUUUUGGUUGCAAAGCUGAUCUCAUUUUGGCAAUAUAUAUGUCCAGUUUUGUUCAUUCAUAAAUUGUCCUAACGUAUCAAUCUAAAUCUUAAGUUCCAUGAUUAGUUUAACAAAUUUAGUGUACUAAAGAAAAUUCAUCAUCAAAUAAAUAAAUAAAAUAUAAAAUUUAUACUAACCGAAAAUUAUGUCGCAAACAAAAUAAAAAUAAUUCAUAAGUCAGUAGUAUUAUAAGGAAAAAAAAAAAGGGAAAAAAAAUUAUUUUUCUUAAUUCUCAAUAUCUCUAAAAAAUACAGAAAAAAUAAAUUUUUCUAAGUUACAACAACAAAGCAUCAUCGUGAUGACCAUGAUAAGUGUGUGCAAAUGAUUAACAUUGAUAUCUUGUUGAUAAUUUCAUCUGCAUCAUCAAUAUAUAUUGAUUUUAAUCAAAGUUAUGUGUAGAAAUUAUGUAUAUAUGUCCAACUAUAAAAUAAAGUAAUAUGUAAGUGUUAAGUAAGUAUAAACAUAUUCAACACAAUAACAACAAAACCCAAGCGCAAAGUCAGAAAUUCAACCAUCCCAAUUUUCGCAACAUAAUGAACUUCUCUUGAAUUAAUUUUGAAAUAUAGAGUCUGAAUCUGGUAAAGUUCACCGGCUUGUCUUCGUAUUUGAAAUGAGAAUUAUUCUUCUUGUACAAUCGGCGUUGACUACCCCAGUCGACAAUGUACUCACGGGAUGGGAGACCCAUGAUUUUUUUAUUCAGCGUGGGCCCUCCUCCCAUGUGUUUAAUUAUAAAUCCCGAUUGUACACAUAGCACAACUGUUGAAAUGAACUAUGAAUAUCCUUAUGAAACCUGAAAUCUUCGCUAAAUUAACAACAUUUGCUCUACAAACCCUUAAAUUUUUAAGGGGAAAAAAAUCUUAGAGUAAACUACAUGAUUACUGAGGCAAAAAAUGAAAUCAAACCAGCCCAGACAUACAAACUGGCAUUUCCUUGGAAGUUCUGAAGCUCGUCCAAAUUUAGAUUGAGUAGCCAUUAAUGUUUAGGUGGGGAUAAUAAGAAUCCUUAUAAAAGUAUAGAUACAAAUGAAAGACUGACAUUACAGUUUCAAGAAGCAUAAGUACAUUCUCCAUGGAUCAAUUCAAUUCAAAAUUUCAAAAAUAUUAUUAUCAUUGAUUCAAUUACAAAUUUACAAGGUAUGUAAAACUCCCUAUCCAACGGAUUGAUGCAUAUAUAAUAACAAUUUUAACUGAAUAGUUUCACUUUCACUGUUCUUUCUCAUAAUCAACUUUAAACUUGGGAUCUCAAUAAUAUUUGUGUUACUUCAUUCAACUGUUAAUUCCACUUUUCAUUUAGCGGAUGUCCCAAAACUAAAGUAUACUUUGAUAAGUAGAAUAAUCUAUGUACUACUUUUCUCUAACUGUAUGAUAUCAUCGACUAAAUAUCAUAAGACAUGAUCUGCACAUAAUGUAUAAAAAUCUCAAUUCCCUAAAAGCAACCAUAUUUUAUGAAUUGGGCAGAGUAAUUAAGGAUCGCAUGCUGCUCGAAAAUGAAAUGAGUUGAAAGGAACUAGCAGAAACGUUUGUGUACUAUCCAGCUUGACAUUAUUCACGUAAAUUAGGAACUUGAAUUUAUCAUCAUCCAUGAGGCUACAAUCUAAUAUUUGAACACUAUUUCUUCAGGUACAAACCAAGAGGUCUAAUUUGUGGAAAAAGGAAAUAAAUCUUUGUUGUCUUACAUGGAACAUAAUGGAUAGUAGCAAUUUCUACAGCCCCUGAUGCAGCUGCAAAACAAUAGGCGGUUUUUCCAUGUGCAUUUAGCAAUGCCAAGUCAUUAGAUUCUUUGUCAAUCUACUAUUCUAAAAUGUAUUAUUAAGAAAUAAUGGGGCUCAAACAAGCCAAAUAGAAAAACUUCAUGAAAUUUCACUAAUUCUAAUAGAAGAUGGCAACUAAGAUUAUUUAAGGAAUAUGAUAAACAAUAAAAACUUUGUUCAUCAAAUAUAUUCGAAUAAUUUAAUUUUUAAAAAUAAAUUAAUUAAUUAAAAAAUUUAAUAACAAUAUUGUCUUACUUAAAUGAAUGGAGGCAUUAAAAUGAAUUAUCAAAAAAAAAAAAUAGAAAAAAAAUUAAAUGGGUAAGUAAAUGGGGCAAUAGCCUUGCCCUGCCUUAAAUGAGCACAGGGCGGGAAAAUGCUAAGCUGUACGCGGGGCGGGCUGCCUCAUUGCCAUCCCUAAUUUGUCAUCAUCCAUGAGGUUAUAAUCUAAUAUUUGAAUACUAUUUCUUCAGGUACAAACAAAGAGAUCUAAUUUGUGGGAAAGAGAAAUAAAUCUUCAUUGUCUUACAUAGAGCAUAAGGGAUAGUUGCAAUGAUGCUUAUAAUUCUUUCCAAGGUCCGUCCUUCAUUUCUGUCACUUUGAGCUAACAAUCCUAAAUGGGUAGAACCAUAAGAUAUGAAACCAUUUCCUUGUUUCCGAGCAAAGCAGCUGCCUUUUCAAGUGGGGUCAUUUCUUGGCUGCCUUGAGUUGUUGGCAAAGUAGGAUUUUUUUUUACGUACACGACCUUGACAAUUUCUAUAACCCAUGAUGCAACUGCAAAGCAAAAGGUUGUAUUUCCAUGUGCAUUUGGCAAUGCCAAGUCACUAGAUUCUUGACAAAUUCAGUUUGCUUGGUGACAGCAGCUAUGCGAAGAGGCCUAUUUCCUCUUUCUUUUUUCUCUAUACAAGCUACAAUAGUGUCCACAUUAAUAACAAUUUCAACAGCCUUCCAAUCAAUCACCUCCUAGAGCAGCUGGGUAUAAAAAUGCAGGAACCUUCAGUGUACUUAUACUAUGUAGCACGUAUAAAAUUAGAGGACAUUCCCAUGUGCGAAACAUAUACAAUGCAUCAACUCUUAAAGUCUACUAGUAGAAAGGAGAACAAUUUUAUCACUCAAUACCAAAUCCAUAACUCUCGAAAAUACUAAUGAGUCUAGAAAAAUUCCAAAAUCUCAUCUAAAAUAAUUUUAAAACCAUCUUUUUUUUUUUGGCGCACUUUUAAAGGAUAGUAAUAGAUUUCAUGUAUCUUUUCUAUGCAAAUGUGAUACUAUACACAUUUGCACUUCACUAAUUUGCUCGACUUUGGCACUGGUUUAUUGAACUCAAAAACUGACUGCCAAAAGCUCUUAAAUAUUGGGCAAGGAUAUUGACGUUCAUAUUGAUAUUGGAUAUUGGAUUUUCAACUCUAAUUUCAAUCUGGCUAGGCGUCUGUUAUAAAUGUGAGUGAGAUAAAAGCAAUUAAAAGCACAACAAAAUAUUAAUAGGGAAACACAUUCUCAUGCAUGAUUAGGGAUAAUAUUUUUUUAAUUAAAUUAGAUGGUCUAAUUAGCAAGGAUUUUGAACCGUCAUUAUAUUCAAAUGUACGAGAAAAUUUUCAGUACUCAUGGAGUAUGAAAAUUAGUAUCUCGUGUCACUACUUAAUUGACAUGUAUAUUAUUAUAUGUUAAGAUUUGGGGUCUCACCUUAAAAGGUCAACAAUAAGAGGAGUAGUUCAAUUCUCUUUAUAAGUUAGUCUAUAUUUUUCAUCUUUAAUCGACAUGGGAUUGAGCAGACCAAUCAUGAAAUUCGUAUGCUCAUUUUUUUGAGCCUUAAUCAGAUCGAAUCGAUCAUUGGAGUUUAGUGGGCUCUAUUACCAUGUUAAGAUUUAGGGUUCCAUCUUAAAAGGUAACCUUAUUAAGAGGAGUAAUCCAAUCCGUUAUAAGUUGAUCUAUGUUUUUGUCAUUAAUCGAUAUGGGAUUUUUAUCCCUUAACAAUCUGAUUCCAAUCGAAAAGUGAGUCUCAAUUAUUUAGUACACAAGUCAAUUAAAUAGUAACCGAGAGUGCUAGAAAUUUCUCUGCCAAGUUCUCCCAAAUGCAUAAACACUUUCUAAACGUUCAGUAAAAAUGACACGAGUUCAAUUGGCAGCAAUUCAUUCAAUUUUCUGAAGUUUUCGCCUCUCCCUUGCUCCCAAAAUUACAUAUAUUUUCUGGUAUUUGGAUCUUGUAAUAUAUAGUAUUAAUUUAUCUUCUUUAUUAGCAUAUUUUCUGGGUUUUGAAUCUUGUUCAUUGCAAUUAGAACAUGGGUAUUGUCUAAUAACCAAAGUGCAUCGAUGCAAGGUGAGUUUUUUUUAUUAGGAAUCCUAGUGAUGAAUAUCGGACCGACAGCCAGGAAAAAAUUCAUAACGGAACAAGUACUACUUGUAGAAAUCCCAAAAUCAAUUAUGGGAUUAUUGUAUGGUAUAAUUAGAACAAAGUUAGGAAAUAUUUUUUUCUUUCUUGAGUUAGAAUAUUAUUUUCCUUUUCUUCACAAUUAUAUUGUAGUAUAUAUUGAGGCAUAAUACUGUAAGAAUAAUGUAUGGACGAGGAAAAAGAUUGUUUCCCAUUGUGUCUUUAUUAACUUUAUGGUAUUAGAGCACAGUUAAAUCCAAAAUCGACUCUUAAUGGUGCAAAACACCACCAAUAGUAAAAACUCAGCCACCUCUGAAAUAGGAACCGGUGAAACUGAAGUCACCCAUACCAUGAAUUCAAUUGGAAGUGAUUGAUGCUACCAAAAAUCGUACCUGUUGAUUUUUCGAGCUAGACGACUGAUAAUGAGCACGAACGAGAUCUUCCGGUACCUGAAAUAAAGGCGUCGAGGUGUGUCCUCAUCGCCCUCCGAUACUUAAGUCAGAGAGAGAAUUUGUGCGUAAGGCUAUGAACUGAAAAUUAUGUUAAACGUACCUGAAUAAUGAUUAAGGGCUUUGUAUUUAUAGAGGUAGGUGGUGUGUUCAUAUUAGGAUUCCGUAGUGCACUUGUAAUAGAACAGCUUGAUUUUGCAAUCUUAUACCAAUGAGUCCUACGCGAGAUAUGAGUUUGAAUUGUGGUAUAAUUGGGAUAUCAAUUAUCUAAUAGAGUUAUUCUGGACAUAGGAGACAUAGGUUGAGGAGUUUAAGUCAGAAUAAAUUUCUUAUUGGAUAAGGCGUUGACGCCGGGGACAUGUCGAAGACAUAAUCCCGAGGACACGUCGAAUGACAUUCCACAAACUCUUGGGUCAACAGCUCGGGCAUGUGAAAGACAUCCCGAGCACAUAUAUCCCGAGCAUACUGAUACACAAAUCGAUGAAAUAGAGUCCUCGGGUUUGUAUACGUCGGGAACAGUAUUUGGUAACAUCAGUGGCCCCCGUGCACCUGUGCUCGAUUAUAUGCAUGAGGAUAGGUACAAAAGAUCAAAAUUACAGUCCUCAGUAUAAUACCCCCAACAAGUCAUUGCAGAGGAAGGAUUCAUGAGGGCUGACGUCAGAUGUGGUAGUGACUCCAGCCCUAGUACAAAGGCGGUGUAACUUUUAGACCCUAGGAUGUAGGACACAUGGCAUGAUGGAACGGUUCAGGAUGUGACCUUUGGCCUCCCACCCAUGUUUCCCUAUAUAAGCCUCAUUUCCUAUUCAUUUUUUUACUUUUUCACUAUCAGUAAACCUUGUUGGAGUCGUCGGGAUAAGGUGAGUCCUCUGGACUUUAAGUUGUUUGUUUUUAGAAAAGUCUAAAUUUAAGAUAGGAUGUCGAGCAGUGAUAGUGAUACGUCAUCCUCGAGUUCAGGAACCUCAACCGAGGACUUAGGCCAGUCAAUAAUAUCUAUGGCCAUCUCCAUAAGUGUUAAUCCUCGAGCUCAGGAUAUCCCGACAUCGUUAGUAUACCCCGACCAACCGUGUAGGUUUAAGGAGCACUUAGCAGUGGCGACUGCUAGGGAGUUCGGCCUGAUGCCGAACUGUGAUAUUAGAUCUCCCGGGGAUGAGGAUAGGGUAGCUAUUGCUCGGGAAGGAGAGUUUGUCGUUUUUAAAGAUUCUCUGAAGGGGGGAUUUAGGUGGCCGCUGCAUCCUUUUUUCCUCGCACUUUUGAUCGAGCAUAAUAUGAGUCUGGGGCAAUUAGUGCCGAACGGGUGGAGGAUGUUGACGUAUUUUUUUAUUGCUUGUAGAUACCUCGGGAUUAUCCCAUAUGCCGACUUAUGUAGGAUGGUCUUCGUCCUAAAACAACUUCCCCAGUACUCUUGUUUUGCCUAUCUCUCAACCCGAGGAGGGUUUAGAAUCCCGAGGAUGCCUAGCUCCCUGAAAAGAUAGAAGGAUAAGUGGUUUUAUGCUAUACCUCAAGAUCCCGACGUUCCCUUUAGUCCUCGGUGGGGGGUGCCCGAUACUGCUAGGUUUUGUGGGGGUCAGGCGUAUUUUAGUCGUUGGAGAGGCAUAGGCAAAUGCUAGAGGAGCUCGAGCCCUUCGUUUAUGACUUGGAUGAUAUCCUCGAGCUUGUGAACAUGAACGGCAUUGAGGGUAGGAUAUGUGAUUUUAACACUUUAAUUUCCCGACCUAUAUUUUUAUUAAUGCUCGUGCUAAUAACAUGUCAUUUUUUGCAGAAAUGACGUUUGACCCAAGUGCCCUUCGCCAGGCAGUUAGCAAGAAGACAAAGGCUCCCCAGGCUCGGGCUCCAGACCAGAGGAUGGGCCAAAAGAGACCUCGGGAUUCGAAGCUUAAAAAGCAGACCAGUGGGUCAAUGAAUCGUCAAGGCCCAGAGGACCAUCACCGGGAAUAGGGAGGACGGGAACUCAGCAAGAAGAUCUUCUGGGUACUCCUCGAGGGCCUCAUUCUCGAGGACCUAUUGACGUGGUCUACCUUGAGGAUGAAUGCAUGCCAUCGGGCCCUGCUAAUCAUGAGGGAUGCUCCCCGUGUCAGUCCGUGCUCAACAUUGUUGACAAGUACCGGGCAGACGUCGAUUUAAGCAAUGGCUUGAGGCUUCUCGAGGCUAUGGCCUUGAAGAUAAGAUCGUCGACAGUUUUUAUUUUUAUUUUUAUUAUUUUUUGCAAUAUUUACUUCUCGAGGUUAAGUUACCCGCGCUCUUUUUUUCCAGACAUUGGGCAUAGCUUGAGGUCUUUCCUUAAAGGGGAAAGACGAGUCUGCAAAGACGGCCAACCUCGAGGGUGCCGUUUCUGCUCGGGAUCUAAGGAUCGCCGACCUCGAGGAGGAACGUGCUCAACUAAUGAGGAAGCGCGAGCAGAUGAGAAACGACCUUCGAUUGGCUUAGGAUGAGGCCAGUACUACAAAGGACGAGUCUGAGCACCUCAAGCUCGAGCUCGAGCGCACUCAAAAAGAACUGGAUGCAAAGCUAGCCGAUGCUCGAGAUGUUGUAGUCGAGGACUUUAAGAAGUCAUACUUCCAUGCCUUGAAGGAAGCUCGAGCUUUUAUUCGCCUGAGGCCAGAUGCUCGCCCUAAGGAUCUGAAGUUGAUUCCCGAGGUGGCUGAUGACCUUCAGCUUUCUGAGUCUGAAGAAAAUUCUGGGAAUGAAGACGUCGAUAUUGAGGGUGACGAUGUCGAGGAAGGCCAAGGCAGUCAGAACACCGACAUCUAAAGUUGAUCAGUCCCCGAGUAUUUAUUUUGAUUUGUAAUUUUUGAUGUAAAUAGUUUUUCCUUUUUACCGAGCUCAUUUUGUGUUAUCGACGUAUUUUUAUUUCAUUAACAUAUGCCGACAACUUUUGUCAAUUAAUUAUCCCGAUGACUGAGAAGAAUUAAUUAACUCGACGACUAAGAAUAUUAAUUAUCUCGACGACGAAUUAAUUAUCUCGACGAUUGAGAAGAAAUAAUUCGAUUUUAAGCAAGUCAUAAUGCCGAGGACAGUGAUGAAUGUAGGAUAUAGUUUUACACUUGACAGUAAAAAAUAUCUCGACGUCUAAGAUAAAUUAAUUAUCUCGAUGAUUGAGAAGAAAUAAUUUGAUUUUAAGCAUCAUAAUGCUGAGGACAGUGAUGAAUGCAGGAUAUAGUUUAACACUUUGACUGUAAAAUUAUCCCAACGUCAAUAUUGAAUCCAAUCCUAUGAAUACCUCGAGGACUAAUUACGAGGGGUGGUAACCUCGAGGUAUACGAAGAAUUGUGCCCGACCUCUGCACAGGAGUAUAUCCCGAGCUUUCUCUUUAGAACCUCAGACAAAAAUUCAAGGAUAGAUAGUCGGGGAUGUAUGUCCUCAGGAUGUUUACUUGUGCUGCAAGAUUUUGAUAUGCUGAUUAUGGGCUCCAAAGUUUGGGUGCUUGCGCGGGGCAAGGCUUAGGUGCUUGCGCGGGGCAACGCUUAGUUGCUUGCGCGAGGCAAGCCUUAGGUGCUUGCUCGGGACAAGGCUUUGGUGCUGAGAUCACAUAUUUUAAUGAAUAGCUUAAUACUUAAAAAUUGACUUGGCAUGCAGGCCUAACAACUAAAAACGUGAACCUUGGCACGUAGGCCUGACUACCGAAAAAUAAAACUUGGCACGCAGGCCUGACAACUAAAAACAUGAACCUUGGCACGUAGGUCUGACUAUCGAAAAAAUAAAACUUGGCACGCAGACCUAACAACUAAAAACAUGAACCUUGGUAUGCAGGCCUGACUACCGAAAAACAAAACUUGGCACGCAGGCCUGAAAACUAAAAACGUGAACCUUCACACGCAGAUCUGACUACCAAAAAAAUGAAACUUGGCACGCAGGCCUGACAACUAAAAAUGUAAACCUUGGCACGCAGGCCUAACAACCGAAAAGACGAUAAGAAAAAGAAAAAAAACUUAAAGCAGUGCAAAUAUUUACCUGCCAUGUGGUAGGGCGAAUUAUUUGUAAUAAACCUUCAAAUUAUCGGCAUUCCAAGGCCUAGGAAGGGGUCUUCCCGAAGUGUCUCUUAGGCUGUAUGCUCCUUUGCGAACCUAUCGUAUGACCUCAAAGGGUCCUUCCCAGAUGGGCCCGAGCUUCCCUGGGGGGUGACCUGCUGCUUUGGCCCUCCUCAAGACCAAGUCACCAGCUCUGAACCUCCGAGUCUUGACUUUAUUAUUAAAAUGCUUUGCUGUCUUAGUUUGGUAAAAGGCAACCUUUGUAGCUGCUUGCUCCCGUACUUCUUCCAAGAGAUCAAGGUGUUCAGUUGUAUGCCCCGAGGUUUCUGGCUCGAGUCUCUUAUGGCUUGGCAGUUUAAUUUCCACCGGGACCGUUGCUUCAAUGCCAUAGGCUAACAUAAAAGGGGUUUCUCUUGUGGUUGUCCUAUGAGUUGUUUUAUACGUCCAUAGUAUAGAAGGCAGCUCGACGGACCAAGAACCCUUAGCAUUACUAAUUCUUGUUCGGAGGUCUUGUAAUAUGAUUCGAUUUAUUACCUUGGCCAGACCAUUGCUCUGAGGAUGCGAAACUGAAGUCAGACAGUGACCAAUCCUAAGGUUUGAGCAAAAGUCCCUAAACCGUUGAUUGUCAAAUUGCCUACCAUUGUCGGUGAUGAGGACCUUUGGUAUCCCAAACCUGCAAAUGAUAGACCUCCAAGUGAAGGCUCUUAGCUUGGGCUCCGAUAUCAUUGCGAGAGGUUCGGCCUCUGCCCAUUUAGUGAAAUACUCUACUGCUACAGCAAUAAACUUUAAUUGACCACUUGCCACAAGAAAGGGCCCGAGGAUGUCAACUUCCCAUUGUUCAAACGGGGCCGAACAGUUAAUGUUGGUGAGGGCUUUGGUUGGUGAAUGGAUAACAUUACCAAACCUCUGGCACCUAUCACAUCUCUUAAUAUAUUCUGAGGCGUCUUUCUUCAUAGUUGGCCAAUAGUACCCAUAUCGUAUGAGUUUAAAGGCCAGGGCCCUGGCUCCUUGAUGAUUCCCGCACAUACCUUCAUGAACUUCGGCAAGGGCUUGGGAUGAUUCUGAUGGUCUAAGGCACCUUAGGUAUGGAAGAGUAAUACUUCUGCGAAAGAGGACACCGCUAAUCAUGUAGUACCUAGGAGCUCGAGCUCGGAUGCUUCUAGCCAACCUGGCAUCGCUUGGUAGAUUUCCACUUGUGAUGAAUUCUAUGAUUGGGUCCAUCCAAGACGGUUCGUUGUCAAUGUCCAUGACGUCGGGGAUUUGAUUGAUGUUGGGUUCUGUGAUGACUUUAAUGUGAACUUUUCUGUCCAGGCUGUUAACCCCCAUGAACACAAGCCUGGAUAAUGCGUCGGCUUUUUCAUUGUCCUUUCAAGCAAUUUUUGCAAUUUCACAACUCUUGAAUUUUCGUUGAAGAUCCUGAACCUUCAUGCAGUACAAACUCAUUUUCUUGUCUUUCCUUUCAAAUGAUCCUUUAAUCUGUCCGACCACCAGUUGUGAAUCGCUGAAUACCUUCACGAACUUGAGCUCAAGGCUAAGGGCUAGCUCUAGAGCAAUAACGAUGGCCUCGUACUUGGCCUCGUUAUUGGUUGCUUCAAACUCGAACCUAAGAGCACAUUGAAUCUCCGUAUGUUUGUCAGGGCUGAUAAUGAUGACCCCUGCACCAGAGCCCGAGGAGUUCGAUGCUCCAUCUAAAAAAAUUUGCCAAGUGUCCAAAUUAGUGCUCAUGCUCGAGCCGUCACCUGGCCCCCGAGGCCUAGGGGUUAGUUUUGCAAUGAAGUCGGCUAGCGAUUGGGCUUUGAUAGAUGGGCGUGGUUUGAAUUUGAUGUCAAAUUCUCCAAGCUUGAUCGCCCAUUUCAUCAGUCUUCCUGAGACAUCCGGCUUCUGAAGUAUAUGCCUAAGUGGUUGAUUUGUGAGCAUCACAAUAGGAUGAGACUGAAAAUACUGUCGGAGCUUCCGUGCUGCUAUCACCAAGGCAAGGGCAAGUUGUUCUGCCAAAGUAUACCUUGUUUCCGCAUCUAGUAGGACCUUGCUUACAUAGUAGAUAGGUUGUUGGACUCUGUUAACCUCUUUCACCAAGACCCCGCUGACCGCAUUUUGAGAUACGGCCAAGUACAAAAAUAGGGUGUCACCAGGCUCAGGCCUAGUGAGGAUAGGAGGAGAUGCCAAUGUUUGCUUGAGCUCCUAAAAAGCUUUCUCACAGUCUUCAUUCCAAUCAAAGCCUUGGUUUCCUCUGAGGACUUUGAAGAAGGGAUAGCACCUGUCUGAUGCUCGGGUCAUGAACCUGUUCAAGGCUGCUAUCCUACCAGUCAACCUCUGUAUCUCUUUCUUAUUCCUUGGUACUUCCAUAGAUGCCAAGGCUUGUAUUUUGUCAGGGUUAGCCUCUAUCCCCCGGUGAGUGAUCAUAAAGCCCAAGAACUUGCCCGAGGCUACACCAAAUGCACAUUUUGCGGGGUUCAACUUCAUUCUGUACUUUCGCAAGGUGUCCAAAACCUCUUCAAGAUCUGAAAUAUGCUCGUCCACCCGUUUGUCUUGACCACAAUGUCAUCAAUGUACACCUCCACAUUCCUUCCUAUCAAGUUAGCAAAGACUUUGUUGAUGAGCCUUUGGUAUGUUCUCCCUGUAUUCUUCAAACCGAAAGGCAUGACCUUACAACAGUAUAUGGCGGAAUCGGCCAUGAAUGAUGUUUUUUCUUGAUCUUCCUCGACCAUGAGGAUUUGAUGAUAACCAAAAAAUGCAUCCAAGAAGCUGUAUAGCUUAUGUCCAGAUGUGCUAUCCACCAAGUUGUCAAUCCGCGGUAGGGGAUAACUAUCCUUUGGACAUGCCUUGUUUAGAUCUAUGAAGUCAAUGCAGACCCUCCACUUACCAUUGGCGUUCUUUACUAAAACAACAUUGGCAAGCCAAUCGAGAUAUUGGACCUCCCGAAUGAAUUGAGCACUGACGAGUUUGUUAAUUUCUUCACGAAUGACCUCCCGACGUUCUAGGGCAAACUGUCUUUUCCUCUGCUUUACUGGUCUGGCCUCUGGGCUAAUGUUAAGCCUGUGGACUACAAUUUUGGGGUCUAUCCCUGGCAUAUCCUCAACCUUCCACAAUGUUGCGAGAUAAGCACCCAAUAAGUUCUGUCUUUAGGUUGACGUCAAGAUCCCGCCCAAUCAUCACCUUCUUAUCAUGCUUGAGCUCGAUUUCCAUCAAUUCCUUGACAGGAGCAAGUCUGACUUGUUGUCCGAUCUCAGGCUCUGUCCUUGAGAUUUGCAUGACAUCGUUAUUUGUUUCCUGAACACUGGCAACAUAGCAUUGUCUGGCAGUUGUUUGGUCUCCACGCACGACCCCAACGCCAUUGCUUGUUGGAAACUUCAUGGCUAGGUGGAAGGUAGACACAAUGGCUUUGAUUUUGUUCAAGAGUGUUCUUCCCAGAAUAGCGUUAUAGGCCAUUGAGACAUGUGCCACUUGAAAAGAUGUCAUCUCCGUAACCUGUUUCUGGCCAGAACCCAAAGUUAGAGGAAGCUCGAUGACACCCUCUGGAGUGAUGACUCCUCCCCCAAACUCCUGGAGAGGAGUUUUAACAGCUUUUGAGCUGUUGAGAUGAGAUUCCCAUUUUGGCAAAAGCCUCUUGUGAAAGUAUAUUGGCUGCACUCCCGUUGUCAACCAAGAUUCUCUUUACUUCAAAAUUGGCCACAAUCGCUAAGAUGACCAAGGCAUCAUCAUGUGGAAGUGAUACACCUUCCAAGUCCAUGGUUCCAAAAGUAAUAUCCUCCAGCUUUCCAUGAGGCAUCCCAAAGGCCAUUUAAUUGUUUUCUUCCACUGUUUGAGUCUCCUCCCGAAGCAAUACCCCCAAUGAUGAUAUUGAUGGUUCCAGCAGUGGGUUGACCAUCCCUUUUUCCCUACCACGAUCGUUCCUCGAGCGUUUGUCGUUGCCGAUGUAGGAACUCAGGAGUCCUCUUUUAAUAAGGACUUCAAUCUCCCAUUGCAGGGCCUUAUAGGUUUCCAUGGUAUGCCCAUGAUCCCGAUGGAACUCGCAGUACGUGUUCAUGUCCCUGGAUUCAGGUGGUGACCUCAUUCUGGCUGGCCAUUUGAGUUCCUUCAUAUCCUUGAUCUCCAUCAAUAUAUUUAUUUUUGACGCAUUUAAACGCGUGAAUGACGUCGGGAGAACCUCCUGUCUUUGUUUUCUACAAAGUGGUUCUUGACGGGGGUUCAGGUCAUGCUGUCGUUUAUGCUCGACCCUAUCAUGGGAUGGUCCAACCUUUCUCGGGGUUCAGUAUUUUCUCCAUAUUUAUGUAUUUCUCAGCUCAGGUAAGAAGCUCGGUCACUGUCUUUGGCGGAGUUUUGGAUAACGAUAUCUUGAAAGCCUCACACUUUAUGGCAUAUGUGAGGGCAGAAACUGCUGCAGUUAUAUGUAGGUCGGGAAUAUAAAGUCUUUCCUUGUUAAACCUGGUCAUGAAGUCACGUAGGAUCUCAUUUUGCCCUUGUCUAAGUUGCAUGAGGGAAGCCACUGUCUUCCUGAUGCGUUUACUGCUUUCGAAGAAAGCAGAGAACUUGUCCGCCAAAUCCAAGAAUGAGGCUAUGGAGUUGGGCUCCAAGGCCGAGAACCAAUCCCUAGCAGCAUUCGUCAAAGUUUGCGGGAAUGCCUUGCACAUCACCUGAUCCGGUACGACCUGUAGAUUCAUGAAGUCUGUGUAUACGUUAAGAUAAUUGAUUGGAUCGGUGGUCCCAUCAUACUCUUUGAUUCUAGGAUACUAAAAUCUAUCUGGCAAGGGAAAUGUCAAUAACUUGGGAGUAAAGAAAGUGUUGGGACUGAAUCUUAUUGACCCUUUGUUGCCCUGAAGUAGGCCCGUUGUAAUUCCUUCUUGAAUAAUCCUAGCGAGUUCUUUGGACUCCAUGGUCACUGAUCUCGAGGUCGAGGUCACAUGUGGUAUGCCCAAGGCCCCUGCUCCGCCAUUGUCAGGGACAUGUCGCUAAUCUCGAGCUCGAGCAUCAGCCAUAAAACCUCCCUGGGGUACCGGUGUGGGUGACGGAUGCGAAUUUCUUUGACUUAGCAGCUAAGUCAGUGUGGUGACCUGUUGUCUGAGCUCUUUAAAGGCUCCGGUAGUGACGACUGUCGGCUGGGGCUCUGGCACUUCUGAUGAUUCCUCUUGAGGAACAGGGAUAUCCUCAAGAGGAGGUUGGUUUGGAGCGAAUGAGCUUGCUGGUGGAAGACAUGAACGUGUGUUUACCAUGGCUUUUGGUAGUGCUUCCCACAGACGGCACCAAUGAUACUACCAAAAAUUGUACACGUUGAUUUUUCGAGCUUGACGACUGAUAAUGAGCACGAACGAGAUCUUCCGGUACCUGAAACAAAGGCGUCGAGAUGUGUCCUCGUCGCCCCUUCGAUGCUCAAGUCAGAGAGAGAAUUUGUGCGUAAGGCUAUGAACUGAAAAUUAUGUUAAACUUACCUGAAUAAUGAUUAAGGGCUUUGUAUUUAUAGAGGUAGAUGGUGUGUUCAUACUAGGAUUCAGUAGUGCACUUGUAAUAGGACAGCUUGAUUUUGCAAUCUUAUACCAAUGAGUCCUACGCGAGAUAGGAGUUUGAAUUGUGGUACAACUGGGAUAUCAACUAUAUAAUAGAGUUCUUCUGGGCAUAGGAGACAUAGGUUGAGGAGUUUAAGUCAGAAUGAAUUUCUUAUUGGAUAAGGCGUUGACGCCGGGGACAUGUCGAGGACAUAAUCUCGAGGACACGUCGAAUGACGUUCCACAAACUAAUGCGAACCCCGUAGCAACGUUGACUAUGAAACCCACAACGAGAUAUACGAACCCAAGAAAGCUAAAUUAAUCCAAGAGUUUAGAAUUAACCCGAAAGAAAGUCGAACCAAAAAACCCAACAAGAACGAUGCUUGAAAGACCCCUUGAUCACGCAAUCCAAGAAUUAAAUCCGGUUGUUUGAACGCCACAAGUUAACACUUGAUAAGUUCGAAAUUGUUCAAUGAAGAACGAUGAAGAGAAGACAAUACGUCUCACUUUUAAUUCACUAUCAAUAAUGUCAAAGGUUUUUUUUAACAAUUGAAUGGAAACUCCUAUUUAUACUAAACCAAAAAACUAGGUAAAAAUCGUGUAAAAGUUGAGUAUAAUCUCCAAAAUAUGGAAAAAAAAGUCAAAAUGUAACAAAAUAUGGAGAAUUGCCAAAAUUGGAAAAUUCGCCAAAUUUUUGGCCUAUGCGGCCACAUGGUGUAAAUCCAUGCGGUUGCAUGGUUCAACUAAAAUUGCACUUUUGAUUUUCGGUAUGCAUGUGUGCCGUAUGUGGUUUUGCCUGUGCAGUCGCAUGGUGUUGUCUUCAGCCUCCGCUUUCAUCGCUUGAUAACAAAUUGAUCCAAGUUGAUUCGACCUUCGACCCGAACAUGAAAGCUGCUCCAUUUUGAGUCCCGAACAUGGUUCCAUCAAUGGUUUCUUGAACGAGUAUUUCCAUUGCUUGUUUCACUUGCUUUGCCCUUGACUGCGUCAUUGGUCCGUCAUCAACUAUCAACGGGUCUCGUCUCGCACUUGCCUUUGUCGGGCUCGACUCCUGGAUCAUAUCAUCCCCUCCCUCUUCAAAAGGAUUCGUCCUCGAAUCUAAACCUGCAUCAAACAGAGAGAGAUCAGAUACAUUAAAAGUAGCCGAAACAUUGCACUCACCUGGAAGGCCCAACUUGUAAGCAUUGUCGUUUAUCUUUUCAAUCACUUGAAAUGGACCAUCGCCCCUCGGUUGCAACUUGGACUUCCUUUGCUCCGGAAACCGCUCUUUCCUAAGGUGCACCCAAACCCAAUCUCCUGGCUCGAAUGUCACGCGCUUCCUACCUUUGUUCGCCUACGACGCAACCAACUUACUUUUGUUUUCAAUUUGCGCUUUUACCUUUUCAUGGAGUGACUUAACCAAUUCCGCCUUCUUUUUGCCAUCUAAACUACCACGUUCAUUCACAGGUAAAGGAAUUAAAUCCAAAGGAGUUAGUGGAUUAAAACCAUAUACAAUUUCAAAUGGAGAAUAUGACGUAGUGGAGUGAACAGCUCGAUUCUAUGCAAAUUCAACAAAUGGUAGACACUCCUCCCAACUCUUCAACUUUUUAUUGAUUACUGUGCGUAACAAUUGUGUCAUAGUCCUAUUCACCACCUCGGUCUGCCCAUCUGUUUGUGGGUGACAAGUUGUGAAAAAUAGUAACUUAAUGCCUAACUUACCCCACAAAACUCUCCAAAAGUGACCCAAAAAUUUGACAUCCCGAUCCGACACUAUUCUUCUAGGAAUCCCAUGUAAACGCACAAUCUCUUUAAAGAAUAAGCAGCAAUGUUCGUGGCAUCGUCAAUUUUGUGACAUGGUAUAAAAUGUGCCAUUUUGCUGAACCUAUCUACAACCACAAAAAUAGAAUCCCGACCUCUCUUAGUCCUAGGUAAACCCAAAACAAAGUCUAUCGAGAUAUCAACCCAAGGCUCACUAGGUGUAGGUAAAGUUGUGUACAAACCUUAUGGUAAAACCUUAGAUUUAGCCUUUUUACAACCUAUACAUCAACUACAAAUUCGCUCAACAUCACUUUUCAUCUUAGGCCAAUAAAAAUGCUCCUUCAAUACAUCUAAAGUCUUUUGAACCCCAAAGUGUCCCAUCAAUCCACCACUAUGUGACUCCCUUACUAACAAUUCUCGAAUAGAACAAUUUGGAACACAUAACCUAUUUUCUCGAAAUAAAUACCCCUCAUGCCUAAAGAACCUAUCGACCACCCCCUUAAUGCUUGACAAAUAAAUAUCCGAAAAAUCAACAUCUUUUUCAUAUAAUUUCUUAAUAUGUUCAAACCCAAGUAACUUAGAAUCAAGAAUAGUUAGCAAUACAUACCUUCAAGACAACGCAUCCGCCACCACAUUUUCCUUACCUUGUUUAUACCGAAUGAUGUAUGGAAAGGUCUCAAUGAAUUUCGUCCACCGUGCAUGCCUCUUGUUCAAUUUACCUUGUCCCCGCAAGUGCUUUAGUGACUCAUGAUCGGUGUGUAUUACGAACUCCUUCGGCCAUAGAUAAUGUUGCCAAGUCUCCAAAGCUCGAACAAGUGUAUAAAGUUCUUUGUCAUAUGUAGCAUAAUUUAAAGCAGCUCCACUCAAUUUCUCGCUAAAGUAUGCAAUAGGCCUCUGAUCCUGUAUUAAAACUGCUCCAAUCCCUAUUCCUGAUGCAUCACACUCAAUCUCGAAUGUUUUAUCAAAGUUAGGUAAUGCCAAAAUAGGUGCUUCACACAAUAUACCUUUAAUAGUAUUAAAUGCAAGUUCCUGUUCAUCACCCUAAUGAAAACCUACACUCUUUUUAACUACUUCCGUGAGUAGUGCGGUGAUAGUGCUAAAAUCCUUCACAAAUCGCCUAUAAAAACUAGCCAAACCAUGAAACUCCUAACUUCUCUUAUGCUUUUAGGUGUCGGCCAAUCUCUAAUAGCUUUUAUCUUUUCAUCGUCUACUUCUAACCCAUUAGCACUAACCACAAAACCAAGAAAAAUAACUCUAUCCAUACAAAACGUGCAUUUCUUAAGAUUAGCAUAGAGUUGUUCUUUCCUUAAAAUAAUUAGCACACAUUUUAUAUGUUCAAAUGCUCUCCUAGGUUUUUGCUAUAGAUUAAGAUGUCAUCGAAGUAAACCAUGACAAAUUUUCCUAUAAAAGCACGUAAAACAUGAUUCAUUAAACGCAUAAAAGUGCUAGGUGCAUUUGUGAGUCCAAACGGCAUAACCAACCAUUCAUAUAAACCAUAUUUAGUUUUAAAAGCCGUUUUCCAUUCAUCACCCUCCCACAUACGAAUUUGAUGAUACCCGCUUUUAAAUCAAUUUUAGAAAAUAUGCAAGAACCAUGUAAUUCAUCAAGCAUGUCAUCUAACCUAGGUAUAGGGUGACGAUACUUUACCGUUAUGUUGUUGAUAGCCCUACAAUCCAUGCACAUUCGCCAUGUACCAUCCUUUUUUGGUACAAGCAAAACCGGUACCGCACAAGGACUCAUGCUUUCCCUCACGUAUCCUUUGCUCAUCAACUCCUCCACUUGCCUUUGAAGCUCCUUAGUCUCCUCGGGAUUACUUCGAUAAGCCGGUCAAUUUGGAAUGACAGCUCUGGGUAUGAAGUCAAUUUGAUGUUCAAUGCCUCGACUAGGCGGCAAUCCAUCAUGCAUAGCCUUCCUAUCGUAUUGCCAUGGUCGCCCCAAUAAAAUAUGUCCCGCUUGCAUUGGUACCACAUCACACACUAACUCAUCCUUAUAACUCUGAAUUGACAAAUUAAUUAACACUCUUCGAUUCACCCUCACCUCGCCACUCUCAUUCAACCAUUGCAAUUUAUAAGGUCUCGGGUGUCUCAACAAUGUUAAACCCAAUUUUUCUACAAGAGAUACGCUAGCUACAUUAGUACAACUAUCACCAUCAAUUAUAACACUACAUACCGUAUUGUUGACGUAGCAUCGAGUGUGGAAAAUGUUCUCCCGUUGCAACUCCAAGUCAUCCGCUUUGACGUGAGUAGUGAGAGCUCGCCUUGUGACUAAUAGAUCCCCAACAGGCCCUUCAACUUUUUCUUCUUCACUAACACCCUCCAACGUCGGCAUGUCAUCAAACUCGCCAUCACUAUCGCUCGUAAACUCUCCAUUAUCCCGCAACACCAUCGCCCGUUUGUUUGGGCAUUGAGAAGCAAUAUGCCCUGUUCCCAAACACCUAAAACAUUUGAUGUCCCGAUUGCGCGACGGUUGUGCCUUCGAUUUUGAUAUUGGUUUGCUAGAAUUUUCAUCCUUGCCCUUUUGCCAAUCAUUUUUACCUCUAGGUGCAGCCCCAUUUUUGUUGUUGUCAUCCCACUUCGAUUUCCAUGUUAGAUUAGGAGUCAAAGUACCUAAUGGUUGCCUAGACGUCCCCUUCCUCUUCAAUUGCCUCUCAACCUUCAUUGCCACAUGUAACAUGUCCUCGAUUUCCAUAUAGUGUUACAACUCUACAACAUUUGCAAUAUCCCAAUUUAACCCAUUCAAGAACCGUGCCAUGUUAGCUUCCCGAUCUUCCUCCACAUUAGCCCGAAUCAUAAGAAUUUCCAUCUCCUUGUGAUAAUCCUCUACGCUUUUCGAUCCUUGGUACAAACCUUGCAAUAUUUGAUGGAUUUUCCUAUAAUAGUGACUUGGAACAAACCUCCUCCUCAUCAACAUCUUCAACUCAUUCCAAGUGCUAAUUGGUCUUUCCCGACCCCUAGGCCAUGAUGUCAGUACUUGAUACCACCAAGAUAUUGCGUAAUCCACAAAUUCAAGCACAGCUAAUUUUACCUUUUUCUCCUCCGAAUAAUUAUAGCACACAAAAUCAUCUCAACCUUUCUUUCCCAAUCUAAAUAUGCUUCCGGGUCGCUUCUCCCCUUAAAUUGCGGAAUAUUCAUUUUAAUACUUCCCAAAUUUCCAUCUACUUCAUCUUCCAAGUUAUUUCUACCCCGUCUUUCCAUCCUAUUGUCCCUAUGCCUCACUCGACCCAUAUCAAUGUCAUUUUCAUCAAAAUCAUCCUCAUCACUACGACACUCAUCUCGCCUUCCUCUCCUAGAUUCACGCCUACCCGGCCCCCUAGCAUUAGAUAUCUCCACUUGUCCCCAGCUAAGAUUAGCAAUUGUAGUACCCAUUUGUGCCAUCCAUUCCCCUUGCCUAUCCACCUUUUCCCUAACAUCACCAAGUACCCUUUCAAACCUCCUUAUCAUGUCCUCCGAUGCAUUGUUGUCAUUACCAUUUCGAUUUGAAUUAGAACCUUCUCUUUCCGACAUCAUAUCACACAAUUUUUUUUUAUGCCUCACAAAGAUUUCACUUGGAAAACACUCACUAUGGCUUUUUCCCUCUAUUAAACUCACCACUCGGCCUUUUACCACUCAAAGUCUCCCUCCAAGCACUUCAAAGAACCAAGUGAACUAAAUCAAUUGUUUUACCGACAAUUCAAACAAAUCGAAUAUUAAUCAAAGACCACGAGACUCAAAGGACUUGAAUAAGUGGAAUAGAUGAAUGUUUUGACACGAAUAUGUGAAUAGACUCAAAAGAAGAAUGACAAACUCGAACCCAAUUGAAUAUCCCAAAAAUCAAACACAAAGUAGGUAUUGUUGUUGGUAGAAAAAAACACAAAAUCAAACAAUGAUAUCAAAAUUAUAUAUAUAUAUAUAUAUAUAUAUAUACUUUUUUUUUUGUGAACAAUACUUCGAGAUGAACAGUACCUCGAAUGUACAAUAACCUUUUUUUUCUUUUUUUUUACUCCUUGAUGAAAGAAGGUGAGUAAACUACCAACAACUCGACAAAACGAUGAAAAGAAAACAAAAAUGAAGAAAAACUAACAAAGAAAAAAUUAAUGACCCAAAGAAAUAAAGAAAAGAUAUAACCUUCAAUUAAUUUGGAGCCAAAGCUCUGAUAUCAACUGAUGCGAACCCCGUAGCAACGUUGACUACGAAAUCCACAACGAGAUAUACGAACCCAAGAAAGCCAAAUUAAUCCAAGAGUUUAGGAUUAACCUGAAAGAAAGUCGAACCAAAAAACCCAACAAGAACGACGCUUGAAAGAUCCCUUGAUCAUGCAAUCCAAGAAUUAAAUCCGAUUAUUUGAACGCCACAAGUUAACACUUGAUAAGUUCGAAAUUGUUCAAUGAAGAACGAUGAAGAGAAGACAAUACGUCUCACUUUUAAUUCAAUAUCAAUAAUGUCAAAGGUUUUUUUAACAAUUGAAUGGAAACUCCUAUUUAUACUAAACCUAAAAACUAGGUAAAAAUCGUGCAAAAGUCGAGCAUAAUCUCCAAAAUAUGGAAAAGAAUCAAAAUCUAACAAAAUAUGAAAAAUUGCCAAAAUUAAAAAAUUCGCCAAAUUUUUGGCCUGUGCGGCCGCAUGGUGGAAAUCCAUGCGGUCGCAUGGUUCAACUGAAAUUGCACUUUUGAUUUUCGGUAUGCAUGUGUGCGGCCGCAUGUAGUUUUGCCUGUACGGCCGCAUGGUGUUGUCUUCGGCCUCUGCUUUCGUCGCUUGAUAACAAAUUGAUCCAAAUUGAUUCGGCCUUCGACCCGAACAUGAAAGUUGCUCCAUUUUUUAGUCCCAAACAUGGUUCCAUCAAUGAUUUCUUGAACGAGCAUUCCCAUCGCUUGUUUCACUUGCUUUGUCAUUGAUCGCGUCAUUGGUCCGCCAUCGACUAUCAACGGGUCUCGUCUCGUACGUGCCUUCGUCGGGCUCGACUCCUGGAUCAUAUCACAAACUCUUGGGUCAACAGCUCGGGCAUGUGAAAGACAUCCCGAGCACGUAUAUCUCGAGCAUACUGAUACACAAAUCGACGAAAUAGAGUCCUCGGUUUGUAUACGUCGGGAACAGUAUUUGGUAACAUCAGUGAUAAUUCCCCCUUCCAACUCACGGUGGAAAAACUCAACAAUAGAAACUGCAGAGAAUGGGCUUAAUCAAUUAAGUUAGUGAUCGAUGGAAAAGGAAAAAUCGAAUAUCUUAUCAGCGAUACAAAGAAGCCCAUGGUUGCAAAACUUCAACAAAAAUGACAAUCAGAGAACUCCAUGGUAAUGUCUCGGCUAGUCAAUUCGAUGAAGCAGACAAUUGGCAAGAUCUAUCUCUUCAUGUCGACUAGGAAGGAUAUAUGGGACGCCACUCAAGAGAUGUACUCUGACACAGAAGAUUUUUCCUAAAUCUUUAAAAUUAAAACUAACAUGUGGCAGACCAAGCAAGGAGAAAGGGAUGUCAGUGAAUAUUACAUGGAGAUGACUACCCAUUUGAAAGAAUCAGACCUCAGAAUUGAUGAAUAGUGGGAUUGCGCAAAUAAUAGUGUUCGAUACAAGAAAAGUGUGGAGACUGAACGAGUGUAUGAAUUCUUGGUUCGGUUGAACAGGGAACUAAAUGAUGUGAGAGACCAAAAACUUGGCCAUCGGCCAUCCCUACCACACACGACGUCUUCGUAGAAGUAAGGCGAGAGAAGAGUCGUCGAGUGAUUAUGCUGAAGAAGGAAACUGGGUCUGAAGAUUUGGUUGAUGGGUCAGCCCUUUCUUCUACCUUUAUUGGGCCAACUGGGCCGAUUGAACAUAGGUCGAGAAUGGUAGCUAUAAAAAUUAAAAGAAAUUUAGAAGAUGGGCCUAAAUAUAUUGGGCCUGAUUUGGGAGCCCAGAUGUUUAGAGGAACUCCAAAAAUUGGAUCUGGCUCAAGAAAACAAAUGGGUGUGAUCACUAUCGAAAACCUAGACAUAAAGAAUAUACGUGUUGAGAUUUACACAGAAAACCAUCUAAUUGGAAACUAAGACAGAACACCAGAAAUCACGGCUAUCAAACCACAAUCAAUUCCACUGAAACACAAAUCUCUACUUCGAGUUUAAUUUCGAACAACUCCACAAAAUGUUUUCCAACCUACAGUCAUCUGGCUCGUAAGGCACCUUAGGUCGCAGAAGUAAUUUCUUAAGAGCUUACCGUACUCUCCAAAGUACUAUGGAUUAUUGACUCCGGUGUGUUCGAUCAUAUGACGGACUCCCACCAUUUAUUCCUUUUGAUACUCACCUUGUGCUGGUAAUCUCAAAGUUAGAAUUUGAAGAUGGCUCUCUCUAUCCGAUAUUUGAAAAAUGGAGUAUUCGAAUAUCUAAUUCAAUCACACUAGAACAUGUUCUACAUGUCCUAAAUCUAUCCUACAAUCUGCUAUCCAUUGGCCAAUUAACAAAAAGUUCAACUUGCUUCGCUAACUUUUUUUUCUCUCACUGUAUUUUUCAGGACCUAUCAUCGAGUAAAAUGAUUGGCUGUGCUGAAGAGUGUGAGGGACUGUAGUACUUUGACAAGACUGAUGUGAGUAAAGAAACUCGAUUUGUUAGUUGUGAUUCUACCUUUAUUUCUAAGAAUAGUAAAUUCUUUUAUGGCAUUAUAUAAUGGAUCAUCCAAAUUUUCAGUAUCUAAAGAAUGUAUUUCCUUCAAUAAUUUCGAAUAAAAUACCUUUUGAUUUUAAUUGUGAAAUUUGCGAACUCGUAAAACAUCAUCACUCUUCAUUUCCAAAAUCUAUGUACAAACCAUCUAAACAUUUACUUUCAUCUACAGUGAUUUAUGGAAACUAUCACGAACCCCUAAUCGCACCCACAAAAAAUGGUUUCUUACAUUCAUCGACGAUCAUACUCGAAUCUAUUGGUCUAUAUACUAAAAGAAAAAAUUGAUGUCCAUUUUGUGUUUAUAAAUUCUCAUUCUAUGGUUCAAAUCCAAUUCUAGACAAAAACACAAAUUAUACGCACAAAUAAUGACACAGAAUAUUUCAACAAUACGCUAAAAACCUAUUCCUAAGAAAAUGGAAUAAUCCUCCAAAGCUCAUGCGUCGAUAUACCCCAACGAAAUGGAGUUGUUGAAUGAAAAAGUAGACCUACUUGAGGUAGCCAGUGCCCUAAUGUUCACUAGUAAUACAAACAAGAUUUUUAGGGCAAUGCCAUUUUAACAUCAGCCUAACUCAUAAAUAGAAUGCUUAGUCGCACCCUCAAAUUUGAAACUCCCUUCUCUCCCCUAACUCCCAUCUCACCUCCAAUCUCCAUCUAAGAGUGUUUGGAUGUACAGCCUUUAUCCACAUACAGUUCCAUCGGAGAAAUAAGCUCGAACCCCAUGUACUUAGUGUGUAUUCAUUGGAUACUCACCUACAAAAACGGGUGUAAAUGUUAUGAUCUAAUCACAAAAAAAGGUGUUUAUCGGUCUUGAUGUCACAUUCUUCAAGAACAUUUACUUUAAAAAAUCCUCUCUUCAGGGAGAGAACUUAGGUGAAGAUCGGUUCUUGGAAAUCUCUCUUCAUCCCUUUGAAUCUAUCUCGAAUGCUAAACCUACAACACUACUAUGCCCCACUAUGCCAUCUAUGGAAGGUAAUUUGAACUCAAGGGGAAAGCAGAAAGAACAACAUGACAGAGAGAUCAUAGUUUACUCAAAAAAGCCAAUAUCAAAGGAUAAGGACAAACUCACACUCAAAGCACCAAGAGAUUGAAACCAAUGAUAGCUCCAGAUGAGCUUUCUCCAAAAUCACAUGACACUGAUUUACCUAUUGCUCUCAAAAAACAAAUUAGGUCAUGCACUCUUCACUCUAUCUCAAAUGUUGUUUCUUAUAAAGCUCUAUCUCUAGGAUUUUGAACUUUUGUCUCUAACCUUGACGACAUAGAAAUUCCAAGAAAUAUUUAAGAAGCCUUGAAAUUUCCAUGUGUAGAAAGGCAGUUAUGGAUGAAAUGAAAGCCUUGGAGACAAAUGAAACUUAGGAUGUGAUGAACCUACCAAAAAGGAAAAGACUUGUUGGUGUAAAUGGGUGUUUUAUGUGAAAUAUAAAGCAGACGGAAUAGUAGAACGGUACAAAGCUUGCUUGGUUGCAAAAGGGUGCACUCAAACGUAUGGCAUUUACUACAAAGAAACAUUCACACCGAUUACAUAAUUGAAUACAGUUCGGGUUCUCCUAUCACUAACAACAAACUUGGAUUGGCCACUCUAACAACUUGACAUGAAUUAUGCAUUCCUGAAUGGCGAGUUGGAAAAAGAAGUCUACAUGAUGUUACCACAUGGAUUCUCCAAGAAAAAUGAAGAAAAUAAAGUAUGCAAAAUGAAAAAAAUCUCUAUACGAUCUCAAACAAUCAUCUAGGGCAUGGUUUGACAGAUUUACAAAUGUGUUGAAAAACCAAAGAUAUCAACAAGGACAGUCGAAUCAUACUAUGUUCGUCAAAGUAUUUGAAGAUGGGACAAAAAUCAUCUUGAUCAUAUACAUUGACAACAUAAUCCUCAUUGGAGAUAAUGCAAUCGAGAUAAAGGGGUUUAGCUACAGAAUUUGAAGUAAAAAAGAAAACCUAGGACAAAUGUGAUAUAUUCUAGGAAUGAAAGCAGCUAGAUCAAAGAAGGUAUUAGUAUUUAACAAUGAAAAUAUAUUCUGGACCUCUUAACUGAAAUUGGCAUGCUUGGGUGCAAACCAAGUAACACUCCUAUGGAUACUUGAGAACAUUGAAGAAUCAGUUGAAAAGGAUAUAUAUCGACAACUAGUUGGAAAACUAAUCUACCUAGUAUACACUAGGCCUGAAAUUGAAUUUGUGGUAAGUAUGGUAAGCCAACACAUGAAUUCUCCAAAGAAAGCUCAUCUAGAAGUAGUAAACAAGAUUCUAAGAUAUCUCAAAGACUCUCCUCAGAAAGGACUACUGUUCCAGAAAAAUGAAAAAAGGGAGAUAGAAAUAUUCACUGAUGCAGAUUGGGAAGGAGCAAUAAAAGAUCAACUACUUGUUAUUGUACUUUUGUAUGUAAAAACUUGGUUAGUUGGAAUAGUAAGAAACGGAAUGUAAUAGCCAAAAACAGUGUUGAAGCAGAAUCCAGAGCAACUACUCAAAGAACAUGUGAAAGACUAUGGUUAAAGAAACUCGCGGAAGAAUUACAAAUUACAAAAAAAUUCCCAAUUAAACUCUAUUGCGAUAACAAAGUAGCUGUCAAUAUCUCACUCAACACCUUCAACAUGAUAAAACAUAGAAGUGGACAAACACUUUAUCAAGAAGAAAGUUGAAAAUGGAAGUAUCUAUAUGAUCUACGAUCCUACCAAAGAAUAAACUGCAGAUUUAUUCACCAAAGGGCUGCAAAGACAAAUUUUCAAUGAUUUCAUCUGCAAGUUGAAUAUGAUCAAUAUCUACAAUCCAACUUGAGGAAGAGUGUAGAAAUCCCGAAACCAAUUGUGGGAUUAUUAUAUGGUAUAAUUACAACCAAGGAAAUAUUUUCUUAAGUUAGAAUACUAUUUCCUUUUCUUCACAAUUGUAUUGUAGUAUGAGGCAUAAUACUGUAUGGAAGAGAAAAACAAUUAUUUCUCAUUGUGUCUUUAUUAACUUUACUACUAUUGGUAGUAGAGCACUAGACAACAUUGGACCUGCAAUAACUUUUGCAGGCAAAUGUCUGAUAGCUAUUGACAUUGGAAUGAAUGAGAAAUCAAUGCUCAACAAAUUGUUGAAGAAUCAAUCCCAAAAUAUUCCACACAGUGGCAAGGGGCGUUGAAUAUGAUGAGACUAACCACACACCGCCUAAUGGCUUUGCGUAACAUGUACAGUCGGUUCCCUUGUGCCCCUAGUAUUGCAAAGCAAUUCUAUAGUAUUUCGUGCCAAUUGAAAUUCAACAUGCCAGCAUUGAUAUCGUUUCACUUUUUUGAUUAAUAGUGGAUCUAUCCAUGUUAACCCUGAUGAACUCCUUUGUGAUUUCUUUUGUCUUUUCAUUUUAAUACAUGUGAGUUCUGAUGUUUCUCGUGGAAUACUCCACUUGAUUUAAUUUGGAUCGCGAUGAUAGUUGUGACAUUUAUAUAUAAAUAUAUAGAGAAGAAUAAAAAAGACGAAUUAAUAAGAAUAGAAAGCUUCCCACUUCUUUUACACUUGAAAAACGAAGCCUUUUAUUGGAAAAUACAACAACAAUAAAGCUUCUCCACUUUUAUUAGUAACGACAACUAGUAUUGGAACUCCUUUUAUUAGAAUAGCUUGUGCUUACCCAGUCGAGACAUAAACCUUGACAGUCGGAUUGUUGAGUGGAUUAGGGAAUUUCAUAACCUAAAAUUUAGCAUUACAUAUAAAGUAAUCGGAAGCAAAGCAAGACCAGCAACAAUUUUAGGCAAUAUCCGUGGCUUUUCUUCCUUGUGGGCCAAAAAGUAGGUUGUACUAAAUUUUAAGACCAUGCAAACGAUUGAAGCGAAGAGUGUAAAUAGUCCAACCAUCAACUUUAUCGGUAAUACAUAUAGAAAAUCAUCUUCUUCAUAGCGUGAAGUUAAGAUAGACAAGAACGUCAUUAUGGAAGCUGCCGAGCUAAACAUUGCAACUACAUUAGAUGUAACAAAAACUGUGAACCACCUAUUGUGAGCUUAUUUAUUCCCAUCUGGUACGGUAAAGGAUGCAUUUAGUGCAACUGUGGCAAUUAAGGUCGCCACAACCAUGCAAGAAGUUGCUGUGUCCUUAAUCCACUUCUCACCAGCUUCCAGUAACUUCUUAUGCUCCUCCGUAAACAACUCCCUAGGUGUUUUGCCCUGUUUGUUUUUAUUCUGAACAUCCAAAGGCCGUAGAAUCUUCUCCACCUCCUUUAAAGUUUACUCAAAUUAAUAUAAUUGCAUAAUCAUCCAAAUUUUAACUCUAACAUGGGGAAUUAGUUUUUGUAUCACGUAGAAUGGUGGAUUGGAGACUUCUAAGAACAUGGAUAUAUAUCCAUAUAUAUAUUCAAGAUAAUUAAGAAAUUAAUGAUACAAUUCACUGUCAUGCUAUGAAGUGUUCCUCUUCUCUUUAAGGGGAAAAGGAAAAGGGAUUUGGUAGUCAUGUCAAUUUCUCACCUUAAACCACCGUAACUCGCUCUACAUUUGAAGUGCUACUCCAGAUACACUAUUGAGUCUGCUCGAAGGUGGUAAUUUCACAGCCAAGUGCAAAAUGUUGUUUUUCUCUUUAUCUAUUUUGAGAAUCAAUCAAUCUUUAAUAGCUUUUGUGUGGUUAAUGAGACUAAAGACUUUCUCUUGUCGGUAAAUAAUAGCAACAUGAAAUAUGGAGUGCUUAGCUGAGUCGAUUCUCCAUACAAGUUCAGGAAAUGAGCUAAUAAGUAGAGCCAUAAACUCAACAUUCCCAAUUUUUGCAGCAUCAGUAAGUAUAGGAGUUUCGUUAAAUAGGUUGGAAAUUUUCGAGCCUUCUAAAGUCAGAAUCUGUUCCCAGAGCUUCUCUACCAAUUGAAUGGAUUGUCUCCGCUUCUGAAUUGAACCAUAUAUCCUUUUGAAACCUACAAAUCAUUGAUAAAUUAUUCCUAAAAUUCAUGUUAACUACAAGCCCCCCCCCCCCCGACCCAAAAAAAAACACUAAGAAAAAAGUGAAAUGGAUCUAUAUGUGGAUCAUUCACAUAUAAUGCUGAAGCUUGAGACUAGCAUUUGCUAGGCCUUAUUUUUAAAAAUAUAAUAAUCUGUAUUCUGAUAAUUUUGUGAUUGUAUAACCAGCUUAAUUAAUCAUCAAAAGACAAUAAAACAAAAGAGAAACACUAGGAAGUACAUAGAUGAGUUGAAAGGUGUAGAUACAUAAAGGUUGACGAUUCUAACAAGUCUUUCGCAUGACCAUUCUCGACUUGUAGCAUAGUGUGAUAAAGGUUUUCGAGCUAACGCAUGUAAGGCACUUCCUUUCGUCGAUUUUGGAGUUCUUCUGACUAUAUAUCUAUCUGCUUCCAAUAUUUUUAAUGCAAUAUCUGCAUAUAAGAAAAGCAAUAUUGAAACUAUUGCAAACAUAAUUUUCAUCGUCAUCUUGCCCAUAGUCAUGAACAGAGAUUCCAUACCAUACAUGUCACUAUCGAUCAACGCAAUAAGAAUGUCCAUGCGCUCCUUGGCCUUGAAAUCUUUAUUAAGAGGUGUAAUGUCGUAAAGAUAUUGAACCAUUUUUUUCUUUCCCAUCAAAGCUGCCCUUUCAAUUGGGCUCAAUUGGUUUUUGUCUCUAAUUGUCUGAACGCUCGAGCGAUACCAUCAAAUUGUUCAAUAGAAUGUUUGCCAGCCUAUCGCCUACUAUUCGCUCAAGCGAUAUAUUGUUGCUCGUUUAAGUGUUUCCCGAGUUUUCGUGCUUUAAAGCGUUUUGAACUCCUAUUCAUCUACAACUUAGUUUUUCUCUAUAUAUGUAUGAAAAGACAUGUAUUAUUCAUAUAACAUAACUUACAAAGUUUUGAGAGUUUUAGAUCUUAGUUGAGAGCAAUGGGAUCUUGUAAACACAAAUCCUAUUAAUUAUAGUGAUUUUUUCUUCUCUGCCCAUGGUUUUUUCUCGUCUUGGGUUUUCAAGUAAAUCUUUGUUUUCUUGUUUUUGUUCUACAUAAUUUCAUUAUUGUAAUAAUCUUUCGGGCAAUUCACAACAAAAAAAAAAAGGAUGGAACGCAGCCUAGUGCAGCGCAUCUGAGCUGCCAAUCAGCCUGAUUCCAGUUGCUAUCCCGUGUGUUUGGCUCAGGUUUUGGUGUCUUCUUAUAAACCAUUGUACCCAUCCGUGUAUUAGGUGUUUCUAUCUAUAUGAAUAAAUUUUAUUGGAUAGAGAAUGUAAGGGGUUAACUGUAGUAUAAUUUAUUGCUUUAAAUCAUUGGAUCUUUCAUGUUAAAUCACCAUGAAAUACAUAAAUAUGGCGAAGGCGUACCUGAAUCAGAUAUGGUUAAUGUAAUAAUAAAUUACGCAGUAUAGUCUUCCAAAUCUACAUGCAGACUCCUUUUUUCUCUCUGUGACGGGAUGCAGAAGAGAAUGAAUAAUACGUAUGUGUGAUUUGGGGACCAUAACCGUAUUUAUAUAGCAACUCCCUCUGACCUAAUUCGGCCCAUCAUAGAAUUAGGACUUGGGCCCAAUUUCUACACAUAUGUAAAAUCACACUUUAAUUGGAUACAUUAAAGCCCAAAACUGAAUCCUUAUUAGAUCACUUUAAUUGGGCUCAAUCGAAUUCGAUAGUCUUUAAUUUAACACACAAUUAUUCACACAUAUAAGCCCAUCGAUGGAUUAAAGAUCAUUACAAUCUCUCACUUGGGCUAUAUGUGUCACCUUAUAAUUAUGCAUUAAACAUAACUUUAUGAGUACUCAGAAUUUUGCUAUCUCUCGUCCAUCAAUCAUAUCAACAUAGGAUCAAAGCGUCUUUCGCUACCUUCAUUGUAGCUAAACCCAUCAAUGGUCACGUAUAUCGAUAUAACCGAAUGACAUGGAUCAAGCAUAGAUGUGUAACAUGGAAAUUACAUGUGAUGUGAUCUGUAACAUGUCUAUUUCCAACUGGUCUACCUUAAUGUCUUAGUGAGAUCAUUUUAAACAAGUUUAGAGAUAAUAAACCAAAUAACUUUAUAACUGAAAAUAACUUUAACAUUAAACCGUAUCCAAAAUAACAGUACAUGUGUCCAAUAUGAAAAGCAAAAAUACAAACUCCCACUGAAACUAGAUAUCCUCAAGAGAUACUAUACCCAUAUGAACAGUGUGCUCAUGAAAGACCUUGGGUAUCAAUCCCUUAGUAAGCGGAUCCGUAGCCAUGGAGUUUGUCCCAAUAUGCUCUAUUGACACCUGUCCACUUUGAACUCUUUAUUUAACAGCCAGGAACUUGAUCUCUAUAUGUUUUGACUUUGUCGAACUCCUGUUGUUAUUGGAAUACAGCACUGCUGAUUUAUUGUCACAAAAUAUCUUAAGUGGUCUUUUUAUAUUGUCCACAAUGUGUAGCCCAGUGACAAAAUUACGCAGUCAUGUUCCAUGAUUUGAUGCCUCAUAACACGCUAUAAACUCCGCUGCCAUGGUGGAAGUAGCUAUGAGUGUCUGCUUAGCACUCUUCCAGGAAAUAGAACUCCAGCAAGCAGGUAAACAUAGCCUGAAGUGGAUCUCCUACUAUCUUGGCAUCCUACGAAAUCGGAAUCAGAAUAACCGAUGAUCUCCAACUGAUCCGAUCUCCUGUAUGGGAGCAUGUAGUCUUUUGUUCUCUGUAAAUAUCGCAUGACCUAUUUGGUUGCUUUCCAAUGAUCCUUUCUCGGGUUACUUAAAUAUCUCCCUAGCAUCCCAACAAUGGACGCUAUAUCUAGAUGCGUACAAACCUUAGCAUACAUCAGACUCCCUAUAGCUGAUGAAUAAGGAAUUUUCUGCAUUUCUUUAAUUUCCAAGUCAUUUUUAGGCAACUGACUUAAACUGAACUUGUCUCCUUUAGCCACAGGGGUGUCACCUGGUUUACAAUCUUGCAUGCCAUGUCUUUUAAGAACUGCAGGGAUGAUUUCCAGCAAACACCAAGUUCAAACCGGGCUCAGUUUCACCUAUUUCAUCGACACCACCAAGGUUGAGACAACUCCAAAACCACCACCAAGGCCGCCCCACUUCCGACUGCUAUAGGCUGGGAAGAUGAAGUCCAAUGAUAUGCCCACUAAGGAUUAACCACAAAGGUCACAGUGAAGUGAUGAAAGAAACCAAGAGGAAAGUCUCACAAAGAGAGAAAUUAGGCACACGCAUAUGGAGGCCGAGAGAGAGACGGGAAUAUAAGCCAAGUAAAUAUCCAAAAUAGGUAAGUCAGGUUAGGUUUAAUUUGUGGACCAAACAAAGAUCGACUCAAUAUUAAUGCGCUUCAAAUUAAUAAUAUAGCCUUCCAAGGAAAUGGGGCGUACCGCGAGCAACACGUUGCUUCGAAUGAUCCAUACGAAUGUGGAUAGUGUUGUCUCGAUAAUUGUGUCGAUUUACUAGUCAAUCAUAUGGCCAAGGCCAAUUGAUAAUAAAAUCGAGUUUACAUCAUAGCACAGGGAGGUCGUUUGACAACAAAUUGCCUAACAACCUCCACCUUGGUGUCAAAGGACCUGCAAAAGAAAAUUGUCUUCCAUUAGUGACACCUCUAAUAGAAAACCAAUAAAAUUAGAAAUCAUUUACCUGUACCAAUGUUUAGAAGUUCCUUGCAACUUCUAAGCUUUGCCAGUGGCAAUACCUUUGUCCCCAUAUCAGAGGGGUUGUAGUGGGUGUGGACUUUCUCAAGUCUUACCACCUCUUGAGAUACUAUAUCUCUAAUGAAGUGGAGUCUAACAUCAAUGUGUUUAGUGCGCUCGUGAAAAAUAGGGUUCUUGCAUAAAUGUAUAGAUGACUGAUUAUCAGAAUACACUACCACAUAAUCAUUCAAUACACAUAGUUCAUGAAGCAGACCUCUAAGCCAUAGAGCUUCUUUAAUAGCUUCAAUGGUAGUAAUAUAUUCUGAUUCUGUAGUGGAUAGUGCAACAAUAUGUUGUAACUGUGAUUUUCAACUAACACAUGACUUAGAUAAGGUAAACACGUAAGAUGAAGUAUAUUUCCUACCAUCCCUAUCUCCCGCGUAGUCUGCAUCUACAAAACCCUUUAAUUUUAUGUCUUCUUUAUUAGCACUAAACUUUAAACCCACGUUACUUGUACCCUUCAAGUACUUUAACAGCCACUUUAGCGCUUCCCAAUGUUCAGGGCUCGGAUUCACCAUAUAUCUACUGAGAGUACUAACAUCAAAACCUAAAUCAGGUCUAGUGCAAACCAUCAAAUACAUUAUGGAACCAAUCACAUUAGAGUAAGGCACUCUACUCAUGUAUUCAACUUCACGCUCAUUGUAAGGAGAUUGUUCCUUCGAUAAAACAAAAUGAUUAGCUAGAGGAAACAUGAUAGGUUCGCAAUCACUCAUAUUAAAUUUCUUCAAUACUUUGGAUAUGUAUGGAGACUGAUGCAAAAACAAAACAGAGUUUGACCUAUCUCUUUCGAUUUCAAUACCUAAGAUUCUCUUAGCCUUACCUAGAUCUUUCAUGUCAAAUUCACCACUUAGUUUUGCUUUUAUGUUAUUUAUCCACUUAGAGGAUGAUCCAAUCAAAAGCAUGUCAUCCACAUAGAGCAACAAAAACAAAUAAUUAUCAUCAGUCUCAUUGUGUUGAAAAUACAGGCAGUGAUCAAAUUUACUUCUUUGGAACCCUAUAGUGAGUACAAAGGAAUCAAACCUCUUGUACCACUGUCUAGGAGAUUGUUUUAACCCAUACAAGGAUCUUCUCAGAAAACACACAUAAUCAGGUUUUGACUUAUCCUUAAAAUCUUUUGGUUCAUUCAUGAAAAUUUGUUUAUCAAGAUCACCAUGUAAGAAAGCAGUUUUUACGUCAAGUUGUUCAAGUUCCCAGUCAAAAUGUGCAACCAAUGCAAGCAUGACCCUAAUAGUGGUGUACUUAACAACUGGUGAGAAAAUUUCAUUAUAAUCAACGCCCUCCUUCUGUGUGUAGCCUUUAGCCACUAACCUAGCUUUAAACCUUAGGGGUUCCAAGCUGCUAGCUCCUUUCUCAACCUUAAAAACCCAUUUGCAAUCAACAAUUGAUUUGUUCUUAGGCUUAGGUACUAGCUCCCAAGUAUGAUUCUUUUCUAGAGAACUCAUCUCUUCUUUCAUUGCCUUAAGUCAUUCAUUAGAUUGAUCACUAGCUAUUGCUUCUUCAAAGGUCUUUGGCUCUUUAUCAGCUAGUUCUUCAUAACUAGCCUGGGCGAAAGCUAAUUCAGAUUCAAAACCGAACCUUCUUAGUUCUCUCGUCUGUCUCCUCUCUCUAUCCCUAACUAAGUUAUAGUUAGCUAAUGGAUUUUCUUCCUCAUAGUGCUCUUCUGUCACUAUUUCGUUACUAUUCUCCACCUCGGGUUCCUGAGUUUGAGUCUCCACCUCAUUUGAAGCAGUAGGGGUAGGUGGACUGAGUUUUCCUAACUCCACCUUAAACUGGUCUCUCUUUUCCCCUGAUUCAACUUCACUCUCAGGUUCAGUUUCCCCUUUAAUACACGACAUCUCAUUUUUGUUAAACAUGAUAUCUCUACUUAUGAUGAUUUUAACCCCUUUUUGGCUUCUAUCCCAUAACAUAUAACCCUUAACACCCUCGAGGUAUCCUAGGAAGACACACUUCCUAGCUCUAGGUUCCAUCUUACCCUCACUUUGAUGAGAAAAAGUUGUACAGACAAAAGUUCUAAGUAUCGAGUAAUCACUCAGUUUACCCGACCAUCUCUCAUGCAGAGUGUCACCAUUCAAUGCAGCAGAAGGAGUCAGAUUAAUCAAAUAGCAAGCGGUCAUAAUAGCCUCACCCCAAAAUGACUUGGGAACACCAGAACUAAUCAUCAUGCAACGUACUUUAUCAAGUAUAGUCCUAUUCAUCCUUUCUACUACCCCAUUUUGCUAAGGAGUGUAGAGAACGGUCUUAUGUCUAGUUAUGCCUCUUUCUUUAUAUAUACUAUCAAAUUCUUUAUUGCAGAAUUCUAGGCUGUUAUCUGUCCUUAAAAAUUUAAUUUUCUUGCCAGUUUGGUUUUCCACUUGUCUCUUCCAAUUAUUAAAACUAUUGAAGGUCUCUGAUUUAUCCUUCAAAAGAUAGACCCACGCUUUCCUAGUGUAGUCAUCAAUAAUAGAUAGAAAAAACCUAUUUCCACCCGAUGUGGGAUUACUAGCAGACCCCAUAGAUCAAAGUGCACAUAUUCGAGCAUGCCUUUAGCUCUAUUAACACUCGUGGAGAAAGAAGUUUUAUGAUGCUUACCAAGCACACAAUGAUCACAAAAUGGCAAAUCUGACACACAGUCAUUACCAAAGGCACCCUUUUCAUUAAGUAGCUUAAGUCUCUUGACCCCUACGUGAGCAAGUCUAUUAUGCCAUGUGUAUGUGUGAUCAAUCUUGGCAGAGGAGAUAGAGGAAUUCACACCUCUAAUCACUUCCCCAGUAGUAGUAUCUUUAUAUCAUUUUUCUUAAUUCCCUUAAUGAAAACUAAAGCACCCUUGAUCAUUUUUAGCAUACCAUUUCCAAUUUUACCAGUAAAGUCAUCCUUCUCAAGUCUCCCUACUGAAAUCAGAUUCCUAGACAACUCAGGAAUAUAUCUAACGUCCUUUAACGUAUACACAAAACCUGUGUCAAACUUUAUGUUUAUGUCACCAAUUCCAGCAAUAGUAUAGGCAAAGUUAUCACACAGUACAACAUACCCAACAUUAGAUUCAUGCAACUUAUAAAACCAAUUCUUUUCAAACGUCCCAUGAAAAGAUGCACCAGAGUCAAGUAUCCACUCAUGCAUGCGGGAAUUAGCAGUUAGAUUUAAUUCAGUAGUGUAUGCAACUGAACUUGUAAUCAUAAAGACCUCACCACCAUUUAUAUCGGAAGUAGAUGCUAACACAUUUACCUCAUCUCUCUCUUUAACCUUUAGCUUACCCUUCUCCUUAUGACAAUCUUUUAUAAAAUGCCCUGUGUUUCCACAACCAUAGCAUUUUCUGGCCUUAGUCCUAGAUUUUGAUCUAGACCCACCUUCACUCUUCUUUUUCCAUCCAUUACCACUUGACUCGCCACUAGUUUGAUAUCCCUCAUGACUAUUUUGCCUAAAUUGAGUUCUAACCCGUAUCAUAUGUACCUCACGGUUCCUCUUAUCAUGUUUUUCAGCCCUAAUUUCAUUUCUUUACUUCCAAGGGAAUCUAUAACAAUUUUAGGUGUUAACGUGUCUCUACCAUACUUAAUGGCGUUCUUAACUUUCUUAUAGGAAUUAGGAAUUGCAUUGAGCAAAAUUAUAGCCUUAUAAGUUUCGGACACAAUCUCAUCACAAUUAACUAUAUCUUGCACCAAUUUGUUAAAUAUGUCUAGAUUGUCAUCAAGAUCCUUUGAAAAAUCCAUUUAGAACUGAAAAAACGUUCAAGCAGGUAAAGUUUAUUCGAUGUAGACUUAAGCAAAUACAAGUCUUCUAAUUUCUUCCAAAGUUCUUUAGUGGUUUUCAGUUUCCCCACCUUUCUUAAAAUGACGUCAGACAAGUGUAAAAUAAUUGAGGUAUAAGCAAGCUCAUCGGCUUCUUCUCUUUGUUCUUGUGAAAAAUCAAUUGAAAAAUUGCCUUCAAUGGCUUUUGAAACCUUUUGUUGGACUAAAAUACCCUUCAUUUUUUGUUGCCAAAUAGCAAAGUCACCCUUUUCAUUAAAAAUUUCCAAAUCAAAACUGUGAGUUGUCAUCUUUACACAACAGUCAAAAAUGCACAAACCACAAUAAAACCACACAAAGUAGUCCUAGGGUCACAGACAGUAUACACCGUUCUAGAUUCCCAGGAUUUCGUAAGACUCGGUCUUAGAUCAAGGGAAUGUUCGAACGGGUAAGGUCACAGUAUUUCUAACGGAAUAAGUAAGCAGCGAAAAUAACAAUGCAGCAAAAAUACGUCUAGCAGAUAACUAGUCCCACAGUAAUUAGAUUACUAAGAAUUACAAAACUGAUUUUAACCCAAAAAACAAAUACUCAAUCAAAAGAUCAAUCAAGAGCACGUAACUUUAAUUCUAGCACAAGCAAUGACAACCCCCAACCUAUUGUUACCCCACACGGUGAUGCGCUAAUGCUGAAAAAUUAAUGGGUUAAGCCAAUUUACCAGAGCGGACGUGUCUGAGUUCGUAUAAUCGAGAGAGAUGCGAAUCUACUGCUUUAGAGCCCCAAUCUUGGCCUAAAGUAAUUCAGUAGAAAUAUGCAGUUUCAACCGUCGAUCCACCAGGGGCAAAAUUGUCCAACUUUUUCUGUGUAACCUGAAACAGAAAAUAAACAGUAUCAGUACGUUUAGGGGAUUGAAAAGAGCAAACUGCCUGAAGGAAGUUCGUCCGGAAUCGCCACCACGCGCCGCCGUUGGAUGUCACCACUGGCGCUACGUGCCGCACUAGAAAGGGCGCUUCAGCCUACUGGUUUCGGAUAUGGGAUUGGUUUCACCAGAAAGUCACUGGUUUGGCCGAAAAAUGGGACUGCAGGUUCGAUUUCCUAUAGAAAUCGCGCACACCAUCGCCAAUUUUGGGUAAUUUUCUGAUCGGAGAAGGUUACUCCGGCUCUAAUACCAGAUGUAGGGAUGAUUUCCAGCAAAUACCAAGUUCAAACCGGGCUCAGUUUUACCUAUUUCAUCGACACCACCAAGGUUGAGACAACUCCAAAACCACCACCAAGGCCGCCCCACUUCCGAUUGCUAUAGGUUGGGAAGAUGAAUUUGUGGACCAAACAAGGCUCGACUCAAUAUUAAUGAGCUUCAAAUUAAUAAUAUAGCCUUCAAAGGAAAUGGGGUGAACCGCGAGCAACACUAUUAACAAUAGGUUGCAUCGAACGGUCCAUACGAAUGUGGAUUGUGUUGUCUCGAUAAUUGUGUCAUGUACUAGUCAAUCAUAUGGCCAAGACCGAUUGAUAAUAAAACCAAGGUUACAUCAUAGCCAGGGGAGGUCGUUUGACAACAAAUUGCCUAACAAGAACCUUUUUCGAUAUAGCUCUUUUUUGAUAAGCUAAGAAUACCCCGAGAACGAUCUCUGUGUAUAUGAAUUCCUAAUACAAAAGAGGCGUCACCAAGAUCUUUCAUCUCAAAAUUCUUUGCUAUAAAUCUCUUGGUUUUGUGCAAUAAGCCUAUAUCGUUGCUAGCAAGCAAUAUGUCAUUGACAUAUAAAAUCUGAAAAAUAUACAUGCUCCCACUGAACUUGUGGUAUAUACAAUCAUCGACCAAAUUCAUCUCAAAACCAAAUGAGAUGAUCACUUGAUGAAACUUGUAAUACCAUUGACGAGACGCAUGUUUGAGACCAUAGAUGGAUUUCUUUAAUUUACAAACCAUUUGUUUUGCAUCGUCCGAUAUAAAAUUUUAUGGUUGUACCAUAUAAAUUGUUUCAUCAAGUCACCAUUGAGAAAUGCUGUUUUAACAUCCAUCUGAUGUAACUCAAGAUCGAAAUGCACUACCAAUGCCAUUAUAGUCCUGAAAGAGUCUUUCGAAGAAAUCGGAGAGAAAGUCUCUUUAUAAUCGAUGCCUUCUUUCUGUGUAAAGCCCUUUGUGACAAGAUGAGACUUAUACCUCUCUACAUCACGUUUCAAAUCCAUCUUGGUCUUAAAUAUCCAUUUGCAACCAAUGGAUUUUGCACCUUCAGGCAAUGGAACGAGGUCCCAUAUAUCAUUGUCCUUCAUGGACUUUAUCUCUUCAUUCAUGGCAUCGAGCCACUUUUGAGAGUUAGAACUUUCCAUGCCUUGACGAGAGUUGGUCGGAUCAUCUUCCACCAUUCCAAUGUCAACUUCAUGUUCUUGGAGAAAUACGAUGUAAUCAUUCGAAACCGCAUUUCCCCUCUGUCUAGUGGAUCUUCUUAAUGGCAUCGGUUCUUGAGGUUAGAGUUUAUUCUUCUAGAACAAUUUGUUGAUAUUGAGAGGGAGGUAUGACAUUGUCUUAAUCCAGAGUUGCUUCUUGAACAAUAUCAGGGAUAGAAACAUGUUCAUUGUCAAUGGCAAUUGGAGGAAUUUCAACAUAUUCCUCCUCAAAGACAAAGCCUGUAACCCUUUCUCUCCCCAUAAACUCAACAUCCUCAAAGAACCGAGCAUUUUCUGUCUCAAAAAUUGCCUUAGUUGUGGGAUCAUAAAACUUGUAACCCCUGGACCUUUCAGAAUAUCCAAUAAAAUAGCAACUGAUGGUCCUUGCGUCCAGUUUCUUUUCAUUUGGGUAUAGGGCCAUGCCUCAGCUGGACACCCCCAAAUAUGUAUAUGCUUCAAACUAGGCUUCUUGCCCGUCCAAAGCUCAUAUGGGGUUUUAUCAGUGGCCUUAGUUGGAACUCUGUUGAGUAUAUAAGCUGCGGUCUUUAAUGCUUCACCCCAGAGAGAUUCUGAUAAGGUAGAAUGAUUAAUCAUACUCCUCAUCAUGUCCUUAAGCAUUCUAUUUCAUCUCUCAGCAACAUCAUUCAUAGUGGGCGAACCCGGCAUAGUGUACCGUGGGACGAUACCGCAUUCCUCUAGGAAUUUAGCAAAUGGUCCUGGACGUUGUUCACCUGAACCAUCAUAUCUGCCAUAGUAUUCACCCCUAGGAUCAGAUCUGACGCUUUUAAUCCUUUUGCCGAGUUGGUUCUCAACUUCAGCUUUAUAGUUUUUGAAUACAUCUCGUGACUGUGAUUUUUCAUGAACGAGAUAUAUGUAGCCAUAUCUAGAAUAGUCAUCUAUGAAUGUUAUAAAAUAUUGUUGACCAUUCCAAGAACCCGAAGGGAAUGGUCCACAAAUAUCCGUAUGUAUAAGUUCUAAGACGUCCGAAAUCCUAUUGGCUUGAAAUCUCCUUUUAUUGAUUUGUUUUCCCUUUAUACAAUUGACACACAAAUCAUAAUCUAUGAAGUCAAGAGGGUGGAGAAUCCCGUCAGACACAAGUCUCUCAAUUCUCCUUUUGGAGAUGUGACCUAAUCUCUUGUGCCACAACGAAACAGAAUUCUUGUCGUUUAAUUUUCGCUUUACACUCCGAGUACUUACAUGCAGGGAUUCAUUAAAAGAAGCAAUUGUAUCAAUUGAAUAAAGAUUAUCGUAGCCUGAUAAAGAACCGGAGCCAACCAAUUUUGAAUUAUGAAAUAAACUAAAUUUUCCAUUUCCAAAUGAACAAGGAUAACCAAAUUUGUCCAAAACAGAAAUAGAAAUCAAACUCCAUCUAAAAGACGGUACAAUAAAUGUCUCAACAAGAUCCAAAUAAAAUCCAGUCUUUAACUGUAAUCUAAAUUUUCCUAUUGCCUCUACUUCCACCUUCUUGUCGUCCCCAGAAUAGAUGUAUCUUUCACCAUCACUUGGUUUUCGGCAACUCAGGCAACCCUGCAUAGACAUACUGAUGUGAAUUGUUACACCAGAAUCUACCCACCACGUAUGUCUAGGUACCGAAGUUAAAUUAACCUCAGAACAAACCAAAUGAAAAAGAAUACCUUUCUUUACACGCCAUGCGUGGUAAUUGGUGCAAUUCUUCUUCUUAUGACCAGCAGUUCCACAAAAGAAACAACUAUCUUCAGUUAGUUACUUAUGCUGUUUCUUUUGCGGUGCCGUACCCGCAGCUUCCUUAUUAAUCUUCCUUUUCUUGUUCCUUUUAUCCUUAGAGGUGGUGGCCAAAUGAGCACUUUCUGUCUUCUCAUGCUUCAAUCUUUCCUCUUCCUGGACACAGUGUGAGAUGAGCUCAUUAGGCGACCAUGAGUCAUUUUGACCGAAAGGGAUAUCAGAACCAAAUGCACCAACAAGUCUUCAGAUAAAUCCAACUUGAGUGCCUUUAGUUUUGAAGCAAUAUGAGACAUUUCCAUAAUGUACUCCUGAAUAUUUCAUUUCCCUUUAUACCUCAUUGAGACAAGGUUUACCAAAAGUGUAUUUGUUUCAGCCUUUUUCAUUCUUGGCAAAUCUCUUCUCAAGAUCCUUAAGGAAACCCUUAGCCUAGUUACCUUUUCGGACAUAGUGCCUCGGAAUGCUUCUGGAAUAGCACGCUUCAUGACCAUUAAACUUAUGCGGUUCGAUCUUUCUCACUUUUUCAUCUCCCUCUUGUCAUCAGAGGUACUCUUAUCAGUAAGUGCAGCAUGUUGAUCGACCCGCAAAGCAAGGUCUAGGUCCAUAACUCCGAGAACAAUCAUCACGUUCUCUUGCCAUGCCCUGCCAUUUAGCAUUGGAAUUGAAUUGAUGCUAGCAGAGAUAUUUGUAAUAGAACCUGAAACUGAACUAGAGAACAUUUAUUAUGAAUAGCUCACAUGAAUAUCUUUAAUAUACAAAUAAUAAUAAUCUCAAAUAGUGAUGGGGCCCAUCACAAGAUACCAAGCACAAUAUCAAUAUCCAGUCUUUGGACAGAGAUAUUGAUUUGUAAGUAGUACUCUUGGCGUAGUGAUCAAACAUUGACGAUAAAAAAAUGUAUCAAUCAAUAAACCUUUCUUUGGACCGAUUUAUUGAUCACACAUUAAACCAAAUAAUCAUCACACGUUUACCACCACAGGCACACAUGUAUUCGGCUAAAUAUUGACCUUCCUUUGGGCCGACCAAUAUUCCCAUGAAUAACACAUGCACAAAUACUUUUUAAUAUUCUAAAUUAGUCAAUUUUCAAAAGAGAAGCAACUUUCGAAAAUUAUAUCUCUUAAAAGAGUCCUUAGUACCAAAAUUUGAGAAAGAAAAUUGCCAAUUUUGCAUAGUUUGUUUAGUUUUAAACUUUAGGAGCCUUAGAAUUAAUCAUUCAAAACUUUAAGGGGGCUGAAUUAAUUAAUUCCAAACUUUACGGGUUGAAAUUAAUAAAUUUGAAACUUUAGGGACCAUAAUUAAUUAAUUCAAAACUUUAGAGGAUCAAUUAGGACAAAAUUAAAACUUUAGGGGCCAAAAAUUGACCCAAUUCAAAACUUUAAGGAUCAAAUUUUGAAAAUUUGAAAAUUUGGGGGCCAAUUUGAAUUAAUAAUUAAAGUUUGAGGGCUUUAAUUAUAAAUUUCAGAACUUUAAUGGCCUGAAUUAAUUAAUUUUUAAACCUUAGGGACUAAAUUAUUAAAUCCAAAACUUAAAGGCCCAAAUCUGAAUAUAACUUAAAUGUUAAGGACUGAAACUUUAAUUUUAUAACCCUAACUGUAAUUGUAAGCAAGGGCCUCAAGUAGUCUAAUUUACAAGACAAGCCCCACCCCCAAAAUCUCAAAAAAAUAAAAAAAUUGAAAACCCUAAGAAAAAAAUUUUCUUUUUCUUCUCUCCCUUGUGGCGGCGCACUCUGACACCGCCCUGAGUAAGGGCGCCAAUCACGCCGGCGCUAGCACUAGCAGCGCGAAGCGCGCUGCAGCACCUCACGCUGCUGGCAGAAGCGUCAGCAGCACGGUGCUGUUCGUAGCAGCCGAGCUGCUACAUCUUUGCAGCCACCGGAAUUUAAUUUAAUUUUUUUUUAAACCCAAAAUUUGUAAUUUUAAAUCCAAAAAAUCUGUAAUUCUUCAAGAAAAUUCAGAAUCUGAAUUCCAAAGUCUUUAAUCCAAAUAUGAAAAAUAAUAACAAAAAAUAUACCACAAAAGCUUUCAAAUUCAACAAAAUAAAGAUCUAAACUUGUUAAAUUUGAAAACUUCAAAAGAAUAUUGCAAGAACCAAAAAAAUUAUUCGAUUCUCAAUGAUUCAACAUGAAAAGGUUCUGAUACCAGUUGUAGUAUAAUUUAGUGAUUUAAAUCACCGGAUCCUUCAUGUUAAAUCAUCAAGAAAUACAUAAAUAUGGCGGAAGCAUACCUGAAUCAGACAUAGUUAAUGCAAUAAUGAAUUACGCGGUAUAGUCUUCCAAAUCUACACGCAGCUUCCUUUUUUCUCUCUGUGAUAGGAUGCAGAAGAGAAUGAAUAAUACGUACGUGUGAUUUGGGGACCAUAACCGUAUUUAUAUAGCGACGCCCUUUGACCUAAUUCGGCUCAUCAUAGAAUUAGGACUUUGGCCCGAUCUCUACAUAUAUAUAAAUGAGGAAAUUACACCAAAGCAAGUUUUUAAAUUUUCCAAUUCAAAAAUGAAGUUUAAGGAUUUUUUAUUCAAAAAUCAGGUGAAAUUUAAAUUUUAAUAUUAAUAAUAAUAUUAAAAAAUAAAUUAAUCUAAAUAUUCAUCUCACCCCAUUCAAUUCCAACCAUCCUAUUGAAUUUAACUUCCAAACCCUAAGUAUCUUCGUCUCUCCUCUUUCUCUCACUUUUCACCCCUCUCCCCCUCUCUCUCUCUCUCUCACACUUCUUUCUUCUCUCUUCAGUCGCUAGCCACCUCCGCCACCAAACAGCCUUCUUCUCCAUCUCUCUUCGGUGAUGACACCUUGUCUUUUUUGUGCUGGUCAAUGCCUCUCUUGUUCUGAGCGCAGGUGCAGCGGCUGCCGCAACUGCAAGUCUAGAUCUCUUGGACUCGCUAAGAAAUCCCUCGAAGAAGCCAAUGAGGGUUGAUAGACCUCAUCCACAGAAAAUUGGAUUUUCUCAAUCGGUAUCUCUAAAGCAGGUGCUAAAGGGGCUUUGCAUUUCUCAGGUUGCAGUGAAGAGGAUAGGGACAGAUCUGUUUUAAUUGAAGUUGGGGAAUCUGGCUUCUCUCUAACUGAUGGUGUAUUCGAUUUUGAUCGAUUAUGUGAGGUGACUAUAUGGUGUGUGGUUGUCGAAUUUUUGGGGCAAUGUUGUUGCAAUUGUUUGAUGACGUCGCUGCAGUUUGGUAUUGCUGUUUGAUGUUGUGGUGGUUAUGGUGGUGAGGUGGUGGUGCUGGGGAUAGGGACUCUUUUCAGAUCAGUGAUUUGAGAUAGUGGUAUAGUUGGAUGCCGUGGAGUUAGGUGGUGGUCCUCGUUGUAGUCAUCGCUUCAGAUUUUUUAGGAUGGUUUCGAGUCUAUCUGGCUGGUCAAAGUUUUUGGUGGUUUUUGCAGGCGAGGUUGCAAAUGGUGAUAGUGGUGAUGGUGUAGAGGCGGUGGUGGUGUAGCUAUUUUGAUCCGUGGGUGGUGUUAUCUGAUGUGCAGGAGUCGAUGCAGUGGUGGCUCAGGUGGUGUUGACUAAUUGUUGUGACAUGAUAGGGGUGCAAUGGUGGAGAUUGAUAGUGUUUGUGACCAAGUACUGUGGUGGAAUUGGAUCGGGAUCGAGUGUGGUGUUGCGGUGGUAGUGCAAUCGACGAUUGGAUGGUGGUGGUUUGUGACCAAGAUUGGUGCUGGAUAGGACCGGUGGAAGUGGUGACCAUAAAGUUUGGUCUGUGACCUUAAAAUUUGACGAUUUGUGACUAAAACAAUAAUAUGUGACCUUAACGAUUUGGUCCGUGACCUUAAAAUUUGAUAAUCUGUGAGUAAAAAAGUUCAUGACCUAUAAAAUUUUUGAUUUGUGACUUCGAAAUAAUCCGUGACCAAUUAAUUUAAUGAUAUGUGACUAGUAAAUAAAUAUGUGAAAUUUGUGACCAUUAAUUGUUUAACUGUGACUUUAAUAUAUUUAUUUAAUAAAUAAUUUUAAUUAAUUAAAUACAAACCUGAAUUUUGAAUUUUCAAACUUCUUACCUGGCUUUUGAAAUGGUGUAAAGAAUACACCUUAAAUAUGAUUUUUUUUCCCUAUGUAAAUCCACACUUUAAUUGAAUAUAUUAAAGCCCAAAAUCGUAGCCUUAUUAGAUCACUUUAAUUGGUCUCAACUGAAUUCGAUAGCCUUUAAUUUAACACACAAUUAUUCACACAUAUAAGUUCAUUGAUGGAUUAAAAAUCCUUACAUUAACAUCUCUACUGAAUGCUUGUUUGGUAGGGAUUUUGUUAAUUGAUUUUUUGACCGUUAGAGAUAAAUUGGGUCUUACCUGUGAGAGAAGAAUUCAAAAAUGAUGGCGGAAUAGUGAAAUAACGGUCAAAAAAUUAAUGUUAAUUUGAUUAAAAUAACUACCAAACAUGCUUUGAAUUACAGAACUGAACUACUAACUAAUUUCGUAAACUCUUUUCUUUUUCUUUUUUUUUUCUUUCUUCUUCAUCAAGUAGCUUGUCAAAUAAUUCGAAUAAUUACAUUGAAUAAAAUGAAGGUCUCUCGAAACCACGGUAACAGGAUUUCCAGCUGGAAAAUCAUAUCAUUUGUAGUUGUUUAACGUGAAUGCCUACAUAAAUAACUUAGGCACAGUCAUACAUUAUGUCUCAACACCCAUUACGGAUUUGUGGCUCGCCACAGGAAUGAGGUAUGCACUUACUAUAUAUUUGAUCAACUCUAGAAAUGGUAAACAUACGUUGUCGGGCAUUGGCAUUGGAAAUUGGACUUUCAACUUGGCUAGGCAUGCUUGUUUGCUCAACAACGGAUGCCUCGACAACCUCUGGUGCUGUAAUAUAGAAAAAUUAGUUGUAGAAACCUUUUUAAAACAGCUAUUAAAAUUCAAAAAGUGUUUGUAAUCGGCCACAUUAAAAUUACCUUUUGGGAAGUUCUGUUUUAUAUCCAAAAACUGCUCAACAAUAGUCAGACAAGUAGGGAAAGUUUGGGUAAAACCGGAUCUAAGCGUUGACUAAGUAAGUGUCCUAUAGUAAGAGGAAUAAUUAUGAGCCCUGUAGAAACAGAAUUUCCACAAAAUUGGCUGACGGAUGGUAUUCAGAUAAAAAUCUUAUUUCCUUUCUGUCUGAAACCUUGGAAUAGAUCUAAACUCCGAUUCUCUCAAUAUAUAUAUAUAUAUAUAUAAAGAAAAUCAGAAACUUACCCUGUUGGGCAUUGACAUUGGAAAUUGGAAUUUCAACUUUGACUUCAACUUGGCUAGGCGUGCUUGGCAGCUCAAUGGAUGCCUCAACAACCUCUGGUGUUGUAAUUGUAGAAAAAUUAGUCGCAAUUACCUUUUUAGAAUAAUGAUUAAAAAAAAAAAAAAAAAAAAAAUUAUCAAUCGAUAGUGAUUUCAUUCAUGACAGUACGACAUUUUAAACUUAAAUUGUUCAUUGUUAACUAUUGUGAUUUAUUUGGACAAAAUCUCUCAAUGAUUUUGUUUUACUGGAUAUAACUGCCUCUAAAUAUUUUAUUUUGCUGACUAGUUUUUAACAGAUAUAAAUUUGGAAUAACUAAAAUAAAUAAUAACCAUAAGAUAAUUGUAAUACAAAAUAAAAGAAGUCCUCGGUCCAAUCAAAAACUUAUAAAUGCUUACUUGAAGUAUGCCGUUCUGAAGUAUUGACCCCUCACAUAAAUUUCAUAUAUCGGCCAGCUAUCUCAAUUUAAUUAUUUUCUCCAAAUUAAAUACAUGAUCUAUUUUCAACAGUGGCUGGCUUGUUUAUAAACAUGAGUGUCCAAGAAUACGCACGAACCUUGUUGUCGAUUUUAUCCCACAAGUGGACGGAUCGUAACAAGUAGUAAAGUGGACCUUUUGAGUUCGGAUUAUCGUUCCCACGAGGACUAUAUUUUAGUGGUUAAUUUAUUAUUCCUAAUUUCUAUUUAAUGAAAAUAAAUAAAUAAAUAGAAAUUGAAUGUGAUUUUUAAAUCAAUCUAAAUACUAAAAAAAAUGCAAAUGGAUGCAACAGAAAAUAAGCGAGAAUUCAAAUAAUAAACGGGCAUUAGGGCGGAACAAUUUCACCUAAUGGUUACCUUUAUUUCAUAAAUCAAGAUUCAUACAACCUAAAGUAGUGUUCGGUCAAAUCCUUCUAUGGUAUUCAACUUACCCCUCUCGAGUUCUCGUUGAACCUAUUUAAUUAGUUCAAUUUCAUGUCUCUAUGCAAAUUAAAUUUAAUUAAACGCAACAUUAGUUCUAAGAAUUCACACACGACCGCAGCAAUCAAUAAAAGUAUCUCUACACGUUAUAUCAAUUUACCGGAUUUUAACAUGUAGUCUAAACAAAUAAUCCGUAUCUCUACGCAAUCAUUGUUCACAAAUCAUCUAAUUAGUUAUCAAGUAAUUAAAAGCAUUAAGCACGACAUUAAAAUCAACACAUCAAAAAUUAAAGCACUAGAAUCUUAAUUCAACGAAAUAAAGGAAUCCAAUUAAGUUAGAUUGUUCGUCCUAAAUCAAAUUUAGCUAUUCAUAAUAAUGGAAGAAACACAAGAUAAAAUAAUGGAAGAUAUCACCGGGAUUAAUUGACGAAACGUGAAUGAAAUUUCAAUUUUACUCCAGUCGACAGCUUCAAUGUUUGGAGUCCAAUUCUUCCUCGGUUUCCUGUAUGUAUAAGUGAUAAAUUCCAGCAAUUUCUGAGCUUCUCUGUGUGCCUUUCCUCAAUUUCUGUGAGUGCCUCCAAUAUUUAAUUGUAAUCCCAGCUGGAACUUCUCAAUUCUGCCCCCUCAAGCUGCCGUCUAUUGGUGUGUAUGUAAAUAUAAUAAUUGCCGGCAGCUUCAAUUCUUGCCUCCAAAUCUGCUUUCGACUUCCCUCUAUGCUUUACACGUUUCUCAAUUGAUUUAUCCAAUUGUGUGUCGGGCCUUCUUCCAAUUAAUCCUAGCAGUCCGCAAUUGAAUUUUUGUCCAGCCGUUAGAAAUUCUUUCGAAGUGUUGUAUUUGGCCGGCUGCAGUUCUCCUUCCAGAAAGUGCGUUCUGCUGGCUGCAAGGGGUAAAUAUAUAUGUAUGUAAUUCCAAUUUCCAGCAACCAAUUCCCCCAGGUUGUCUCCCCAAUUCCACCUCUCCAAUUCGUCUUUUUUUUUAUGUGGCUGUUUCCACCGAUUUUUUUGUCUUCAGAAAACUCCCCUCCGUUCUCCUAGUUGGUAUGUAUAUAUAUAUUAUAUAUAAAAAACCUAGGGCCACCCUAGUUGACUAAGAAAAGGAUUCUCUCUCCUCUCUUUACUUGGCUUGUACGUGCUUAUAUAUAUAAAAUAACCUAGCCACAAUAUGACUUCAAAAUAGAUUCUAGUAAUGCCAAUUGCCUGCCACCUUUGUUGACUAAAGAAAACUCUAAUUCAUGCAUGCAUGUAGGGGUUAAAUCAACACCAAUUGAUACCAUAAUUAUUCUUCAAGUCAUUCCACUUUUUAAGUUAAUGCAAUGUAGUCCUUGAGUUCCUUCAUUGUGCAAUCAACAUCCUCUUUAAUUUUUCAAGUGUUGAAUUUGAUCUUCAAUAUUGCAUCCACUAGCCAAUUUGUUCUUCAUCCUUUUCCAUUUCCUCCAAACGAGUCCAUCACUAAAAACAAACUAAAAUUAACUCAAGUUAAAUAGAAAUUAAUAAUUUGACGACAUAAAAGCUUAAUAAAAUGGUCUAAAUAAGUGCAUAAUUUGUACUCAUCAAACCUCCACGAGACAACUCCGACUGAUCAGCCCUUGCUGGUUCUAGAUCUGGAUACGAUUCAUAACUUCUCGAGCUCAUUGCUUUAUCCGUCCUUAGUCUUCUUCUACCCGUUGACCUGGAAAGAUAUCAAGAAAACCAGUAUUCUGUAGAUAAUUGGUAUCAGUUGUGUUAAUUUCUACAUAAAUGGUAAAUUUUUUAUAACAUUUCAACAUUGUGCACGUGACAGCUGAUCAGCUAUAGUAGUUUCAGUACUUGAUCAUAUAUAGAAAUGCUGUGAAUGCUGAUUAUUCCGUGCAGGCUCGGGUGAUACUGCCCAAAAGUACUUUUAAAAUGCUUUUAAGAACACCCAAACAAGCCCUCUCAAUUAGUUCUGUGCUAUGCUGCAUGGAAAGUGUUAGCGAAGGCAGUGAAUUUAUAGCUGAAGUCCUCAAUUAUUAUUCUAUUUUUUUAUUUUUAUUUUUUGGAGAAAAUUGCAGUAUUUGUCUUCAAUCUAUUGCCUUAUUAGCAAAUCAGUCUCUAAUAUAUUUUCUUGACAUUUAAAAACCUCAAAUUACAAAAUCAAACUGAAAUCGUUAUUUUCAGACCAUUGAUUUGGAUCUACAUAGACCCAUGAAUGUUUAGGUUUAUCAUUUAAAAUCGAGUUGAACCAUUAAUAUAAUUAGGAAAGAAGAAAACAAAUCCUAAGUUUGAGAGUUCAGGAAGCUGCCUGAAAAGUGAAAGCAAUUUAAACUAAACACCACUAUUUUCACUAUUUCAAUCUAUUAAAAAAGUGUUUGAUGGAAAUUAAAAUUAGAUUUUUUAGUAGAUUGUGAUAGAAAUUUUUAAAAUGUGUGGUUGAAUUAAUAUGAAUUGUUUGACUUUGAUUUAUAUUAAAAUCACAUUUUAAUCUAAAUCAAACAGGCACUAAGAUUCAUAGCCACAAAGCAAUUAUUUUAUAAGCGAUGAAUUAUAAUUAUAUCGUUACACCUUCCCCACUUAUUUGCUUGCUAUUUUGAUUCGUCAUUUUUUCCCCAUCCCGAACAAUUAUUAGUCAAUAAUGCAUAAUAAUUUUAUCAGAAAAUAAAGUUUAUUGGAUUUUCUUUAGUUAAUUGAACUUCUUCGCAUGCUCACGUGGUUCUUUUAUUGAUAUUACUUUUUUGUCCUUCUUUUCUAUUAAUUUCUUGAGAAGUGAAGAACAUAUGAGUUUCAAAUGUUAUAUUAAUAUUCUAGGAAAAAAUGGAAAAAUGUACUAUCCUUGUGCAUUUGGGGAGGCGCUUUCAUUAAGUAUUGUCAUCUUGUAGUUUAUUUUCACACCUCAUUUUGCAUUUAAAUUCAAAACCAAGGAAUUGUUUUUCCACAAAACCAAGGAAAAUGGGUCACGUGAGGGGUGAGGAAAAUGAGUUGCCAGGAAAAUUUUUGCAAUCAAAUAAUGAAAAGGUGGAAAAAAAAAUUUCCAUUUUCCAUGAAAAAUUGACCGAAUCAAACAGGCCCUUAAUAGUUAAUGCCUACAAAUGAAAAAGAAAGUGAAAGAGAGAUAUUAGUUCAUUGUUCUAUGAAGUAAUUGCUUCACUUUGUUGUAUUUGAGUGAAAAUUUAUUGAUUGCUUACUUGACAGACAAAUAAAAAAUAUAUAAUCGUUUUAAAUAGUUUGAUUUAUAUAUGGCAAAAAUCAUUCAAAUUCAACCAUUUUUUCCUUAAUCUUCAUGUGAAAGAGUGGCAACAUACCUAAUAUUAUUUAGGUCAUGUUUUGUCUUCAUUUUCUAAGAUUUAUUUUUCUUCAAAUUCUUUCAAUAAAACAAUAUUUCAGGUUGAUCCGUAGCUGUUUCCUACUUUUUAAUCACACAUUCUUUAAAAAAAAAUCAUGUUUACAAAAUAUAUUCUCAAAAAAUCUCUAUCAAACAUGUACUUAAUUGUUUUAGCAGCAAUGGUUGCAAAGGUUCGGUGGUUGAAAUCAGUUGCAUGUGGUGUGGUCCAUUAGGAAAUGUGAUAUAUGAGAUUUUCUGCAUUUUUGUUAACUAGGAAAUACGGUGUUACAUAACUUUAAAUAUGUGCUUAUUAAACCUUUGUUUGAGGAACCGUGCUGCACUUACCAAAAGGAAAGUCAUAGAAUUUUUUCAGACAACUCACAUGGGCAUGGGUGGGUGAUAUUUUUUGGCCUUUUUUUGUCAUACAUGGGACCCACAUAUGUGUCUAUUCCGAUAGAAUUCUGUGAACUGAAAUUCUAUACAAAUGGAAAUUUUUUUGAUUGAACUCCAUUUUCUCAAAACUCAUUUUUUUCAAAAUUUAUUUUCGAUUACAUCUUUUUUUAAUAAAAUAAUUUUACAUAUAAAUUUCACGUGUGCUCAAUAACUGCUUCUCUAAAUUUAUUUUGUUCUUCUAAAAGUCAAAUUAACUUCUCUUUCAUUGAAAUUUUCUAGUGAAGAUAAUUCUUUUCACUGAGGGUACUUAUGUUGCAUCCCAUAAAAACAUAUAUUAAGAUACGGAGUUCGACUUACAAAAUUUACAUAAGCUAUUCUUGUUAAGAAGAAUGACAGCUAUUCUUGUUAAGAAGAAUGACACAUACUCCUUUCUGUUAGUUAUUUGUCGUACAUAUAAUCAAUAUUAAUAUCGACAAAUAUGUGUUACUCAUAAGCUGAUCAUCUCACGGACGAAGGGUGAUGAAUGUGGUUAUAAAAUAUACAGCAUGAAAGAAUUAAACUUGACCAUUAAGUUACAAGCAUAACUGAAUAAUAAUAUAUUAUAAAAUUUCAAAAAAAGAAAAAAAAAUGGUCCAAUACCGCUCUAUUAGACCAGUCUACAAUCGAUGCAACCAAAAAUAAAUAAAUAAUGAAUAUUUAUAUAUAUUUAAAAAAAAAAUCCUUUGAACCAAACUCAAAUAACCCGUCGGAUCAUUGUUAAUUAAAAAUUUCAAAUUUUAUUUAGCAUUUGAAUAGUCGCAUAACACUAUAGACUUCAUUUUCAUCUUCUAGAGUUUUGGAGUAAAGAUUGAAAUAAAUAAAUAAAAUUAAGGAUUAAUUUAGUAAACAGUAAUUAUUAUUACUAACUUUUAUAUAAUAAAAAUAAUUUUUAUUAGAUUUGUCAUGAGUUAACUUACACAUUCAAUCACUAGAUUAGAGGUUGAACUAUUAACUCAAUAACCCAGCUCUAUAGUCAGUGACGGAUCCUGAAUUUUGAGUAAGCGAGGGCAGACGUUAGCAGUUGACCAUCGAUUGUAAUAAAAUAUUAAAAAUCAAAUAUAAUAAUUAUUUUGCUAAAAUUAUAUAUGUUAACAAUAUUCCCCAAAUGACAUAGUAGCAAGGUUUCUUGAAGGAGCAUGGAUUCAAAUUCUUUCAAAUGCAUUAAAACCACUAAAAUAAAUUAUAUGUUACCAAAUAUGUAACCUAAAACUUUUCUCUACUGUCAACAAAAAAAAUAAAAAAUAAAAAAAUAGUUCCCGAUGGAUCCAGCAUGCAAGGCCGCUAAUGUUUGCCAGGUACUGGAUCCACCACUGUCUAUAGUUGGGUUAGGAUUUGAAUUGAAUAUAAAAGCUAGUAUAUUACCUACAAAUAUUUAAGAACUCUAUUACAGGAACGUGAUCAAGCGAACUCUGUGAGCGUAUGAGAUUAUUGAUAAGUAAUAAAUGUGAUGAGAAAAUUUAUUGUUCUACAAGGAAUAAAUUUCAAUUUAAGUGUACUAAUUUUGUUUGAAAUUCAAAUCAUGUAACACAACAGAGAUUAUUUUGUGAUUAUGCUAAGUUAAUAUAAGAUAUAUGUAACACUUGUUUGUUUAUAUCAAAUUGUUGAUGAUUGUAUUGGAAUUUGAAUCCAUAUAUUGCUGUCUAUAAUUCUUGAUUAUACAAUUUAGUUUCGUUCAUGCAUUCUUGACAUCAAUAAAGUUAUUAUAUAUAAUUUUUUCCUAAGAUAAAUUAAAUUUAUUAUAAUCAUGACCCAAUCAUAUAUCUAGUCUGAAUUCGAAUGAUUAGAAUACAUUAAAUUACACGAUUAUCUAGAUGAUUGCACGCGUGAUAUUGUUAUUCCUAAUAUCUAUUAUCUAUGUGUUAAUAUUGCUGUAUUCUGAACUAUUGUGAACUUUUCAGUACUGCAACAAACAACUAAUAAAGAAGUGCAAGAAUUAACUAAAUUACUAGCUUUAACUUAAAUAAAUAAAUGAAAGGGCUUAUCUCAAUGAAUACAUGGGAGGAAUCAGACUAGCGUAAUGAUAUGUGUAAAUUACACAAAAAUUAUUGAAAAAAUAUCACCCGAAAUUUAUAACGAUGAGAGAAACAUGAAAAGUGUACUUUGUCUUCUUGAAUCUUGAUUUCAGAUUUGGAUCUUCAAUCUUCAUCCUAAUUGCCCUCGAUUUGCAUGCUAGUCCUCUUCCUAAUGGUGUAAUUAUGUUAUUUUAUGUUGUAUCUUCGUCCCUUAUAGCAUCUAGUUGCUUAAAUAGUAAUUAGAAUUUCGUCCCCAAAAGAGUUUGUAUCAAAACAGGGAUUAAAUGCGUUCAGGUUGAAAAUAGCAAAGCGCGCAUGCCAUGUAAUCGAUUCAAUCUUGGGUUGGUUGGAACACAGGCUCACAUUCAGGUCGUCCCUAAGCAGUCAUCAACAUUGUUAUUUGACUGAAGUGAUUUAGAGUACGUUAAAAAUCAACUCAAAAGGCUAUAAUUAUUUUAGAAAUAUCAUUUUUUCAAUUCGAACGUUUAUUAUGUGAAACAUGGGUCUCAAUUUGUGGCUGAACUUUUGAAACAUAACUUGUGCAACUAAAAAAUUGAAUUCUUUAAUUGUAUUUUAAUGAUUCACUCAUUGACUUCUACUUACAUCUAAUUAGCAUCCUAGCACUCUCCAAUUAUCGAUAUACAGCUCGAAUAAACUUUUGAAACUUUUCAUUUUAGUCUCCAAAUUUUUGAAUUUCUUUUGUUUUCAUUUGUUUCUUGUUCCUUUCUUCAAAUUCCACUAAUUUGCAUUGAGUUUAACUUAACAAAUAUAAUUAACACGUAAUAUUUCAUUCAAACAAUAAAUAUCUCAAUUCAAUGGCCUAAGUAGGUAUACAGAAUAUACUUUUCGGUAUGUAUUUCAUAAAACUGUCCCUGUUCAUUUUAAUUUGUGCCUACCAAACUAAUUAGAUAUCUGAUUAUAAUGGGAUAUGGAUUUUUUUUUUUUUUAUCAUCCAUUUGCUUGUCUAUAUACGGGCCAUUGAGCACGUGUUAAUGAUCGACUUUCGUUCAUUACUUGAAUCUCCUUGUUGAAGAGUAACAACAUAUUUUAUUUAGGUCAUGUUUAGUAAGGGUGUAAGCAAUUCGAUUUUACCGAUUUUUGACAGAUUUUCAAAUCAAACCGAUUAAAUCGGUUUGAGAAAAACCCUAGCCUAAACCAAACCAUUUUGAACGGUUUGAAAAAAACUCAAAUAUAAACCUAAUGGUUUGGUCCGGUUUUAAACCGCCAGUUUCGCUAUAUGUUUUUUUCCGUCUACUUUAUGUCAUUAAUUCAUUGAAUUCAAUAUAUAUUUAUAUCUUACUAGCAAUAAAUCUAAAACAAACUAAACCCCUGUUUGAACCAAAUUUUUGAAACAAAAAAAAUGAAAAUUUGGAUCAUUAUCCCACAAGUCCAACUACCUUUGUUGACCUGCUGUUUCAUGUGUGGGACCUAACCUCCUCUCCAACAAUCAAUUUUCUCAUUAUGAUGAUAUGGAAAAUAUGGCUCAAACAGAGGCUAAAUAUAUCUACUAUAAAUUUAAAUACCAACUAAAUCAAAGAAAAAUUACAAUAAACUAAAACAUAGUUUUUUCAUUUUUGUUCACCUUUUUUAGGCUAAUGACAAAAUAAUAACAUUACAAUAUAAAUCUACUAAAUUAGAUAUAUGGUCCAAAAAAUAUAAUGAUAUUUAAUAAGACCUCGUAAUCAUCAUAUCUGAAAAAAGGAUACUGAUUAGAUAAAGAGAAUAACCAACAACAAUAAUAAAAUAAUUAUUUAUAAUACCUAAACAUAACAAUUACACAAGUUUAAGUUUGUAUGAUAUUACGAAACGCAUUUAAUUUCAUAUUCUUACCUUAGUUUGUUCCAAAAAAAUUAUUGAUUUGAAACUUUAUUCGUAGCAAAUAUUAUCACUGAAUGUUUAGGAUCUCUUUGUCUCUAAUUGGGUAUAAAGACUACUAUUCAACUUUGAAGAGGCGUGAAAAAUCUGAAAAAGAAGUGUGUGGUGUCGGUGACUCAAGACCGUGUUGGAUGUCGGCUAGAGUUCAUCUAAAUUCUGAAGAGGAAAAUGAUUUUUGAUAGAUUAUAUCAGUCUUGAGAUUAUUAGCUAUGUAUUAGGAUUAUUGGAUGAUAAUAAUAAUAAUAAUAUAUCUGUAUUAUAAAAUUAGAAAUUGACAAAAAUACCCACAAAUGAAACUAUUGAAUUUUACAUAUUUGGAUAAAUUUUCAAAAAAAUUCAUUUUUUAAUUUUUUUUUAUUUUUAUAUAUUUUUUCGCUACUCCGAUUUGGUUUUAAACCGCAAUUAAAAUUCUCAAACCUAAACCAAACCAUUUUGACCGGUUUGAUUUGGGUCAAAACCAUUUCUUUGAUCGGGUCCACGUAGCAUCAAACCGACGGUUUCUAAAAUGCGGUUUUGGUUCGAUUUUUCGGUUUGGUGAUUUUUGCUUACAGCCCUAGCUUAAACUGUACAUCGUUGGGAUGUUUUUCUCUUCAGAAAUUAUUGUCCAUUUACAUGAAAAAUUCUACUGUUCCCAGCUGUAAUUUCUCAAGAAUUAUAUAGUAUUAUAUCCUUCAAGCAGAUGUUAAUGGCCUCUACAAUGUAUCUUGAAAUUUAUUUUUAAGCAUUGACUAUCUAAAAUAAAAAAAAAAAUGUCUUGUAUUUUGAGAGUUUUUUGGAGAUGCUCUCAGCCAGCCAAGAAAAAUGCAUUGAAGUUUUGUUUUGAAAUUUGCAAUAUAAAGCAGUUAAAUACUAAAAUUGAGGUACAAUUAAAUAUAUUUUCAAUAAAAAAAAUUGAUAUUUUGACGAUUAAAUAAAUGAAAUUUGCCACAUUAGAAAAUUAACUAAAUAAAACUUAUUAAAUUUUUUUUCUUUAGGAUAUGGGAUUACGUCCUGAAUUAUAUUUAAAUUAAAAUGCAAAGACGAAGAAAGAAAUAAAAUUGUUGUAUUUUGGGAUAGUUGGGGGUUAUUCAGUCAUUACAUUGCUACUUAGUGGGUUCAUAAUUAAUGUCGUGAUACAAGUUAAUAAUAAAAAAAAAAAAAAAAAGUUGAACCUCAACCUUAAAGGCCCCCACUGUCCCGCCCCUAGAACUUUGUGAGGGAGGUAAAUCUCGGGAUGUGCCUCAAUAGACCAGGGAACAAGAGUUGUAUAUACACUGCACCUACAAGAAGUCCAAUUUCAUGUCUCAGGAAUCGAACCUCCCAUACUGCGACUGUCAACAAGACAUGAGAUAACCGCAUUCCUGUCCUUUGCACCACUGGAUUAUGCCCCGAGGGCAAUACAAGUUAAUAAUUAUUAUGCGAAGAAUGGAGACUAAGUAGCAACUUUGCAACUAUUAGAGUGUUUAGUUAAUAUUAUUUCUACUUAUGAUUUAGAUCCACAAUUGUAAUUCACUACUUAAUGACUAUUUUAGAUAAUAUUUUAAAUGAUGUACAUGUGACUUCAUUUAGCUGUUUAAACAUUUAAAUCAAUGAUAAAGUGUUUCAACAUUAUGUACUUUAUUUUGCAAACUUACACAAUUUCAUUACAUUUUAUUCAACUUCGAUCACUAAUCUAUACACAGUUUAGAACUGAUUUAAAAAUUUCUCCACUUAAAAUCAAAAAUUUCUUAAGUAAUCACUUAAUUGCUCGUCACAAUAGAGGCGAUCCACAUAUGAUAUUUAAUUUACAUUAUUGAGACAUAACUACAGUGUUAUGCUUACUUUUUAUAGUUUCUCCAGAUUGGACAUUAUCGUUGAAUCAUACCUUGAAAUUUGCAUUCAUACGGUAUGACUUUUAGCACUUUGAACACUUAAACUGCUAAUGUUACUCCUUCAUCAUCUCCAUUAUUAGCACGGUCUCUUUCCCUGUUCUUAUUUUAAACUAACCAAGGAAUUCAUAGAAACUCUCCUUGCAAAUGAAGAAUUACAACAUUUUUAUACUUAGUGGUUCACGUCUCUAGCACCAUCAACGCCCUCUUUACUCAUAUGUAAUUGUUUAUGUACAAGUAACUCAUUAUUCUAAAUUAAGAGGGUGUUUGAGAGCUAUUUUUAUGUAAAAAUACAUUUUAGAAUAAUAAUUUGAUGGGAAUUGUGUGGUUGAAAAAGAAGGAAAAGUUUUUUAUUUACGUAUAAUAUUAUUUUAAUAAAGAAUGUAGGGUUAAAAAGAAGAGAGAAAAAUACAUUUUGAAAAAAAGAAUGCCGAACGGGAGCUAAAUUGUGAAUUUUGUUAAAAUGUUACUCUUCAACAAGGAGAUUCAAGAAUAAGGAAUCAACGUAAGCCAGAUAUUUAACACAUGCACAACCCCCAAGACCGAUUUAUCAAAUGCAUACGGACGAUGCUACUCGUACCAACCCCCUGAAAAUAGGGGGUCUAUGAUUUUUUUAUUCAUUGUGAAGCCUCCUUUGUUGUUAGGGAUCGGUGCAUAGGAGUGUCAAACCCGAUGUACAAGUAUCAAAAUCCAAUGCAUACCCUCAAGACAGCUCUUAAAUAUCUGUAGGCAAUAUCAUAGUUUCUAGAUUCGACUUUAAAGCUAACCUAGCAGGGGCAAGUAGGGGGAGGCAGGGCUGGGCCCCAAAGGGUUUUUGCCCCCAAACACGGAGGAAGCCUCAAGCUGUCAACCACAUCUGUUCUCUCCAAGAUGUCCAUCACAGAUUCCGAUAAUUUCUCGGCAAUUUUUCAUUUUUGUAAUUUCAACUUUCCGUUGUUACUUUUUCAUCGUCAAAUUUAUCGCAAAAGGCGAACCACAAGAAGAUUAAAGUCGACAUGCGCUGGUUUUCGAGCUAUCAUAUGCUACACGUGAUACUUUCGUAUAUUACAUUGUAUAAUAUUUUAUAUGCAACAAAAACAUUUCAUAAAAAAUGUGUAACAUGUAAUGGAAAUCACAUAUGUAAAAGAAAGGCAGCCUUAAACAUCUUUAGAGAUUAUAAAUUAUGAAUCUGGUGAAAAAGAAAAAAAUGAAAAAAAUAAUAAUGAAAUUUUUAAUUUUUCAAAGGCAAUAUAUUCUUAUUCCACGUAUCACGGAGGUAAUUGGUGUCAAUUAAGCGGGAUCUAUUUUUUGCAUGUAUUAAACAUGGAAAUUUAGGUGCCCGACUUUUAAGGAAUUGUACUCGAUGGUGUUUAGUUGUUUUGUAUUUUAACGUCAUUAUUUAAAUUGUGAAAGGAUAAAAUCUCAUAUCCAAUAAAGAUGAAAAUAUAGAUCAUUUUAUAAGGCUUUGAGCUACUCAUAUCUAAAAGGUUGACCUUUUAAAAUGAAACACUUGAUCCGAUUAAGACUUAAUAAAUGAAUAUACGGAUUUUAAGAUUGAUCUGCUCAAAUGAACCACCAUCUUGCAGGUAUAGCUAUAAAUGGAUCGUAUAUGAAGCAGAUAUGUCCAAAUCCGAUCCGAUUCGUUAAGAAUAAUUAUCGGUCCCAUCCGAUCCAAUAAUUUAACAGAUAUUUGAUUGUUAAAUCCAUAUUUGGUUUGCUAUGUUAUCCGAUAAUCCGAUCCGAAUUUAAAAAAAAAAAAUCAUUGUUCUAAUACAAAUUACUACAUUAAAUUUAAUCAAUAAAUAUGGAUUAUAUUUUUUUAAUUGUUAAACUAAAAUUAAAAAAAAAUUAGUGAUAUAAUAUAGUUUAUUUGUGUAUUUAUUUAUUUAAUUUGUCAUACAGUUCGAUUACGUUUCAACCCUUUGACCCUUAACCCUCUUCAUUUUUUGAAUCGAUGCUCGAGUCAAUGUUUAAAACAUUGGAAAAAAAUUAGAAGGAGAAAUAUUUUAUAUUAGUCAACUUUUAAGCCCUAAACUUAAAAGGCUUAGAUGGGUUUUUAUUCAAUAAAUAAUAAAAUAAUUAUUAUUUUUAUCUUAUUUUAAUUAAUAAAAAAAUAAAUCUCCUUAAAUAUUUCAAAUAACAAUAUCAUAUCAUUAUCUAAUAUUAAUUAUCAUUUGAAAAUUAUGUGUAAAGUAUUUCAAAAUGGAAAAAAUUAUGUUUUAUAAAAACUUCCGAUGAUAUAUAAAAUAUAUUAUAUUAUUAUAAUAAAUCGGAUCGGAUUGAUCUAAAUUCAUAAUUAUUUCAUUUAGUUAAUGAAUUAUCGGAUUCAGAUCUUGAUCGGGUUAUCGGAUUAAGACCCUAAAUCCAUCUCCCAUUAAUUUUAUCGGAUUCGGAUCAAAAUCCAAUCUAUUGACAACCCGACUUGCAGGGGGCAUAUUAAGAGAUAAAAUCUCACGUUGAAUAAAGAAGAAAAUAUAGAUUAAUUUACAAGAUUUUGAGCUACUCCUCUUUGCCAGGUUGAUCUUUUAAGAUGGAACCCUAAAUCCUAUUGUUUUGUAAAUUUUACGUCAAAAAAUUAGUAAUUUGGAGUAAAGAUUUUAAACUGGCAUUUUGUGUUUGUGUUUUUUUUUUUUUUUUGGGUUAGACGAGAUAUAUAUAUAUAUAUACUCUUUAAAAAUUUUUGGACUUACAUAUAAUAUUAUUUUAUUAAAAAAUAAAUUGUUGAAAUGGAUGUCAAAUCACUAUUAGAAAAAAUAUUUUUUAAAGAAAUUUGGCUCAAACAUGGCCUAAUGUUAGUAAUUAUCAUUAUUAUAUACUAAGCCCUCAUUUGUUUUCUAUUAUUUUUUCAUUAAAAUGAAAAAUAUAAUCGUUAUCUAUCACAUUAAGCCAAUGCCCUAUUUGUUUUCCAGUUUUGUAAGAAUAAGAAUGAAAAAUAUAGUUGUUAUGACUUCACACGAGAUAUAAAUUCAAACUUAGUACUUUGAUGUGAUUGAUAACGAUCAUAUUUUUUAUUUUAAUGAGAAAAGAAUGGAAAACAAAUAGGGGCUAAAUUAAUCCUUAAUUUUAGUUUCAAUCUUUGCUCCAAAAACUCUGGAAGAUGAUGGUUUUUAAGAUGAAGUAUAAAAAGCUAUUAGCAAUUUAAAAAAAAAAUGAAAAAUGAAGUCUAGAAUGUUAUGCAACUUUUCAGAUGCUAAAUAAAUUUUUUAAUUUUUAAUUAAACAAUGAUAAACGGGUUAAUGGGUUCGAUUCAAAGGGUUUUUUUUCAUGAAAAUUUGUGUGCGUGUUUUUUUUUUCAAAUUUUAUUUUAUUGUGUGGAUUGUAAACUAGUCUAAUAGAGUGGCUCGAAUAGGUUAAUAUUGGAUCACGGGUUUUUCGCUUGAUCGUCUAUCUUAUUCCAGUUUAAUAAUACUGGGUAAUACAUCUUCAAUGAUUUUUUUCACUAAAUUGGUUGUAGAUAUGAUAUUAUCUAACAUAAAAGGUAUCAUAUUAUUCUUCUUAACAUGUAUUUCUAUGGGAUGCAGCAUAAAUUCCUAAUUCUUUCUUCUUCUCCAUCUUCUUCAUUAUUAUUAUUAUUUUUUUUUUUUUUCAGAGAAUAGUCUUUACUUGAAUAGUUCAAUGAACAAACAGUUACUUUGACUUCUAGUACAAUUGGAUAAGCCCCAUUCGGCUCCAAUUAAAAUUAUAAUACAUUUUUUAAUCUCUUGAUUAAUCACACAUUUUUAAAUAAAACAAAAUUACGCAUAAUUUAAAAAUAUUUUUUCUUUUUUAAUCACACAUUUAAAAAAAAAAAAAAAAAAACCCAUUUUUUAAAUAAGCCUCGUUUGUUCUACAUUUUUUUACCCAUUUUUAGAGAUUAUUUGUCCAUUGCACAGAGCAAUCCAAUUUCAAUUGAUUGAAGUUUCUGACAUAAAAGGACAAUUGCAUAUGAAUUUUGAAGAUUCUACUUUAAGUUUUUGACCUUUUUUACAGGGGUAAAAAGGGUAAGUGAUAAAUGAAAGGAUUCUCAUUAUGCAGGCAUAUGUCUUUUAUCAUGUCAGACGGGUGCAAUGGUCUGAUAAUAUCUAAAAAUGAAUGGGAAAUGGCUACCAAACCCAAGACAAGAAAGUCGCUGGACGCACUACUGUACGGAAAUAAUGAUUUUUUUAUUUUUUUAUUUUUUGGUUCAAUCAUUUGGGACCCAUGAUGUUUAUAUAUUAGUAGAAAAUGGUUUAACCAUGUAAUCUUCAAAUAUUUAAAAGGGUGGUUAUAUUAGCAACGUAGAGCCUAUUUGGUUUAGAUUAAAAAUAAUUAGUCCUUGUUUGAUCUCCAUUUUUUGGUAAAAACACAUUUUUCAACAGUAUUUUAACAUUAUUUCAACCACACAUUUUUCAAUAAAAUAAUAUUACACACAAAUCUAAAAUUUUUCCUUAUUUUUAACCACACAUUUCACAUCAAUAGACUAUUCAAAAAUUCAUUCUAUCCCCCAAAACGGGGCUCAAACAAGGGCUUAAUAUUAAUUAUAUCUUUUAUGGAUCCUACAACUUUUCAAUAACAAAUUUCAAAAACUUCUAUCACAAUAUAUUAAAAAUCUAAUUUUAAUCCCCCACCAAACAUCAUCAUAAUUUUUUUCUUUUUUCUUUUUUUUUUCAAAGACCUUUUAAUUGGAGUAUAGCUCCUCAAUUUUUGCUCAUUAUAGCAAUUAGCUUCUUAAAUUUUUUGUCUAAUUAUUAUCUUUAGCUUUCCAUUAAUUAGUAUAUCUUUUCUUUGAUGAUGAUUUAUAUCAAAAUAUUUUAUUUCCAUGAUUUAAAAUAAGAAAAAAAUAUUUUUUGUACUUAUUUAUUUAUUAAAAGUACAAUGGAAAGAUAAAUUGUUAUACGCUAUUUCAACGUACUUUUUAGGCAUAAACUAUUACAUAAAAACAAAAAUGCGUUAAUUAAUAGAAAGUUCAAGGAUAAGAUCAAUAUCAUAUAAAUUUUUUAGGGACAUAAAUGCUAUAUUGAGUAAAGAUCGAGAACCUUAAAGAGUAUUUUGCCCUUCCGAUAGUGCUAUCUAUGAAUGGAGAGAGGGAAAAAUGUAAUUAUGCAGGAAUAAUUGUAGGAUAAAUUUGAUAUUUUGUAAAAAUGAAAAAAAAAAAAAAAAAAGUCCUAUAUCCUACAACCAUUCUCAAAAUUUUCAUAUUCUAGGAUUAUAUUUUUAAUUCAAAAAAUCCACCAGACGGUGAUAUUUUUAAAUUGUAGUAUACAAAUAGAUUAAUUCACAAUUAUGAGGACGAAACACACGCAAAAGACUAAGGAGCGAGGAAAAUUGCAUAUCAGCUUCCAAACUAGUUAUGUAAUAAUAAAUAGGUCCCUAUUCUACUUUUCUAAUCAUUUUAGUCCCCUCCUUUUAAUUUUUACGUUGCACCAUGCUUUGUAGUUAACAAAAACUAUCCAAUUGUCAGUGAAACAUCCAUACAAGUCUCACAUUACACAUUUCCUAAUGGACCACACCCCAUGCAAAUGAUUUCAACCACCCAUCCUUUGCAACCAUCGUUGGUAAAUCAGUUAUGACGCUUUACGAAACAAGGAAUUCAAGCGAAAAUCUUAAAAAUAUAAUUUUCGAAAUCCACCAAAUUAUGAAGAAAUAAGCUCAUGAAAUUUUAUUAUCAUCUUUUUCAAAAAGUGCAAAAGUAAAACUCUUAAUGCAUGAUUUCAGUUCGACUUUGUAAUCUGACAAGGCGUACUGCAAUUUCCUCCCAAAAAAUGAAUAAUAAUUGAGGGCUUCAGCUAUCAGUUCACUGCCUUUGCUCAAACUUGAGCUAACGCUUUCUAUACAGGGUAGCACAUAACAAAUUGAGACCCUGUUUGGGUGUGCUUAAAAGCAUUUCAAAAGUCCAUUUUGAGCAUUAUCACCCGUGCCUGCGCGAAAUAAUCAGCAUUCGCAUUAUAGCAGAUCAGGAGUUACUUGUACAAUGUUGAAAUGUUAUCAAAUUCAUAUCUACUAUAUAUGCAGAACUUAACCCGAACUGAUAUCAAUUAACAGUAGAAUAUUGGUUUUCUUGAUAUAUUUCCAGGUCAUCGGGUAAAAGAAGACUAAGGAGUGGUAAAGCAACGAGUUGGAGGAGUUAUGAAUCGGAUCCAGAACUAAAUCCCGUUAUGAGCCAAGUUGAAGUGAAAGUAGAAAAUCCAAUUUCCGGAAAUGGUAAGUUUCUCAUUUUAUUUUAUUUUACAAGUUCGGGAGUUGAUCAAAUAUAGGGUAAGUGUAUGAGUCCAAAUUAGGCCUGGACGUGAUUUAGUUUGAAUCGAUUUUACUCCAACUUGAAACUAAAACCAAAUUAGUCGGUUUGGGUGAAUUUCAAUCCAAACCAACUCACUAUAACUCUUACACCGACUUUAUAUUAUAAGAACUAUUGACUGAAAAAUAAAAUCAGGUUAAUAGAGACAGAUCUACAGAAAACUAAAGAAUUUGAUUUUUUUUUUUAACAUUUUGUAAUCUGACUGUUUUAGUAGGGAAAAUAUACUAAGUAUAUUAUAAUGAGCUUGUAAAAGAAAAUUUUCAAUACUAUUACUUACUGACAACAUCAUAUAUUGGCGGGAAUUGAGAUAUGGUUAUGAGAUUAGAACUUAUAUUUUGAUUUUUAUUUUAAAAAAAAAACAUACAAGUGGGUGAAGUCGGUUUGGUUAACUAGCAUUUUGACUCUCAAACCAUUGCUGAACAGACCCAUCGUGAUGUUAUUUAAGAAAAAAAAAAUCUAACCAAAUUAAUUACCUAUGUCAAACUGACCCGAACUGGUUUGAUCGAUUUUCUAUUUUUAUUGCCCACUUCUAGCCAGAAUUUGGACUAUAAAUGGAUUGGAUAUAAACCGGAUCGCCCAUAUCCGAUCCAUUCCGAUCAGAAUAAUUAUUUGAUUUGAUUUGAUAAUCCAACAGAUAUUUGAUUGUUAAAUCCAUAUUUGAUUUUCUAUGUCAUCGAACAUCCGAUCCGAAUUAAAGAAAUUAGGAAAAUAAAAUCAAUGUUGAAAUUAACUUUUUUUAAUACAUAUUUUUCUUUCAAAUUCAUCAAUUCUUAAACGAGUUUAAUAAUUAUGAAUUUCUAACUUGUAGCCAAUUGGAUUGAAAGACAAAAGGUUGCUUAUCCAUUCAUUGACUCAUUUAUUUAUAGAUGACGUUUCUAAACAUUUUGUUAUAAACUUUCGAAGUGGGAUAAUAAUUCAUUUGGUUUCGCUGGAGUACAUUGUACGUUUUGUUUGGUUGUAGUGUAUUUUAGAUUUGGUUUGACAGUAGGAUAUUGAGUAUUUUAUUAUUAUAUAAAUAGAUAUUUAUAUUUUAUUAAAUUAAUCAUUUUUCAUAUCUUUUACUAUUUAAUAAAAAUUUAAAACUCUCCAAAUAAUUCAAUUAACACUAUUAUUAUCUUGCUUAUCGAAUAUAUUUAUUUUAUUAAGCUUUUAACAUUGCAUUUGGUACUAUAAUUUGUAUGUAUCAUUAAAGGUGCAUUUGAUUGCCAAUAUUUUUCAUGGAAAAUGUAUUUUUUCCAUCCAAAUUCUUAUUUUUGUGCUGUUUAAUUAUCAUUUUUUUCAAGGAAAAUGUCCUCUUACUUUUGGUCACGUGAUAAUAAUUUCUUCAAAAUCAAGGAAAAUACUCUCUCUCUCUCUCUCUCUCUCUCUCUCUCUCUCUCUCUCAUCUAUUCACUCAAAUGCCUAGAAUUUAUUUUUUUCCAUACAAAUUUCAUGCUCGCAAUGAAAUGAAAUAAUUUUUAGACCGAUUAAAAUUUUAAAAUAAUAUUAAUAAAAAAAUACAUUUUUACAUUUUUUUACGCCUAGACUUCGUCUAGACUCACCUAACCUGAAACCUUCACGCAUUACGCUUUUGAGAACAUUUUGUACACAUUAAUUGACUUUCUUACUUUUUAUGUUUUGAAUUUGAUGACUUUUUUAUUCUAAAUUUCUUUACUUUCUCAUUUUUUUUAUUUUACUGUCAAAUAACAUGCCAUAAAACUAUUUAACCGACUUAGCUAUUUAUAACAAAUUGGAUAGGGUUGUUAUUGAAUCCAAUUAACCUCUAUCCAUUUUUUAUCCAUUUAAUUAACGGAUUAUAGAAUUAAGAUCUUGAUCGGGUUAUUGGACUAAGACCCUAAAUGUAUCUCCCAUUAAUUUGAUCGAAUUCGGAUCGACUUCGGAUCAAUAUCCAAUCCGGGGGUGGCAAGAUGACUAUGAAUAUGAGCAUAACGUAUAAUCUGCCCAAGUUAUUUAUGUACACGGCCACGUCCCAUGCAAGUUAUAUGAUUUUCCAGCUGGAAAUCCCGUUACAGAGGUCUUAGGUUGGGACUAUGUGACAUCUGUGGCCGAGUGAUAAAACGAACCAUGAGGGGGAGAGAGAGAGGCUUAAAACCUAUUAAGAGGUUUCGACAGACUUGAUUUUGGUUCUAUGCAAUUUUAUUUUGUUCAAUGUAAUUAUUUUCGUCCAAUUUUUCACAUCCCCUACUUGGAAAGUAUCCAAAAAUCAUCAAUAUCCUCGUUAUGAUUUGAACAAAUUUCAACAGUAAUGAGAUGGAAAUUGUUGCAAUUAGCGUUGGAACAACUUCAAUACAAAGUUGAUGUGGCUAGUAAAUAUUAAGAUUUGAUGAUUGUGUACUACGUUAUGUAAGUGGAUUUAUGUCUACUUUAGUUUAAUAUGUGUUACAUAGUUGUGGAGCAUCUUCCACUUUCAACACAUGUCUGACAAUAGUUCUCCCCGAACAUCAUCAGGGGAAGAAAUGAAAAAAAAGUCCGUAGCUUUGUAUAUCGUUAUAUAAAGCUGCUUUAAAAGGAGAUUGGAAAGAUGCUGAAACUACUCUCAGAUUGGGUAAAAGUGCAGGUUCUCUUAAGAUAACAGAAAGAGGAGAAAGGCCUCUUCACAUAGCUGCUCUCGCUAAGCAAACUGCGUUUGCCCAUGAGCUAGUCAAACAAUUGGACAAAGAAGACCUGAAAUUGCUGAAUGAUUAUGGACACACAGCUUUCUAUUUUGUAGCUAUAUCAGGGGUUAUAGAAAUUGCCAAGGCCAUGUAACAAAAAAAUGAAGAACUGACAAAAAUUCGAGACGAAAGGAAUAUGAGCCUGAUUGAAAUGGCAGCUUUGAUGGGAAAGGAAAAAAUGUUUGAAUAUCUUCACGGCAUUACACCUAUUAAUAAAGAUUUCAAGGCCAAGGAGCACAAAGACAUUCUUGUUGCAACUAUCGACAGUGACAUGUAUGGUAUGGAAUCUCUGUUCACGACUAGGGGCAAGAUGACAAUGAAAAUUAUAUUUGCAAUAGUUUCAAAAUUGCUUUUCUUAUAUGUAGAUAUCGCAUUGAAAAUAUUGGAAGCUGAUAGAAGUAUAGACAUUUCUCCAGACGCCGUGAAAGGAAGUGCUCUACACGCAUUAGCUCGAAAAACUUUGUCACACUACGGUACAAGUCAAGAAUGGAUAUGUGAAAAACUCGAGAGAAUCACCCCUUAUGUUCCCUGUAAGACCAUUCUAUUUAUACUAUAUUUGACAGGCAUUGACCCAUAGGGUCACUUGUUGAACCACUGACCCCGUCGAACAACUGCAUUGUCUGAGUCAGUGUCUGGACUGAGUCUGACAACCAUGGUUUAAAGUCUGGACUUUGUGUAUAUACAAACACACAAAUUUUGGUAUUUUCAUUCAUAGCAUACAUUUGUAUAUAUACACGAUUUCUAAAAAUGAGAAAGAACUAUUUUACUACCUACAUCAAAAGCAAAUCCCUGACUAUGCUCUUAAUUAAUUUAAUUACAAUGAAUGAGUAAUACAUGCUGGAAAGAUCAGAUCACAGUGCUAAGAUCAUGGUGAUUUGUUUGCUGAGUUUAUGGAUGAUAUUUCUUCCCUUAUAGAUGAUCAAUACAUAGAUUUAUUCACUUUUUUCUUAGUAGUUGUUUUUUCAUUUUUUUUUUUUUUUGGCUCUGUAGAUAAUAUGAAUUUUAGAAAUAAUUUAGCAAUGAUUUUAGGUUUCAAAAGGGUGUGUGGUUCAAUUCAAAUGUGGAAACAAGCCAAUCAGUUGGUAAAGGAGCUCUGCGCACAAUUAAAGGACUGGGAAAUUUCAGUCAUAUGUAGCCAACCAAAAACUCCUAUGCUUACUGAUGCUGCAAAAAUUGGGAAUGUUGAGUUUUUGACUCUGCUUAUCCGAUCAUAUCCUGAUCUUAUAUGGAAAGCUAACUCAAAUGGUCACACCAUAUUUCAAGUUGCAGUUAUUAACUGACAAGAGAAAGUCUUUAAUCUCAUCUAUGACACAGGAGCUAUUAAAGAUUUAUUGAUGUCCUUAGAAGAUAAAUCUGAAAACAACAUUUUGCAUUUGGUUGCAGAAUUACCACCUUCAAGCAGACUCAAUAUUGUCUCUGGAGCAACCCUUCAAAUGCAUAGAGAACUACUGUGGAUUAAGGUGAGAAAUUAACACGACUAACAAAUUCCCUUUCCUUUGCCCCUCAAAGAGGUGAGGAAUACUUUAUAACAUGACGGUGAAUUGUGUCAUCUCUUGUUUAUCUUGAAUUAUAUAUAUAUAUAUAUAUAUAUAUAUAUAUAUAUAUAUAUAUGUUAAUACAUUAAUUUGAGUAAGCUUUACAAGAGGUGGAGAAGAUUCUACAGCCUUCUGAUGUUCAGAAGAAAAAUAUUAACAAAAAAAACACCUAGGGAGUUGUUUACGGAUGAGCAUGAGAAGUUACGAGUUGCUGGUGAGAAGUGGAUGAAGGACCCAACAACUUUUUGCAUGGUUGUGGCAACCUUAAUUGCCACUGUUGUGUUUGCUGCAGCCUUUACCGUGCCAAGCGGGCAUAUGGAAGAAACGGGGGCUCCAAUUUUCUUGAACGACAAGUGGUUCAUAGUUUUUGUGACAUCUGAUGCAGUGGCAAUGUUUAGCUCGACAGCUUCCAUAAUGAUGUUCUGGUCUAUCUUAACUUCAUGCUAUGGAGAAGAUGAUUUUCUAUUUACAUUAACAGCAAAGUUGAUGGGUGGACUAGUUACACUCUUUGCUUCAGUCAUUUGUAUGGUCUUAACAUUUAGUGCAGCCUUCUUUUUGGUCUAUAAGAAAGAAAAAGAAGGGACAUUGCCAAAAAUUGUUGCUGGUCUUGCUUUGCUUCCAAUCUAUAACAUCCCAAUUUCUUGAUGAGGGCUUAAGUGUCAUUAAAUCAGAAAAUAAUAUGUAUCAAACACAAAAAAAGAAGAAGUAAUGAUCAUUUUUUUAUAUAAAAAAAUGUUGUCUUUCAAAAUAAAAUAGAAAUAGCAUUUAUUCUCAAAGUGACUAAUCAUUUAAAAAAAAAAAAAAAUUCUUCCGAGAAUAUGAAUUCCCUUUUAUUUAAAUAAGAACAUUCUGCCACCACUGACCAAUUACGAGCUCCAAACUUCCGAUCUCUAAUUACCUGAAAGGGGGGGAAAUUUAAAGGGGCGAGAUUUAAGAAAAUCUCAGUAAGUGUGUGCAAUGGACAAGUAAUUUACAUAUAAAUUAAGGAAAACAGGAUUUCAUAUCAUAUGUAUAGGAGACACACGAACUAUUCCGAACAUAGGUGGUAGCAAUUCAUGUGCGUAGCGCUACUAAACUCCGGCCCUUUUAUCAUCACAUAUAUGGCCCAUGAAAUGAAUUCCAAAAUUUAAAGUACAAAAUACAAAUUCACAUAAACCACAUGCAACAUCACUUACCUCGUAAUGAAAUUUGAUAAAUAAGUGUGUGAAGAACUUGACUGUCAAAAGUCCCCUUGUGAAUUCUUGUGUGUAGGACAAAUGACUUGUGUGUGUGAGAAAGGUGAGAGACGUGAGUUGUGUGUGUGGAAAUGAUAAAAUAUUUUCAUGGGUUAAAAUGGAAUCUUUCCUUUAUUUUCUCCAUAAUUGUGGUAUCUACAAUUAUUGAUUUCUUGUGUGUGAGACAAAUGAAGUGACGUGUGUGUGAAAGAAGAGUAAUUGCCGUGAGAUUGGCUGUGAAAAAUAAUAAAAUAUUAUCAUGAAUUGGAGAGUGGAAUCUUUCCUAGUGUGGAAAUGGAAAUUUUCCUUAUUUGUUCCAUAUUUAUGGUAAUUAUCAUUAUUCUUACUAUAAUUUGGCAUACUUGACAUAUAUACAUGCAUGUAAUUAUGUUAAUUACCUAAACAUAUUUUAGUCAUUCAUGGUUAUUAUAUAAUCUACUUAAUUAUUCCAUAAACAAAAUGAUUUUCUAAUUAAACACGUCCUUAACUAUGAAUAGUCCACAGUUUGAUCCAUAAAUUAUGUAAACAAAAUAAUUUGGUCCUUCAAUAUUCAACUUCUCGCUAAUAGAUCCUAAUUUCUAAUAUUAAUGACUAUAACGAAUUUUCGGGGUGCUACACAAUCACUUUACAUGCUAUGCUGAAUUUUAGGUUAUGGAUUUCCCUAAUCCACUCAACAAUCUGGACAUCAAGGUUGAUGUUUCGACCCCAUAAGCACAGGCUUUUCUAAUACUAAGAAAAGUGGAGAAGCUUUUUUUUUGUUGUUGUUGUUGUUGUAUUUUCUAAUAAAAGGCUUUGUUUUAAGCUUUUGUUUUUUCUAGUUAUUACUUUGUUGUUAUUGUUGUUGUAUUUUCUAAUAAAAUGCUUUGUUUUUCGAGUGAAGUAGAAAAGCUUUCUAUUUCUUAUUAAUUUAUCUUUGUUAUUCUUCAAUAUAUAUUUAUAUAUAAAUAUCGCAAUUACCAUUGCCACACAAAUUAAAUCAAGUGGAGAAGUCCACGAGAAACAUCAAAGUUUGCAUGCCUCAAUAAAGAUUUAUCUCUCUUUUCCACAAAUUAGACCACUUGGUUUGUAUCUGAAGCAUUAGCAAUCAAAUAUUAGAUUAUAGCCUCUCGGAUGAUGAUAAAUUCAAGUACCUAAUUUACCUAAAAAUGUCAAGUUGGAUAUUCCACAAAUGUUUCUUUGGAGUCACAUACGUGCCUUCAUUCUUCGUUCACUUCAAACAAAUACAGUUGCCUUUUGGGAAUUAAGGUUUUAAUGCAUUAUGUGCUGAUCUUGUCUUCUAAUAUUUAGUUAAGAAUAUCUUACAAUUAGAAAAUAGUCAAUAUUCUACUUAUCAAAGUAGACACUAGUUUUGGGAUAUAUAUGCAUUAAUCUUUUGGAUAGGGAGUUUGACAUGCCUUACAAUUGAAACAAUGAUAAUAACAUUUAUGAAUUGAAUUGAUCAAUGGAGAAUGUACUUGUGCUUUUUGUAAGUGUAACUUUAGUCUUUCAUUUGGUUUUUCCUUUGUAUCUAUACUUGUAUAAGGGUUCUUAUUUUCCCCACCUAAUAUUAAUGGCUCCUGUUGACCUUGAAAAAUGCACCUCCAAUGUGGCUAACAAAUCCUAAGACCUUUCACAUCCAUGCGUACUGAGUUCUUAUACACUUGGACAAAUCAUUGCCACACGUGGCCUCCUCCAGUGGAGUGGAGUUGGCCACGCACAUUCCAACGGUCAUGUCAGUUAAAGGUAGUUAUAUGAGUGUGUGAGGGCUUUGGGCAUGAUCCUCCAAUGUAAAAGAGGAUUGGUUUUUGUGAGUAACAAAUAGAUAUAUCAGAAAGUUAUUGUAAGAGUCUAAACUUGCAUUACCUCUUGCGUGACACCAAGUGUAAGCUUUUAUAAUAGAGGAAGGUGAGCAUAAACUGUGGGAUGAAAAGACACGUAGUCUCAUCCUAGUAGCUGAGGUCUCUUGUCAUAGGUAUCUAUCCAUUUAAUGUUAUGACUAUCUGUAGCCUUAGGCCAGAUAUUUUAGACUAGACUUGUUGAUUGAGUAGAGCCACCUAUUCAGUGAAUUGUCACAUUACCUACUUGCUUCAAGAUCUUGUACGAAGAUCCUCCAUGUGGUGCUUUUAUCUGACUCUUCUCAUCCAUAGGGGUUCAGUUCAAAGGCUCGGUUUAUGGGGUUCGGCCAUGCCACAAGUGUAGAUGACAUGGAGUGUUAGCUUGUGUCCUUUCUGCUGAGCGGCUACCACCUGGCACUGUUUAGAGCUUCGUUGGAAGAGGUGUAACUAUAGUUCCCAAGUCCAUAUAUGAAUAUUAAUAUAAUGUGUGGACUUAAAAUGUACAAUAUUAGUAAACUAUCAAAGCAGUUCCCCAACCUGAUUUUAAUGCAAAGCCUUUAUAUUUAGGUAAACCCUUUGUAAAAGGAGAAAUUUGUAGUGAGGCAGAAUCGGAUUUCAGAAAAAAAAACCCUGGCACAAGGAAGAGCCCAUUAGUGAAGAGGUAGCCUGUUGGUGAGGCAAAAUCAAAGUUGGUUGAGAUCUUUGUUUUCUCUUGUUUUGGAGAAGGGCCAGCCCGUUGAGCCACUUAGGCUUAUAGAGGCUAGCGCUCUAAGGAUUUGAGAGAAAUGCCAGUUCCUGAGCUAUAGUAGCGACAUGGAAUCAUGAUUUUUAAUGUAUGUGUUGUGGGCGCAUUUAUUGCAUAAUGAUGGUGCUUGGUACAGCUAGCAGAGGUUACUCGAGUCCUUAGUGUGUACAAUUCAUAGAUCCAUUAGAGCCAUUGACCUGAGUUUUUUUAUAGGCACCCUUUGAAUUUAACGUAUUUGAUUGUGAUAGAGUGUUUGGCCACGAUUAAAUCUGGUUCAAUCAAACAUUGGUGCUCCACUCACGUUGCCUAUAUAAAGAGGAAAGCAACCAUUCCUUACUUUUUUACUUUACAAAAAUCUCCCAAACCCCUUGAAAAUUUCAUUUUGGGUCACCAUUGCUGCUGUCCCAGCGAGAAUUCUUGCCCACAUUUUAGUGUCAUUUUGCGAGCUUUGUAGGUAAAAAACUUGAGUUUUUUUGUAUUUGUGUUGUAAGAUAAUGACGUCCUCUUCAAAGAAGAAAACAAUAGGGGGGUUUGUGUUUGUGUUGUAAGAUAAUGACGUCCUCAUCAAAGAAGAAAACAAUUUGCCACUAAUUUGUGCUAAGGUCAAUUUGCCUCCAGUGAUUUUGACUAACAGGAUUAUGGAGGUCAUGGGAGACCUCAUAGUGUGUAGAUAAUGCAAGAGGGUCCAAUAGAUUAUAGCGUUAGGUGGGAGACUUCGUUGUGGUCGACCUGUGUAAAGGAGAGUGAGCUGGAUACCUUUAGGGAGAGGUAUAGAAUCCAUGAUCCAUGGAGAUGAUUAUCCUAAUCUCUGAUUAACGAGCCUAUUUUCCCAGAAAGAGGUGUGAAGCAAUGAGUGAUGUGAUUCUUAAUGGGAGGAUGAAGCUACCUCUACACCUAUUUCUACAUCCUUAGGAAAUAUAACCUAGUCCCCACCCAGUUAGUACCAAAUGUAUUGAGCCAAUUGGCAGGGGCCUUCCAUCUUUAGAAGGAGGCCACUCUUGGAGAGGAUAUGCCUCUCAUAUUUUUCGUACACUCUUUCAGCCCUGAGCCUCUAGUGGGAGAGGAUUGCAAGGGGGUAGUAUUAUAUAAACCCUUGGGGUCUGCAUUUACCCUUCAUUUGGGGAACUCUACCUUAAUAAAAAACUGGAAGUCAUCUUGGUUUUGGAUUAGGAGAUGCUGGUAGACAGUAGAGAGAGACGCAGUCCCGGUGCCAACCUAGUAUCAUGUGUAUAGUGAGUUUAGAUUCAAUUGAAGAUCUUUCAUUUAUCGUAUUUCAGUAUCUAUUUCUAAAUUGUGUUUUGUGCAGUUGUAGUUAACCAGUUCGAGUUCAAACCUUCAAAGUGGGCCACCAUUAGAGCUACUUACGAGUUGUCCACUGAGAGGAAGUACUUCAACACAGUGCUUAAGAAGUGAGCUCUAUUUGUGAUUCUUACUAACGACGACCAAAGGUAAGCCAUCGCCAAACAUUUAUCACUCUUGAUAGUUUGACUUGAUUUUUGGCUAUACUAAUGGCGUAUUUCACUUGCAGAGUAACAUGGCAGAAAGAAGUAUGUCAAGCACGACAUGUUCUAUAUGAGCCACCUGGCCAAAGAGAAGAAAAAGAAACUAUUGA